AAUUCUUCCAGGGAAGUGAGUUCUUGUAGCCAUUCUGGCAGCAUAUGUAGGCGUUGGCACUCCUUCAAAGAUAGGACUCUGAGAGCAGUAAGCUUCUUCAUGCUUUCAGGCAAAAAAGUCAGGUUGGGGCAAUCGAUGAUGCAAAAUUUUUGCAGGGAAAUCAUCUGUCCUAGGCAUUCUGGCAACAUAGCUAGGCCUUGGCACUCCUCUAUCCAAAGCUCUGUUAAAGAAGUAAGGCCCUUCAUGCUUUCAGGCAAAGUUGUCAGGUUGGGACAAUCGAUGAUCUGAAACUUUUGCAGGGAAAUUAUCUGUCCUAGGCUUUCUGGCAACAUAGCUAGGCCUUGGCACUCCUCUAUCCAAAGCUCUGUUAAAGAAGUAAGGCCCUUCAUGCUCUCUGGCAAAAAUGUCAAGUUGGGGCAAUCAAUGAUUUGAAAGUCUUGUAGUGAAGUGAGCUUCCCUAUCCAUUCCGGCAAUAUUUCCCAGCCUUUGCACCCCUGCAGCUGUAGCAGUUUCAGAGCAGUAAGGUUCUUCAUGCUUUCUGGUAAAGAUGUUAGCUUGGGACAAUCCUUGAUGAGAAGACGUUGCAGGGAAAUGAAGCACCCCAACCAUUUCGGUAGUGACUCCAAUUCCUUCAGUGACUUCAAAACUAGGCUUUUUAGAGAGGUGAAGCAUCUAAUGACCUCUGGCAAUGCCCUCAAGCCCUUGCAGGAUUCAACUUGAAAUACUUCAAGGGUGGGGAAGUGAUGAAGUCUAUCCCAAUUGUCUGGAGAAAAACUGCAAUUAUUUAUUACCAUGUGAAAAGGAAGUGCAGAAGAUGAAAGCUUCCCAAAUCCUCCUUCUGCAAUAAUCUCAUCAGUGUUUUCCAAGUACCAAAUCAUACUUCUUGGCGGAUAUGGCAGAAACUUCAAUUUUGGGCAGUUCGACACACACAAAGAGUGCAAAUUAGGAAUUAAGAACUCUUCAUUUUCUUCACCCGACCUUGUUGUCCACAAUUCAGUUAAAUUCUCCAUCAACUCCAACAUUAUCGAUCUUAAUUUUACACAGGGUCUGCCCUGCCCAAAGAAUUCCUUGCCUAUUUUCCUGAUGUUGGGCAUUUUCUCCAUACAUAUGCUUCUUAAAUUUGGUAGCUGCCCAAAUGGAGGAAGAGUAUCACAUGUUCCUAAAUCAGAAAGGCUGAGGUAGGUCAGAGAAGGGAGGUAGGAAGAUAUGUCACACAUCCAUUUAGGGAAAUCCUUGCUCAUAUACCCGAAUAGAUAAAAAUAAUCAAGAGUCCGGGGAGGUGUGAGCUUCUCCAACACAGAUUUACCCUCGCCUCCGUUGGUUCCCCAGUGAAGAGUUAGUUGCCUCAGAUCUGAUUUAUCACGCAACUUUGCUCUCUCCGCGUCUUCUGGAUGCUUGACAUUCUGAAGCUCUUGAACAUCCAACUCAUAACAAGUUAAAUCUGCAAGUUCCACUAUACUGCUGCAUCCUUUAUUUUCUCUCUGUUGUACAACAUGCUUUAUUUCUUCUGAAAUAAUAAGAUGCUUUUUAAUUUCCUCAACGCGUGCCAUCACAUCAGGAGCUCCUGCCAUGGCCUCAAAUCGAGUGAGACUUGUCAUUUCAGCAAUGCUAUCUGGCAAGGCAUUGAGAGAUUCUGUAGAAGAUAUGUCCAAUGAUUGAAGCUUAAGGUCACCGAACGAAGGUGGGAGCUUAUCAAGCCUCAUACAAUAAGACAAACUGAGACACCUCAGCUUAGACAAUUUGCAGAAUGACUCGGGCAGUACUUGCAGCUUGCAACAACUUGUUAGGUUCAAAGAGUCAAGCUCAAAAAGGUGACCAAAACAUUCAGGGAGUUCCAUGAGCUCAUGGCAGUCAGAAAGAUCUAAGAACUUUAGAUGAAUAAGUUGGCAAAAUGAUUCUGGCAGCAAUGAAACCUUGUAGCAAUCAGAAAGGCUCAAGAACCUAAGCCUUUGAAGGUUGCCAAAAUCUUUUGGCAGGUUUUCUAGCUCAUGGCAAUUUGAUAGGUUCAUAUGCUCCAAAGACUGGAGUCUAAGAUUGUCAGGUAGAUUGGUUAUCUUGGAACAACCAGACAAGUUUAGGAAUAUGAGUUUCAAAAGGGUGCCAAAUUUAUCAGGUAACUUUUUAAUGGUACAACACUCAGACAUGUCUAGGUGACGUAAACAAGUUAGCUCGUAGAUGGACUCGGGUAACUCUUGGAGCACGGAACACCCCAAUAAGUUGAUGAAAGAGAGUUUGGAGAGCUUCCCAAGUGACGCCGGGAGCUCAGUAAGGCUGACAUUACCAGAUAGAUCCAGAUAGCAAAGCUUGUUGAGGCUACAGAUAGUGUCAGGCAAUGUUUCAAGUGCACAUUUGGAUAGAAUUAAAGUUUGCAUGUGUUUUAGUGUGUGGAAAGACUUUGGAAGCGAUGUAAUUGGCAAGGAUGUGGCAUCAAGGUACCUAAGCAGCUUCGAUUUAUGAAUGGACGAUGGCAGUACCACAUUGCUGGAAGUGGAUUGCCCCUCAACUGAACUUCCAUGAAGGUCUAAGUUGCUUGAAGUAGAUUGCCUUCCAACUGAAUGCCCACUUAAAUCCAGCACACGUAUGUACUUGGAUCGAGAAAAUGCCAUUUUGGGAAGUUGCAAUUUUCCUGAAUACCUAAAAUGGAGGGUUCUAGCUGUGGGUGGCAGGUCUUUGAAAACCGUGGUUUGAUUUUGGUAGUUGAUCAAUUGUGCAUGCCGGCAAUAACGAGCUCUAUUCCAGCCCCUUGGUUCGGUAGCAUCAGCGUCCAAAAUGAUGAACUCUUUGGAAGUAAUUACUGAUGCAAGAUCAUGCACCAAAUCAUGCAUGGUGAACUUUUGAGAAGUUUUGGCAUGCAUUGGACCUGGAUCAACCUGGAAAAGUAAAUAUUGUAAGCUAAAAUGUAGAAUCCUUUGAACAGAUUAGGUAUAGUUAUAAAGUGAUUAGUCGCUAUUUAUCCAAUCACUAUGUUCUAAUAUUAUUGAAAUAGGUUGUUCGCACUUUUAACAUAAAGUGGGAAAUGCUAGAGUCAAGGAAAAAGAAGAGACAAUAGAAAUGUUUGCUCCAAUUAAUAUGAUAUACCUCAGUAAAAAAAUCAACAUGGUAUACAUAACUAAUUUCUUGGUAUGUUUUGUCUACCUGUUACAUAUACUCCCUCCGUCCCAAAAAUCUUGUUUUAGAUUUGUCUAGAUACGGAUGUAUCUAACACUAAAACAUGACCAGAUACAUCCGUAUCUAGAUAAAUCUAAGACAAGAAUUUUAGGACAGAGGUAAUACAUAGCAGGUGGGAAAUACUAGCUAAAUGCUAUAGUUUCAAAGACGACUUCAAUAGAGAAAGUGUUUCAAAUUUAUGUCUUGAAAAGUAGUAUUACUAAAACAUAAUUCAAUUCAUUUACAUGUAUUCAACUGAAGAUAAUAAACAGUAAACAUCAACGAAAAACCUACAAUCUGAGUGUAUAUUACUAGAGAGAGAGAGAGAGAGAGAGAGAGAGAGAGAGAGAGAGAGAGUUCAACACUCACGGAGGAUGACUGUGAAAUAUGAAGAAACGACAUCCCAAGAAGAUAGUUGAUACACCUUUCACCAUCAUCAUAUGCCUUAAUGUAUCCGAGAGCGGUCCAUUGCUGGAUUAGAUGGUGCUGAUCCAUCACAGAACCCUUGGGGAAGACCGCCAAAUAUGUGAAACACAUUUUAAACUCAAGCUUCAUGUAGCAGUAGCUAAGCAUUAGACGCUCUAAUGCCUUGUUUUGAUGUUCUUCUCUCAAACCCAAGUCAACUUUGGUGUCUCUUAUAUCUUCCCAUGCCUCAACAGUCCUUCGCUCAAACAUUACUUGCCCAAGAGCAUUUGCCACGAUUGGUAACCCCCCACACUUUGCUGCAAUUUCCCUUCCAAUUUCUUGCAAACCACUAUGGUCAUCAUUAGGUCCAAGUGCCCUUUGCUUCAUUACUUCCCAGCAGUCAUCAGGUGAUAAAACACCCAAACUGAUUUGGUCAGACUCAGGCACAGGGCAGAUUUUCUGGUCUUUCGCAAGAAAACCAGUUCUAAGUGUUUGCACUAUGCUCUGGUUGCGUGUAGUUACUAUAAUCCUGCUACCCUUGCAUCCACAUUGCAAAAUCCGCUUCAACUCUUCUAGGUUAUUUCCAUCUUCUUCCCAGAGAUCAUCUAGAACAAUCAAGUAUCUUAUUGUAGAAAGUUCUUUUUUCAGAUUAUCAUGUAUAAACUGCAGAUCACAUUUGUCAAGGUUGAUAUUGCUAUUUAAUCUUCUGAUGAUUCUACUCCCAAUUGUGUGCAAAUCAAACUGCUCAGACACAUGAACCCAAAUUUGGACAUCGAAGACACUGACCCUCUUAUCUGCCAAAACUGCUUCAGCUAAUGUUGACUUUCCAAUACCACCAAGCCCAAUAAUUGGAAUGAUGGAGAUACCCUCAUUAGCUUCACUUGUCAGUAGCAGGUUGAUUAUCUUCUCUUUCUCGGUGUCCCUCCCCACCAUUGCAGUUUUCAUGCCUUGAGUACUGCAAGCUGCAAAAGUUUCCUUGUUUCUGCUCCCCUCUGCCCUUGCCACAUGACGCACAAGAUUAAGUGCCUGACCUUCCUUUUCUAUUUUUUCUAUUUUCUCCCUCACGGUCUUCAUAUUAUGGGCUAUGGUUGACCGCUGGAGGAGUUGAUUGUUCCCAGAAAAGAAUAACUUGACCUGUAAAAUGAAAGAGAGUGAACAUCAUUUGACAUAUUUUUGCUUCAUACUGUCAGGUUUCAUGAAAAAAAAUGCAUCAAGACAGUCUCUAAGAAGUUCAGAAUGAAAUGCUCUCAGCAUGAAGUUCAGAAUGAAAAAAAAUACCAUAGAAAUAUCUACCGUUCGAUGGCCCCUGCUCGCAGCAUGCGGGCCGCGAGUCCGGUCGGGCGUGCCCUCACGCCGCUGGAACUGCUUCCCCUUGUCCUACAUCGGCACGCCCACCGCCGCCCUCUGCUUCUGCUCGCUAACGCAGUCUUCCUCCGCAACCGCGCCAUACCGCCGAUCUGCGUCUCGUGUCCCGGCCGUAGCCGCCGCACCCACAACCGCGCCGGCGGAGACGAUAAGGUUCGCUCUAUGUUAGGUUAGGGGAAGAUUGACUAGACUGGUUUCGGCCCAUAACGUAUCCUCAGAAAAUGGGUUCACAAAAAGUUGGAAAAUGCCGGGUAAAAGUUCGAAUUAAUUCUAAAAUGCCACUCAUGAUUACCCGUGUACCCAAAUGGCACUCAAAAUUUCCCGGUUUCAAAUAUGCCACUAAAUAUUUGCAACGGGUGCAAAUUUCCACUUCCAUCAAUUUAACUUACAAAUUUAAAGUAUUUCAGAAGGAAAAUGCCCUCACUAUGGAGUUACGAGUUGUGUAUAGAUUGGACUUUUUUGUACUCAAUCGUGUACUUAAUUACUGCCUCUUGCCUACGUUCCUUUAUUGGCUAUGUAUCAUGAAAAAAUGAUCCGCACAUACUAACAUGUUUACGCAGUCGCUCAUAUACACACGCAUACUCUCAUUCUUAUAAAAACACACAUCAUACCUCUAUGAGCAAUAAAUCCAGAAAUAAAUAUGAGCAGCAUGACUUAAACGCUGAUGGGCUGAAGAUAUAUACCACUGUCCAUCUAACCAUCCAACCACAUAUUGGUUCGCUUAUCCAUAUGAAUAUGAACUGUAUUUGGUAAUACAUGUACAAACAUUAAACAUUGCCAACAAAGCCUGAAAUAAACUUAGAAAAAAACACGAUCUCCCGUGAGACAUCUAUGACUUAAACCUUAGUGGACUGAUUAUGCCAUAAGAGUCUUUUACAAACAAACUUGAAAGGCAAGCUCGAGAAACAAACAAAAAACAACUUGCAGGCUGAGUACCUUGGACUGGGUCUUCAGGACGAGCUUGGUAGCGUCCAGGUCGUCCAGGACGUCCUCAAUGUCGUAGGCGACUGCCUUGAACUUGGCCAGCCACCGCCCAACGGCUUCUCCAUCCCUUUCUCCUCGACGCAGCCUAUCAUCGGCGUCCCGCAUCAGGGCAUCCAGAUCUUCCAUCUUCUCCCUCAAGCCCUCGACGUCGUCCUGAAACCCCCACAACAGAGCGAUCUCGUCUUUCACGAGCUCGCCCAGCUUGCUGGCGAUUUGGUUCCCGACGGCUCUCGCGAUCAGCCCCCCAACCGCGGCCAUGGCGUUCACACCCACCAAACUCUUGCUCUCUCGCACAACAAGAAUGCGUUGUGUUUGUGAGGCAAAGGCAGAGAUCCAGAUCUGGCAGUCCAAGUGACUAGUAUUAGACUGGGUCGAGUAGUCUCAGUUAUUAGUAUUUUUCUUACUGGAACCGUGAGCCCGCUUUGUUAUUUUAUUUUUACCACCCGAGAUGCAACCUCGGGAUUCCACGGUGAAGCAGCGUGCGUGCCACAGCGCGUGCGAUGUUCAAUGUACUUUGUAGUUUGGCGUGUCUACUUUCAUCGAUUUUAGUUUUUUUUCUACUCCGGGAAAUACGCUAUCUUGCCCAGGUCUCGAAAACAAACGGAAAAAUAGCUAAAGUAGUCGUACCAUCACCUCUCUCAAAGUAUUCCUGACCGUCAUGUGAACCUCGAGUAUUAUAAUCGAACCUCUAAACGUCUUUUUGCGGUGAACGUCCAACGUCUGUAGUAUUUGAAUCGAUGUAGCUAUCGAGACAUGUCACGUGAGUAUGCGCAUGUGACGGUACUGCCAUUGUUUCCGCUACAUGUUCAUGGAAAAUCGUUUCAAAUAAAUGGCGACAUCCCGCUGCAAAAUUUUCAAAAUACCUACCUCCCAUGCCAUGCGUCGUUAACAAGCUGGCUUCCGCCAUGGACUGGACAUUCCACCCAAAGGCCGGGACGUUUGGGCGACAGUGGAUAUAUGUAUACAUUAUAAUUGGUUUGAUGCCAACGUUCGGUAAGCCAACAUUUGGCAAAAUCAAAAGUUGCCAAAAAUUGACAACUUUUUAUAAGAUUGACAAGAGAAGUUGAUAGCCAAUCAAUCACUAGUCAACAUUGUCAAAUGUUGGCAUGCCGACUUUUGGCAUCCAACCAAUUAUGCUCUAUAGUAAAGUUCGAUCAUCAGCUGGUAAUUCAAUUACAUGCAACAAACUGCAGAAGUAGCGCAAAUAAAUACAUUGAGACAAAGAUUUGUUCACGAGUUUUAGAAUGAUUCGAGGCAACGUAGUCUAUCCUCCAAGGAUCAAAUAAUCACAUAAUCACACGAGGCACAAUACCUGAAUUUGUUAACAAGGUUCAUUGUACAUUGGCUAAUCCCAGGAGUAUGACUACAAUCGUUCAGUCCCGUUGGUACCACUACAACACCGCACAUGGCGACAUGGCGACACCGGGCUAGGUACCACCUCACAUCCUCGACCACUCUCGCAUCCUACAUCCUGGUCUCUCCAAGCCAUCGACCAUCUUGUUUCCCUUGUUGCGACCUCUCCUAUCAUGGCUGUGGCGAUGCAUCCUUCUCCCCUGAACCACUCUGCCCGGGGAGCCUGCUCUGCCCCCUCCCUCUCUUGCCUCACUUAACUCCCCACCCCCUUCCAUGUGGCGACCUUUGCCACUCGUGGCUGCACCCUGCUCUCUUGAACCUCUCUGAUCGUGAGCAUGGUUUGCCCCGCUUCCUCUAUCGGCUCGCACAACUCCCUACACCCUCCCGUCGGGUGUGGGAACUCUUGGCUUCGGGUAAGGUGGCACCGGUCAUUGUUCUGUUCUCCUUGCCUUCCGUUAGUCCUCUUCCUCAACAUCCUCUGUCUUUGCAGCAACUUCUCAUGGCAGUGAAAUUUCGGGUGGAAGUCUACGAUGAUAACGUAUAUGGGCAUCGUGCCCCAUCCUAAAGCCAUUGCAAGGAAUUUUAUAUCCUCAUUGCAUCUUUUUGACUUUCUCUUCUUCGCUUCGCAUGUUUAUUUCUCCAAACCCGGGUUAGUGAGGCAUGGUCCUCUUCUCUUGUGGAAGUACCCCCUCUUGUAGGGCUUCCUCCUUGGAUAGCGAACAAAACACUAAAGAAAGAGUUGCUACCACAAGGUCCUGUUCAAUAGGUCUAAUGUGGAAGGAUGGGGUCAUUUGAAGCGGCGGUUGUUGUGUCCAAUGUGUGUUGGCCGAUGGUUAAAGUGAUGUUGUUGUUGCUCUCUCAGUGGUUGUCUAUAUGAUGUCAUCUGGCAUAAUGUGAUGCCUCGACGGCUUCCCUCUUUUGCCAGUGAUGUCUUGUAUGUUCUCAUGAUACAACUUGUGCUUCAUCACCAAGCCACUAUUGUUCUUGUUGUCUAGGUGGUUGAUUCCUGCGUUAUGUUGUAACUAUGUACUUGAUUUUUGUGUUUCUUGUUUUCUUGCUUCGGCAAGGUGUAUUGCCCCUGGGGCAGUCAAGGUUUUUGAUCUAGUUUCCCUUAUAAACUUGACCAGACUCUUUCUGAAAUGAGAUAAUAUUUAGGCAGGAAUGCUCCCCCCUUUGUCUGUUCCAAAAAAAACGUGCAUUGUCCGCCAUUUUUUUAUUGUGCAUUGGUCACCAGAACGCCGUCACAUGCCGUUAGUUCUCCUUGUGCAUAUGUGAUGUGAUGUUGGCCUACGUUACGUUGUGUCUCUACCCUUGUAGUAUAUUAGGAGGCCUGAGAUAUAAGUGUCAUGCUAGGACAUGGCUUUGAUAUCUUGUUUAUACACAUCUAUGACUCAAAGUCCAACUGCAAACUAUCUUAUACGAAAUAUUCUACACAACUUCAACAAAAAGGCCAUCUUGGAGGGGCUGUGACUUAACAUGGAAGAUAAACUCUCUUGACCCUAUUCUCCUCAACAAUCGAUUAGUCAACCAAUGCCGAUUACUUGUGGUAGAUACUUGAAGGCGAUCUCCUAACCUUUACAGACUUCUUCUUCGAGAACCACAAUCACACUUGGUCUCUGAAGAAAUUGACACCUAACCGUCUAGAGAGUUUGCAGCUCUCAAGAGUAAUAGGAGGAGCGUACUGAACUUAGAUUCCAGUGAUUCCGAACCAUUAUCUAAUUCUUCGGCUCUAGGGUUUUUCUCUCGGUGAAUUUUAAAAUCAAAUCGCUUAAAGAGUGGGUUGCUCAACAAUCUUCUCAGAAUCAAACGGAGUAGCCGCUGGACAAAGCCAGCGCGGGGUGGCUAUUUAUAGCCACAGCCUUCCCAGAUGGGAGAUGGCCAUUUUGGACAUGAGGUCCAGCCAAUGGCCAGCCGACACAUUUGCAACGGUCGGAUUUUGGAGCAACGGUAACAUUACUUGAGGAACAAGUAAUGCUAACUCCUCGGUCCGAGACAAAUCUCUCGCGGCGACGAAGAUCACAGUCUCUUGCUAGCAAGUAUUUGCUCGGAGCACAAAGAAAUUUCUCUCACAUCUUUCAUAGGAUUUGGGUUUAGCAUCAGAGAAUCAAAGCUUCGAACGCUACACCCCUCUUAAUAGUACGGUGGUCCUAUGACUCAAAGAAAAAAGAGGAAUAAUGAAACAAAUGCUACGGCGUCACCUUCGUCUUCAUUCUUCCUCGAACGCAGUCAUUUUCUUCGAACAGACACCGAACCAAUUGCUUGAACUCAGCAAUUUUUAGGGGCCAUUCUUGUUAGCUUCAUCUUCGGUGAUAACCUUCGCUGCCACGCAGAGAGAUUAUCUUCGUCGUUUGCAUCAAACUCCUCGAUACUUCAGGGACCUGUUACUCUGUGUGCACUAGCUAGCAAACAUAUGUCCCAUACUAUUUAUGUCAACAAACUACAAAAAAUAAGGGGCCUAUCAUUGCACCAACAAGUAGCUUCACACAUUAACACAUAUGAUGUGCCAUUCAAAAGAUAGUUCUUUUGCUUCCGAUGGACCUAGAGCAAUGGAGGUUGUUGAAGUAAAAGACAUGGAUGGUGAUAUUCAAAUUCUUUCUUUCAAAUGGAAAGAAAGAUAGGAUCUUAAUAUGUGGUGGAUUGAUAGCUAAUGCAACCACCAACUUUCCCUUGUUUAAUAACACUGCAUCUAUUCUUAGCUAAAUAUAGUCGCUCGACAUGCAUGUAGUCCGCUUAUCAUACCUCCUACUUGGUGUACCUCUCGUAAGAAUACUUGCAUACAUAGACGAGACUUCAGAGAAAGAUGGAGCUCUCAACUACGACAAGUUGUGUGCAUGUAACGCUACUUGGACUAGGAGGCAUCAGGAUGCUACAUGGUUCACUACAGGAGAUGGUUAGGGUUUAGGAGUUAACAUAUACAUGUCAGGGAUGAUGGAUAUGGGUAGUGCUCUCCUUCAUUUGCAUUGAGAGUUUGAUACCCCCAUUAGAACUCAAGGUCAGUGACAGUUUGAGCCUCUGACAACUGGGACAUAGCAGCAACAACAAAUAUUGUCGCGUCGGUGGUUGGUGGACCUCAAGAUCCAAAAGUACAUGCCGCCACAACCAGCCUCUUAUGGUGGUAAAUCAUUGCCCUUGCCCUUGCCCUUGCCCUGGGGCAGACAUACAGUAUCAGGCCCAGCAUAGUUGAACCCGAUGAUUGGUCCGGUCCAGCCGACCCUAGUGAAAACAAAAACAGAGUAAAUGACCUGGCCUGAUAGCAUCCAUUGUUGGAGCCACUCAACCAUUCAUCAGGCCCCCGUUGGUCACUGGCUGGUUGAUCGGUUGGGCUUGAUUUGCAUGCAUUCCAACUGAGGAGCAGCAGCUCACGGAGCUGAACCACCGGCUGUACAGUACUCAUGAGGACAAUACCAGGAAAAUAGAAAAUCUUAUAUGCUCUUGAGUACUGUGACAGUCAACAAUGUGCACACCAAAUUCCACUAUUCGGUUGGUUAGCUCUCUGCUCGUCCCAUAGAAAUCAAAAAACAACCCCCGAACAUUCACCUAGGGUCUGGCUCAAAGGCACAUCUGAAGUGCUAUUAUAUCACAAUGGAAAACAGAGCAAAUAAAUAAAUAAAUUUCAAAGGCCCCCGGUUGUAAGAACUAUGAACAAACGUGCAGGUCAUGUAGCCCCCAGUUGUUAGACCUAAGAACAUACUUUUGGCUUCUUCACGUGACACUGAAUCAAGAUCUUUUUCAUUAUAAUACAUUUAUUUUCAUAAAUUCGAGAAAUAAUAUGUGGUUUCAAAAUUUUACAAAAAUAAUACAGCGUCGGCUUAUGCGAAGCCGACCGGGACAAAUUGGCCACGGCGGAACCAAUUGGAUUACAAUCGGCUUUGGCAAAGCCGACUGGAACUAGUCGGCAUUGGUAAAGCCUACUGGAACUAAUUUGUUUCACCGAAACCAAUUAGUGGCUAUCGGCGUUGGCAAACUUGACAACUGCAUGUGCCCAUAUUUUUGCUAUAUUUUGCACUGUAUUUUUUACCCCGCAACCCUUUUCGCCAUUUUUUCAAUUCUAUUAAAUUGUUCUUGUUUUAAUUUAUUGUUGUUUUCAAAAAAUAUAUUUUUAAUAUGUUCAUGAUUUUAAAAUGCUCAAAAUUCCUAUAAAAUGUUCCAAUUUUUGAUAAAAAUCUUAUUUUUAAAAUUUUCCAUAAAAAUAAAAUUCAUAAAAAUCACAUGUUGAAAAAAUGAUCGAUGUCAAAACAUGUUCAAUUCUAAAAAUAUUUUUCGAAGAUGUUCAACUUUUUAAAAAUAAAGAAAUAUUCAUGUUUUCUGAAAAGCGAAAAAUAAAACCGAUAAACAAACUAUUACAAGCACCGCUACUCUUCCAUCAGAUGAACAUCGUUACAAUGGCUUCUUCAGGUCCACACUUUAUGCUCCCAAAAGCGAUAACAAUGUAACCAUAUCACCAAUGUUUCUUAAAAUUGGAUAUAAGAAAUGACGCAUAAUCACACAUGAAUCAGGUUUUGCAAUUGUUUCUCAACUAUUGCAACACACGGGAAUCUGAAACUGUACAUAUAAUACGGGACCGAAAUAUUGGUUUUAGCGAAACCAAUUAGUUCCAAUCGGCUUUCGCAACGCCGACUUGUUCCCCAAUGCCGACUUGUUCCAGUCGGCUUUACCAAAGCCGAUUGGAAAUCCAAUUAGUUUCGCCGUGGCCAAUUAGUCCCAAUCGGCUCCGCAUAAGCCGACGUUGUAUUAUUUUGUAAAAUUUCGAAAUCGCAUAUUAUUUCACUAAAUUACUAAAAAUGUAUUAUUUUAAAAAAUUAGCGAAUCAAGAAACCCUCAUUCCAGCACCACACACACAAGCAAAGAGAACUCUGGUUAGAGUUAUUUGGGAUUAUCACACACACAAGCAACCGGAGACUAGUGAUGCAGCACUUACUAGGACCAUCAACCUUCCAGAGCACCGAUCGUUUCAUCACUACGAUAGGGUCUUUGUUUUUAUAUUUCUCUCUUUUUUAGUUUAUUUUUGGUUGUGUGCAUCUUGGAUGUCUUUCGAUAUCUUGUUGAUGCAGAGCCUGAGUGUAAUUGGUACCUUCGCGAUAUUAACAUAUUCUAUUUCUUAAAAAAAAGAGCACCGACCGGUCAUGUACUCAUGCUGAAGAGAUCACCGAGGUCGACUCUGCUCUCUAGCACACCGCAAGGUCAAGUCGUGCAAAACAAUAAGCAUCUCGGCUCAUCACAUCUCCAGCAUGCCGCAAGAUCAUAUUGACAAGUAGUAUUAUUGUAAUUCAUAACGCAACACAAACCUAGUCUUUUCUUCCAGGAGCUUGAGGCUUGGUGUGCCAUAAUAGCAUGUCUCGUGUGUUGGGUUGGCGACAGCUAAAAAUGUUCAAGUCAGAGCUGACCAAAACGCAAGCAGACAGAACACCGGAGGGUGUCACAAGAUGGUUGCAAGCUGGAGAUUGUCAUACCGUGGGUGAGUUGGGGUCAUCCUAAUGCAGCAGUACCGACACUAGUACCGUCUGCUCGCCCUCCCUCCGCUGUCGACUCUUGGCACGUCUGCACCAAGCGAGACCGACAGUUCAUGAAGGGAUGGGGCGCCAACCUGGGGCGUGACCUCCGCGAGCGUAAGAAGGCUCUACUGUCUGCGAUUCAAGCCUUGGACCUGCGUGCCGAUGCUACCGGCCUUUCUCCCGAGGAGUGGCUCUCCCGCUACAACUUGGAAGAUCAGCUCUCUAUCAUCUACGCCGAUGAAGAGGCCUACUGGCGUUUGCGUGGUGCUCAGAAAUGGGUCCUGAAGGGAGACGUGAAUACGGCAUAUUUCCAAGCCAUUGCUAAUGGCCGACGUAGGCGCAACACCAUCCCUCUCCUUUGGGAUGGCUCGACCCUCCUGCAGUCCCCGCGGGACAUUAGGUCCCACGUCGACGGCUUCUAUAGGUCCCUGUUCACAGCCGCUCCUCGGAGCGGCUUAUCUCUGCCCCUUGACUACUGGUCCGGUCGCCAGCUUGUUUCCGAGCCUGAGAACGCGACUCUUAUGGCCCCCUUCUCAGAGGGCGAGGUCUGGGCCGCCAUCAAGGGCAUGAACCCUGCCUCGGCCCCUGGCCCGGAUGGCCUUCCAGUUAAGUUCUUCCAGAGCUUCUGGAAUGUGAUCAAGCCGGAGGUCAUGGCCAUCUUCGACGAGUUCUACAUUGGGUCCAUCGAUCUCGGGCGCCUUAACUACGGGCGAUCUCGCUCAUCCCCAAGGUUCCUGGUGCCUCUGACAUUCGUCAGUUCCGCCCAAUCACGGUGAUUAACGUGAUCUUCCAGAUUCUGGCUAAAGGGUACGCCAAUAGGGUGACCCUGCUCGCGGACCAUGUUACCCACCCCAACCAAUCGGCUUUCAUCCAAGGCCAUUAUAUUCUGGAUGGGGUGCUGGUCGUUCACGAAAUCCUCCAUGAGGUCCGCUCCAAGCACCUCAAGGCGGUCUUCCUGAAGAUCGAUUUCCAUAAGGCCUAUGACACUGUUAGCUGGCCUUUCGUUCGGGAAGUUCUUCUGCGGAAAGGCUUCGAUGACCGUUGGGUGACGCGGGUUAUGCAGAUGGUCUCGUGUGGUCGCACGGCCGUCAACAUCAAUGGGGAGAUCGGCCCCUACUUCCCCACUUACUGCGGGGUGAGGCAAGGUGACCCAUUCUCCCCGUUCCUGUUUAAUAUGGUGGUCGAUGCUCUUGCGGCCAUCCUGGACAAGGCUAAGGCCGCGGGUCAUAUUCGUGGGAUCACCCCCCACUUGACCGGUGGCAUCGGCAUCUCCCUGCUCCAGUACGCUGACGACACCAUCAUCAUGGUCGAAGGCUCGGAUUCGGACAUCGCUAGCCUUAAAUUCCUCCUCCUCUGCUUCCAACAAACGUCUGGUCUUAAGAUCAACUUCGACAAGAGUGAUGUGAUGGUGAUCGGCUACUCUCCGGCUGAGGCCCUUGACAUUGCCAACCGCCUCAAUUGCCGCCUAGGUUCCCUCCCAACGACCUACCUGGGAACGCCCAUUAGUGACUCUCGGCUCACUGUGGCGGACCUUCGUCCUGCGGUAACCAAGUUGCAAACGUGCAUUGAGCCUUGGCAGGGUCGUUGGCUCUCGAAGGCGGCCCGGACAAUUCUCAUCAACUCCUCGCUCUCUAGUCUCCUCCUAUUCCUUAUGAGCUUCUACAGCCUCCACGAGACCCUCCAUCACGAGAUCGCUAAAAUCCAAUCUCGCUUCUAUUGGGCUGGGGACAAUAACAAGCAAAAGUAUCAUAUGAUUAGUUGGCCCGACAUCUGCAAGCCCCGGGAGCAAGGAGGCCUUGGCAUCAUGUGCUCGAAGCGCAUGAACAUUGCCCUCCUCUCCCGCUGGCUCUGGCGCAUAUCACAAGUGCAUGGCGGUCUGUGGUUAGACAUCAUCCGGAAUAAAUACUUGCGUGGCCAACCUUUGGCCUUCUGCCAACGGUCGGGUGGGUCCCAGUUCUGGCAGUCGGUCAUCCAACUGCUCCCCGUCCUCCGCAUUGGGACUUCCAUCUCGGUCGGAUCGGGAGCAGCGACCUUGUUCUGGUUUGACCGAUGGGCGGGUGACGCCCCCUUCGCGGCCCGCUUUCCCGACCUCUUCUCCAUCAAUGUCGUCCCUACAAUCUCAGUUCAACAGGCCCUUAUUGACUUAGGGCGCCUCGCGUUCCGGAGGCCAUUUGGGCCUCCGGAAGUGGCCGCCUGGCAUGAGCUUCUUGAUUGUAUUGCUCUCCAUGAGCCGACUAUCGAUGCUGGCCCGGAUGAGGUUCGGUGGCGCCUUGAGCCUUCGGGUCAAUUCUCCACCAAGUCCCUGUACGCGGCCAUCGCCCCUUCCUCCGCCCCUCCAGACGGUUUGGUCCAUUCGCCUGCCCCUUAAAAUCCGGAUCUUCAUGUGGCAAUGGAUCCGCGGUCGGCUCCCGUCUGGAGUUGAGGUCCGCAGGCGCAAUGGCCCGGGCUCUGGCCUUUGCCCCCUUUGGGAUACCCCCGAAGAUUCGAACCACAUAUUCUUCUCCUGCGUGUCUGCUCAGUUCGUGUGGGAGCUGCUUUAGAGAGGCGGUUGGUGGGGAUUGGUGCCACUCCAACUUCCCCGACCUCUUCGCCGAACUACAGGCCUCCCCGCUGUCCUCUCGCCACAUUAGGUGGCUUGAGAUUGGGGUCCUCGCGUGGACGCUCUGGACGAUUCGCAAUAAGCUUGUGAUUCAGCGCUCCCCUCUUCGACGAUCUACUGACGCCCUCUUCAAACUGUCUGGUUACUUGCAGCUCUGGCGGCCGCUUAGCCGUCCUCGGGACUGGGACGCCAUCUCCGCCUUCAUCGCCGACCUCCGCUUGAUGACCGUCCGCCUGUCACCACCCCCACCGCCGCCUCCACCAGAGCCUGAUUAGUCGUCUAUUGCUCUCCGACCUUGGCCCCGGCUGAGCCUUGUCUCUUAUUUCGUGUGUGUUUUGGGCUUGUUGAGCUGUGCCCUCAGCAGUACCUCUGGAUUUAUUAUUGUGAGACUUGGGCGUGUGUGUGUUCUGAACUAGUCCUUGUAUGUGCUCUUGGCGGUUUGCUUUAUUUAUAAAGCGGGGCGAAAGCCUUUUUCGGUAUCUGUGCAGGGAGUAAAUAUGUGUGUUCCUAGAUAUAAGUCUUUUUAGAGAUUUCAAAUAAACUACAACACACUGAUGUAUAUAAACAUAUUUUACAGUGUAAAUUCAUUCAUUUUGCUCCGCAUGUAGUCACUUGUUGAAAUCUCUAAAAAGACUUAUACUUGAGUACAGAGGGAGUAAUUAGCAACGAACUAGUUGGUUACAAAUCUAUAAGUGAAUCAGAAACCAUGCACCAGUGCAUACUUUCAGAUAGAAUUACGGGCCUGUCCCGUUUAAUGUUAGCAUGCGCAUCACCAGGCCACUCUGGGUCUGGCUGAAGCCCACUGCAUAGGGAAUUGCCAACCACCCUCUGGCACCUUUCUCAUCAGAACUGAUGGUGCGCAGAUCAAAAAUAAAUAAAAAUUGGUGGUGCGAGCAUUGAUACCUUCAAAAUACGUAAGAUACUAUCGAGAAGUAAGAUAAAUUUUACAACAAAAUUCUGGACUCUACAGAACAUUUGACAGAGCAUAUUUAUUUGGCAAAGAGAAUAAUUAAGUCGGCUACCAAUUUCAAGCAACCAGCACCAUCUAAAUAUGUGGUGGAUGGAUCGGAAAUGCAACCACCAUCCUAUCCUUGUGUAUAAGAACACUGGGUCUUGCCUUAGCUCAAUAUAUUGGCUCUGCAUACGCUUGUUGUGUGCCUAUCAUUUCACCUACUUAUUGUAGCCUGGCGGCAUAGUUCCAUCCAUAGGCGAGACUCUAAAUAAUGAGAGAAAUCCUAUUUACAAAAAGUUUGAUAGGUGUAAUGCUGCUUGGAUUAAGAGGCAUCCGGGAACAAUCAGCUGCCGCAAGUCAAAGACCUGCCAGCUUGUCAUGGAAUUCUUGGGCUAGUAUUUUUCGUAUGGCUCACAGCCAUUCUUGUAUUUACAUGUGGAAGGCCGGUCAAAGUACUAUUAUAUUCAUUGCAUGGAGAAUAAUCAAUGACGUGGAUGGUAUUUGGCGAGAGGAUUCCAACGAUGGCUAUGCUCAGCAUUGGGUGUCGAGCGUAUGAGUAUGGAAACACAGGUUGAUCGGACAAAUAGGGUUGAUUGUUCUUGUAAGGUUGGGGUUCACAUUGUCGUUAAGAGCAUCACUUGCUACCAUCAGGAUAGAUCUGUCCUCUUCCUCGCCUUCCCUCUACAUAUAUGGCUUCUUUUAAGAAAUGAGCAUCUUUCUUGUAGCAGAAUCAGGGGAAAGAAUGAACAAGAUAAUUUUACUACAUUUCUUAAUGGAACAGUGCCUGCAUGGGACAGUUCUUCGCCGAAAAGCUAACUCCACCUGACACUUUCAUACCCUUUCUUUGGGUGCUAUCCAUCCCCUAUUGGGGGCCUCCCAACGAGAGAACAUGUUCGCUCGGCCUACGUUGCCUCCAUAACCUAUCAGGCCAAAUCCCUCCUCCCUCCCUAAAUGAUCCCACCAAUCAAUCAUGCGCGCACACAGACACACUCCUCGAGCUAACAACAACAAUGGAAUAAACUGGCAUGAGAGGCUCACACCAUUUCCUCUUCAUCAUCUUCGUCUUCUAAGCGGCAUUCAGGCCCCAAAGUCGUGCCCGUAUGUUACGUGGGGAAUUUAUUGUGGAAGGCACAAGGCAACAUGAGCAGGUUAGGCUGAGGAUAGUUCGAUAUCCUGAAGGAUGCAUCUAUUUUGGUAGUCUCCAGAUUGUGUUAAGGUAGUGUUUGAGUCAGAUUCCAAUUAGAGUCCCAAGUAUGUCAAAGUAGUACCAUUCGUGUCCUACAUAAAGGACCUACGCGUGUAAGCUUAGAGGCAAACAAUAAUCAGUAAAGUCUCAUUUCCCCAAUCUCUGUUAGGUAUCCCUAAUCUUUGCUACUGCGUGAGUGCCGGCGCUGCCCCCCGACAACCCGUUGGCCCCCAAGCACCUCCAGGCCACCGACUGUUGCUGGAGCCGGUCAGCCAUUUGUCGGCUCCAGUUGGUCCCUGGCUGGUUGAUCUGUUGGGCUUGAUUUGCAUAUGCAUGCACUCCAACUGAGGUAGCUGCAAGCACUCCUCAGUCUAGACGACCCCUUGCUUGCCGAGCGUGAACAAUGGUGUAUGCUCCUGGCAACUGAAGAACUCUUUCGUUCUUGAAAGGCAAAUGAAGAACUCUUGUCUUACUGCGAGGAUCCAUCGGCUGUACCGUACUCGUGAGGACAAUACAAGAAAAACAGAGAAUCAGAUGUUCUUGAGUACUGUCACAGUCAACAAUGUGCACACCAUCGUCAACUAUUCGGUUGCUUAAGCUCUCUAUUCCUUCCAUAGAAAUCCAAACAGAAGUGUUAUUCUUACGUAUACCUUAAAAAAAACUUUUACAUACUGGGAGAGGGAUGGUAACCACCCCGAGCUAAACAUGGGAAUAACAGUCUUUCCAUUGCGCUAGUGCGUAGAAGUAAUAUUUUUGAAGAUCUGUUUCGUAAGAAUCACAUUGCUCAAAUCCAAAACAGCCCCCGCACAUCCACCUACUGUCCAGCUCAAAUGAACAUCUGAACUGCUACCACUCGUAUAUCACAACGGAAAAUAGAGCAAAUAAUAAAUAAAUUCUAAAGCUCCUAGUUGUAAGACCUAAUUAAGAAGAUACAUCCUAUGUUUGGAAGGCAGCAGGCAACUUUUGGCUUCUUCACGUGGCACUGAAUCAAGAAAGCCAUAGUGUAGCACGACAAACACAAGCAGAGAGAACUCUGGUCAGAAUUGAUAGGAAUUAUCACACAUACAAGCAACCGGGGCUGUAGUGAUUCACUUGCUAGGAUCAUCAACUUUCAAGCACCGUCUGGCUGUAGCACUCGGUCCGUCAGUCUGACACCGCCAGACAGGUUGAGCGGUCAUGCUGAAGAGAUCACCAAGGUCGACUAUGCUCUCUAGCGGGUCAAUAGCUCCUGUGCGACGUUUUUCAUGCGAAUCGAAAAGUGUGCGACGUUGUUGGAAUGAAUGGCUGUGAUGCGAUGUUUUAGAAGCAAACAAUAGCUCCAAUGCGACAUCGCUCUGUUUAACCAUGAAAUGAAAAACACGAGGGGUUAGCGAUUCGAGUUAUGACACGCGGGCCCUAGCAGUUACUCGCAUGCGGUUGGGACCCACAACUUAUCCACGCAAGCAUGCCCGUGCUCAUCAGCAUGCCCCGACCCAAGCUAGCCACGAGCCCGAGCCNNNNNNNNNNNNNNNNNNNNNNNNNNNNNNNNNNNNNNNNNNNNNNNNNNNNNNNNNNNNNNNNNNNNNNNNNNNNNNNNNNNNNNNNNNNNNNNNNNNNNNNNNNNNNNNNNNNNNNNNNNNNNNNNNNNNNNNNNNNNNNNNNNNNNNNNNNNNNNNNNNNNNNNNNNNNNNNNNNNNNNNNNNNNNNNNNNNNNNNNNNNNNNNNNNNNNNNNNNUCCCGCCAAUCAUGGACGCAGUACGGUCCACUGCCGUUGACAAGAUGCCCCGAUUGCCCGCGCAUGGAGCCUCUGAAGCGUUUGACUUGUGUGAGGGAAGAAAAUGGCAACCGUGGGCGCGAGUUUGUGAAAUGCUUGAGCAAGCCACAGCCGGGGCAGGUUAGAUCUGUGUUCUUGACCAAUCCUAUGGUCUAAUUUCUCCCGAUUUCUUUCUUUUUUUCCUCAAAUUAGGGCGGUGGAUCUGGGUGGUGGAUCUAGGAUUCAUGCGCCGCCGGCCCCUUGUUUUUCAGGUUCUGAAGAAAUGUGGGCAUUUUGAGUGGCUCGAUGACUAUGUUGAAAGGUUGAAAUUGGAGGGAUCAACCGGAACCCAAGAGCUCAAUUUUGGGGGGCGGCUUGCCGUGGAACAAGCCCCCAAGUUGGCGGACAGAGCCGAUCCGAUGAUGCACAGUGCAGAACUGAAGUGUGAAUUGAAGAAAAUUGGCAAGCAACUAAAGCAUCUGAUGAUUUGAAGCAGCAAGCAAAUAUGAUGGCUGGAGCAUUUUAUGGUUGUGUCAUUGCUAUGGGUUUAUUUUAGUUGAUGUUCAUCAAUCGCUAGAAUUUGUUAGAGUUUCAGUUAGUGUGUCAACUAGUUUCAGGGGUGCCCAGUAGUUUGAGUUAGCCAGGGAUCAUUUACUAAAUGAAUUUGAAUAAGUCUGAAGCAAAACUUGCUUGAAUUAUUGUAAUGAUAUUCUCAGGGGCCCUAUUCAGUGUUCAUGCUCUGUUUCCUCUGUUUUUGUUCUUCAGUUAACAGAGUACACACCCAAAUUCAGUUUUUAGUAAAAAACAAAACUGCGCUGCCGAAUAGAUGUUGGGCCGUGAGAAAAUGGGCCCUGAGAAAAUAACCAUGGCCAAGACCAGCCCACCCGCGUAGGGGCACCAGCCCACCUCUAACUUCGGCAAAUAAAAUUGGGCCCAAUAAAAUGUUACUUGUUUUUAUUUUGGCCUUUUCCUUGCACUAAAUUUUGUGAUGGAUCAUUUUUUGAUGCACUAAAACUAAAUGUUAAUUGUUUUUAUGCAUGUCUACGGUUCCAUGAACUAAAUGAGUUGAUGCUUGCAUGAAGUGCCCGAAGUAAAUUAGUUUGCAUUUCCUAGUUGCACCCAUGUCCAUAGUGGGUUUGCAUGGGGCUCCUAGUUGCAUGUCCAUGGUUUGGCCAAUAUUUUGAAGAUGGUGUGUGUGGUGAUUGGGGUGUAGAAACCCGGACCCGUAGCAACCCAUAGCAAUACACGAAUAAUAAGCAAAAACAACCCAUAGCAAUCCACAAAUAAUAGCACGAAACACACAAUAUAUAUAGUAGCAUAACGAUUAUAUAGAAGCAUAACGAUUGCAACCCAUAGUUCCACGAUAGCCUUACAACUCCAUGAUAGCCUUACAACUUAAAGUACUAAUAAAACUUAAUAAUAGUAGCAUAACGAUUACAACUUAAAAAAACUAAUACGACAGAUCUAUAGCAAGCUAGAUAGAUAGAUAGGGGGGCACCAAACGCGGGUUCUUCGGGUUCUUCUUGUCCUCCUCCUCCGGGGCCACCUCGCUCCUCCGGGCGCCGCCCUUCACUCCUCCCCGUUGUUGAUGGGGUACGGGAGCGUGUGCAUAACGCCGUUGUUGGGGAAGAUGCCGUUGAAGUCGGUGAAGAUAUUGUAGGUUGUGAAAGCUAUGAACUCACAACCAACCCAAUACGCUCGCCCGAGGAGAUGGAAAGCAUCGAAAGGGUUAGUGAACGUGGCGAGGAGCCCAACCACAACGCCGUUGUGGUUGACCUCCUCAAGAUGGUACAUCCGAGGAGAGCCGCGGGGCAGGUGGCGGAAGCCGGCCGCAAGGAGGAACUCCGUUAACUCCCUUGCGCCCCUCCACCUCGAGAUCGGCCAAACCCUAAGGGUUCUCUCUACAUACACUCCGGCCGGGUAGAGCCUUUCCGGCAUGGUUGGGGGGAAGCGGUAGGUGGGGCCGUUGUACUGCAUGGUGGCGGGGUGGCUCGAGGGCUUGAUCGGGUUUGAUGGAGAAGAAGGAAGAAGGAGGGAAGAGGAGGCAGAGGAUGGGGUGUGGAUGAGGAGGGAGAGGAAGACGAUAGUGCGGCUUAAAUAGCCCAAGUGCGACGUGGUUCCACCCCGUAGAAUUAAUGGGCGGGCGGCGUUUGGUGGCGCCCCAUGAAAGUGUGUACACGAGCGUGGGAAACGGGCUGCGAUCCUUCUGUGCCACCGGUCGCGGGUCAAGGGGGACGGGCUCACGCACGCGUCUGUGCCGUCGUGGGUCAAGGGGACAUGCCUGCCCAGGUUCUCUGCGUGUGCCGCCCGUGCAUUCAUGUCGUAGCCCAUUUUUUGCGCAUCUUGCUAGGGCCUGGCUAGAGGGCAAUGUUCGGUCGAUGGGAGACGUGACAAUAAUGGACGCCUUCAUUUGCCCAUCUUGUAACGGGCAGCACGCCGUUUGAACUACGUCGAUACCCACAUCGAUACCCCAUGCCAGUAUUGCGUCCUCAAAGAGGAGCACGCCAUGUACAGCACGCCAUGCAGCGUUGGCUUUUUGGUUGUCUUCAUCGGGCUGCUGCAUUGUGGCCGGGUGCAUGCUUUGAUGCGACGAUGCAUCGGUUCUAAUGGUAGGCAUGCGACAGGUUACUGCGUCGAUAGGGGUGGCGGAGCAGGGCUACGUCGAGGGCAUGCAUGCAACGCACGGGCGCAGUUCUGCGGGUGGGCAUGCAUGCUGUGGGUAGGCACGGGCACGCAUGCAACGAUGGAAAGGGCACUGCGUAGGCUUGGUCCAUGCACCGCGUCAACUCUUGCCGUUGGAUUCAAAUGAACGGUCCUGAUGCCCCAACGAGAGAGGCUGAUCCAAACCCCACUGAUUCAACCAAUCAGCGCGUCUCAUGCGGAUCGAUGCACACUGAUUCAACCAAUCAGCGCGUCUCAUGCGGAUUGAUGCACACUGUAGCUAACCCUAGCACCUGAUCUCAACCGUCCACGCACAACGAUCGACGACCCGGUAGUGUGCGGGGUUUUGAGGGGUUUUGAGAGGGGUUUUGAGGGGUUUUGACUGAUUAGGGUUCAGCAUAACUAAUUCAAAAAAAAUAAAAAAAAUAUAAAACUUGCGCACAUAGUCUUAUUAUGUCGUACAGUAAUGAGAAAAAAAUAUAAAUAUGGUUUACAUACAUUUUUACGAAAAAUCCUUCACAAAAUUGUCAUUCCUCGAACAAUGUAGUAUGGAGUUCAAGGGAGAGAGUAGUGGGCACCCGAGAGUAGGUGGGGUUUUGAAAAUGAAAAGUAUGAAAACCUCACCAAAACUUCAUUUUGGAUUGACUAAGAAAGAUCUUAACUUACUUUUCUCAUUUUCAUGUUUUAAACUUGUUUUAUAUAUAAUUUGCUAUUAAACCUUGUUUUUUCAAAAAAAAAGAAAAUAAUAGAAAAUUAAUUCAAUAAAUAGUGAGACUUUAGAUUUACACUAUAUAGGUAGAAUAGAUGUGUAGAAAAAUUAUUUGGCUGGUUUAGACAAGGUGCCAAAAAAACUUGCUUAAAUAUGAGGCCGUUUAUCCUACCUUUGGAGGUCAUUUGAGACACACUUUUCAUGACUAUGAGUUCAACUUACCAAAAGGGCUCGGAAUGAUCAGCAAGCAAACAUAUUUCAGUUGAGGUACUUUAGAUAGCAUUAAAACAUCAAUACCCCAUCCCUAAUUCAAAUUUGAGCCCAAAUUUGAAUUUAAAUUUGAAUUUUAUUUGGCUGGUUUAGAAAAGGUACCAACAAACAAGUUCGAAUAGAAAUAUGGGGAUACAUAGUGACUACCAGUAUGCACCAAGUUACAAAUAUUAUUACAUGCCCCAAAUUUUCAAACUGUUCUCUGUUCUACCUCUUCCUACCACGUCGCGUGCCCUUCUUCGCCUUAACACUUCUUGUUUUUGGUUCUACUACACACACAAGUUCACUGAUCAUCUUGGUUUUCUUCACUGGUCUUUUCAACACCUCGCCAACACCCUCGUGAUCAGUGUCUUCAGUCUCAAUGUUGACAUCAGUUUCAGUUUCUUCGGUGUGUACCUCAACAUGGGUUUCUUCAGUCUGAACCUCGACACGCUCAGGUUCAGUUUCAACCUCGAGAGCAGUUUCUUCAGUCUGAAUGUUGACUGCAGCAAGAUUUUCUUCAGUCUGCUCAGGCUCAGGCACACUUCUCUUCUUUCUACCGCCAUUGACUCUUGCUUUUUUUGUUGGCCAACACUGUUCAACAACAAGGGGCUGACUUGCUCGCUUCCUCCUGGCCAUUGGGAAAAUGUUAUAGAUAUAGUAAUUGGAAAAAAGCACCAAAUCAAAACACACAAAAAUACACAAGAACAUACUUUGGCUUAUCAAGAGUGUAACGGCAUUUGACAGAUCCCACUCUGUGCCCAAGUUCCUGGCACAACUUGCAUAUGUUUUUGUUACCAUUUUGGGCCUUUUUUGGCUUUCCAUCUUCCUUUCCCUUCUUACUACUCCCACCUUUCUCAAAUCAUGCCUUGAAUCUACUCUGUUUAGGCCUGCCGGCCUUUCUUUUCGUCAAGGGAGGACACAUGGAAAAUUCAAUGUCCACUUCAGGCCACUGAGACUGAUCUGUAAGUGCUGGAAUUGGAGUAGCAUAUGCAGCUUUGAAUCUUACUACCGAAUAAUAUUCUUGCAAAUAUGGGUGCAUGUUUAUCUUCGGUUGGGAUGCUAAGAAGAGAAUGGCAUGCUCACAUGGUUUAGCAGUGUGUUGCCACUUGAGGCAAGUGCAAUCAUGCAAUUCAGUGUUAACAACAUGUCUCCUUCCAGUUUUGUUAUCUCUAACUUCAGCACCCCAAGGUGAAGAUUUUUCAACAAACAAAUGUGAAAGACAUCUGCUCCUAUUGACCACCUGUUGUACCACUGUUGGAAGCUUAUCACCUUGCAGACAAUCACCUAUCCUUCUUCUCAAUUCCCACAACCGCAUGAGCAUGAUCCUGAUUUGGUCAACCAUGUCAUGCACAGGCAAAUCUUUUAACUCCUUCACCUUGUUAGUGAAACUCUCUGCCAAAUUGUUGUUGAUGUGGUCACACUUGAUGGCAGUGUUGAAUGCUGACCUGUACCAUAACAAAGAAUGGUAGGUGUUUAGCCAUGGACCAGACUCAUCACAUGCUGCCAUUAUCUUAUCAAGAUGAUAUUUGUGUGUCUGUCUAGUGUAAGAUCUUGCUGCUGGCCACAUGCGCCCAAAUUCUUCUCCUCUAAUUUUUUUGAUCAAAUUCAUCCACAAAUGACCGAAGCACUCCCUCUGCUCAGCAUGUGGGAAAACAUUUUCACUGAAUUUUCAAGCCCCUUACAUGCAUCUGUGUGUAUAGCCAAAGGUGACACUGGCCCUAGGCAUCUUUUCAACUGGAGCAUGAACCAUGUCCAUGAAGCCUCUGUUUCUGACUGAAACAAGCCAAUAGCAAUAGGAAACAUCCAGUUGUGUCCAUCUAGAGCAUUUCAUGCUGCCAACUGACCAUUCCACUUGCCUAUCAAAAAUGAUGAGUCUAUGCUCAAAUAUGGACGGCACCCCUGCUUUGAACCCAUCGAUGCAAGGCUUCAAAGCCAUAAAAAACUUGGAGAACUUGACUUCACCUUCGGCUGAUACCUCUGUAUCCAUCUCCACAACACUGCUAGGUGACCUCUUUUCCACCUCUGCUUUGAAGUUGUAAAGCAUCCAAAAUAUAUUUGCCCAAUCACCAUAUAAAUUUUUCAUUGCCCUUUGUUUUGCCUUCCACACUGUGGUAUAUUUCAGUUUAAUGGGGUACAUCUUUUCCAAGUCUACUUUAAGUUUCUUGGCAGUAGUGUUUGGUGUUUUGGCUAAAAUUGGGGUGAUCUUUUCUGCAACCCAAAGUUGUGAUGUCAUGGUUGAUACUCUCUGUGAACUUGUAAUACAAGUAUGUUGAUUGGGGAUUUGGUUAACCCUGACAGUACUUCCAUCAGGUUGCAGCCUAGCAGAUAUGUACCACUUGCAAGGCUUCACACUACCAUCAAAUCCUCUGCACCUCGCAUAAAACUUCUUUCUAUCAGUCCAAACAGUCUUGGCAUCAAACUCAUGUUUCACUGCAUAAGUCUUGAAACACAUCCUAAACUCCUUCAUGCUUGGGAACAACUUGCCUACUUCAAUGACAGGGUUUUCUUUGUCAUAUACAUGCACCAGCUCAUCAUCAUGUGCAUCAUCUACUUCAUCCGCAGCUUGUUCCAUCAACUGUCCAUCUACUUCUUCAUCAGCAUUAGCAGGCAAACUAGAUUCGCCCCUCUCCUGCUUAUCUCUGUCAUCGACUGGAAUGCCAAAAAGUUUGGCCAUCUCAAUGUCAGGUAUUGGUGCAAUGAUCAAAUCAGUAGGCUCAUCUAAUUCAACUACAUUCCAAUCAACAGUUGCUGCAGUUUCAGUUUCAGUUCCAGUCACCUGUCCCUCUUCGGCUAUUACUGUAAGUUCAGUACACAUGGGAAUCAAUGGCCUCUGUGUAGCCCAAUCAUCAUCUACCAUCUGCGCAGCCAAUUGUGAUGGCACAUAUCCAACCUUCGAAAAAAUGUUCAGAUCAACGAGCUCAGCAAAAAAAUUAGCCCGUUUGCUUGUCCAGCCGUUUUGCCGAUCGAUUUCUUCAACAAUCUGUUCACCAUCUUCUAUUCUCACAUACUCUCCUUUCCAACCAUCAAACCGCAACAGUGAUACUUCUUGCUCUGGACCCCAAACUAUAUUCUCCCCAAUUUUUUCCACCCAUUUCUUCACUGCCGUCUCUCCCAUGUUCUGUAGAACUUGUGGAUCAUUCUCUGUAAACUCAACCUCCCAUUUAACAAUUGUGUCUCUCUCAAUGUUCUGUAUGCUACCAUCAACUAAUUUUGCCUUUGAUGGAAAGAAAUUGACUAUCAAUUCGAAGGUCCGAGCGGCAGCAUCCCCUCUGUCAGUGGCGGACAGUGUGAGCCCGUGAGAAAGAGCAGACGAGGCCACCCCCUAAUUGCAUGCAAAAUUGGAUCGGAGAGAGGCGCAUUACCUAUUCGAAGUUGAAUCUGGCAGCUCCAUCUCAGUAUGCCCAGAACCUAUCGAUUCCGCAAGCGAAAACAGAGGAAACGAGCUGAGAUCUACGGGCCCGAGAGAGGAACGGGAGGGCGACUAGGGUUUGAAUUCACUCACCAUUUUCUUAUGAUGAAGGCUCCGCUGCCGUUGAGAACGAGGGCUCCGCCGCCGCCACCGAGAACGCAAGAUCCGCCGCCACCGGAGAAGAAGGGGGGCAGAGUGGCGGGCCGGCACGGUCGGGCGGCAGGGCACGGUCAGCUGUUUUGAGGAACAAUUAAGUUGGACCCACAUGUCCUAACAUAAACGGGCGGGCUUGGUUGACGACCAAUUUAACCACAUUUAACACCCCAUGUGGCUCUGGGCUAUUUACACGCUCAAAUGUGUCGCACCACAGCCAUUCGCUCGAACAACGUCGCACUCUUGCCAAUUCACCUCAAAAACGUCGCACAGGAGCUAUUGACCCGCUCUCUAGCACACCGCAAGAUCAAAUCGAGCAAAACCAUAAACAUCUCGUCUCAACACAUCUCCAGCAUGCCGUUAGAUCAUAUUGACAAGCAGUAUUAUUGUACUCCAACCAUAGAUUUAAAUCGCGGGUGAACGGAAAUAGCGGAAGGAAAAUUUGCUGCGAUAAUUAAUGAAGAAAACACGAUCUCCGGCGAUUGCGGCGCGAUCUCCUGCGAUUCUGAGAAGGAAACUAAUCGCGAGGCUGAUUUCAUGCAGCGAUAGCGCCGCGAUAGCGGUCUUUUCGCCCGCGAUUUGAAACUAUGACUCCAACGCAAACCUGGUCUUUUCUUCCAGGAACUUGAGGCUGGGGCUGCCAUAAUAGUAUGUCUUGUGUGUUUUAAUACUGUACUGUCACCUCGAGACUACCGAAAAUAUUCAAGUGAUGGUUGACCAAAGUGCAAGCAGUGAGAACUCAAAACACAGGCGAGUGUCACAAGAUGGGUUGAAACACAUACCGUAGGUAGCUUAAGGUCGGCCCAAUGCAGCAGUGACAACACUAGUGCUGUCUAUCUGCUGACAACUAAAAAUGUGUAGAUUAGCAACAGUAGAACUGUCAGGUACAGAUUUAGAGUUACCCAUAAACCUAUUUUUUUAGAGAAAAGGCAUCGGCCGAGCCCGAGAGAGGGCUCGAACCUAGCCCGGCUUUGAAUUAACAAAGCCAUCAACAUGCCAAGAUUACAAGGAACCACAUUACAAAGAAAAGGAAACAAGCGGAGCAGAGAUACAUAGUGCUAAGCGGAACGGCUCAAAGGCGACGCGAGAGGGAGAGGAGAGGGAGGGGGAGUUCGCCCCCGAGUCGCCUCAGGGGAGGCGACGCGAGGGGACGGGGAGGGGGAGCCUCUUUCGCUUUCGCCUCUUCCUGUGUUACCCAUAAACCUUACUGUAGCAUGCGCACAAUCAGGGCAUCGUAAGAGGUUACUGAAAGUGCAUCUAGUCGAAGCCCAGUGCAUAAAGGAUUACCAAAUAGUUUUAGCUCGCCGUACAGCAGCCAUCAGUCCAGCACUUCUCCCUUAUUCCUCUGCUUUUUCAGAAGUUGACCCCGGCUCUUCUUCCUCUCCUGAGUGUUCAGAAAUUGAACCCGGCUCAGCAUAGGACCAAGAAUUGUUUCUUAAUGGCCCUCCUGAAUCAAUAACCUCUAAACAGCUAAAUUUGCAACGAACUGGCUCAGCGGCAGUGCAAUAAAUUUCUCACUGGUUUUCUGAACAAAUGUACUAGUUGUAAACACGACUAGUUUACUGGAUGUUGAGAAUUUGUAACUCUUGUCCUUCUGGUGCACCAAUAUCCGUUUUCAAACUUUUACUGGAUGUGGGGUCAAAAUCCUUUGUUUUGAAAACGGUACCAUCUAGAUAUGUGGUGGAUGGAUAGCGAAUGCAACCACCAUCCUUUCCUUAUUUAAGAGCACUGGAUUUGCCUUAGCUCAAUAUAUUCGCUUGGCAUGCCCUAUCAUUUCACCUACUUACUGUCGCUUGCCUCCAUAGUUGCACUCAAAGACAAGACUCUAAAUAAUGAGAGAAAUCGUAUUUACAAGAAGUUUGUAGGUGAAAUGUUGCUUGGACUAAGAGGCAUCCGGGAACAUUCACCUUCCAUAAGUCCAUGUCCUAUCACAUUUUCAACUUCUUGGGCAACUAUUUUCCGUAGGUCUCACAACCAUUUUGGUAUUCAACUGUGGAAGGCUGGUCGAAGUAGUAGUACAUCCACGGCAUGGAGAAUAAGGGGUGACCUGAAUGGCAUUUGGCGAGUGGACUCCAACAACGGCUAUGUUCCGCGGUGAGUGUGGAGCGUAUGAGUUGGGAAACACAGGUCGGUUGGCCGAGUAGGGCUGAUUGUUCGUCCUGCAUCAAGCUUGAGUCGGUCGGCCGAGUAGGUCACACACGCGACGCUCGCCACAUCACCCUACGCACGCGCACGCAGCUUAUAUCGGCAAUGGCACGAACCGGCGCGAGAGGCCGGCAACACCACAUCCUCCCCGCCCCCUUCGCUGUCUGCGCGACAUGAGCGUGCGCGGCUCCGGAGUCGUGACCGUACCUGCUGCUGGAGCCGCUCACCCAUUCCUGAUUCGUCAGGCUCCAGUUGGUCGCUGGUUGGUUGGUGGGUUGUGCUGGAUUUGCAUGCACUCCAACUCCUCGUUCUGGACGACCGCUUAAUUAUUUGGCCUGAGCAUUGGCGUGGCUCCUGGCAAAUGAAUAAUACCGGUCUUACUGCAAGAAGAAGAAGCUCACCGAGUUGAACCACCGGCUGUACCGAACUCAUGAGGUCUAUAUACAAUAAAAACAUAGAAUCUUCUAUGCUCUUGAGUAUCGUGGCAGUCAACAAUGUGCACACCAAAUUCAACUAGUAGAAUGGUUGGAAAAAAUUACACGUUUGAUCCCUCAACUUACUGGCACCUAACACGUCUACCUUUGUACCUGAAAAACAGCGUUUGGUCCCUCUACAUGAAAAUUGUAACAUCUACAGUCCCUCAUACAGUCCAUGGUAUGCUGGAGCACUGUCGUGCACCCGCAUGGCCACGAUUUUUUGUGGAUAAGCCCCUCGGCUUUAUCGGAAUAAACCUACGCCCCGAUGCAGACAGGUGGAACCAACGUGUGUUAUGGGUUUAUUCCGGGAUAGUUGAGUGGCUUAUCCACAAUAAGGGCGAGGCCACGUGGCUGCACGGCAUCGGUCCAACAUACAAGAGACCGUUGACGUUACAUAUUUUAAUGUAUAGAGACCCAAUUUUAGUGUUUUAUAUGUUAAGGGCAAACACCUAAUGCGCCAGCAAGUUGAGGCACCAAACAUGUUAUUUUCUCAGUCGGUUAAGCUCUCUGUUCCUCCCAUAGAAAUCCAAAACAGUCCGCGCACAUUCACCUUGAGUCUAGCUCAAAUGCACAUCUGAACUGCUAUUAUAACACUACGGGGAACAGAGCAAAUAAAUAAAUAAACAGCCAAAGCUCCUAGUUAUAAGAAUUCUUGUGAUGCUACUGGUGCACCCGGCGCCCAAAGGUCACUCCGCAAGUGUUUAGAAAAUCUAAAAAUAAUUUAGGAUAUACACAUAACAUAUAUCUACCGUGUAACAAAAUAUCAUAAUUAAAUUUGAAUCACAAUUUCUAGAGCUGUAGGUCUCAUUUGUAUCUCGAAUUUUGUGACAUAGUAGAUGUAUGUUAUGUUUAUGUCCUAAUUUAUUUCUGAAUUUUUUGAAACACAUAUAGAAUGUGAGAGCACAGCAAGAGGGAUUACCCACACGGACCAAUCAUGCCCUUGUAGCUGCGUCACCGGCCGUCGUCCACCGCAUUAGACCAGAUUCAAGGCUACCAAAGCCGCCAUCAACACAGAUCACUCUGCCGCCACACCACAACAAUCGCGCCGCCCCAUCACCAAUAAGAGGACUCCGAGCAAAGCCACCAUGCCGGGUCCUAGCCGCCCUGCCAGAUACGACCCGGAUACGCGCCGCCUCCACGAUCCCAUCACCCAAGUAGCCACGAUCACCGAGGGCAAGACUGCAGUUGUCAGCCCAGGCCACCCAUCAUGUAAAUGUGGUCGCCAGCCGCCGUCCUAGGCACACAGAGUCGAUCCACCUCCACCAAACAAAGAACGACCACUGAUGCCGACUCAUGGUGCCCACAUCCCGCGCCACCCGCUUCCCCUACAGCCAAAUCUGGCCGCAACAAGAUCUAACUCCACAGUCGCAGAUGACACACCCACCAGGAAACAUCAUGCAGCAGCUGCAGAUCCACCUGCCGCCAUGCCCCACAGCAAGAUCUGAUGCCCUAUCGGCAGCUGCAUUUCGUGUCGCCGCCACUAUGGGAGGAGAGCCCCUUGCUGUCCACACCAGCCGGGUUUCGCACGGUGGCGUUCCUAGGUGACGCCAUGGGGGAUAUGAAGCUGGCAGGGAAGGGAUGCAAAGGAGGGUGAGUCCCGCCCUGCCGCCACACGGUGGCGGCGCCGACGAGCAGAAUGGGAUCAAGGUCGCGAGUCUGUUUCUGUUUCAGACCCCUUCAAAGUUUGUUUCUUCUUUGAUCUUGUUUUACAUUGAUAGUUACUUGUAACUAGCACUAGGCGUUUCUUUAACAUAUACCACGCCGUAUGACAACCAUGCACUAAGAAUUUGCUUAUUCAUUUACUCAUUUGAUUAGCUUCGAUUCACCCUUUAACCUAUCACAUGUCAUACAAUAUAGCUCUUCUGUUCCACCAGUUGUAGGGAGCAAGAGACAAUUGAAUUGAAGCACAUGGAUGUGCGAUUCAGACUCUUGGUUAAAUAAGGUAUCAUCGUAAUAUGUAAAUAUGAUCAUGCUUCAUUGAAAAUAACAUCAUAUGAUGUAACUCCAUCAUGGGGCUUGAACCCACGUCCACAAGGUUAAGAGCUUUGUGCUUUACCAACUGAGCAGUGGACCCUUGAAUAUAAUGGAUUAAAACUUGUGUACCUUGAAUUAUCGAUAGGAGCAAAUGGUAGCCCCCAAGGGCCGGCUCAUUAUGAUGUGAUGAGUCGGGUCUUCAAUAAGGCCAAUAAAAAUGACUUUGCAUUAGCCCCCAAGUGUCAUGGUGCAUGCUUGCAGCGACAUGAGACUUGCAGAUAUAAUCUCGACUUGAAUAAUGUAGCCCCCAAGUGCCGGCUCGUAAGCCUGCAGCGACUCGGGACUAUUCCUUCAAUUGUAGAAUAAAUCAUAUCCAUUGAUAAUAUAAUAUCCAUUGCGCUAAAGCGACUUUGAAAACCUUAAUCAUAAUACUGGUUACUGAUAACCAUAAUAAAAUCCAGCCAUGUUGGCUAUUUGAAGAUUUGAAUAAUAUAAUCCAAUGAUUUAUGAGCGCAUGAUUCCAAUGGCGCAAUCCAAAUAUAUACUGGCGACUUAUAGUCGAAAGUCAGGCCGGGUUAAUAAACGCCGGUGAUUUAUAAUCAUGCUUUAUUCAACCUGUUUCUGCAUACAACAAGUUUAAAGUGUUCGGGCGGUUUACCGCCGGACGGUUCAUAAUGCCCAACAUAUAACCCGGGUUUAUAACCAAGGCUGCACUUAAGAAUAAUCAAAUAUGAAAUAUAUCAUACCUGUGACAUUGAAUCACAUCGUUGGUUUACCAAAUUUUUGUAGUAAGGGUGAUAACCCAAAUUUUGAGUACUGAUAACUCCUUCCAUAUUGUGCCGGUUUAUGAUAAAACUGUACCGGGUUAUGAUAAACACCGGGUUAUCCAUAUAUAAUACUGGCGACUUAUAGUCGAAACCAGACCGGGUUAAUAAACUCUGGAUUACAACUGAUCAAGUAUUGACAACUUUGUAGUUGAAAGCUGAACCGGGUUAAUGAACGUCGGUUUAUCAAAAACAUCAUAAAUCUCAUCAAAGGAGAAAAACUUGGCAAAUAAAAGCAUAUGAAAACUUGUAGUCGAGGCUUUUCACGGGCUGCUAGGCCCCAAAUUCGAGGCUUUUCAUGGGUUGCCAGGCCGCUGAGUUAAACCAUUUUACAAACCCUUUUAAGAUGGACAUCAAUCUUUAACCAAUCGUUGUUUUAACUUUGACAAGUUCAGGGUCUUAUGAGAUUGACUUGUCAAAGUUCGGCGGGUCAUACCAGGUUUACCUGGACGGAGUGACUUACUUAAAAAAGGCAGGCUAACCCGGGGUUUUUGGUGUAUACACCAGGCUUCCAAGCCGUGGCUUGAUAGCCUAUUACAAGUGUAGAUUCUUUGUUCAUUGCGAUAGCAAAGAAUCCCCAAGCAAUAUUUUGAGAUGUGCUCAGUGGGUGCCUAUGUUUGAGUUGUGCUUUUGCAACACUCUCUUUGGCCCCUAAGUAAUUUUCUUUUGGCCUUGAGCCGAUCAAGAUGUGUAGCCAUGGUUCAAAUACGACCAAGCCCCCAAGUGGUUUUCCUGGUGGCCUUGCACCGAUCAAGAGGUGUAGCUAUGGUUCAAAUACGACCAAGCCCCCAAGUGAUAUAUUUCUGAGCUGUGCUCGCCGGGUGCCUAUGUUUGAGUUGUGCUGUGCAACAAACUCUCUUUGGUCCCUAUAAUUUUUUUCUGAGAACUCGAACUUGCGAGAGAUAUUUCUUCUUGAACCGGAUGUUAAACCGGAUAUUAAGAGCUUCAAAGCUUUGUGGGAGACAUCUUUCCCUUGAACCUGAUUUUAAACCGGAAUCUUUAUUUUCAGCCGGAGAUUUUCUGACGGCCUUUAAACUCGAACUUGCGAGAAAUUAAUUCUUUUUGAAUCGGAAAUUCUUAAACCGGAUUUGAGAGCUUCAGAGCUUUGUGGGAGACAGAUUUCCCUUGAACCGAAUUGUAAACCGGAUAUUUGAGAGCUUCAGUGAGACUGACUUCCCUUGAGCCGGAUUUUAAGCCUGAAUCCUUUCUGAUGACCCGGAACUUCUUCAUUGAGCCGGGAUUUUGUAACUGUCAUAUACUUUCUAAACCGGAAAUUUUCUGACGGCCUUUAAAUUUUCAUCAAUAUAACAGUAGCCUCCGGGACCGGGUUAUCUUUCCCUCCAUCGUCCUGGGGUUUUUUAAUUUGCUGAAACUGGCAAGAUUUGCUGAGUCAUGUCAUCGUAGCCCCCGAGUCUCAAGGUGACUCGAGGAGUUGGCUUGAGAUUCUUCAUAUUUUGACCGUUAUAUAAACCGGCAUGAGUUGUAUAUCAUUGAUGUUGAUAGCACGAUGUGAAUCCACAGAAGAUUGAGGUGACUGCGGCAGUUUAUAAAUGAUCCCGUAUGAGCCGUGUCAGCAACUCGGCCAAUGGUUCCUUCCAACUGGUGAUUGAAGUUAACCAAACUGUAGUGGCGGCGACUUGCGCGCCUGCCCAUUGAGCCACCCAGUGCAGACGGCGGUUGAUAGUAUAUGAUAAUUUGCCUUCAUUUUGUUGAAAGAAAAACCGGGCUACCCGAGCAGUGACUGGCUUUAUACUCAAUAAACAGCUCAUGCAGACAGGUGCGGCCCGGUGUGUUGAUGUAGACCAGGCCGCGAGAGACGGACGACAAAGACGACCGCGGCUUUAGAGGCGGCACAGACAGAUGAGUCGGCCGCGGCGUUGUAAACUGGCGCGGGCGGGAGAAUCGGCCGCGGGGGCAGACAAUAAGUCAAUCGCAUGUGUUGAUGUAGCGGGGGUGGUAACCUGCUCAGGAUGAGCGCUAGUGCAAAAAUAAUAUUUGCUCACGCCCCUUUCGCAACACCUUUUUGUAAGGAAUAAUGAUUCUGUGAAAAAAUAUCAUAGACCAAGUAAUUGUUCUUUGAUAAAAACAAUAUGUGUUAAGAAAAAUAAUCUUUAGAUGAAUAUCACCUGAUUCGUUCAGAUGACGGAUGAUCCCUUCAAUCGCGACAGAGCCGGCUCGGACAGACCAGCAACUUAAAAUAGUCCCGGCGAUUCAGGCAGACCGGCAACUCCCGGCGGCUCAACACGUUAGAGGCGGCUUGCGGCCCCGACAGCUCUCACACCUCCAAGUUAAUAGCUCCACACACUUCAUGGCUGAUUUUCUUCUUAUAUAGCUUCGCCUGCAACCAAGUGAUUCUGUAGGGCUACUUUUGAGCGGAUGCAACAAUGGAUUUUUAAUAAUACCAACUUGUACUAGAUGGUCACGUGAGCAAAGAGUACUCAAUCAGUACUUGUCCGUGAAAUCUUUCAUGUGAACAGUGGCAGGAGUGUUUGAUGUAACUUGUUUCUCCCCCAUUGUUUUCCUUGUCUCCACUUGCAUGUGUAGCAGACUGAAUAACAACGACGUAGUGAUAAUGCAGUCCACAGCCUUAGGAUUGAUCCUGGUGCCGAUCAGGCACAGUUUUAACAGCGGCAAAGUUUGAAGCGCGGAGCAGGGUUGCUCGACUGCGGCUCGCAACAGUCACAGGCGACUCAAGACUGAAGCGAGACGCGGCAGGCGAUUUGUAGCUGAAGAUGAGGCAAGGCGUAGGCGCGAGAGGAGCCGAUGGCCAUGCAGGAUGGAGACAACUUGGCAGGGCUCGGAGCCCACUGGCGCGCGGGCGCAAAGACCAGCAGCGACAGCUGGCAGAGGCAAGGCAGGCCGGGCUGCGUGCAGUGGAUGCGGCCGGCUCACGGGCGUCGUAUAAAGGCGACGAGCCUGCGCCACGUCGGCAGGGCCGGCUUAGCAAUAACGCAAGUAAGCAACGGCGACUCACAUACAGGGGUGUUGAACGUGGUUCGGGCGCGCGGGCGAAGCCAACCAGGCACGGAUAGAGGCGGAUCUGGCUUGCAGCGAACGCAGGGCAGUGGCGCGCGGCAGCUCUAGCUUGUGUGGCUCGGCGAUCCGUGAGAAGGGCCUUUCAGAUACGAAUCCAACCCGGCGGCUGGUGUGGCCAUUGCGGUGGCUCGCACCACAUGGGAAGCGCGAGGGCGGUUCAACGCGGUCGGGCGAAGCUGGAGGGGCGGCCGAGGUCGCAACCGCUGCGGUGGAAGGAGCAAGGCAGCUCGAGGCGGCGGAGGAGCCCGGAGGCGGGCCGCGGUGUGGAGGACGGUGACGUCUUGGGAACCGCUAGAGCGCACGCGAUGCGGUGGAGGCAAGCCGGCCUGGCGCGAAGUCGGCCGUAGCAGAGGAGAGCGUCUGCAGGUGAAGAUCAACGGAGCAGCUUCGCUCAAGGAAGAGGCGAGACGAGCCAUAGUCGCCCGGAGUCCGUGACCUCAUCCCCUUCCAUCAUUGACUCCACGAGAUUGAUGGAAACGUCCAUGUAAAGGAGAUCUUUUCCUGGCUUGAGCAACGUAGCACUUGCUCUUUUUUUUCUUUUCUUCGCCGCCAGGCGACGAGGCAGGCGACCUGCGUACCACCGAUCUUUACCGGCGAGAUUGCUGGUCCUCUCUUCCUCCACCUGCUGCUUCGGCGGCGGGAGGGAGGGGAACCCCGUUCCUCCGCUCUGUAGUUAGGUUUUGGUUUUGUAUGUCGUGGUGCGUCGUUGGGGUGGUGGGUGCGGCGCCCGAUGAAUAAAUCUGCCUCAGCUCCACUCCCACACCGGCGGUGUCCUUCAUGGCGGCGUCUCAGAGUUGAUGGCAUCGUGUGUUUGCCGAUCCUUCAGAUCGGUGAAGUUAGGGUUCAUGGAUGGUGUCGGCGAGGCGGCGGUGGCGACUCCAUCAUGUGUGUCUCUCCUUCUGCUCUGUCCCUGUUGCUGCGGCGUUAUCUCCGACGUCAUGGUGGAGCAGGGAGAUUUUGUCAUCCGAGAGUACGCGCAGACGGUGGCCUGCGCAGUUGACAGCUGGAAGAUGGUGCAUCCUGUGCUGGGUGUGUGGUUGGAGGCUGACAGUUCUGGUUUUCUCCUCCGACGUUGUAGUCGUGCGGGGAUGUCAGGUCUGGAGUUUGAUGGCGUGUCCGGGGACACGUUGCCUCAGUCUGAUUCUUUCAACGGCAAUGGUUUUGUUUUUGGCAAACUACUUUGAAGGUCCGUAAAGCUGCAGAUCAGCGAUGGAGCCACGUCGAGCUCGGGUGAAGAGGUGAUAUGUGUUCUCUCUCUUGGUGGUCGCUUCGGUGGUGCCGAAGGAGAGGGACAGGCGCUGGUUUUUUGCAUAGGAUUAUCCUAUCCUUUCAGUACUGUAAUGUCGGUGUUUACGUGUCUUAUAACCGGAUCUUUAUUUUAUGAAUGAGAAACGUAUUACCUUGCAAAAAAAAUAAACCGUAUCAUUGGAAUUUUUCCUUUUGACUAUUUCAGUGACCGAUGCCUAUUGAUCUUGUCUGUACUCCGUGACAAAGAUAGACUGCACGGUGUUGUAGAAUUCGUCUCGGUACUGCUGUAACCUUCCGAGUCUGUAUCAUGAUAAUUUGGAUAUGGACGACCGCGCAGUCAAAUCCCGUCGAUCCGGCGGAUCAAAAACAGGCGUGGGCUGCUAUGAUUCUGGCUUCUGCGAUUUUUGCAAAUCACUUUAACCCGGUUGCGCUCCUGACGCAAUCCUUUUUUUAAUCUCAAUCUCGUAUAUGCUGCCGCUGAACACUUCCGCAAUCUUGAACGAUGAACUUGUAGUUAAUGUGAAUUCCUCCACGCCGGUUCUUGCUCAGCCAGAAAAUUACAAACUUCACAAUCCCUGUGAGAGAUUCCUUCAAGAACUCAACACCACCGUACGCAGGUUCCACGGUGGGCGUCAACUGUUGUGGAUUUGUCACGGCAGAUGUCCUAGUGUGAGGACUUAGUCGUGAGGUCAACGCAUCUAUGUGGUAGCUUGAGAGGGGUUGAUCGGAAUCGAGAGGCACAACGUAAGACAAGGGUUUAGACAGCUUCGGGCCCCGGGAAACAUCAUCCGAUAACAACCCUACAUGCUGUUUGUGGCUAGGUCUCAUUAUCAUCAUGAGGGAGUCGCCGCAUAAACCGGCUCUCCUCUUAGUUGUGUCUAGCUCCACAGAUUAUUUUCUUGCUUGUCCCUCUUUGGGGAGCCCUGCCCCUCCUUAUAUAAGUUAAAGGUGCGGGUUACAUGUGGAGUCCUAUUAGGAUUAUGACUAGUCUACUUUCUAAUACAAACCGGAUACAAGUCCGGGUCUUAACUCCUUGUAAGGUAAAUAUUCCUCACGCCUUUUCUCUUAAACCGGCCCAUCAUUAACAUAAACCGGCCUUCUGGGCCUUGGGCCUUAUCAUCCGUCUGUCCCGCCCGCUGGGUUACUAGUGAGCGGCCAAUCUCCGGGCAGCUUACAAAUGAAACGCCAAGUAUCAGCCGGGUCUCUGGUGAGUCGCCAAGUCCGGCCGGGUUAUACUUCCGGCCGGGUUACGCCGCGGGGUAUAUCCCCGACAGAUUCCGUAUCCGUAAAAAGAUUAUCGUUUAGGAGAAGUUUGAGCGAAAAAAAACAUCUCCAAUAGAUCUUGUAAACAUGAAAAAACAAACGAUCCUGUAAACUUGGCCUCAACUUUCCUCUGGUUUAGCAGAAGUGUCCCUUCUCGCAAACUCUUGGUGGGCUAGAAACUGCAUGAAACUUGCCGGCGCACCGCCACCGCCUCCCUCUCCUCCCCCGAAACGACGCUGCACCCAUGCCGCCUUCCUGCCACCGCGCCGCUAGAGCCAUGCCGUCACUGCCUACCCUGUAGACUCGUUGCGGUGCCACUGCCAUCCAUGCUGCCGCCCCUCACCGGCGACCACCGCAAAAUAAAAACGUAUUUACGGGAAAUAGUUUACAGGAUCCGGCCUUGGUUGUGUUGUGUGGUGGUGUGGUCUGGUGUUGUGUGGUUUCCGUUGCUUGUACCGGUGUUCGUUGCUUUAUAAUAUAAAGCGGGAACCCUUUUUCGGUAAAAUAGCUCUUUGGAAACAUCCCGAAAAAAUUACAGACAUAUUUUAGGGAACUGCUGCAGUUGCUCUUACUGAAAGGAGCAACACCUUGCCGAGCUGAACCACCGGCAGUACCGUACACUCCGUACUCAUGGGGACAAUACAAGAAGAGCAUUAAAUCUUCUAUAUGCUCUUGAGUACUCCGACAGUAAUACAAGUGCACACCAAAUUCAACUAUUCGGUUCCUACCAUAGAAAUCCAAAACAAUCCCCAACACAUUCACCUAGUGCGUGUUUGGUUGCCUGCAUUACCUUCAGCCUAGCCGAGUUGGGUCAAGAAAAAUGUGUUUGGUUGCAAACCGUGAGACCUAGCACGCAUUGGCACCAACCUUUAAGCAGUCCAGAGCCUGCGUCGCUGGAAAUCCUCGAAUCGGCACUUUCCAGCGAGACAGGCUGAGUGCGGUGCAAAAGGGUUGGAGCGCGCAUGCGACGGUGCAAGACGAAAUCAAGUGGAGAUGGCGGGAGCAGUUAAUCGGCCGAGGCAGGAAGGCACGAAAUCUAGCCUCACCGUUCCCAUUUACUCUGUCACCACUAGCUCUAGCACAAGCACUUCCUUUGUUCUAAGCAAUGAUGAAUGAACAAAGCAAGUUUCCGAACCGUGCACCAUACACGGAAUCCACGGCGGAAAACGUGAAUGAGCAAAUUACUGAAUUGGCAAGGGGACGGUGAAUUGCGGCAUUCAUCUCGACGUCUGCUGCCCCAUAACCACCAUGCAGUAUGGCUGCACCAUAACCUCCGAGUCUGAAUCCUUAUCAAAUUAUCCCAUUGCAUUGGCAAGAGGAUCGCCACAAGAGUAAUACAGUCUUUCAGGUAAAAUAAGAAGAAUAUUUGGGACUCCACCUUGCCAUAAACAGAGUUCCAAUCGUUUAACAUGACCAUCAGAAUUAACUCAAACCAUGAAAAAACCAAUGACCACCCACUGUAUCUAGGCCCAAGUCAUGACGUACAGGACACUACAAUGGUGCAGGUUAGCUGACAUACACUCGAAAUACAAGAGAGGAGAUAUCAAAACUCUGGCCUAGGGCUGCCUUAGUCUGGCUAAUAUAUUUGGCAGCGGGUGGAAUACAGUCAACAAUAAUAGGUUCAAUUCUAGGCAGAAUCGCACAUAUGUACACGGCUGUAUACCGUUGUUGUCCAAGUGUCGUGAUCACGGUUUAGAGCGAUAACGUCAUCCUUCUCAUAAUGUUCCCUUGUUGUUUCGUGUUGUCUAUCAUCAUCACUUUCGUGUUGCAUUUGACGCCUGACGGAGAGCUUUGACCUUCGCUCGACCCACCUUGCCACGAAGACCUAACAGACAAAGUCCCUCCUCCCUCUUCCCUCAAUCGCCCAACCCAUCAAUGGCGGCGCGCACACACCCGUGCGACCCUCUCCGCCCCACCCGACGCACACACAGAGCUCACAACGGCAAUGGCACGAGCGGCUGGCACCAUGUCUUCCUCCUCGCGCCCUGGUCCUCUGUGCGGCAUGCGCAUAGAGCCCUCAACAAUUCGUCAGGCUCCAGUUGGUCGCUGGCUGGUUGAUCGGUUGGGCUUGAUUUGCUUGCACUCCAACUAAGGAGCAGCAGCUCAGAGAGCUGAGCCACCGGCUGUAUCGUACUCAUCAGGAAAAUACAAGAAAAAUAGAAAAUUCUUCCAUGCUCUUGGAUCUUGACUACUGUGACAGUCAACAAUGCGCGCGCACGCACGCGCGAGCGCGCGCGCACACACACACACACACACAAUUCUCUGAAAAGCGGAGCCGGGGAGGAUGCUUCCACCAGUCGCAUAGAGCGAGAGACUAUUGAAUUGAAGCACAUGGAUGUGGGGUUAAACUCCUUUGUUUUGAAAAGGGUACCAUCUAGAUAUGUGGUGGAUGAAUAACGAAUGCAACCACCAUCCUUUCCUUGUUUAAGAGCACUUGAUCUUGCCUUAGCUCAGUAUAUAUUCGCUCUGCAUGCGCUUGUAGUCUGCCUAUCAUUUCACCUACCUACUGUCGCUUGCCAACGCAGUUCCACCCAGAGACGAGACUCUAAAUAAUGAGAGAAAUCCUAUUUACAAGAAGUUUGAUAGGUGCAAUGCUUCUUGGACUAAGAGGCAUCCGGGAACAAUCAGCUGCCGCAGGUCCAAAUCCUGCCACCUUGUGAUGGACCACUUGGGCUAGUAUUUUUUGUAGGGCUCGUGACCACUGUUGUAUGCACAUAUGGAAGGCCAUUCCAAGCACUAUUAAGCCGAGUGCAUGAAGAAUAAAUGUUGACAUGGAUGGCAUUUGGCGAGUGGAUUCCAACAAUGGCUAUGUUCUGUGGUGAGUGUCGAGCGUAUGAGUACGAACUACGAACACACAGGUUGAUCGGCCAAAUAGGGCUGAUUGUUCUUGUAAGGUUGGGGUUAACGGUGUCGUUAAGAAUAUCACUUGCUACCAUCAAGGCAGAUCUAUCCUCUUCCUCGGUUUCCCCUACAUAUAUGGGUUAUUUUAAGAAAUAGGCAUCUUUCUUCGUAGCACGAUCAAGGAAAAAAUUGGGAAUGACAAUUUCACUAUAUUUUUUACUUGGAACAGGCCUGCACGGGACGGUUCUUCAUCGAAAAGCUAACUCCACCCAUCCCCACUUGGGGGGGGUUGCAACGAAAAACAUGUUCGCUCGGCCUAUGUUGCCUCCAAAACCUAACAGGCCAAAUCCCUCCUCCCUCAAUCCUCCAUGCUAACCAAUCAAUCACAUACGCACGUGCCCGAGCUCACAACGACAAUGGCACGACCCGACACGACUGGCCUGCACCAUUUCCUCCUCACCCCACUCAUCUUAUAAGCGGCAUUCGGGCCACGGAGCCGUGUCCAUACCCGUUGUUGGAGCCGCUCAGCCAUUUGUCAAACUCCAGUUGGUCCCUGGCUGGUUGAUCGGUUGGGCUUGAUUUGCACGCACUCCAUCUGAGGCCGCUGGAAGCACUCCUCGGUCUGGAUGACCGCUCAAUUACUUACUGUGAUUGAGCAUUGGCACGGCCUUUAGCGAAUGAAGAAUUCUAGUCUUAGUGCAUCUCCAACGGAUUAUGUAUCUGUAAAAAGAUUAUCGCUUAGGAGAAGUUUGAGCAAAAAAAAGUCACCAAUAGAUCUUGUAACACUACACCACAACACCAAUGCAAUGGCAUAAAAUCUGCCGGGAGAACACAAUUAAGAGGGCAGAUAAACUGCCAGGAGAGAGAUUUUCCCGGCAGAUAGAACUGCCACGUGAACGGCUGCCGGGGAUUAGUUGUCCCGGCAGAUAAACAAUCCCCGGCAGUUUUUCUGCCCCGGCCAUUUUUUCUGCCGGCAGUUUCUUUUCUCCCGGCAGACACAUCAUGGCAUAGCAACUGUAAUUUACCGACAGUUUCACUGCCUGCACAACUGCAUUUAGCCGGCAGGUAAUAUGCCAUGACGUGCUUUCUAACAAGCAAUCUAAACUAUUCUGGGCACAAUAUCAUGAUUAAAUAUCCAACCAUUAUGUUCAAACUGUCAUGACAGAUCACACAACUUAUACAUACAGUUCAAUUAAAUCACAUGUAAGGCCUCAUUCAAUAACAGAAACAGACCAAAACCAUAUGCUUUUAACGCAUGCAUGAACCGUACAUAUAUAAUGACAUUGUGCCUCAAAAGGCAAAGUACAUAUGUUUAAGGUAAAGAAAUCGUGCCACACAACCAAAAUAGGCAUACAAUGGCUCGUGUGCUGAAACGACCACCAAAAUGAGCAGUGUAAAACUUGCCAAUAUCUGGAGGUUCAACAAACAAGGCAUAUUAUAUAAUCACUCCAGCAACUUGAAGACCUUCAAAACCUCCAGCAAGUUCUCAAUAUUCCAAACCUCCAUCAACUUGUGUAUCUUUGAGAAACCUGCAUCAAAUCAGAAACUCAAAAAUGGUGCUAUCGUUUCAGAUUAUAAAUCAACACAUUAGAGAUUUGGAUGUGCUGCAGUUUAACUUGUCAGCAUAAAACUCUUCUAAAUGUGCAACACUUCAUCACAACAACAAGCAGUGAUUAUUACAUACAUAAUUAGAUCAAGCAGAAAUUAUUUGCGCUUCACAUGCAAAGAUCUUCUAUUGGCAAAUAUGGCAAAACAAGAAUGUGUAACAUUGUUGCUUGCUUGUCCAAGUGCACCAAAGAAAUAGAUUGCACUAAUUUCAUGAGUAAACUUUCAGAUCUGAUAUGAAAGAGUCAAAACCUAGUACAAAAGAAAUAAUCCACAAAACAAAAUUGAAAACCCAGAGGAUUGUACAGAAAAAAAAUCAAAGUUGAAGAUGCAUAUUACCUCCUCAACUUGCUUGUGGUCGCAUUGCUGCAUUUGCCAGACUUAUCCGCCUCUAGCUGCAUACAUAGAAGCAGAGUUUUAAGGUGUAAAAAUAUAUCGAGAGCAAGCAUUGAGAAUGCAAAAAGAAUAUUGUAACCACCCAAGCCAAGGCAAAAUUUUGUACAUGACCAAAUAUUUGGCAUGGUGGAUCUUGGCACAAAACAAAUACAUUGAUAGAUCAUUAAUGCAGAAUAUGGUCAAGAUGUUACAUACCUUAAAUGAGUCUUCCAGCCGCUCCUUGAGGCCCAUAACAUGAGGGAUGAGAAUUUGGAUCAACGGAAAUUGUUCAGGAAUGCCACAAGAAUCUCGAGACAGUAAAAUGUAUCAACUCGAAGGUAACUGGCAAUUUGAAAUGUGCAUUAUUAGCAAGCUGCUGACAAAAAACAGAAACAUGAAAUUGGCUUUGACUGGAACUUGUUGGAAUAUGAAGCCCAAAACUUGUAGAAACCCUCAUAUCCCAGUUCCAUAUGUGUUCCCUGGAAACUCCCAUAUUUUUAAUGACUUUGAGCAAAUAUCAAUAAUUGAUUUGCAUUCUUUCUUUGAACUUUUGUUAAUCACCAAUUGUAUUUGCGCUUGGAACUGAAAGCCUACUAUUCAUAUUGUAAGUCUGCUCUAUUUCAUAGGUUACCGAGAAACAACGGACAAUUUAAGCAUUCAAUUUAAUAUACAUGAAAUUACAACAAGGACUAGCUUAUUAAUAAGGAAUGCCAACAAACAAUGAAACUAAAUAUAAAACCAUGACAAUGGAGGGAGCAUCGGAUUCCAUGCGAAUAUUUUUUUUAUAAAAACUUCAUAAACAACAAUGUGAAGUAUUAGUAUUACAUACAUACUAGUGUGUUUGAACAUAAAUCCCCACUCCAGCAGCAUCAGAGCCUCAUGAUUCUCAGUUUCUGACAUAUAGUGGUAAACAAGCUGCAAAUGAUGCACGGACAGGUAUACCUUAAUAGCUAACGAGUACGUGAUGACUCAUUCAACUGCGUAUAGGAAAAGGCCAAUAGCAUACAAAUUAUAGGAGGAUACAUAGAUAAAGGCGAGUGAAAAAAUACAGAAACAUGUAUGUACAUUUUGUAUUUUAGAAAGAAAAGGAAGAGCAAGCUUGGCUUCAUGGAGAACUAGGAAGACUUGAUUACCCAAAUAGCAAUUUUUACACAUGGGGGCAUCAACUUGCAGAGUAUGUUUUGAAAACUACUGCAAAAAUCAACUCUGAAAGGCUGGUGAAAAGGGUAAACCACUUGUGUAGAGGUCUGGGCUACCAUAUUACAAAUUCUAUGAAGCUCAUCAACUCUAAAAGGCUGGUGUAAAGGGUGAUCCACUUGUGGUACAAGUUCUAUCAAGAUCUCCCAAGUUCUCUAACCAAAGUUACAUCAAUAGAGAAUAGCAAAAGGGAUAUUGCCCGAGUGGGCAAAAGUACAGCAUGUAAGAGAAGAAUGCCACAAUAAAACAUCAUAUGUUUAGGUGCAUGGAUAUCACAACCCACAAAAUUUAGGAACCCACCAACGAGCAUGCAGUCAGCAUCCUUGCUUCAUAGGUAACGACAUACUCCUGGUACCUAAGAGCAUCCGCCCUAAACAAUCAGUGUACCUGUCUCCUGUUGAUGUUUUGCAAGAACUGAUUUUUCCUGUAAUACCACAAUUUUAGUUAUGAAUCUGCUUCCUUGAAAUAUACAUCUAUUUUAGAGGAAAACAGAAAAGGUGCUAUAGUUACACAAAGUUCCAUGAAUAAGGUUAGGAGCAUUUACUUAUACUCUUACAGAGGCAGAAUGCUAUACAAUGGAAAAUACUGUAUAAAAGUUGCACAUCACGUAAAAAAUGCACAGUAGACCACUAAUGAACCACUGUCAGAAUUAACUCACACCAGGGAAACUACUAAUGAACCACAACCAAUCACGGCGACAUAAUCAUUACACAUUUCUCCUUCUAAUCUCUGGGUAUUUGUCUCCUUUAGCUAUCCACGCUGCAGCCGUCAAUUCCAGUCUUCCACCUUAUUCCUCCCCUGCUUGCUGAGAAGCUGACCACGGCUCUGCAAAAGACCAAGAAUUGUUCCCCUGUUACCCUUCUGAUGAAUCAAUAGUAUCUGUACCUACUGCCAGAGUUUUGCAGCAAACUCUGCUCAGCAGCAAUACAAUCAAUUUUAUCAUAGUGCUUCUGCACACAAUAGAAAGGAUCAUACUGGAAUCAACUAGCUAUAAACACGUACAUAAUGAUUUAAUGAUUGAUCCGAAUAACAGUCUAAAACUCUAAAUGUACCAUUAGAGAACUCAUAAAAGCCAACAUAUAGAGCAUGCAAAUGACAUAUACACCAAACACAAGUGAAAUAUCUCUGCACCUAUAAAUUACGAGGUAAUAACAAAUAUUGCAGCACCAUGUGCAAAUGAAACCAUAGGGACUAAGAGAAAUGGAGGAAUUUCCGUACCACCAUUCACUAUAACUGCUGGGAUGUGAGAAAUCUUCUGGGCGUCCUCUCCUCGGAGCUUCUCAGCCAGAUUUGGGCAGCCCCAAAUGUAGAGUUCCUUCAAGGCGGUAAGGUUCUGUAUGCUUUCAGGCAAAGAUGUGAGAUUGGGGCAAUCCAUGAUGUUAAACUCUUGUAGGGAAAUGAGCUGUCCCAGCCCUUCAGGUAACACAUGUAGUCCUUGGCACUCAUUCAACCAUAGUUCUCUAAGAGCGGUAAGGUUCAUCAUGCUUUCAGGCAAACUUGUCAGGUUGGGGCAAUCUUUGAUACUUAACUUUUCAAGGGAGAAGAGUUGUCCCAUGCUUUCAGGCAAACUUGUGAGGUUGGGGAAAUCAAUUAUCCUCAAUUCUUGAAGGGAGAUGAGCUGUCCCAUCCGUUCUGACAAUACAUCUAGGCCUAUGUAAUGCUCCAACCAUAGUUCUCUCAAAGCGGUAAGAUUCUUCAUGCUUUCAGGCAAACUUGUCAGGUUGGGGCAAUCUUCAGUGAUAACCAUUUCUAGAGAAGUGAGAUUACCUAACCAUUCUGGCAGUGUCUUCAGGUCCAUCAACGAUUUCAAAAAUAGUCCCCUGAGAGAGGUUAAGCAUUGGAUGGCCUCUGGCAACUCCCUCAAGCCGUUACAGAAUCUAACUGCUAAAAUCUCAAGGGUGGGUAUGUGCAGAAGCCUAUCCCACUUUUUUCUCGAAAAGGAGGUUCAAACCCCCGGCCUCUGCAUCAAUGUGAUGCAUACAACCACUUUUAUUAAUUAUUCAGCAAAGUACAAAACAAAGGCAAUCAUGGCCGAACCAUUACAACAUAUGAAAUUAACACCUACGACUAAGUCGACUUCUUCCGUAGCAGCGCCUUCAAGAAGGUAUACACUCGUCGUUGCUGAGCCCGACCAAUAAUGGUCAGGACAAGAGUUUUCACCCCGGACAUGAAGCGGUGUUCCAAUCAGCAUCUUGAUGACAGAUCAUUCGAUAGUCGCCUUCGUCAGUACUCGACGCCAGUGCCAAAUGGUACUAGUAGAUUGGUGGGACGCCUUCCCACCUUAAACCACCGUCACGGCCGUCAGGUGGACGCCCAUGUCUCGGUGCGGAACUGGCCGCUGCUACUCCACACCGGCGCCAGUCACACAGCAGCAUGCUCCAUAACGUCGGAGCCGCUGCUCCGAAGCUAGAAGUCGACGAGGAACCACCACUGCGCCCUUGCUCACCAGCGUGGGACUCCGUCGCUCGCGCCUCGAGCAUCCUUGUGCGAUGGCCGCCGCCCUCGCACCGGACGAAAAUCCUCUUUGAGCCGGCAUCGAGUGCCGCACACGACCACCGCCGCUAUGCCUGCAAAUAUGCCGACGCACUUGAAUAUGCACUGUUGUGCCACCUGAUCUCCUUAUCGCGGUUAUCGAGGGCAGCCACCCCCACCGCAAUGACCAACGGAGGCCACCGUCCCCGCCGCCAUGACUACUCAUGCAUCCGUUGCCGACGAUGUUGUGCGUGUCAUCGUCUCUGCGAACGCUGGCACAACCAUCUUCACCUCUCUCGCACACCGAGAUGCCGGCACAGACAUAUCGGCGCACGACAACGAAGCGGCAUCGUCCAGAUCUGCCCCGUCCGUGGGCGCCUCUGGUACUGCGAUCAUAGACGCCCGUGCAUAGUUCCAUGGCCACCUCCUCGAGGUCGACUCAUCCUUCACCAUAGUUGUGCCGUUGUCGGCAGCACCGGCAUAGUCGCAUGCCGGCACUGGCUUCACAUCUAACUCGAAGGCCGCAUGCAGAACGUUGGCGUCGCAGUUUCUCGAUGUGACCUCCGCGGCCACGUACGAGAAAGUGCUGAUACGUGCGGCCUUGGGAACUCCGUGGCUGCACACACACUCCCGGCAGCGCUCACCACUGCAGUUACGGCCAGCCGCGCCAAUGCCGCCGGCUGCAUGUGCGAGUACGGGUGUGAGGAGGAGGAGGCGCCUUGGCCGGCGCCGCAGCCAGGCCCGACGAGGGACGUCUCACCCUCGUGCCGGCGCAUGGAUGGGCGCGACGACGCCGUGGCCACGACCGCGCCCUCUGCCGCUAACGCGCGAGCCAUCGUUAGCCUCAUGCCACCCUCCGAGCACCACCUGCCGCCCCCAGCCAUCUCCCUCCACCCCGGACACAGCCAUCCCCGAGAUCCAGCCUCCUGGCGGCCGCCGGCGGACUGUGGUGGCUGGGGAUGUGCGCGAGAUCUCCGAUCCGUUUUUUCUGGAUCGGGAGGUUCUUUCUUGCCCCAAGCCUAUCCCACUUGUCUGGAGAAAAAUUGCAGUUCAUUGUUCCCAACUGAAAAGGAAGAGCAGAAGACGAAAGCUUCCCAAAUCCCACUUCUGGCAGAACCAUGGCGCUAUUACUAAAGGACCAAAACAUACCCCUUGGGGGAUAUGGUCGGAAAUUCAACUUGGGCAGUCUGUUAGUAUUUCCAAUUCAUGCACAUCUCCACGCGUCUAGAUUGUUCUUAACAAUUUUGAUCUUAUCAUGAUGGUCUUCUAUACAAGAUCUUGUUUUUCAAAAUCCAAUAUGGGUACCAUGGAGUUUGCAUUAGUUUUGUCUUAGGUUCCAGGAUCUCAACGCCAAACAAAUUUCUGACUGUUGAAUAUUUGGGACAUAAGGCCCUCUACCAGUGAGAGUGGAACCCGGGGGAUUGGCGUCCUUUUCUCCAUUGAGACAUUUUCUACUAAACACGACAAUCAAUAAGGCUUUGUGAGGAAAAUUUGGUAGGAAACAUUUCAAUCUGAGAGCAAUAUCUGAAUUUGUUUUACAUUUUGCGUAACAAACACGACAACAUUGUAGAGAAUUUAGUCACCUUUCCACCGAUUUUUUUUUCUUUUACGGGAAUGGUAUACUGCAAAAUCGCUGACAUGUAUUGUUAGAACAAGUUGGUCCAUCGUUGAUGACAUAGAUACACAAUCGUGUAUCAUUGUGCCGUGAUCCUCUUUCUUCUUCCUCCAUGUGCAUAACAACUGCAAUUUAGGCUAUGGAUACAAACUCGCACCCCCUUCGCCACACAUACAAGUGAAAAAGAACUCCCAUUGGAUUUGAUCAAAUCACACAUACAAGCAACUAGCUAGAGGCUGGAUGUAGUGAUGCUCUUACUCGUCUUGAGCAACACUUGGUUGUAGUGAAAAAGAACUCCCAUUUGAUUUAAUCAAAUCACACAUAGAAGCAACUAGCUAGAGGAUGGAUGUAGUGAUGCUCUUUACUCGUCUUGAGCAACACUUGGUUGUGGAACUUGACCAAUGAAUGUAGCUAGUGACAUCACUAGACGGGGUGGACUGUAGUACAAGCGAAUCAAAGGAGGGUGGCACAAGAUGCUUGUUGCUUGAAAACACAGAUCUAGCAUUGUUUAGAUUGGCGUGGAGCAGUAGCAAAACACUAGUAUUGGCUAUCUGCCCUGCUGGGAGAUUGAUAUUACCAUUGAGAGAGCCGCAACAUUUUUAGUUACUCACGAGCCUUACUGUACCAUUCAUCGGUAUCCGCCUACAUACUUUUACAUGGAUUUAUGCACUAGUAGGAAAAGGGGCUUUUACCCCGGUUCAUAAGGGCCUUUAGUCCCGGUUCAGGAACCGGGACUAAAGGGUCGUUACUAAUACCCUAGCCCUUUAGUCCCGGUUCUUACACGAACCGGGACUAAAGGCCGUCCACGUGGCCGGUGCGGGGAGCCCAGGCAGGAGGGCCUUUGGUCCCGAUUGGUGCCACCAACCACUACUAGAAAAAGGGCUAUAGAUGGGAUUGACACUAAUGACGCACCAGACAAGCGGUGCGCCAUUAGUAUAUACUAAUGGCGCACCACCUUCUGAUACGCCAUUAGAGUUAAAACUACUAAUGGCGCACCAGGCGCAGGGUGCGCCAUUAGUAUAAUUUUUUUUAACUAGUGCGCCUGUCCAAACAUACUAAUGGCGCAUCCAGACACAGUGCGCCAUUACUAGUUGCAACUAGUAAUGGCGCACCUGUCCCAGGGUGCGCCAUUAGUAUCAAAAUUAUUAUUUUUUAACUAGUGCGCCUGUCCAAACAUACUAAUGGCGCAUCCAGACAAAGUGCGCCAUUAGUAUCAAAUUUUUUUUUUUAACUAGUGCGCCUGUCCAAACAUACUAAUGGCGCACCGAGACACAGUGCGCCAUUACUAGUUGCAACUAGUAAUGGCGCACCUGGCCCAGGGUGCGCCAUUAGUAUCAAUUUUUUUUAACUAGUGCGCCUGUCCAAACAUACUAAUGGCGCACCACCAGAAGGUGCGCCAUUAGUAACCUGGAUUACUAAUGACGCAUUUAGAGUUGGUGCGCCAUUAGUAAGUGGGCAGCAACAAGAUAUUUUGGACAGCCUCUCCUACCCACACUCACUUUCUCCCCACUUUAUUCUCUCCACCUCCUCCUUGUCUCGGGUGCCUCCUCUUUUUCACCUCAUUUCCACCAUAGAUUCAUUCAAUUUAAGUGGUUAAAUUACCUUGUUUUGAUAGGUAAGUAAGGGGGGAAGCUAUAUUUAUGUUGUUCUCCCUACAACAAUGUGCACAUGCAUUUUUUAUGGCCUAGCUAGAUCUAUGUAUGUUCGUGGUGUUGCAUAUGUUUGUGGUGUUGCAUAUGUGUUUGUGUUUGGAGGUGUACCGGUAUUUGAAAUGCGAUAGUUGCCAAUAUUUUGCCGGAAUGUUGAUUCAUUUCCGUUUCGGCGAGAAUUUUGGCAUUAAGCAUUCUUUUUGGUCCUAUUUUUAGGGAAAGUCAUGCCAAAUUUUUUCUUGGUUCUAAAAUAUCGUUUUGCUCUACCCCGCAGGCGACCAUGGUCCGCAUGAUGACCGAAGGCAUCGUGAAUAGGUUUUUGAGGUCCGCGAAGGCCGAGAUGCUUCAAAAGAACGAGACGGAGAUAAGAUGUCCGUGUCGAAGAUGCAAGCUGAAGAGCCUUAUUGCGGACCCGGAAUCCUGGCAGGUGCGGGGCCACCUGCUCUUGCGUGGUUUCAUGGAUGGCUAUCGGUGGCAAGGUGAUGAAGAUGACUACGAAGUCGUCCAUGGGGGCCGGGCAAGAAAUGAGGAAGGGCAGCAAGACAACCACCGCGGCUCGGGCGGGCGAGAAGACGAAGAAUCCCCAGGAGAUGAUCACGACGGUGAUGCUGUACACAGUCAUCAUGUAGAAGAUGCAGGACAUGAUGAUGAGGAAGAUGCCGGAGCAGACGACGGGCAUGAUCAUGAAGAUGAUGAUGCCGGCGGAGCAGACGACGCUGGACCAUCGAUGGGCUGGGUGCAGGACCCUCAUAUUCAAGAGCUGCUUCUCAAGCAGACGGAUAACGCAAGAGCUGCCGCCCGAGAGAAAGCCAAGCCGGAUCAACUGGAGAUAGACGCGAUUACUCCAUUGUAUGAAGGAUGCAGGCCCGAGGAUACCCGCCUGAAAGUAACGCUCAUGGCUCUGGAGAUGAAGGUAAAGCACAAAAUGACCGACGCAUGCUUCGACGAGAACAUGUCAUUCUGGCACGAACGUCUUCCCAAGGGGAACAAGUGCCCGACCAGUUUCGAGGAGGCGAAGAAAAUCGUGUGUCCUCUGGAUUUACCGCACGUGAAAUACCAUGUGUGCAUGAACAAUUGCAUCAUUUAUCGGGACGAGCACGCGGAGUCUACCAUAUGUCCGGUGUGCGGCGUCACUCGAUACAAGAAGAGGAAGAAAGCUCCUCGAAAAGUGGUGUGGUACUUUCCGAUCACUCCUCGUCUGCAGUGGUAUUUCGCGGACCCUAAGGUAGCAAAGCUCCUGCGUUGGCACGCGGAUAGGGAGGAGAAGAAGCGAGAAGAUGACGCAAAUGAUCCGGAGAUAGAUAAAAAAGACAAGAUGCUGAGUCACCCUAAGGAUGCGAGCCAGUGGCAAGCGUUGAACUUCGAAGACCUAGAAUUUGGGAACUAUCCAAGGAACAUCGUGCUGGGCGCGAGCACCGAUGGAGUCAAUCCGUUUGGCAGCCAGAGAAGCACACAUAGCACCUGGCCUGUGUUUGUGUGGAUGUACAACCUUCCCCCUUGGUUGUGCAUGAAGAGGAAGUACAUUCACAUGAGUAUGCUAAUUGAAGGACCGAAACAACCAGGGAACGACAUCAAUCUGUAUCUGGGGCUGCUGAAAGAGGAGCUUGACACGCUGUCGAAAAUGCCAGCCAAUACGUGGGACGCCGCAGAGAAAGAAUAUUUCCCUAUGAGAGCCGCACUGCUCACGACGGUGCACGACGAUGUCGGUUUCGGAUAUCUCGCGGGGCAGGUGGUCCACGGAUUUUCUGGAUGCGUCAGGUGCAUGGAUGACACAACGUAUCGCCAGCUAGAUAGAGAUCCCGGGUCUUCGAAAACCGUGUUCAUGGGACAUCGAAGGUGGCUUCGCGACGAUGACCCGUGGAGGAAACGCAAGGAUCUGUUCGAUGGUGAAACCGAACCCCGAAGACGCCCGCGUACGAGGAGCGGCGAGGAAAUAGACGAGCUGUUGAAAAAUUGGAAAGACUGCCCACUGCCGGGAAAGAAGCAAAAGGCGCCAGAGCCGGGAAAGAAGCGAAAGGCGCCAGAGCCGCUGCUGAAGGUAUGGAAAACGAGGUCUGUUUUCUGGGACUUGCCGUACUGGAAGAUCCACCGUGUCAUGCAUAUCACGAAGAACGUGUGCGAGAGUCUGCUUGGUACCCUGCUCAACAUGCCAGAGAGGACCAAAGAUGGGCCGAAAGCAAGGGCAGACUUGAAAUCAAUGGGCAUCAGGCAGGAGCUUCACGCUAUAUAUGAUGAUGAUGAUGAGGCGAAGCAGGACACGGAAAGUCGUCGCAAAGGCAAAAAGGCCAAGAAGACCGGAAAUGACUACCCUCCCGCGUGCUUCACUCUAAGUCAGGAGGAGAUCGAGCAGUUUUUCACCUGCCUCGUAGGAGUAAAACUUCCUUACGGUUACGCGGGGAAGAUAAGCAGAUACCUAGACCUAGCGAAGCUGAAGUUCAGCGGGAUGAAGUCUCAUGACUGUCACGUGCUGAUGACGCAGAUACUUCCAGUUGCAAUCCGUGGGAUCAUGGACGCACACGUCCGUGAAACGCUAUUUGGCCUAUGCAACUUUUUCGACGUCAUCUCUCGGAAGUCUGUUGGUGUGAGGCAACUCAGCAGGCUACAGGAAGAGAUCGUGGUGAUACUAUGCGAGCUUGAGAUGUACUUCCCGCCCGCAUUCUUCGACGUUAUGGUGCAUCUGCUGGUCCAUAUCGUGGACGAUAUCAUCCAACUCGGGCCAACGUUCCUGCACAGCAUGAUGCCGUUCGAAAGGAUGAAUGGUUUCAUCAAAGGAUACGUUCGCAACAUGUCACGUCCAGAGGGAAGCAUAGCCAGGGGCUUUCUGACCGAAGAGUGCAUCUCCUACUGCACGAAUUAUCUAGGCAUCGAGAACCCCGUUGGUCUGCCCGUCAACAGGCACCUCGGCAGGCUCGCUGGAUGGGGUCACCGUGAGGGUCGCCGCGAAAUGCAUGUCGACUUCGAGGGUCGACUCGCCGACUUUGAAAGAGCAAACCUAGUCGCGCUACAACACAUAGACGUGGUCGAUCCUUGGGUGGUAGAGCACAAAACCUUUAUUAAGAAGACGUACAAUGACCGAGGCCAACAGAGGACGGACGGAGAUAUACUCAAAGAGCACAACUCAUGUUUCACGCGUUGGUUCAAGCAGAAGCUUCUGUCGUACCCUUUACAUGAGGAUUCUUCCGCGGAAGAACAACUCAUAUUCGCCUUGUCACAGGGCGCCGAGCACAACCUGAUGACCUAUGAGGCGUACGAUAUCAACGGCUACACAUUCUACACCGAGGCCAAGGACAUGAAGAGCGAUGGUUAUCAGAACUCCGGGGUAACGAUGGAAUCCUACACCGGUAACGACAAGGACAGAUACUACGGAAGGAUCGAGGAGAUCUGGGAGCUGAGCUACGCUGAAGAGAAGGUCCCGAUGUUCCGUGUCAGAUGGGCCAAGAGCGUCCUAAAAGAAGACCGAUAUUUCACCACCAUGGUUAUACCCGAAGCCAAAUCCAAGAUCGCAGGCGCAAACGUCACCGUGAAAAAUGAGCCAUGGGUACUGGCUUCCCAAGUGGACCAAUGCUUCUUCAUUACCGACCCGUCAAAGCCCAGUCGUGUUGUCGUGAGGAGAGGCCAAAGGAAGAUCAUCGGAAUGGAUGGAGUAGCCAAUGAGCAAGACUUCGACAAGUACGGCGACCCGAGAAUCGAACAUGACGACGAUGAUGAAGUAGCAGCAUACACCACAAGAAGAAGCAGGACCACCCUACCUAAAGGACGUCCGUUCCACAGAAGAACUCCAUUUGCGAAAAAGAAGGGCAAGAAGAUUGUGAACAGAUAGCUAGCUAAGAGAUCGAUUGUAUUUAAAUCGUAGCCUUCAUUUCUCGAUUGUAUUUCAUGGGCACUUUUUGAACUAUCAUGAAUAUUUUUAAAUUUCAUGGACACUCGAUCUCGAUCCCCCUCCAUCUCGAUCGCUAUCCCACCUCGCCAGAUCCGGUCCCCCUCGCCGCCGAGCACCCCCCGGUCCACCGGCCCCCCGCACCCCGCGCACCCUCCCCCGCUCCACCGGCAUUACUAUUUGAUGAUAUUUUUUAAAUAAUUAUUACUGUCUUAUAAAAAAAUAUUACUGUUAUGAUUUAAACAAGUUUGAACAUAUUUAAACACAAAUAAAUAUCAAACAGCAUUUUAAAUGCAUAAAAAAAAUUGUGGAGCCUCGGAAUCAAACCCAGGACCUCCUGGUGUGAGAACUGGCUGCUGACCAGUCGAGCUAGUACAGGGAACUUGGUGUGGAUCAGGUCAGGUGGAAGAUAACCUGUUGGCUCGAGCAGAAAUCAAAAAAAAAUACUAAUGGCGCACCAGGGUGAGGUGCGCCAUUAGUAUGGACGUACUUAUGGCGCACCGAGGGGUGGUGCGCCAUUAGUAUUGUGCCCUCGCCCUCGCCUAUCCCCGGCCCAAACCUAUCCCCUCUCUCUCCCUCGCCCUCGCCCUCGAUCCCCUUCCCCUCUCCUCUCCCGACGCCGCUGCCCCGCCGCCUCGACGCCGCCCCGUCGUCCUCGUCUCCGCCCCGACGCCCCGACGCCGCUGCCCCUUCCCCUCUCCUCUCCCGACGCCGCUGCCCCGACCUCCUCCUCGCCCCUCGACGUCGCCCUCGAUCCCCUUCCCCUCUCCUCUCCCGACGCCGCCGCCCCGUCGUCCUCGUCCUCGCCCUCCUCCUCGUCCGAGCCACCGCCGCGCCGCUCCGACCUCCUCCUUGUCCCCUCCGGCCUCCUCCGCCUCCUCAGGUACUGCCCCACCUCUCCCUCCCCCUCCGGCCUCCUCCUUCCUCUUUGAAUGCUUAAUGUGGAACACAACUUACACUAUAUGCUAUACGAGUAGUAUGUUGCUAUGUCAAGAACACUAGAACGAAGAGUAUGAUGAAUAAGACCACCAGGAAGAGGAUGAGCAUAUUCUUCUGGUGAUGUUUUGUGAUGGACUGACACACUUGUUGAACUAAAUUCAUAUAUAGUCUGACGAAACUGAAACUCCAAAAUUGUAUGUGCUCCAAACUGUUCCACCUAAAUAUUUUUUCAACAACCGGCAAGAAAGCUGCCUAAACAUCGAAAGAUGCAAAGUGGCUACCAUCGGCCAGAGAUAGUCUGAACUUGCUUUACCGAUACAUCAAACUGGUGCAGCAGGGCUGCAGGAGUCAGUCAGACAAACAAGCACCAGAAACAAGAACUUGAGCAGAGUAUAGGACUACCACCUUCUCACUAUAAGUCUAUAACACAACAUGCAUGUAGCAAGUGAACAUUACUAUGAAUCAUUUCUCCAAUUGUUCAGAAAAUCAAUACAACCGAAAUCUAAAGUCGACUGCACUUUCGAGGAGACAGUACCCAAUUAACACCAAUGGCGUUCUAAAAUAACAGAUUUAGUUACGUAGCUACAGCUAUAAUUCAGUUACGUCAAAGUUGAAGUUCUAGAAAGAGCAGAGCAAUAGAGAUGUUUCUAAAAAAUCUAUAAUCUAGUCAGAAGUACCCAAAUAACAUCCGUGGAAUACUCAGACGGUAACACGUUUAGUUACAAUACUACUCCAGUAGUAAUCUACACACAAAAAGCAACUAUGGAACAAAACAACACAGCCAGGGUAGUCAGGUUAGCUUCAAAAAUGUUACGGCACUUAUUCUGGCAGUCACAGGAGCUGACGGAGUAGUCCAAACAAUAGUGGCAAAAAAAUUAGGUAUAAAAACAGUAGCAAAUAAAAAAAGAGUAGCAAAUAUAGCUAGGGAAAUUUUGUUUAGGUAUAAAAACAGUAGCAAAUAAAAAAAAGCAGUAGCAAAUUAAAAAAACAGUAGCAAAAAAUUAGGUAUAAAAAUAGUAGCAAAUAUAGCUAGGGCAAUUUUGUUUAGGUAUAAAAAACAGUAGCUACAAUUUGUAAAAAGCAUGAGCAACUGAUCUGAUUCAUCUCAUCCUCUCUCGAUCUGCAGGAUACAAGUGGAACAAGGCAGGGGCGUAGGUGCUUGCUACUCAGGCACGGCGGCAGAGCCAAGCACACCCUCCUCUCCCAAGGUACCAACCCCUCUUCCUCUCCCCCUGUAUAUACUGCUGUCCAGUACAUUUUUUUGCUCAAUUUGUUGCUGUCCAAUACAUCUUGUUAAAAUUGCUGUUGACCAGUACAUCUUUGCAAUAUAUGGUGAUGUGUACCAUUCUUGAUAGGAUGUAUCAAUUGUAGUAGAUGGUCAAGAAGAUGUAUCAAUCCUUGACAUGCCAAUGUAGUUUCCAUGUUGUGAUGGAGGCCUUUUUUGCCUUGUCCACCCGAGAGGCCCUUGAGUUUGCCGGAAUGUCGAUUAACUUCCGUUCCGGCAAAUUCGGGUACUCCAUAUGUCCUAUUUUCAGCAAAGGUCAUGCUGAAAUUUUCCGUGAAUUUUAGCAUGACUUUGCUAAAAAUAGGACAUAUGGGGCACUUCCGACUAAUGCAUGGGCCGGGGUAUCUUAGUACCUAAUUAAGUAGGUCAACUGCCUCUUGUGUUAUUCAUAUAGAAGUGUGAUAUCUACUCAUAGUUAUUACUAAUGUCAGUUGCUCGUCAUCGAUAAACCCUAAUCUGGUAGGAUGACCUACUAAAAAAGCCCAUACCACAUAUUCUAUUUGGAUGGGCGAGUUUUCACCACACUGUGGAUUAUCUUAUUGGACCCAACAGAGAUGAUGUAGUUUUGAAUUAUGAACAUAGGAAAUGUCGUCAUCGGACGACGAAAGUCUCUCGGGGGAGUGCGACUGGUGCCACGACGGUCGAGGUCUGUGCGACAGGCCUCACCUGGACGAUGAUCGGCGCUUCAGCAUUAAGCUCGAGGAGACCUUCGAAGUUGAAACGGUACGCAACGACGACAAGUGUGUUUUUCAUAAUUAAGCAUGACUUCAACUAUUCCAACGUGUAAUUUCAUCUUUUACAAUUCGAGUAUAGUUUAUCCCAUGCCAUGCAAGACGCUAUGUCUUGGAGAGGAUGGAUUUUGAAGAUCAUGAAAAUUUUGAAAUGAAGAAAAUUCACCUAAGGACACAUCAUGAUGUGGAUUUUGAAGUAAAUCUGUAUAAUGUUGAGAGCGUAACCCAUUUUGGUUGCAAAAAUUGGGAAGCAUUUUGCAAGAUGUAUGGUUUUGAUGAGGGUAUGCUUGUCACCAUGGAUCUUGGUGAUCCUGGCAUCGACCAAGACAAUAUGGACAUUUGGGUCCUUGUUGAUACGCCUCCAGUUCUACCGCUAUGUGAGUUUCUCAAACAUAGUUAAUUAUUAACUAAUCUAUAUUGUUUAUUUCAAAAUAGUUGACAACUUAUUUCCAUUGACAGCUUAUUUUGAUUGUUCAAAAAAUGUGUGGAAAAUGGUAGACAAAACCCACUACACCGAUGGCUCCGAGUUAACUUAUCAGGAGAAAAUUCAUCUGGUCGGAUUUGUACUGAUCUUGAGAAUUACAAUAUCUACAAUCAAACUCCUCAACAUUAUGGUCAAUACGUGCCACUAGUGCACGUGUUGAACUACGGUAACUACCAUGGAGAUACCCUGGUAAGAUUUCUUACUAUUACGACAUCCGUGCAUCUUUUGCAUACUUCUAAAACUAGUACAUCAUUGCUAACUAUGAAGUUAUUACUAUGUUUUUCAACAGAGAAUCCCAGAGGAUUGUGUGCCUCAUUUGAUGUAUCAGAAUGGCAGCCUUCAAGUUUUGAACUUAUAUCCAGGUCAUCCUACAAAUCUCAACUGUCCAUACCGGAUUUCUAGAAGAAGUGGAGACAUGCUAAUCAGAGAAUGGAAAAAAUGUAUGGACAGUCGUAAGGAGGUUCUUGGAAGCAAAAGGAAGCGCCGCACAAGAAUUGGAGACAGGAUGAUCUCCAUUCUCCAUAAUGGAGAGUCAGGGUCUAUAUUGUUUUAUGCUAUUUUACCUUAGAUAGGGUCUUUUAGGUCCUGCCUAAUACUGAUGAUUAUGUGCUAAGAACAAUUAAGUAGGGUUGGUUCGAUGACUAUCAGGAUGAUGAUCGUAUGACUUGUUAUUAAUAACGAGUAGAAGUUGUAUGAUGAUGAUUAGUAGGACUUGUUAGGAUUAGUAUUAAUUUCGACAAACUCGCUACUCGCGGUCUCGAGACUUGUAAUGUUCUAUCUUUGUUCGGUCUUUUGAUUUCGAAUACUAAUAUGAUGAAUUGUAUUCGGAGACUAAAAUGAUGAAUUGUAUUCAGAGACUAAUCUUCUAUUGUAUUCGAUGAAUCUGUUGUUGAUGUGUGCUGUCUAUAUUUUGUCCAAUUAUACAUUUUGUAACCUGUGCAAAAAACAGAAAAAUAAAAAAUAAAAAAACCUAAUAUUCAUACUAAUGGCGCAUCACAUCAUAGUGCGCCAUUAGUAUGCCAGAGGAUACUAAUGGCGCAUCACUAAACAGUGCGAUAUUAGUAUGCCGAAGUUACUAAUGGCGCAUCCAUUUGCUGUGCGCCAUUAGUAUGCCAAAGCACCUGGGUAUAGAUGGCCCCCUGGGAGGCAUACUAAUGGCGCACUGUUGUAUAUACUAAUGGCGCAUCUGGGGUGCGCCAUUAGUAAAAUAUACUAAUGGCGUGCUACUAAUGGCGCACCACUAAUGCGCCAUUAAUGGCCAAAUUAGCUGCGCCAUUAGUAGGCCUUUUCCUAGUAGUGAACCGGGACCAAUAGGCAUCCACGCGUCAGCACCUGGCAGGAGCUGAGGUUUUUGUUUUUUUAAAGGGGGGGGGGGGUUUGGGGGUUUUGGGGGGUUAAUUUAGGUUGUUAUUAGGUAGCUAUUAGAGAGAAGUGUCCUCUCUUAUAUCUCCGUGCUUGGUUUACCAACGCUACGUACUGCUAUGCCUAAACAUGGCUUAGAUUGAAGUGAAGGCAACAUGUGGUGCAUGUCGAAAGUAAUACUAAUCCGGACUUGAUCAUGUUUGGAUUGUACUACUUUCGACACGCACCACAUGCAUGUUGCCUUCACUUCAAUCCAAUCCAUGUUCAUUUCACCCGCUGAUAUAUAAUAACUCUUCAUGCGCGCAUCAUGCAUCAUCAUAUAUAAUAACAAGUCCUACUAAUCAUCAUCAUACAACUUCUACUCGUUAUUAAUAACAAGUCAUACGAUCAUCAUCCUCACAGUCAUCGAACCAACCCUACUUAAUUGUUCUUAGCACAUGAUCAUCAGUAUUAGGUAGGACCGAAAUACCCUCUUUAAGGUAAAAUAGCAUAAAACAAUAUAGACCCUGACUCUCCAUUAUGGAGAAUGGAGAUCAUCCUGUCUCCAAUUCUUGCGCCUCGCUUCCUUUUGCUUCCAAGAAGCUCCUUGCGACUGUCCAUACAUUUUUUUCAUUAUUUGAUUUUCAUGUCUCCACUUCUUUUAGAAAUCCGGUAUGGACAGUUGAGAUUCGUAGGAUGACCUGGUUGUAUAUUCAAAACAUCAAGCCUACCAUUCUGAUACAUCAAAUGAGGCACACAAUCCUCUGGGAUUAUCUGUUGAAAAACAUAGUAAUAACUUCAUAGUUAGCAAUGAUAAUGUACUAGUUUUAGAACUAUGCAAAAUAUGCACGGAUGUCGUAAUAGUAAGAAAUCUUACCAGGGUAUCUCCAUAGUAGUUACCGUAGUUCAACACGUGCACUAGUGGCACGUAUUGAGGACCAUAAUGAUGAGGAGUUUGAUUGUAGAUAUUGUAAUUCUCAAUAUCAGUACAAAAUCCGACCAUAUGAGUUUUCUCCUUAUAAGUUAACUCAGAGCCAUCGGUGUAGUAGGUUCUGUCUACCAUGUUCCGCACAUUGUUUGAACAAUCAAAAUAAGCUGUCAAUGAAAAUAAGCUGUCAACUAUUUUGAAAUGAACAAUAUAAAUUAGCUAAUAACUAUGUUUGAGAAACUCACAUAGCGGUAGAAUUGGAGGCGUAUCAACAAGGACCCAAAUGUCCAUAUUGUCUUGCUCGAUGUCAGGAUCACCAAGAUCCAUGGUGACAAGCAUACCCUCAUCAAAACCAUACAUCUUGCAAAAUGCUUCCCAAUUUUUGCAACCAAAAUGGAUUACGCUCUCAGAAUUAUACAGCUUUACUUCAAAAUCUAUAUCAUGAUGGGUCCUUAGGUGAAUUUUCUUUGUUUCCAUACUUUCAUGGUCUUCAAAACCCAUCCUCUCCAAGACGUAGCAUCUUGCAUGGCAUGGGAUAAGCUAGCCGAAUUGUAAAAGAUGAAAAGUACAUGUUGAAAUAGUUGAAGUCGUGCUUAAUUAUGAAAAAAUAACACUUGUCGUCGUUUCGUACCAUUUCAACAUCGAACGUCUCCUCCAGCUUAAUACUGAAGCGCCGAUCUUCGUCCAGGUGAGGCCUGUCGCACUGACCUCGGUCGUCGUGGCACCAGUCGCACUCCCCCGGGAGACUUUCGUCGUCCGAGUACGACAUUUCCUAUGUUCAUAAUUCAAAUAUUAAACAUCUACAAUUAAAUAUAUGUACUAAAAAACCUAACUUAGAUCAUUAUUAUUCAUCACGGGUUGACUAUCGGUUUGUCGAGUCUUUUCUUGAAAACACUCAGCUGACGUGGUGUAUACAUUCGACCGUUGGUGAUGGUCGCUCCUCCCUUUGUCCCCGUGUGCAUUACACCAAAAUGUCUAGCUAGCACACGGGAACAAAGGAGAAGCGACCCCCACGACAACAGUCGGGAUUCUUCGUCCUCUCAUAUAUAUAUGGUGGAACUCUCCCUCACUGAUUCCUCUCUGACAUUUGCGAUCGUCGGUGAUGGUAGCUCCUCCUUUCGUUCUCGAGUGCAUUACACCAAAUUGUCUAGCACACGGGAACGAAGGAGAAGCUACCCCCACGACAACAGUCGGGAUUCUUCGUCCUCUCAUAUAUGGUGGAGACUCGACAGACUUACAGUCAACCCGAAAUAUCGUUUAAUUAUCUUUCUAAAAGAGGAUUUGGCUGGUCUCACCUCGAUGUCGGAGGGGGCGGUGACGGGGACGACGGCGGGGAUGAUGGAGGGGCCGGGGGCUCCUAGAUUUCUGCGAAAACAAAAACCCUAUAAGCUAUCAACUAAUCAUAGUGCUCUCCAAUUUUAGCAUUCAAAGUAGGAUCGGAGUAGUUUUCCACUUUGAGCAUUCAAUAAGCAAAAUCAAGUCACAAAAUAAAGUAGUAUUCAAAUUAGGAUGCAUUCAAUUAUAAGCAAAACUACAUCAUCUCCAUGCGUCCGUACAUUGCCGAAUAUUAUCACUAAUACACCUCGAAUACUAUCAUACAUAUAGCAUCGCUAGUACAGCUAGAACAGUAGCGCCCGACGGGUAUCGGCGCGGGCGGUGGACACCCAAAGGGACGGAACCAUCACAGGAUCAUAGCUCCAGUGAGAUCCCUGAAGAACCUGCCAGGUAUUGUCGAACCUGCCCUCCAACGCAACCAUGUAGCGACGGACGUGCUGGUCCUCCUCGCUGACACGGUGACGUACCACCUCCGCGGUGUCCGGAAGCCUCGGCACCGUCACUGGCCCAUGCGAGCGCCACCAAACAAGGAUCGGGUCAACGACGGGCUGGUUCCUCACCAACCUACGCCCACCGGAAGGUAGCACCUCCCAAAACCAGCCCGGCAGAGCCCAGUCCCGGACAUGGCCCCUCUGAUCAAGCCGGCCUCCUCCGCCGGGUCGACGACGAGGAUGCGGGAUAGGCAUCGUCGACGUCGAUGCGGGAAUAAUUGCUUUAACUAAAAAAACAAACUAGUUCUAUUAAUUUCCUUACUAUAAAUAGAAUAAAGUAGUACUUACUAAAAAUAAACUAUCUAGUUUAACUAGUUCUAUUAUUUUUCUAACUAAUUCUAUUAAACACUUUCUAAGUAGUACUUACUAAAAGUUAUCGGGGAGGGGGGUACAUAUAUCGACAAUGACAUACCCGAUAAAAAAUAAGAAGAGGAAGAAGACGAAAAAAAGAGGAGAAGAAGAAAGGAAUAGAGGAGGAGAUCGAAAAAAAAGAAAAAAGAGGAGAAGAAGAAGGAAUAGAGGAGAAGAAGAAGAAAUAGAAUAAUAUAUUUAUUCUAUUUCUUCUUCUUCUCCUCUAUUUCUUCUUCUUCUACUCUUUUUUUUGUUCUUUUUCAUCUUCUUUUUAUUUCUCCUCUACUUCCUCUCCUCUUCUUCUUAUUCUUCUUCUUCUUCUCCUUCUUCCUCUUCUUAUUUUCCUUUUUUCUCUCCUUCUUUUUCUUCUAAAUAUGAACAUACAUAAAUGACUUCUAAAUAUGAAAAAUCUAAACUACACAUCUAAAUUAAUACAUCUAAAUUACAACAGCUAAAUUAACUACACAUCUAACUACACAUCCAAAUUAAUACAACUAAAUUACAAAUCUAAGUUAAACUACGUACACAUAUAAUAGCUAUAGGGGGCGUGGCGGCAGCGGCGGCGGCCAUUACAGGGAGGAGGAGGAGGGGAUCGUGGCGGCGCUCACAGGGUGGCGGAGGGCNNNNNNNNNNNNNNNNNNNNNNNNNNNNNNNNNNNNNNNNNNNNNNNNNNNNNNNNNNNNNNNNNNNNNNNNNNNNNNNNNNNNNNNNNNNNNNNNNNNNNNNNNNNNNNNNNNNNNNNNNNNNNNNNNNNNNNNNNNNNNNNNNNNNNNNNNNNNNNNNNNNNNNNNNNNNNNNNNNNNNNNNNNNNNNNNNNNNNNNNNNNNNNNNNNNNNNNNNNNNNNNNNNNNNNGGGACCAAAGGCCUCUUUUCACCAGCGCAAAGGGCGGGAAGCAGAGGGCUUUGGUCCCGGUUGGUGGCACCAACGGGACCAAAGGGGAGCAUUGGUUCCGGUUGGAGCCACCAACCGGGACUAAUGUGCUGGCGCGGUGCGAUGGGAAGUUUAGUCCCACCUCGCUAGCUGAGAGAGCUUAGCACCUGUUUAUAAGCUGCGUUGCAGCUCAGGUGCUGAGCUCCUCUCUAAUAUGCAGGCAUUACAUGCCUACCUUUGUCACUGCCAUGUUGGGCCUAUUGGGCCUGCGGGCCUGCAUCCUGGCCCAUGUGCAGAUGGGUUUCUAGUCGUAUGCAGGCCGUGUGGCCCAUUAGGCGGCAUUUUUUUAUUUUUUCCAGUAUUUUUUUGUUUUUUGAAUUAUUUAUUUUCUUUUGAUUUUUGCUUUAUUUUUUAUUCUUUUUGCUUUUAGCUCAGAAUAAUUAUAAACUUUCUGUUACUCCAUUAGUUUCCAAAUUUGAAUAGUUUAAAUUUCAUCCGGAAACUCGUCUGUUACAAAGGGAUUUCAUUUUUUUAAACUUAUUUGAACUCCUGACUUUUUGUGUGUUCAAAAUGCACCAUUCAAAGCCACAUCAUCAUUUGUCAAUCCUUUCUGACUUUAUUUGUUAUUUUUCAUGCAUUUACUAAUUAUUUUGAGCUAUAAGAUCCUAAAAUUGAAAAGCAUUUCAAAUGAACUCUGAAAAGGUUGAAAGUUGGCAUGAUAUCAUCAUUUCAUCCACAUAGCAUGUGCAAGAAAGUUGAGAGGGUUACGGCAAAAACUGGAUGCACUUCGUGUACAAAACGGACAAUCUCUUUCAAAGUAUCAGGAUUUCAUCCGGAAACUCGUCUGUUACAAAUGGAUUUCAUUUUUUAAAACUUAUUUGAACUCCUGACUUUUUGUGUGUUCAAAAUGCACCAUUCAAAGCCACAUCAUCAUUUUUCAAUCCUUUCUGACUUCAUUUGUUAUUUNNNNNNNNNNNNNNNNNNNNNNNNNNNNNNNNNNNNNNNNNNNNNNNNNNNNNNNNNNNNNNNNNNNNNNNNNNNNNNNNNNNNNNUACAAAAUGGACAAUCUCUUCCAAAGUAUCAGGAUUUCAUCCGGAAACUCGUCUGUUACAAAGGGAUUUCAUUUUUUAAAACUUAUUUGAACUCCUGACUUUUUGUGUGUUCAAAAUGCACCAUUCAAAGCCACAUCAUCAUUUGUCAAUCCUUUCUGACUUCAUUUGUUAUUUUUCAUGCAUUUUCUAAUUAUUUUGAACUAUAAGACCCUAAAAUUGAAAAGCAUUUCAAAUGAACUCUGAAAAGGUUUUGUUUCUACUUACAACAAAAAACUUAUUUAUUUUAUUUCUAAUUACUUAUGUAUUUCACUUUAAUUAUUUUAUUUUUAUUUAUUUUACUGCUGCUCUUUUUAUUUAUUUUACUGCUGCUAUUUUUACUUAAUUUAUUAAGGUUUAUUUGUUUUAGUUACUAUAGUUUAUUUUAUUUUAUUUUAUUAAGGUUUAUUUAGUUUUAUUUAUUUUAUUAAGGUUUAUUUAUUUUAUAAAUAUAAAAAAUGAACAUAGAUGCACUUAUAGAGAAAAUUCAACCUAAAUUCAUAAUAAAUUUCUAUGAAAUUUACUAUGAAUUUAAGUCAAAUUUCCUGUAUAAGGGCAUCUAUUUUCACUUUAAGAGAAGCUCAACAAGGCAUAGAGGGACAGGCUUAUAAACUGGUGUGAGCGCCCUUCGGUUGGCGAGGUGGGACUAAACACUGGCCGCAACUAGGACCAGCCCUUUAGUCCCCGUUUGUGGUAUGAACCGGGACUAAAGGGUGGUGGGCCAGGAGAGUGGCCCAUUGGUCCCGGUUUGUACCACCAACCGGGACCAAAGGGUCCAUACGAACCGGGACCAAUGCCCACGAGGCCCCGGCCGGCCCCCUGGGCUCACGAACCGGGACCAAUGCUCACAUUAGUCCCGGUUCGUGACUGAACCGGGGCUAAUGUGAAAACUGCCCUGUGACCUAAGCCCUGUUUUCUACUAGUGAUGGGUCUCUUAUGUUUAUAUAAGCAUGGCCGCAUCCAACUACUACCAUUUAAAAUUCCUGUUAGACCGAGUUCAUGCGGGUGGUGCGAGUUUCUGUCGUUAGCCUCCUUUUUUCUCACCUCCCAUGCUCUCUCUUUUCAGGACAUUUCAAUUUGGUACCUCAAAGACACCAUUGUAUGUGGCAUGUGGUGCAGAUCCCUGUCAAAAGGAUUCACUUAGGAGCAGACUUAAUUCGAACAUCCAGAAACAAGAACUCAGGUACCCACGGGCGCUCCUCAGAGCUCAGGCACUCUCAGCCGUCCGAUCCGUUUCCUGAUGCGAUCUGAGCCGUCCGAUGUCGAGCCCGAUCGCCAUGAGCCAUCCGAUUUUGACCCUGAUCGACCUGGGCUGUCGGAUAAAAUUUCAAUGGCAACAAAAUGUAAAUACCCCACCAGGGCAUUUUGGUCAUUCCGGUUAGGGGUAUAAAGGGAGGCGCUGCCAUGGGAGACCUAGGGUGCGUUUGGAUCUCAAGCAAGCCAUACUCUAGCCUCGCCCAGCCAGGAUAGUUGUUUGGUGGAGUAGAAAAAAGCUAGCUUUGCCUAGCAAACUAGCCUGCGUGAGCUAGAAAAUCCAUGCCCAAACAGGAGAGCCGAUUUGGCUCGCCUCCAUCGGCAAGAAUUGAACACAAGCAUAUUAAGCAUGUAACUGCCGUUGUAAUCGUGGUUUAGUGGAGGCUAGGCAAAUAAACCAAACAAGUGGCCUUGCUUGUAUGAGCUAUGCCUCGGGUGAGCUAGAAUCCUAUUGCCUGGCUGGGCAUGUUUAGCUAGAGAACCAAACACACCUAGCCGCCUCCUCCCGCACCUCCUCCCCCACCCGCCCACUCUCCCUCUCUUGCCCGAUCCCCUCCCAACCAUAGCAGCCGCCGCCGCGCUCUCGUCCAUCUCUCCUCCCGUCCCCCCCCCCUGCCGUCUUCUUCGCCCUGCCCGCCUGAUCCCCGCUGCCCACUUCCCCGGCGUCGUUGCUGUCGUCCACCACCACCGCCACCACGCCCCCACCCUCUCCCCAUCGCUGCCGGGCCCCACCUUCUCCCAAUCACCCCACCUUCUCUCCCGUGGCCCGUGGAUUCGCCCCUCGUGGGAUCGAUUCCUCCGAGCCGGUGGUCUGCAGGGCCGGACAGGAGCGGCGCGUCCCCCAUCAGCGCGUCGGUGGCGACGGUCCCGCGGGUCGAGGCUGACCCCCAACGGCGCUGGCACUGCGUCAAGCUGUCGCGCGCUUCUGCUCGCGGGUCAUCGACGGCUAGCACCAGGGGGAGCCAUCACUAGCAGCGGCGGUCGGGCUGAUGCGGACACGGCUGUGCGCUCGACGUGAGGCAGCGUCAGCGACGAGCUCACCAGGCUCUCCCACCACGCCUGCUGGACCUCCAGGUACACAUCUCUCUCCCCCUCCACCUCUCUCUCUCUCUCUAACCCUACUCCUUCCAUCGUCUUGGCUUGCAGGUUGCCGCCGCCGCGGAGCUGGACGAGGUCAUGGCGGCUUCAAGCUUUUUAGGCUAAUGCUCCUCUGUCCACGGAAUCCCAGAGCAGCAAGGUGUGUUCCUGCUACUCCCUAUACCUCUUGAUGUUACCAUUCUCCGUCCAUAGCUAAGAUGUGUUGCUGCUGCUGUAGAUUGACAUUUGUAUGCUCUUGCUGCUAUACAUUUGAUUAUCCGUAGCUUUUUAGACUGAUACUCCUCUGUCCAUGGAGUCCUAGAGCGAAACAUGAUGUUCUUUGUGUUGGAAAUAUGCCCUAGAGGCAAUAAUAAAUUGGUUAUUAUUAUAUUUCCUUGUUCAUGAUAAACGUUUAUUAUCCAUGCUAUAAUUGUAUUGAUAGGAAACUCAGAUACAUGUGUGGAUACAUAGACAACACCAUGUCCCUAGUAAGCCUCUAGUUGACUAGCUCGUUGAUCAAUAGAUGGUCACGGUUUCCUGACCAUGGACAUUGGAUGUCGUUGAUAACGGGAUCACAUCAUUAGGAGAAUGAUGUGAUGGACAAGACCCAAUCCUAAGCCUAGCACAAGAUCGUGUAGUUCGUUUGCUCAGAGCUUUUCUAAUGUCAAGUAUCAUUUCCUUAGACCAUGAGAUUGUGCAACUCCCGGAUACCGUAGGAAUGCUUUGGGUGUACCAAACGUCACAACGUAACUGGGUGGCUAUAAAGGUGCACUACAGGUAUCUCCGAAAGUGUCUGUUGGGUUGGCACGAAUCAAGACUGGGAUUUGUCACUCCGUGUAAACGGAGAGGUAUCUCUGGGCCCACUCGGUAGGACAUCAUCAUAAUGUGCACAAUGUGACCAAGGAGUUGAUCACGGGAUGAUGUGAGUUACGGAACGAGUAAAGAGACUUGCCGGUAACGAUAUUGAACAAGGUAUAGGGAUACCGACGAUCGAAUCUCGCGCAAGUAACAUACCGAUUGACAAAGGGAAUUGGAUACGGGAUUGAUUGAAUCCUCGACAUCGUGGUUCAUCCGAUGAGAUCAUCGUGGAACAUGUGGGAGCCAACAUGGGUAUCCAGAUCCCGCUGUUGGUUAUUGACCGGAGAACGUCUAGGUCAUGUCUGCAUGGUUCCCGAACCCGUAGGGUCUACACACUUAAGGUUCGGUGACGCUAGGGUUAUAGAGAUAUUAGUAUGCGGUAACCCGAAAGUUGUUCGGAGUCCCGGAUGAGAUCCCGGACGUCACGAGGAGUUCCGGAAUGGUCCGGAGGUAAAGAUUUAUAUAUGGGAAGUCUUAUUUUGGUCGCCGGAAAAGUUUUGCACUUUAUCGGUAUUGUACCGGGAGUGCCGAAAGGGGUCCGGGGGUCCACCAAGGGGGUCCACCAGCCCCGGGGGGGCACAUGGGCUGUAGGGGGUGCGCCUUGGCCUAUAUGGGCCAAGGGCACCGGCCCCAAGAGGCCCAUGCGCCAAGAGAUAAGGAAAAGGGAGAGUCCUAAAGGGGGAAGGCACCUCUGAGGUGCCUUGGGGGGGAAGGACUCCUCCCUGGCCGCACCCUUCCUUGGAGGAAGGGCCAAGUCUGCGCCCCCCCCUCUCCCUUGGCCCUAUAUAUAGUGGGGGGAAGGGAGGGCAGCAAGACCUAAGCCCUGGCGCCUCCCUCUCCCUCCCAUGACACACCUCCCUCCUCCCGCAGCGCUUGGCGAAGCCCUGUUGGAAUCCCGCUACUUCCACCACCACGCCGUCGUGCUGCUGGAUCUCCAUCAACCUCUCCUCCCCCCUUGCUGGAUCAAGAAGGAGGAGACGUCGCUGCUCCGUACGUGUGUUGAACGCGGAGGUGCCGUCCGUUCGGCGCUAGGAUCAUCGGUGAUUUGAAUCACGACGAGUACGACUCCAUCAACCCCGUUCUCUUGAACGCUUCCGCUCGCGAUCUAUAAGGGUAUGUAGAUGCACUCCCCUUCCCCUCGUUGCUAGAUUACUCCAUAGAUUGAUCUUGGUGAUGCGUAGAAAAUUUUGAAUUUCUGCUACGUUCCCCAACAGUGGCAUCAUGAGCUAGGUCUAUGCGUAGUUUCUUUGCACGAGUAGAACACAAAGUAGUUGUGGGCGUAGAUGUUGCCAAUUCUUCUUGCCGCUACUAGUCUUAUCUUGUUUCGGCGGCAUUGUGGGAUGAAGCGGCCCGGACCGACCUUACACGUACGCUUACGUGAGACAGGUUCCACCGACUGACAUGCACUAGUUGCAUAAGGUGGCUAGCGGGUGUCUGUCUCUCCCACUUUAGUCGGAACGGAUUCGAUGAAAAGGGUCCUUAUGAAGGGUAAAUAGAAAUUGGCAUAUCACGUUGUGGUUUUACGUAGGUAAGAAACGUUCUUGCUAGAAACCUAUACAAGCCACGUAAAAACUUGCAACAACAAUUAGAGGACGUGUAACUUGUUUUUGCAGCAUGUGCUAUGUGAUGUGAUAUGGCCAGUAGAUGUGAUGAAUGAUAUAUGUGAUGUAUGAGAUUGAUCAUAUUCUUGUAAUAGGAAUCACGACUUGCAUGUCGAUGAGUAUGACAACCGGCAGGAGCCAUAGGAGUUGUCUAUUUUUUGUAUGACCUGCGUGUCAUUGAAUAACGCCAUGUAAAUUACUUUACUUUAUUGCUAAGCGCGUUAUCCAUAGAAGUAGAAGUAACCGUUGGCGUGACAACUUCAUGAAGACACAAUGAUGGAGAUCAUGGUGUCAUGCCGGUGACGAAGAUGAUCAUGGUGCCCCGAAGAUGGAGAUCAAAGGAGCAAAAUGAUAUUGGCCAUAUCAUGUCACUAUUUGAUUGCAUGUGAUGUUUAUCAUGUUAUGCAUCUUAUUUGCUUAGAACGACGGUAGUAAGUAAGAUGAUCCCUCACUAAAAUUUCAAGAGACGUGUUCCCCCUAACUGUGCACCGUUGCGAAGGUUCGUUGUUUCGAAGCACCACGUAAUGAUCGGGUGUGAUAGAUUCUAACGUUCGAAUACAACGGGUGUUGACGAGCCUAGCAUGUACAGACAUGGCCUCGGAACACAUGCAAAACACUUAGGUUGACUUGACGAGCCUAGCAUGUACAGACAUGGCCUCGGAACACAAGAGACCGAAAGGUCGAACAUGAGUCGUAUAGUAGAUACGAUCAACAUGGAGAUGUUCACCGAUGAUGACUAGUCCGUCUCACGUGAUGAUCGGACAUGGCCUAGUUUGACUCGGAUCAUGUAUCACUUAGAUGACUAGAGGGAUGUCUAUCUGAGUGGGAGUUCAAUAAUCAGAUGAACUUCAUUAUCAUGAACAUAGUCAAAAGGUCUUUGCAAAUUAUGUCAUACGCUUUAGUUCUACUGUUAAAGAUAUGUUCCUAGAGAAAAUUUAGUUGAAAGUUGGUAGUAGCAAUUAUGCGGACUGGGUCCGUAAACUGAGGAUUGUCCUCAUUGCUGCACAGAAGGCUUAUGUCCUUAAUGCACUGCUCGGUGUGCUGAACCUCAACGUCGUCUGUAGAUGUUACGAAACAUCUGGCAUACACGUUUUGAUGACUACGUGAUAGUUCAGUGCGUAUUGCUAACGGUUUAGAAUUGUGGCACCAAAGACGGUUUUGAAACGUCGCAGAACAUAUGAGAUGUUCCGAAGACUGAAAUUGGGAUUUCAGACUAGUGCCCACGUCAAGAGGUAUGAGACCUCUGACAAGUUUCUUAAGCCUGCAAACUAAGGGAGAAAAGCUCAAUCGUUGAGCAUGUGCUCAGAUUGUCUGAGUACCACAAUCGCUUGAAUCGAGUGGGAGUUCAUCUCCCAGAUGAGAUAGUGAUGGUUCUCCAUAGUCACUGCCACCAAGCUAGUAGAGCUUCGUGAUGAACUAUAAAUAUCAAGGAUAGAUGAUGAUCCUUGAGCAACUCGUGAUGUUUGACACCGCGAAGGUAGAAAUCAAGAAGGAGCAUCAAUUAUUGAUGGUUAGUAAAACCACUAGUUUCCAGAAGGGCAAGGGCAAAAGGGAUACUUCAUGAAACAGCAAAUCAUUUGCUGCUCUAGUGAAGAAUCCCAAGGUUGAACCCAAACCCGAGACUAAGUGCUUCUGUAAUGAGGGGAACGGUCACUGAAGCAGUACUACCCUAGAUGCUUGGUAGAUGAGAAGGCAGGCAAGGUCGACAGAAGUAUAUUGGAUAUACAUUAUAUGAAUGUGUACUUUACUAGUACUCCUAGCAGCACCAGGGUAUUAGAUACCGGUUCGGUUGCUAAGUGUUAGUAACUCGAAAUAAAAGCUGCGGAAUAAAUGGAGACUGGCUAAAGGUGAGAUGACGAUGUGUGUUGGAAGUGUUUCCAAGGUUGAUGUGAUCAAGCAUCGCAUGCUCCCUCUACCAUUGAGAUUUGGUGUUUGCGUUGAGCAUGAUUGGAUUAUGUUUAUCGCAAUACGGUUAUUCAUUUAAGGAGAAUAAUGGUUACUCUGUUUAUUUGAAUAAUACCUUCAAUGGUCUUGCACCUAAAAUGAAUCUCGAUCGUAGUGAUACACAUGUUCAUGCCAAAAGUAAUGAUAGUACCACAUACUUGUGGCACUGCUAUUUGAGUCAUAAUGGGAUAAAACGCAUGAAGAAGCUCCAUGUAGAUGGAUCUUUGGACUCACUCGUUUUUGAAAAGAAUGAGACAUGCGAACCAUGUCUAUUGGUAUAUAUACAUGAAGAAACUCCAUGCAGAUGGAUCGUUUGGACUCACUUGAUUUUGAAUCACUUGAGACAUGCAAAUCAUACCACAUGGGCAAGAUGACUGAAAGGCCUCGUUUUCAGUAAAAUGGUUGACAAAUGGAAUCUCGGGCAAGAUGACAUGCAAAUCAUACCUUGGAUCAUGCAAAUCAUACCUUGGAUCAUGCAUUGCGGUACGAGUAAAGAGACUUGCCGGUAACGAGAUUGAACAAGGUAUAGGGAUACCGACGAUCGAAUCUCGGGCAAGUAACAUACCGAUUGACAAAGGGAAUUGGAUACGGGAUUGAUUGAAUCCUCGACAUCGUGGUUCAUCCGAUGAGAUCUUCGUGGAACAUGUGGGAGCCAACAUGGGUAUCCAGAUCCCGCUGUUGGUUAUUGACCGGAGAACGUCUCGGUCAUGUCUGCAUGGUUCCCGAACCCGUAGGGUCUACACACUUAAGGUUCGGUGACGCUAGGGUUAUAGAGAUAUUAGUAUGCGGUAACCCGAAAGUUGUUCGGAGUCCCGGAUGAGAUCCCGGACGUCACGAGGAGUUCCGGAAUGGUCCGGAGGUAAAGAUUUAUAUAUGGGAAGUCUUAUUUUGGUCGCCGGAAAAGUUUCGCACUUUAUCGGUAUUGUACCGGGAGUGCCGAAAGGGGUCCGGGGGUCCACCAAGGGGGUCCACCAGCCCCGGGGGGGCACAUGGGCUGUAGGGGGUGCGCCUUGGCCUAUAUGGGCCAAGGGCACCAGCCCCAAGAGGCCCAUGCGCCAAGAGAUAAGGAAAAGGGAGAGUCCUAAAGGGGGAAGGCACCUCCGAGGUGCCUUGGGGGGGAAGGACUCCUCCCUGGCCGCACCCUUCCUUGGAGGAAUGGCCAAGGCUGCGCCCCCCCCCUCUCCCUUGGCCCUAUAUAUAGUGGGGGGAAGGGAGGGCAGCAAGACCUAAGCCCUGGCGCCUCCCUCUCCCUCCCGUGACACACCUCCCUCCUCCCGCAGCGCUUGGCGAAGCCCUGUUGGAAUCCCGCUACUUCCACCACCACGUCGUCGUGCUGCUGGAUCUCCAUCAACCUCUCCUCCCCCCUUGCUGGAUCAAGAAGGAGGAGACGUCGCUGCUCCGUACGUGUGUUGAACGCGGAGGUGCCGUCCGUUCGGCGCUAGGAUCAUCGGUGAUUUGGAACACGACGAGUACGACUCCAUCAACCCCGUUCUCUUGAACGCUUCCGCUCGCGAUCUACAAGGGUAUGUAGAUGCACUCCCCUUCCCCUCGUUGCUAGAUUACUCCAUAGAUUGAUCUUGGUGAUGCGUAGAAAAUUUUGAAUUUCUGCUACGUUCCCCAACACUUUGUCGAGUGAUCUGUGAAAAACAAAGGGUUCGGUUUGUUUGUGUUAGAUUGAUGUUUCUGAAAGAGAAUGGGAAGAAUGGCAUGUUCAUUGGCUUCUAUUGUUUGGUUUGGUCUGCCUAGGUUAUUAUGAUUUCUGGAUGCUCAGUUUGAAAUUAAUAAGAGAAGCAUUUGAAUCUGGUAUGUUUGGCAUGACCAAAUAAAUAAGGCUUGUUAUGUUUGGCAUGUUCAUUGGCUUCUAUUGUUCAUUGGCUCAAAUAAAUAAGAGAAGCAUUCAUGUAAGCUUUACUUGUGCUUUUGAAUCUGUAGUAUUUUCAGCUUGUUUUGGUUGUAUGCUUGAACAGAAUAACUCAAGUUUGCAUUUGUGUGUGGUAACAAAUAAAUAAGAGAAGCAUUUGUUAUGUUUGAAGCAACAAUAGACUGUACAAGCUGGGGUGAUUUUUGUCCUACCAUACAAAAUCAAUGAGACAAACCGUUAGUUUUCAAUCUCGCUUGUGCAUUUCUUGUGUGUUAUCUUAUAGUCGUCGUUGCUAUAUGCUUUACUUUGAGAACAGAUGAACUCUCUUAUGUUGAUCUCGAGAGAAAUUUGUUUUUUAGUUUUUCUUAGAUGUACUUUGAUCUGCUGUGAGUCUUGUGGUUGCAAUGAGUAUGUUUAUUUUGGCUAAAUUAUGAGUUGUCCUAAAUCCGAAGUUAUCCGCACAACUAGGAGGGGGUGGAGAUGAAACGGGGCCAAAUGAUCCCGCGGCAACAAUAGCAGAUAUAAAUUCGUGUUGCUAGGGUGCAGACUGACCUGACUUAUGUUCAAGUUGAUUUCAACCACCCUUGGAUCCCUUAGUAUGACUACUUAUAUAACCUCAUGGUGGAAGCAAGUGUUUUUUGUUUUCCUUCAGUCAUUUUUGUCGUGUGAAAUGAGCUGCUCUACAACUGUAAUGUAGCUUGAGUAUUUAUCUGUACUUGAAGUCUACAUUUGUUUUCUUAAGUAUACCAGAACCACCUGACCAUGAAUAAUUAAUUUCAUAACUGUUAAAUAAACUGAAUUGAGCAUUUCUUAGAUUUUUUGGUUCAGAGGUUUUAUUGUCUCUUUGGUAAUAUGUUGGAGUUUACUUUUCCUGUGUCAUCCGUUUAUUUUGGAAGUUAUUUGCAUGUAUACUGGUAUGCGGUUGUCUGUGUGCCCCCUUACAACUGCUUAUUAUCUAUAAGUGGUGAAAAAUAUUUUCCUGAGUUUAAUUGUAUGUAUCAAACCACUUGGUGGAAAGACCUCCUAUUGUGUCCUGACAUGUGAAUUGAAUGGUGGGGUUAUAUUAACAUUGCUCUUUGUUUUGCUGACCACUUCUUUAUUUCCCUUUGGAUGGGCUCACGUCGGCGUGGGGCACGGCGGCCGCCGAGGGAGCCAAGCUUUUGGUGUAUCAUGCUAUCUUUUGAACAGAGGGAUACAACUCUUACUCAUUUGCCACCUAAUUUAUAUGGAUCACUAAUUUAUAUGUUUCUUUAUGGCAUAGCAGAAGUGUCCUGCUAUGAACCAAUCCCUAAUUUAUAUGGUUUGUCUAUGCUAUCUUUUGAAGUAGGCGAAGGCGUCUGUCUGAAAGAAAGUGCUAUGCUUUGGUGUUGUUAUAGGUUCCAGAGGGGGCUGAAUAGGAAGCCAUUGGUUUUUAGAAUAUCACAAAAAUGUUCAGUUUUAGUGUCCAGUUCACUGCCAAUUCUCUUACUGCUUUUGUCGUGACCAUGCAAAUCAAUUAUCAUGUGGAUUGACUAUGCCUUGCUUAGCUUGCAUUGGGUUUAUUUUGAUGUUUGUGAUAUAGUAAACUCAUCUAUCAUGGAUGGUUACUUUGACUUUUUAGAUGUAAAUAGUUUCUCAAACCUUCCUACUAACUUCACCAUUACCUUCUUAAUUACAACGUUUGGACCGGCACCUUCGCACCAAGGCGCACAGCCGGCUCGCCGCAAAGUACACCUACGCCGUCGCCUCCCCGGGGCUGCAAGGUGAAGUGGACGGCCGAGGAGAAGCCGCAUGGCGGGACUGGGCUCUCAAGUGGGAGGCGGAGCUCGCCUCCCCCCAACGACGUCAGCUUUGAUCACAAGUGGAAGUGGGAGCCCAAGUCCAAGCCCGGUGCCGCCGGCAAGGCCAAGACCAAGCUCGAGGAAGCCAGCGAGGAUGACAAGAAUAAGCCGGCGAGGAAGUGCACGCAGAUCGAGGAGGUCCUCACCGGCUACGACGCCAUCCGCAAGGUACUCGGUACAAAAGAUGAACUUUUUUUUGGGGGGUUUCCAGUAGAUUUCCGACUGGUUACAGUAGUUUAAAGACUGCAGUGGAAUUUCAAUAUAAUGCCAAGUCAACUUACUGAAAGUUUGCAUACUGCCAAGUUAAUUUACUCCAUUCUUAAAUGAAUACUGCUAAGUUCCACAGAUGCAUGAGUAGAUUUAAGAGAAAGAUUGCAGUAGCUUAAACUUCACUUCACUGUUUUGGAAUAUUCAGUAGCUUUAAGAUUGCAGUAGAUUUUGACUUGGUGCAGUACUCAAACUUGCCUAGUUGCCUUGUUAGAUUGUUAACUUGCUUUUAUACUUUCUUGAUUGUGUUAAUUUUGUGGAGUAUUGUAUCUCAUGCUUAGUGCUACACCAAGAUUCAGUAUCUUGAACUACUCCAGUAUUGCUUGAACUACUCUAGGAGAUCAUCUUAAUUCUGUUAAUUCUAUGGAGUAGUUUCAGUAGUUUUACAGCAGCAGUACUCUUGCCUGCAUAUCCUUUUGUAAAACAAUAAUUUUAUCCUUGAUUUUCCUCUACAGGAUGAUGACUAUCUAAUGGUGAUUCCCUAUUCCCACAUUUUUUGCCCUCAUGUUGCAAGCUCUAAAGCUGCCCCUGCAAUUUACAAUCGCGAGACAUGUCUGGGCAGCAAGUCUCCUGUGACGGUUACUUUUAAUGCGUCGUUACAAUUGUUUGAUGGUUUGCUUGUUCCAACCUCGAUAUCUGGCUUUAGAUUCCCGUUGUUGUCUUUGUAGUGGAAGGUACCACCUGGUGGUAUGUUGCUAUUUUCACUUUGUUCUGAACAAGGCAUGUAUAGAUUUCAGAUUUUAAUUCCUAUCUCUAUGUCGUAAAAAGUAAUGUAUGGUCCUGUGUUUUAUCUCUGGUCGUAUGAAAGCACCGAGCUUGAUUCUGUCUUAUAACCUGAUGUUCAUCUUCAGUCCCAUUAUGUUUUGCUUCUAACACAAUUGAUUGUCUACACAUGCUAUUCGUGGGCUCUUACCGACAAAUUGUUACAUGUUUUGUCUAAACGUUCUGACCGGCACCCUGGCGCCACGGCGCGAACCGGAUCUAGUUAUGUAUGGUCUUAGAAACCCUGCACGGGCUCUCCAUGCCGCCACUCCCCCUUACAGCCUCUUAAUGCUCAAUAAAAGAAAAAAAUGAUGGUGUGCUGAUUUUAAUAUGGAUAGAAAUCUCUUUGGCUCCAAGGAUUCUUAAAAGAUGUUUUGAGGAUUCUAAUCCUUGGAAAUUCUUUGCGUACAUCUAUUAUUUUAUUCAUAAUAUUCAUUUUACUAUAUUUAUUCCAUGGAAUCAUACGUGUUAGGUUUAAUUCUUUGCGUACAUUUUGGAUCCCUUAGAAGGAAUCGUACAUUUUUCCUUGUAUAAUAAUCAAACAACAGCUCAUUUCUAAAGUGGUCGUGAAAAUACAUGUCGUUCUAAUUUUAACGUUUUCUUCCAAACAUUUGCUCAUUUCCUUAGAAUAAGAGUUAUGCGUAUCUGUUUGUUUCCAAACAUUAAAAAGAACACCUGCAAUCCAACGCCCAAACCUGGCAGCUGAUCCGGCGAGUGAAUUGCCGCCGCCGGCGAUGCAGCGGAGGAGAUUGCCGCCGCCGGCCACCACCCUGGACUCCUCCUCCUCCCCAAAUCCCGCAGCAACAGCCUCGUCGCCCUACUUCCUGCCGGAGCUCGCGAGUCGCCUGACCACCCUCCAGGAUUUCUUCGCCCUCCACGCCACCUACCGGGAUCUCCUCCCUCCGUCGCCGUCCGGCCUCGCCUCCCAAGCCCCGCACCUCCUCCUCGUCCCUGGAUCUCGAGCCCUGUUCCACCUCCCCCUCCGCCGCCACCUGCGUUUUCGUCUCCCCCUCCCCGAUGCAGAUCCUACCACCCCUGCCGCCUUCUACUCUUUCGGCUGCCGCGUCGCCAUAGCCAGCCCCAGCCAUCACGACCUCAGCUUUGUCCACCUCCUGACAGGCGAGCGAUUUCGCCUCCCCCAUCCACCAGCAGACUUCUGUCGCCUCCUCCUCUCCGGCGAUCUCGUGCUCGCCUUUCUUCCGACUGUCGGCCAUGUCCUCAAGUACUGCCGCCUUGGGGAUGCUGAGUGGCGCCUGGCGUCAUGCAGUGAAGCCUAUGUGCUUGAGGAUUUGAUCUUUGUCAAGGGCACCCUGCACGCGCUAGUCAGAUCUGAAGAUGCCGGCAGCUUAUGUUACCGUCUAGCGGUUGUCAAGCUGUCAGACACCAAUUCAGUGGAAUUCACGUUUUUUGGAGAUCAGUUGGAUACACAAGCCGCACAUCAGUGUUUAUAUUUCUGCCUCGCGGAAUGUCUCGACGAGUUGCUGCUUGUUGGUGCCACGGGGUACACUCCAGAGGAGUUUCAUGUUUUCCGGUGGCAGUCCAGGGAGGGCAAGUGGACAAGGACUACUAGCCUUGGUGGCUGCACAAUGUUCUUGUCAUAUUUUCAUUUUACAAAUCGAACGAGAUCCUUUGGAGGCUUUUUCUUUGCAAGUUGCCUUGGUCCAGAUCAUCCAGGGGUUCGAAGGGACUACUUGUACUUAACAGAUGCUGACAGAGAAAGUGGGUUGAGUAUUCCUUGGCUGAUGGAUCUUCUGAUGAAUAUGUUGCUGAGAACUUAGAGGGAGCUACAAGGUCUGAUUUCAGGUCACCUGUUUGGAUCUUUCCAAGUAUAUGUUGAUGCACUCCUAUUGGCCACUGCCUAUGUGAAAGUUGCUGUCUGAAGGUACAUUUGCUCCCUAGUGACUGGUUUUUUUGGGUCUGGUUUCAACAUGUUAUCCUGGUAAAUAAAAUGUUUAUGUAUCAAUCUCUUUAGCACAAAUAAAUGGACAUGCUGCUAAGCCGAUCCUGAAAUGUUGACAGUAUAAUAAUGAGUACUAUGUCAUGUUUUGCUUCUUUCUCUGCGGCUCUGUGAUUGCAGCAACUUGGAAGUAAGUGCACAUGUAUUCCUGUAGCAGCUCCCAAGUCAGUGUAGAUGUAUUACAUAAUCAGAUCGUAAGUCAGUGUGCAGUACUCUGGGAUGUCAAUUUCAUAAUACAACAAGAAGUGCAUCCUUUCUAUACACAACCUCGCAUGCUUGUUGAAUGUGCUUUUACUGGCAUGUUGAAUUCAUCAUGUUGUGCAUUUUCCCUUUUUAUGUGGGUGGGCUGGCGGUAGGGCCCUUCAAUUUUCAUCAUGCUUUGCAUCUUUUGUUGUGACAUGCUGGGAUUGGCGAGUGUCCUUGGUUCAGAGAAGUGAGCGUCAAGGAUGAGAGGGUCAGAAGGUCGUGAACUGGGAUUAGAUUAUAAUGGAUUAUGUGUUAUCCUUGGUUUAGGGAAACUCGAUUCUACGCGUGAGAAUAGAAUUUCAGUUCGAUUGGGGUAGGGAUUGAGUCAUGCCAUUUCCAUUUGGUGUCCACACAUAAGCUGACCCCACAGCUUUUGUGAAAAUCAGCCUAAAAGUACUGUGCAGUUACUGUUCAUUGUGAAGAAAAUAAUAAAAAAAUUUGUCACUGAACCCACAGAGAUUUUAGGCUGGCUUCGCCGCUGCAUGUUUCCAUGGGACUGCCGUGGAGACAAUCAAUUAUCUUUUGAUUUCUGAGUUUUUCCCCUUUCAUAUGUUGCUGUUACUUUCAGUGUCCUUUUAUCUAACUAGUGAUUGCCACCUUCAGUUUUGUCGUCCUUUUUUUCUCAGUUAUAGUAUGAGAAGUAAAUGUUUCAUCCUCAAAAUGGUCAUUUGUCUGAUGCCAGUGACCCAGAAGCACAUGACGAUGCUACGCACCACCAGGAGGGGAGCAUCUCCAACUCGGAUGAGUAGCUCCAAUAAAAGACAGAGAUAAUCUACUGUACAUAUAUAAUGUAGGUAUCCACUGCUAUUUCAGCAUGAGCAGAGUACCCAUGGCCUCUGAACAUGGGUGUGUAUGUCUGCGGCUUUGCAAUCUUUUGGAGGAGCUUGUAAGGCAUAAUACUGUUUCACAUAUGAUUUGUAGUACCAGUAUUUAAUAUAAUUCCAGCUUAGAGAAAUAAUUUGGGUUUAGCAAAAGCCAUCUUGGGCGCAUCAUGUGCGAAGCCAUAGGUGUUAAUCUGUCAGGCUCAUGGAAUUUCCCUUCUUCAGUAGGUGAGAGAUUCUUUGUUUCAGGGCAAGAGAUGUGACCUGUUCUUCUUCAUCAUCAUGCAGGCAAGCGACCCAAGGUAUACGGCGAUUAAACUGCACCACAGUUGCAAAAUCUGACAACUGCAGAGCAAGGUAAUAUCAAAUGAAGAACAUGUAGUAGGCCUACUGCAUUUUGUCAGGAAAACAGAUGAUUAAUCAAAGGAACGUCAUGUAUUAGAGAUCCAAAUAAGCCAAACAAUUAACUAUCAUAUGAGCACACGUACAGAGAUUCUGGGUGCACCAUGAAAACAAGCAUGUAGCCAUGUACAUCACUAAGACUGCACAUAGGUCCGACGCCAUCUCUAGCUGGCACUCAGAAAUACAAUAGCGAAACUUGAUUCUACCAUCCAAUGUUGCAUGCGACGGAGAGCUCCGACCUUCGCCUUUGGCUCCCGUCACCACAACUCAAUCUGACUGCCGUCUUAGUCUUCCAGACAAACACUUGCGCCGUUCCACUUCCACCUGAGAUAAGAAGAAAGCUCAGAAAUGUAACCUGGAGUUGCACUGAAACGUGAGCGAAAUGGAGAAAGGGGGUUAAUCACCUGGAUGGAUUAUCAGGUCUUGAUGAUAAAGCGUGUGACGAUUUCUGUUGCUCUUCAUACAAACCAAUAUAUAGAGAAGCGGGUGAUUUCCAUCCUGCAAAUGCACGAAUUGCACUAGUAACGAUGGGUUCUAAGUAAGUUCGUAUAUGUGGAGCGGUGGAGCGGAACAGUUAGCAGUUCAGUCCUGCAACCAACCUGCAUUUCAAAGGCAGUGUUCCAUUUGAUCUUCCCACAUUGGAACUCGUAGUGCAUCCAGCUCUUCCUGUUGCUCACCCUCAACUUUGCUGCCAAAGAGAGCAUCAUGUGAGUAGAAUCAUCCAUCUUAGCUUCGGAAGUCGAGUAGAUAAGAUAAAGUUCAAAACACAAUUUGAAAUUUGCCAGCACAAUGCAAACUAAACUAUAUAUUGGCUAACAAAGCUCAAUUAAUUAGAAGGUUCACGGCUUGAAAAAUAUAAACCUAACGAAUUUGCUGGCCAACAGUACACUAUGUUGCAUCUUUUCAGAACAUAUCCAGUCAAGUUCGAUUGCUACUUUCCCCACACAAAAAAAAGUUCGAUUGACACUUACACUUUUCAGAACAUAUCCCGUCUGCCUCCCCCACCCCCACUCACCUCACCCACCGACGCCAUCCACCAGACGCGCCGUCUGCCUCACCCACGUCCUUCUCGGCGGCAUCCAUGGCGUCCGGCGGCAGCGGUGGCACGGACGGCCGUGGCGGCGCGUGGCCGACGAGCCUGGGCACGCCGGACACGGACGAGCUCAUCCGGCUCGGGCUGAUGGUGCUGCCGGGCUGCCGUCUGCCGCACAUCUUCCACAUCACCGCCGACGGGUACCCGACAAGGGGGCCCGGCGCGACGCCGGAAGAGCUCCGCGGGCACGAGGGCGGCCGCUGGAAUAUUGCCGGUCGUACAAGAUUUUGGACGGGCAAGGACUUCUGGAAGGUCGUUGCCCAGGCUCGUCGGGAUUCGGAGACGGGCGGCCCGUCGUCUGCCCCGCGCCGGCCCCACCGUCACCCUCCGGCGGCCAUGCCGUCCCCAAGCUCCUCCGGCCGUCCGGUGCCCACGCUCGCCGGGCCCGCCGCACCUCCCGCCGUCGAGAUCCCGCCGGAGCAGUUCGCGCUGCGCGAGGACGGCGACCCGAACGACUGCCCUGGCUACCUCAUCGCCCUAUGGGCGUCGCAGACAGAAGCGGCGGCCGCGGCAGAGGCCAGAGAGGCCGCCGAGCUGCAGGCGGCACUGGACGCCGCGGCGGCUAUGGCGGCGGCUGCAGAGGCCGCUGAGCUGCAGGCGGCACUGGAUAUGGCGGCGGCUACGGGUGCGGUGCAGGCACCGGCGCAGGCGGCUCCGGUGGAGGACGACGCCGUCGACUGGGACGACGCCGGGAAGAGCAGCAACGAUGACGACGGUGACGGCGGUGCGGGCGAGAUCGUGGACCUCGCCGCGUCCGACGACGACGAGUAGAUUAGGUCCUCUUAUGUUUAAUUAAUUUAGAUUAGGUCCUUUUAUGUUUAAUUAAGUUUCGUUAUGUUCGAAUGUAAAAUGAACCCUUUGUCGUAAGGUUUAAUGAACUAUCCUUAUGUUUGAAUGAAUUUUAGAUGCAAAUUACUAUGAAAUAUUCUGAGAAUGUUUUUAAAUUUUAAAUCAUUUUGUAAAAUAGAAGUUAGCGAAAAGAAACUAAAACAUAUCCGAUUCUCUUGAAGGCUCCUCCUGCCGCCAUUAAAAUACAACAGCAACACACACCUUUCAUCUGUGUUGAUCGAUUCGUCACCAUAUCGAUAGCAUGUAGAAUCGCCAAAAAUACAGCCGCAAACGCGUUUGUCUAGUUUUAGAAUAUUUUAAAAAGUUGGACAUUUAUAGAAAAAAAAGUUGAUCAUUUCGAAUGAGAGAAAAUGGAUGUCAUCAUUUUAAAUCAAGAUUUAUAAAACAAUUCAUUGAUUAAGAAAUAAGCCGUACUAUCUUAUAGACUCUGACAAUUUGAAGUGAAUGGAGAAAAAUGAUAGAAAAUUGAAAAAUUGAAAGACACGAAAAUCGACGUGUGAAAAAAGUUUGCGUCACGUCCGGGGACUUUUGUAGGUUUUUUUUGGCAUACAUGCUUGCCAUGGUCAAUGUAGCCCGUGAAGAAAAUGUGAGACCGUUUGGCGGAUGCGAAGAGGAGAUAUGCAAGGGGGAUCCGUUCCCCCCUUACGGAAACCACUGCCUUCCACAUGAAUUUGGCGUGCGUGCUUGCCAUGGUCAUUUAGCACGUGGAAAAGAAUGAGCCCGUUUGGCGGAUGCGAAGGAGAGGCGUACGACCGAGGGCCCCCUCCACCCAUACCGAAACCAUCGCCUUCCACACCAAGUACCUGAGCGAUUUCACGGAAGGCACCCAACUUUUGCCAGCGCGUGUGGGGCCCCACCCGGGCACCCCACGCCAAAAAUGAACGAAAUCCGACAACGAACGCACGUUGCGUCACGUCCGGGCAGUAUUUCAGGGGUUUUCGGCCCAGAAAAUCGUAGAAAAUUCAUACAGUGUCGAAACNNNNNNNNNNNNNNNNNNNNNNNNNNNNNNNNNNNNNNNNNNNNNNNNNNNNNNNNNNNNNNNNNNNNNNNNNNNNNNNNNNNNNNNNNNNNNNNNNNNNNNNNNNNNNNNNNNNNNNNNNNNNNNNNNNNNNNNNNNNNNNNNNNNNNNNNNNNNNNNNNNNNNNNNNNNNNNNNNNNNNNNNNNNNNNNNNNNNNNNNNNNNNNNNNNNNNNNNNNNNNNNNNNNNNNNNNNNNNNNNNNNNNNNNNNNNNNNNNNNNNNNNNNNNNNNNNNNNNNNNNNNNNNNNNNNNNNNNNNNNNNNNNNNNNNNNNNNNNNNNNNNNNNNNNNNNNNNNNNNNNNNNNNNNNNNNNNNNNNNNNNNNNNNNNNNNNNNNNNNNNNNNNNNNNNNNNNNNNNNNNNNNNNNNNNNNNNNNNNNNNNNNNNNNNNNNNNNNNNNNNNNNNNNNNNNNNNNNNNNNNNNNNNNNNNNNNNNNNNNNNNNNNNNNNNNNNNNNNNNNNNNNNNNNNNNNNNNNNNNNNNNNNNNNNNNNNNNNNNNNNNNNNNNNNNNNNNNNNNNNNNNNNNNNNNNNNNNNNNNNNNNNNNNNNNNNNNNNNNNNNNNNNNNNNNNNNNNNNNNNNNNNNNNNNNNNNNNNNNNNNNNNNNNNNNNNNNNNNNNNNNNNNNNNNNNNNNNNNNNNNNNNNNNNNNNNNNNNNNNNNNNNNNNNNNNNNNNNNNNNNNNNNNNNNNNNNNNNNNNNNNNNNNNNNNNNNNNNNNNNNNNNNNNNNNNNNNNNNNNNNNNNNNNNNNNNNNNNNNNNNNNNNNNNNNNNNNNNNNNNNNNNNNNNNNNNNNNNNNNNNNNNNNNNNNNNNNNNNNNNNNNNNNNNNNNNNNNNNNNNNNNNNNNNNNNNNNNNNNNNNNNNNNNNNNNNNNNNNNNNNNNNNNNNNNNNNNNNNNNNNNNNNNNNNNNNNNNNNNNNNNNNNNNNNNNNNNNNNNNNNNNNNNNNNNNNNNNNNNNNNNNNNNNNNNNNNNNNNNNNNNNNNNNNNNNNNNNNNNNNNNNNNNNNNNNNNNNNNNNNNNNNNNNNNNNNNNNNNNNNNNNNNNNNNNNNNNNNNNNNNNNNNNNNNNNNNNNNNNNNNNNNNNNNNNNNNNNNNNNNNNNNNNNNNNNNNNNNNNNNNNNNNNNNNNNNNNNNNNNNNNNNNNNNNNNNNNNNNNNNNNNNNNNNNNNNNNNNNNNNNNNNNNNNNNNNNNNNNNNNNNNNNNNNNNNNNNNNNNNNNNNNNNNNNNNNNNNNNNNNNNNNNNNNNNNNNNNNNNNNNNNNNNNNNNNNNNNNNNNNNNNNNNNNNNNNNNNNNNNNNNNNNNNNNNNNNNNNNNNNNNNNNNNNNNNNNNNNNNNNNNNNNNNNNNNNNNNNNNNNNNNNNNNNNNNNNNNNNNNNNNNNNNNNNNNNNNNNNNNNNNNNNNNNNNNNNNNNNNNNNNNNNNNNNNNNNNNNNNNNNNNNNNNNNNNNNNNNNNNNNNNNNNNNNNNNNNNNNNNNNNNNNNNNNNNNNNNNNNNNNNNNNNNNNNNNNNNNNNNNNNNNNNNNNNNNNNNNNNNNNNNNNNNNNNNNNNNNNNNNNNNNNNNNNNNNNNNNNNNNNNNNNNNNNNNNNNNNNNNNNNNNNNNNNNNNNNNNNNNNNNNNNNNNNNNNNNNNNNNNNNNNNNNNNNNNNNNNNNNNNNNNNNNNNNNNNNNNNNNNNNNNNNNNNNNCGUGAAAAAAAUGAGCCCGUUUGGCGGAUGCGAAGGAGAGGUGUACGAUCGAGGGCCCCCUCCGCCCAUACCGAAAUCUCCGCCUUCCACACCAAGUACGUGAGCGGUUUCACGGAAUGCACCCAACUUUUACCAGCGCCUGUGGGGCCCCACACGGGCACCCCACGCCAAAAAUGAACGAAAUCCGACAACGAACGCACGUUGCGUCACGUCCGGGCAGUAUUUUAGGGGUUUUCGGCCCAGAAAAUCGUAGAAAAUCCAUACAGUGUCGAAACUCGAAAAAAUUGGCGUCCGUGCUUGCCACGGUCAUUGUAGCACGUGAAAAAAAUGCCCGUUCGAUUAAGUUAAAAAAAUUAACCCAUUCAAUUAAGUUAAAAAAAUGAGCCCGUUCGAUUAAGUUAAAAUAAUGAGGCCGUCUAUCUAAAAAGAAAAGAAAAAACGCCAGGCGUCUCGCUAACCGACGCGCAUGCGUGUAUGGGGCCCUCCCACUAACAACGCCGCCACAAUCAGCGCUCGGGUAACGUCCUUAGCCGACGUGCAUGCAAACAUACCUUCUAUCCCGUCUAAGUUUCCGCCAGCCCGUCUCGCCGCCGCCGUGAUCUACACGUACUGCCGACGUACGCCGCCUGUCGCCCCACCGUCCAAACGUCGCCGGUGCGCCCGCGCCGGCCUGCCUGCCCUGACCCGUCGCCGUCUCUAUGCCGCCGGUGCCUCUCCCACCGUCGUGGUCGUGUAAGUUUUUUUGUGUCUGUGUUUUUUAUACGAAGAAGGUCAUAGCAGUACCUUGGUAUGUGACAGAACACUAUUUCAUACAGAGGAGUACAGGCUGAAAAAAAUUGGAGAAGAAGAAGCUGAAAAAACUAAGAAAGCUAGUACCAAAAAAUCUAACAUUACUGGAAGGAGGAAAGAGGGCAGUACCUCGGAGGCUUCGAGCUAGAAGCCUACUAUGGACCGGAUUUUGAGUGAGAUUAAUGAGUUUCGGAAGGAAAUGCUUCGUUUGCCAGAGUUAUGUGCACAAGUAACACUUGAUCAUGUCACUUUAAUGUCCAUCACUUUAUUGAAGAACUAAGAUGAAAUGUUUUCUGCAGAGGAUGAUUGAGAAACUGAACAAAACCGGUGUCUUCUACAAACCCGAUAACCUCGAAGAAGAAGAAGAGAAUCUAUACGGAGGCAUUAAUGAGUCUGGAAACGAUGGUGAAUUUCCGGAAAAAAGCCUUUGUAUAUCAAAAAGAUGAUUCAGACCAGUUCCGUACACCUUCCAAAAUGAAUUUGCAAAAGGAUGAUGACGGCGUUGAUGUAACUUCUCGUGGAAACACACCUUUUUACUGCACUCCUGAGUACAUGGAUAGUUUCAAGGGUGAUAUGAAUGAUCCUAUCGAAGUACCAGAAGUAUCAGAUGAAAAAGCGGCCUCAUCUUUAGGGACGGACGAGAUCGCAUCGCAUGCAUCGCUUGGUUCUCAAGGAGUGGAAGAGGAAGUGGAGGAGGUUACUAACAGGUGCAAGCGCAAAGGGUCACAACAUGUGAAGUCUCCUUAGGUGGUCUCUAAACCGAAUAAGCGUGCAAAACGUUCUGCAAAAGGAAGUAAGUUUUUGGUGUUUCUAAUUGUUCUUGCGUAAUAAUUAUUUAUAUAAUUGCAUUUAUAAGUAUUUGAGUUGUGUGUUACAGAAUUGUUCCAAAAUGGUGGUGUUAACAAAUCUAGUGAUGAGUAUGAUGUGGUGAAAGCGUCCAUCAAGUACGUGCGUGCGCAUGAGUAUUCACAAAAACAUGCCAAAACAGAAAUUUUCAAUGAUGGCACAGAAGAUGGUCUCAGUGUGCAGAGAGCUUGUCAAAUUAUUAACCAUGAGUGGCUAAGUGGCGACGUAAGUUUUUUUUUUUUUGCGCAUAAGUGGCGACGUAAGUUAAUUUCAUCUAUUGUAUUACAAUUGAUUCCAAAAUACCAUUGUCAAAUCUGACACAUUAUUUAUAGGUAAUUAAUGUAUACUCAUCAUUUUUUGCCGACAAAGUUAAUGACGAUCGUUUCAUGUUGAAAACUUGGAGGGUACAUUGGCUGCUUCACAUUAGACCCGGAAAGAAGACCACCGGUAACGGCUAUGAAGCAGAGUCGCAUAGUAAUGGACCCGUGAGAUGUGAGGACGAGUAUUUCAAAAAACCAAAGGUAAGUUUGAUUGGUUACACGGUAUAUACAUACUAUAGUAUGUGCUGAUUGUGUUUUAUGCUUGCUGUCAUGCAGACUUAUAUUCCUCUAAACAAGGGAAACACUCACUGGGUUACUGUCGUCAUGCAUAGCGGGAAGAGAGUUUCAGGUUCUUGACUCGUUGAUGACUGGAAAACUUGAUAGUGUUACUAGACAACUCGUAAUCAGUCUUUUUUUCUGUACACUAAACUAUGUAAUCGUGUCGUCGUUUAUUUUCUGUACACUAAACUAUGGUAGCGCAUUAUUAAUAAAACACUGCGAUUUUGUUUAGAAAAAUAAAAAGUAAUUUAGAAAAACAACAAUAAUGUUUAGAUUUACAUAUAUGUAAUCGUGUCGUCGUUUAUUUUCUGUACACUAUACUAUGGCAGCACACUGCGUGUUAGUUUAGAAAAGCAAAAAAAUAGUUUAGAAAAAAAAGCCCGUCCGUCCACAGCGUGUCUUAAUAAGCCCGUUAUUAUCAAGCAACCCUGGCGACUACAACAGGCGUUUCAGAACACGCCGUGGAAACCAGGCCCAACAGGGCAGCCUCGACGACAGGGUAGCAAUUCAGAGAAGUUCAAAGUGGCGACGGGGCGCCGGGUAUAUAAGCCGGUCGACGUCUCCUUCGGACGGCGAGGUGGGACUAAACUUGCGUCGGCCGCGGGGCGACGUGGAGACAGCCAGCCGCGACGUGGGCCGGCCCAAUAAGGCCAUGGAUGGCGCAGACUUCUCGACGGCUCGACGCGCUGUGGGCCGGCCCAGCUAACCCCGCCGGGACGACGCACCAGGGGAAACUAAAGCAAAUUUAGUCCCACCUCGCCGGCCGAAGGAGACGUCGACCGGCUUAUAUACCCAACUCCCGUCGCCAUAUUGAACUUCACUUAUCUUUUGCCCCAUCGACUCGGCUGCCCCGUUGUGGCCUGUUACCGCGUCGUGAUCUGAAACGCUUGUCGUAGUCGCCUGGUGGGCUUGAUAACGACGUGCUUAUUAAGACACACUUGUGGACGGGCGGGCUAUUUUUUUUCUUCUUCUAUAACAAAAUUGAGUGUUUUUUCAAUAUAUUUGACAGCCGACGGGACUUAGUAAAUACCACUACAGAAUUCUUAGUAUAAACAUUGAAUAUUGUACAUUUAUAUCAACAAUAAUGAUGUCUCCACAUAACAAUUGUCACCAUAGUAAUUUUAUUAUAGUCGACAAAAAAUAUCAAGUCUCAUAUAACAACGUUCUGUAGCCAAUAAUCUUGAUUUCACACAUAUAAAAUACUCAACACAAACAUAAAUUUAACAAAUGUCUUUUAUAUAAAUGGAAGAGGUAAAACACUUGCAUCGUCUUCACUUGAGUCUUCAAGCCCAGUUGCUGCAUAGAAUAAAUUAAAAAUUGUGAGAAUCAAUGUACGGUAGAUGAAUCAACGAAACUAACAUAAACAAAGCAAAAAGACAUACAGUUACAUAUAAAUGGAUGAAGUAAAACAGAUGCACCGUGCUCACUUCUGUCUUCAAGCCCAGUUGCUGCAUAGAAUAAAUUACAAACUAUGAGGAUCAAUGUACAGUAAAUGAAACAACAAAACUAACAUAAACAAACAAUAGACAUACUCUUCAUUUUUGCUGCAUGUGCUCCUGUUAUGACCUGUGCCGCUGCAUAUGCUACAUUUUCGUCCAGAUUUCUCGUCAAAUGCUUUAGGUCUCUCAUUUUUUGUCACAUCUGGGCCACCCUUACCGCGACCUCUACUGUUCUGCUUAGGUGCGCCCUUGGUGGAAACCUUUACUGGAUCACGAACCAGAAUAUGAUCUCGGUUAGGCUCAAAUGGAUUAUCAUUCACGAAGCUUCGAUGACUAUCAUCUUCAUUCCCCUGAACGUCCUUAUUCGCUAUAAUAUCAUCCGGAGCUGCCAUCAACUUGUCGAAUAAGAAUGGAUUACUUCAUGCGAGAUGAGAUGCUUCUGCAGAUUUGAUGGUCAACUUACUAUAUCUAGCUCUGUCCUCAGCACUCGACCAACCCCACGCAAACAGAUCGCUGGUGCGCUUCACGGGCAGUCCAGCUCGUGCUUUUUUUGAGAAUCUUCGCAGGACACAACACUUGGGUAUCACAGGUAAGUUCAGUGCAUUCAAAACAUGAAGAAUAUGCUUGCAAGGAAGCCCUUUGCGAUUCAUACUUCGGUAACUGCACUUUAUAGUUUCUGCCGAGUUACCUGGCGUAUAGUCCACAUUAAAUCUGUGAUCCCUGUUAUUCUUCCACGCAACCACAAAUCUCUGACUAUCGGUCCCUAUCAGUCUAUCAAUUACCUCAAGCUCCUGUACCUUCUUCAUAUCUUGUUGCAACAUAUAAAAGUUUGCAUGCGUGAAUGCUUUGGCAGCAUACGACUCAAUGGUCUGACACUCAGUCACUGUUACUGGGACAGUCUGUGAGGCCCUGUAGUCAUCAUAAGCUUCAUUCUCACGGAGGCGAACAAUACAAUUCUUGUAGUGUACAAUCAUGUCAAUGAUCGUCAUACCAUAGUCAAGAUGAAGGUGCAGGCUGGAGUUCAGACUCUCACUCCUCUGAUUACUGCGCAUACCAAGAAAAAACCCACCAGACAAAUAUGAUGCAGCCCAAAGCAUCCUCUUCCUGUACAUCCUAUGGAGCCAUGUUUUCGUUCUCUCCGUCUGCCAUUUGCGCACAAACGCGGCCCAUCUCUCCUCAAAAACUUUAUGUGUAGUGGCAUAGUACAGUAAUGCCCUGAACUCCUUCAAUGACUUGUGGUUGAGGUGUUUCUGCAUAUUCUUUUCAAUAUGCCAUGAACAUAGACGAUGCCACACGUCAGAAAGCACCUUCCUGAUAGCCCUUAUCAUCGCUGCAUCUCCAUCGGUAAUUACAUAUUUGGGCCUCUUCUGACAGUUAGCUUUCAAGAACGUGUUAAGCAACCAAACAUAUGUAGCCUCAGUCUCGUUUGAAACAAUGGCGCAGGUGAAUACCGUAGUGCAACGGUGGUUAUUCAGACCCACAAAAGGGAUGAACGGCAUUCUGUUCAUCUUGUAUGUGCUGUCGAAGACGACAACAUCACCGUAGUCAAGAUAAUCACGGCGUGACUGCGAAUCACACCAGAAUAGGUUUUGGAGCCUGCCUUCAGCGUCAACUAUGUGCUCAAAGAAGAAAUCUGGAUCUCUGUCCUUUCUGGUCAACAUGAUUCCUAUGGCAAUAUCAGCAUCACCUUGUGCAAGCAAUUUCAUCUUCUCCCUAUAGCACAUGUUAUACAGCUUUGUCCUCUGAAACGGUGACUUUGCAUACCACUCAUACCUGCUAACCAUGUUGUCAAGAAUAAUAUGUUUUCUUAUCCCAGCUCCUGCCAUAGCUAAGAUCUCUGCUCUCUCAAAUGCUUUGAUCUGAUUAUGAGAUCGGAGGAAAGGGACUUCGUCCGGUCGUGCAAGAAUGUGGUUGUGAUCAUCGGAGAAACUGCUGACAUACCAAAGAUUAAGCUUUUUUAUCAAGCUUAACUGUCAAAUGGGCUUCGCAGAAGAAUCGACUCUUCGGUCUAAGCCUGCGGGUCCGGCCUUCCAUGGUACAGAACUUGGCCUGUCGUUUUCCUGCGGCGGAACAGAGAUACCUCCUCAAGCGCACAGUCCUUGCGCGAUCCUUUGAACGUUUUAGCGAGUCCUUCCUGAUGCUGAACCCACGUUCUCUCGCGUGCUUGUUGUAAAACGUGUACACCUCAUCUAAUGACCUGAAUGUCUUUGCCAUCACUUCCCAAUGCCUAUCAAGUGACUCUUGUUGAUAUUCAUCAUAGCCCAUGUCAAGGUCAAACUGAUCAUCAUCGCUGUGCUCAUCGUUCCCGCUAGGACCAUCAACACCUCCCUGCAAAAUAUGACAUAUAACCUUGCAUGUCAAUCUGUUCUUGUAUUAUUACUUACCAUAAAUAAUGUAAAGAACUUACUUGGCUAGCGCUCCCACUACGAGAUGCAUCGACCUCGCUCUCGGCAUUGUCAUCAUCUAUAUUAUUAUGCUUAUUGUCACCAUGAGCAUUUAUCUGUGCACAUUUAAAGUAAAAUAAGUGGUAAUACAAUUUUAAUGUCAAUCAUUGCCCUACAUUUUUUUCAACGUACCUGGCUCGCACUAUCUGCAUAAAAUUGUUCAUCUAUAUCAUAUUCCUCAUCGUCAUCAUUGCCAUGUAGCUGUACAAAUUUAAAAGGACAUGUAAGUGUCAAAGAACUAGUUUGUAUUCAAUAUGUUUUGGUCCACAUUCAAGGCACUUACAUUACCACUGUACGAUUCAUCCUGACUCAUAUAGUUGUCUCCGGGAGGUUGGUUCGCAUUCAAUGACGAGGAUCUAUUAUCGCUAUCGGAAUCAUCACUGGCGUAUCCGGUUUCUUGCUCCAUCUAUACACAUACAAAUAAGGUGUGAGAUCAAUGCCAACAUUCCACAACAUCAUCUCGAAUACAGUAAAUUCAUCAACAGUGACAUGACUAUGUGUCAUGCAUACAAAUUUGAAUGUACAAAAUCAUUAAGAGGUCAUUAAGAGGUCACUACUCUCCUCUCUUAUUUAGCCAAGUAGGGAAUCAUUUUGUGGCAUAAAAAAUGCAAUGAACAAAUCAAAAAGAAAAAAAGAGAGCCAGAGAACCUACUCUCCGCCGUCGAGGGAUCCUCGCCUGGGGUCGACGCCGAUCCGCUGCCGCCACCCACGUCAUGGAGGGCGCGUACCAGGAGUUGACGCGGGAGUGCUGGGCGUUUCACCGGCGACACGGCGCGUGCGUGACUACGGACGCCGCCCGUGCUCGCGACUAGACGGGCACGCCGGGGUCGACGUCGUGACGGCGGUGGACCACGGCGGCGUUGAUGCCACUAGGGUUUCCUAGGCGGGGAUGGGGUGUCGGUUUCACGCGACACCGGCGACACGCCGCGUGGGUGACUACAGACGCCGCCCGACGUCCUGACGGCGGUGGACCACGGCGGCGUUGAUGCCGCUAGGGUUUCGUAGGCGGGGAUGGGGUGUCGGGGUGGGGUGUCGUUUUUUUUCCUUUCCUGAUCGAACUAACGAACGCCACGGUAUGCGUACGACGCGGGCGUACGGGGCGGGACGUACACGGGCGGACGGCCCUACGACGGACGGUGGGUACACAAAUACGAAAUUUAGUAUGGANNNNNNNNNNNNNNNNNNNNNNNNNNNNNNNNNNNNNNNNNNNNNNNNNNNNNNNNNNNNNNNNNNNNNNNNNNNNNNNNNNNNNNNNNNNNNNNNNNNNNNNNNNNNNNNNNNNNNNNNNNNNNNNNNNNNNNNNNNNNNNNNNNNNNNNNNNNNNNNNNNNNNNNNNNNNNNNNNNNNNNNNNNNNNNNNNNNNNNNNNNNNNNNNNNNNNNNNNNNNNNNNNNNNNNNNNNNNNNNNNNNNNNNNNNNNNNNNNNNNNNNNNNNNNNNNNNNNNNNNNNNNNNNNNNNNNNNNNNNNNNNNNNNNNNNNNNNNNNNNNNNNNNNNNNNNACUUCUCCUUUUCAGAACAUAUCCAGUCAAGUUCAAUUGCUACUUUCCCCGCAAAAAAAAAAGUUCGAUUGAUACUUACACUUUUUAGAAACCAGCGUGGAUGCUAUAAAACAAUCUUCUUCUAGCUCUGAAACUUUCUUUCUCAAGACUCGUCACCACUUUGAACUUCUCAGGUGCUACUGCCAGCAGAAAGUUAACUUUCCUCUCCUUUCUUUGCUAUUACCCUCUUCAUUCCUCAAGCGCAUCCUCUCUUGUCAAACAUGAAGAAACAUGCCCGGCAAUGCUAAUGCAACUGAAGCUAUCAGUUACUAUCAAGCCUUCAAUCCUAAAUUAUACUCGUUCAUUUUUAAGAACUCUCUGCCGCCUCACAUGUGGAGGUUAUACUUCUGUAAGCAAUAGAAGAAAAAUACCGAACAAGCCAGCAAUGAACAGAGCAAGUUUCCGAACUGUGCGGUGUACACGGAAUCCACGGUGGAAAACAUGAAUGAGCAAAUUACUGAAUUGGCAAGGGGACUGUGGAUUACGGUAUUACUUAUAGGUGAACGAACUGGAGCUCGUUGUGACGGAUCUCGACCCCUGCUGCCCAUUCAGUAUGGCUGCACCAUACAUUGUGGUGGAUCACAACACAUUGAAAACCUAACCACCAUGCAGUAUGGCUGCACCAUAACCUCCGAGUCUGAAUCCUAUCAAACUAUCCCAUUGCAUUGGCAAGAGGAUCGCCACAAGAGCAAUAGUCUUUCAGGUAAAAUAAGAAGAAUACUUGGGACUCCAGCUGGCCAUAGACAGAAUUCCAAUCGCCUGGAAUUAACUCAAACCAGGGAAAACCCAAUGACCACCCAUUGUAGCUAGGCCCAAGUCAUGACUCAGGGUGGACACGGUCCGAGCCGGUCCGGUCCCGGUCCGAGCCGGCAUUUGGCGGCGAGGUGAGCGAUGUACCAUGAACAUUCCUUAGAAGUUCUUUUCGUUGCAUGCAACUAAUGUGGGACGCGCAUGAGCCCACGAUUUUCUGUCUGCGGGCGUUGCCAUAAUUAGAGGAUCAAACCUGACGUGAAGUUAAAUGUCAAAUGGCGCCGCGAUUUGCGGAUCAAGCCUUGUUUCUCUCGUACUUUCGUAUUUCUUGUUCGACUGAAUAAAAGUGCAGAAAAUUAACACACGAACAGUACUGAAUACAGUCAUAUUCAGUUAUGGAGGUGCACAUUUAUACAAGAUAUAUACAUGUAGGUGCCGCCACUAACCCAACACAAACUCCCGAGCUAACCUCCACUAAUCCUGUACAUGCGAUAAAGACGCACACAACUAGGCAAGGUUUACAGAGAGAGCAACGGGUAGACCUGAACAUACGCUUCACCAAAAGGAAAACGGCAGCGCAGGAUCAAGGCACGUGAUUAUAGGCAAAGCGUUUCUCCCACGAUUUGCGCCUUCCAAAAAAUACUUACCUGAUUUGUUGGACGCGAAAAUCACGGCCGAUCGAGCUUUUUCCCCCAGUUGAUGGCCUGCAUGCGUGCUGUGCUGAAACGGCUGCCAUGGCAAGGGUCGAGAACGCGAGAUCGUCCGUGGUGCACGCACGACAGUGACGGCGACCGGCGGCGAGAGGCUAUGGCGCAUGGCGAGGAGAGGAAGGAGUGGGGAAACUUGGGGACAUGGUGGUUCACCCGGGGUCUGCCGUUGGCCGCGAUGACGACGAACAGCAGCGGCGCUGCCAUUUUUUUCCUCGGUCCUCUCGGUCGGACCGGUUAAAGACCGGCCCGGACCGACAAAUUUUCGGGCCGUAUUUGGCAGACCGGACCGACCCUUUUCUCUAGCGGGCCAGGACCGAGCAGGCCAAGACCGAGCGAGCCACGAGCGGGCCGAAAAGCCCGCUCGUUACGUCCAGCCCUAGUCAUGACGUACAGGACACUACAAUGGUGCACCUUAGCUGACAUACACUCGACAUACAAUAGAGGAGACAUCAGAACUCCGGCGUAGCACACUCCGGAUUCCAAAUCCCAGUCCAGCUGCCUCGUCUGGCUAAUUUAUUUGGCGGCGGGUGGAAUACAGUCAAUAAUAAUAGGUUCGAUUCUUGGCAGAAUCGCACAUAUGUACAAGGCUGUAUACCGUUGUAGUCCAAGUGUCGUGACCAGGGUUUAGAGCGAUAACGUCAUCCUUCUCAUACUGUUUCCAUAGUGUUUCAUGUUGUGCAUCCUCAUCCUUUUCUUGUUGCAUCUGACGCGUGACGGAGAUCUUUGACCUUCGCCUUCAACUCUCAUCUCGAGUUCUCGACUCAAUCCGACCCUUGUCCUAGCCGACCAGACCAACAGUUUUGCGGUUCCACCUAAGAUAACAAGAAAGCUUGGAAAUGUAAGCUUGAGUUGUACCGAAAUAUGAGUGGAAGAGAGAAAGGGGGUUACCGACCUGGACAAGUGCAGAGAAUGUUGUAGCAGCGUUGAUGGGUUAUAAGCUCUUGAUGAGAAUGUGUCGACGGUUUCACUUACUCUCCAUACAAAACACAUAUACAGAGAAGCGGGCAGUUUCUAUCCUGCAAAUGCAUGGACGGUAGUAGUACCGAUGAGUGUUAAGUAAGUAAGUUUCUAUACAUGCAACAGUUGGCAGUUCAGUCCUGCGACCAACCUGCUUUUCAAGGGCAGUGGUCCAUUCGAUCUUCCCACGUUGAAAUCCGUGCCUCCGGCUCCUUCUGUUGCUCACCCUCAGCUGUGCUGCCAAAGAAAGAGAGCAUCCAUGUUAGCUUCUGAAGUCAGAGUAGUUAAGAUGAAGUUUAGGAGUCAGAACACAAUUCAAAAUUCGCUAGAACAACACAAACUAUUUAUCACCUAACAAAGCUCAGUAAAUUAGAUUGCACGCGGCUCGAGGAAGAGAGAUCAGGUUUGUAUAACUAAUAAAUGGAAUGAAUACCUUCGACAAAACUGCUCGGAAUUUCUUCCAGAUCAUCACAAUUAAUUCAGUGCUCGCAUGAACUUAAUGAAUGUGGUGAUCAUGUUCGUUUGAUACUUACAAUUUUCAAAGAUCAGCGUGGAUGCUCUGAAACUUUCUCCUGCAAGGCACCUUCUUUCCUCAUCACAACUUUACUUUGCAGGUGCUAAUCCCAGCAGAAACUUAACUUUCCUCUCCAUGCUCUGCUAUUACCAUCUCAACCACAUCCCCUAUCUCCAAAUAUGAAAAAAGAAAACCUGGCAAUGCGGGUGCAGUUGAAGCUGGACGUCAAGUAAUCAGUUGCUAUCAAACUUCCAAUCCUAAACUGUUGUAUUUCUAUAAAACUUUCUGCAUACUUACAUCUGGAAGUUAGCAAACAUGACAGGAUUUUCGGAAAGAUGUGGGCCUGUUCGUGCCUCCUCCACUGUAGUUGCUGCCACUGGAUCAGACCUGCAUGCUGAUCAACCUACAGAAAAGCAAUAAAAAAAGAAUACGCCACUGAUGAAGAGAGCGAAUUCCAGAACCGUGAAAUAUGCUCAGAAUUCGUUGCGGCAAACAAAAUUGAGCAAAUUACUGAAUCGGCGAGAGGGCAGUGGAGGAGAAAAUUACUUACAGGUGAACAGGAUCUCAUGGCAAUGGAUCUCGACGCCCGCUGCCGCAUCACCAUCAUUCAGUAUAUUACUGCCAUGUGCUGCAAAGAGAGCUUUGGCUCAGUGGUUGGGCAUGCGGUUGUGCAGCCUAACGACCCAAGUUCAAUUCCUAGAAUUGACAGGUGAUGCACAGGGGUUUUCCCCCAUUUAUUGAGGAUCAAAUUUGGUGUGUGGUGGAACCACUCAUCAAAAAAUAUCUUAAUACUCAUUUUAAAAAAAAAAUCUGUGGACCAUGUUUAUCUUGGUACUCAUACUAAAAUGGCCAUAUGCAUGAGGCCGGGGAAGUGAAAUUCUUCCCCAUUUAAAGGGGAGGACGUACGAGGGGGCGAUCCGAUCUUUCGCCGCCCGCCUCCCCUCAUCCCUCUUCCGUCCCUCGCCGCCGCUGGAGACGGGCGCCGGCGAAGGUGGCGGCGGGGAUCUCGGCGCCCGGAUCGAUCCCGUCCGCCUGCGGGCCGGAGUAUCGAAUUGGUGCCCUGCGGAUCCUUGGGCGGCGGCCCUAUCGGCGAGGCGUCGUCGUCCGGGGGCUGGCGACGUCUGCAGGCGACGCUGGCCAACGUACUCGGCCGAGCGGGUGGCGGAUCGCUGGUGGAGUUCGGUCAUGGCGCGGUUCUCCGUUGCGUCAGAUCUGGAGGUUCCCUUUCUCAUGUUGUCUCUGUCGUCAUCCCGGUGGUUUGCGGCUGCUGGCUCCGGUGGUGGUGAGCCCAGGUGGUGUACUGUGGGUCCGGGGGAAACCUUGCCUAGUCUGGCCGGCCCGGCGGCGGCGACGCCCAUGGGCGCCGCUUUCCUUCAUGAAGGCACAGCUGAGGGCCCAAUCUACCCACCCCAGUCCCCGGCCGGGUGAAAACCUUCAAUCCUUUUCGGAUCUGGCGGCAGCAACGUUUUUUUGCGUCAGGAGCAGCGGGGUCUCGCUGCUGGGCGUGUGUCGAUGGACGAGCGCAGGAUGGUGGCAUUGUCUGGUGUCGUGGUGACGUCGACGGCAGCUAGACCGGGCAAGGUUGAUGCGUCAGUACGGCUCUGAAGAUGGAGUGGUGGCAGUUGGCGGUGGCGGCCUCUGAGAGCGCGCCGGACCGGUGUGUGCCCCAUACCCAGCAAGUGGCUUGGUUGGGGCAUCAGGUCUUAGAUGUUAGGCCUGGCUGCGAGAUCUGUUUGGUAUUAGGCCCGGACUAUCAGCAUCCCUUCAUCAAAUGAAUAGGAGUAGCGACAGAUGUUGCCUAAAUGGUGGCUUCAGACUUACUGUUGUAUUCCUUUGUAAGGUCUUUUGAGAAUAGUUAAUAAAGUAGUUGCAUGCAUCGCCCAGAUACAGAGGCCGGGGGUCUUCCUCCUUUUCUAAAAAAAAUGUGCUGGUUGUGGCAGAAACCUCACACCUUUUUUUUUGCAACUGACUGACUCUGGAUCCUAUCAAUCUAUCCCGUGGCAUUGGCAAGAAGAUCUCGGCCACAAUAGCGACACAGUCUUCCAGAUAAAAGAAAAAGAAUGCAUGGGGACUCAACCUUCACAUGCACAAGAGUUCUAAUCGCCUGGAAUACACAACCGUCAGGCUUAACUCACACCAUGAAAACUACUGAUGAACCACACAUAAUCAUCAUGAUGACAAAAAAAACUACAGAUUUCUCCUUCUGACCUUUGGUUGUUUGUUUCCUUUCGCUCUCCACGUUGCGGCCAUCAAUUCCAUACUUCCACCUUAUUCCUCUCCUGCUUGCUGAGAAGUUGACCACCGCUCUGCAUAAGACAAAGAAUUGUUACCCUGUUACCCUUCUGAAUGAAUAGUCCAGAACUGGCAGAGUUUUGUGGCAAACUCGGCUCAGCAACAAUGCAAUUAACUUAUGGCAAUCCUUGUGCACAAAAAAGAAAGGAUCAAACUUGGGAUAACUAGCUAUAAACACGUAUAGAAAGAUUUAAUGUUUGAUCUGAAUGACAGUCUAAAAUGUACUUAUCAGAGAACUCAUAAAAGCCAAUAUAUAGAGCAUGCAAAUGACAUACUCACCAAACACAAGUGAAAUAUCUAUGCACCUAUAAAUUACGAGAUAAUAACAAAUAUUGCAGAAUCAUGCGCAAAUAGAACCAUAUAGGGAACUAAGAAAAAUGGAGGAAUUUCCGUACCACCAUUCACUAUAACUGCUGGGAUGUGAGAAAUCUUCAGGGCGUCCUCUCCUUGGAGCUUCUGAACAAGAUUUGGGCGUCCCCAAAUCUAGAGUUCCUUCAAGGCAGUAAGUUUAUGUAUGCUUUGAGGCAAAGAUGUCAGGUUGGGGCAAAGAUGUCAGUAACUAAGGGCAACGAAUAUUUACUUUAGGGAGUUUCAUACCUCUCAUUCUUCUGGUUCAUAAUGUAACGUGACUUUUUGGAUGUGAGAAACAAGGCCAGCAUCUUCCCCUUGGCACCUCUCGAUCAGAAUAGGACAGCCCCAAAUGUAGAGUUCCUUCACGACGGUAAUGUUUUGUACGCUUUGAGGUAAAGAUGUCAGGUUGGGGCAAUCGUUGAUGUUAAGUUCUUGUAGGGAAGUGAGUUGUCCAAGCCAUUCAGGUAACACAUCUAGGCCUUCGCACUCCUCUAUCCAAAGUUCUUUUAGAGCAGCAAGGUCCUUCAUCCUCUCCGGCUAAGAUGUCAGCUUGGGGCAAUUGAUGAUGUGAAGUUUUUGCAGGGUAAUGAGGUUCCCUAGGCUUUCUGGCAACACAGCUAGUCCUUGGCACUUCUUUAUAUACAGAUCUGUUAAAGAAGUAAGGCCCUUCAUGCUUUCAGGCAAAGUUGUCAGGUUGGGACAAUUGAUGAUGGAAAUAUCUUGCAGGGUAAUGAGCUGCCCUAGGCUUUCUGGCAGCACAGCUAGUUCUUGGCACUUCUUUAUAUACAGAUCUGUUAAAGAAGUAAGGCCCUUCAUGCUUUCAGACAAAGUUGUCAGGUUGGGACAAUUGAUGAUGGAAAUAUCUUGCAGGGUAAUGAGCUGCCCAAGGCAUUCUGGCAACGUAGCUAGGCCUCGGCACUCCUUUAUACAAAGCAUUGUUAUAGAAGAAAGGUCCUUCAUGCUUUCUGGCAAAGAUGUCAAGUUGGGACAAUUGAUGAUGCGAAGUUUUUGCAGGGAAAUGACCUGUCCUAGGCAUUCUGGCAACAUAACUAGGCAUUGGCAGUCCUUUAUAUAAAGCUCUGUUAGAGAAGAAAGGUCCUUCAUGCUUUCAGGCAAAGAUGUCAGGUUGGGGAAAUCAAUGAUUUCAAUAAUUUGUAGGGCAGUGAGCUGCCCUAUCCAUUCCGGCAAUAUGUCCCAGCCUUUGCACCCCUGCAACACUAGCACUUUCAGAGCAGUAAGGUUCUUGAUGCUUUCAGGGAGAGAUGUUAUCUUCGGACAAUCCCUGAUGAUUACACGUUGCAGGGAAAUAAGGGACCCCAACCAUUUCGGUAGUGACUCCAAUUCCUUCAACGACUGCAAAGUCAGGCUUUUCAGAGAGGUGAAGCAUCUAAUGACCUCUGGCAAUGCCCUCAAGCCGUUGCAGGAUUUGACUUGAAAUAAUUCAAGGCUGGGGAAGUGAUGAAGUCAAUCCCAAUUGUCUGGAGAAAAACUGCAAUUAUUUAUUACCAUAUCAAAAGGAAGAGCAGAAGAUGAAAGCUUCCCAAAUCCUCUUCUGGAAUAAUCUCAUCAAUGUUUUCCAAGUACAAGAUCAUACUUCUUGGCGGAUAUGGUAGAAACUUCAAUUUUGGCAGUUGAAUACAGACAAAUGGUGCAAAUUCGGAAUUAAGAACUCUUCAUUUUCUUCACCUGACCUUGUUGUCCACAAUUCAGCCAAGUUCUCCAUCAACCACAACUGUAUGGAUCUUAAUUUUAUACACUUUCUGCCCCGCCCAAAGAAUUCCUUGCCUAUUUUCCUGACAUUGGGAAUGUUUUCCAUCGAUAUGCCUCUUAAAUUUGGCAGCUGCCCAAAUGAAGGAAGAGUAUCACAUGUUCCUAAAUCACAAAGGCCGAGGUAGGUGAGAGAAGGGAGGUAGGAAGAGAUGUCUGACAUCCAUUUAGGGAAAUCCUUGCUCAUAUAUCCGCCUAGACAAAAAGAAUCAAGAGUCUGGGGAGGUACGAGAUUCUCCAAUAUAGAUUUACCCUCGCCUCCCUGGUUUCCCCAGCGAAGAGUUAGUUGCCUCAGAUCUGAUUUAUCACGCAACUUUGCUAUCUCCGCGUCUUCUGGAUUCCUAACAUUCUGAAGCUGUGAAACAUGCAUCUGAUAACAAGUCAACUGUGCAAGUUUCACUAUACUGCUGCAUCCUUUAUUUUCUAUCUCUUGUACACCAUGCUCUAUUAUUCCUGGAAAAUUAAGAUGCUUUUGAAUUUUGCGAAAGCUGGCAAUCACUUUUGGAGUUCCUUCCGUGGCCCCAAAUCGAGUGAGACUUGUCAUUUCAGUAAUGCUAUCCGGCAAGGCAUUGAGAGAUACUGUAGAAGAGAUGUCCAACGAUUGAAGCUUAAGGUCACCGAACGAGGAUGGGAGCUUAUCAAGCCUCAUACAAUAAGACAAAUUGAGACACCUCAGCUUAGACAACUUGCACAAUGACUCGGGCAGUACUUGCAGCUUGCAACAACUUGUUAGGUUCAAAGAGUCAAGCUCAAAAAGGUUACCAAAAUACUCAGGAAGUUCCCUGAGCUCAUGGCAGUCUGAAAGAUCUAAGGAUUUCAAAUGAAAAAGUUGGCAAAAUGAUUCUGGCAGCAAUGAAACCUUGUAGCAAUCAGAAAGGCUCAAGAACCCAAGUCUUUGAAGGUUGCCAAAAUCUUUUGGCAGGUUUUCUAGCUCGUGGCAAUUUGAUAAGUUCAUAUGCUCUAAAGACUCAAGUUUAAGAUGGUCAGGUAGUUUGGUUAUCUUGGAACAACCUGACAAAUUUAGGAAUAUGAGUUUCAAAAGGGCACCAAAUUUGUCAGGGAGUUUCGAAUGGCACGACACUCUGAAACAUCUAUGUGUUGUAAACAUGUCAGCUGGCAGAUGGAUUCAGGCAACUCUUGGAGCAUGAAACACCCUGAUAAGUUUAGGAAUAUGAGUUGUAGAAGGCUACCAAAUUUAUCAUCGAGGUUUUGAAUGACACAACACUCUGAGAUAUCUAGCUAUUCUAAAGAUGCCAGCUCACAGAUGGAUUUAGGCAGCACUUGGAGGAUGGAACACCCAGACAAGUUGAGGAAAGAGAGUUUAGAGAGCUUACCCAAUGAGGUAGGUAGCUUAUCAAGGCUUCUAUUACCGGAUAGGUCCAGAUAACGAAGUCUGUGGAGGCUACAGAUAUUGUCAGGCAAGGUUUCGAGUGAGCAAUUGGACAUAAUCAGAGUUUCCAUAUUCUGAAGUGUAUACAGAGACUUAGGAAGUAAAGGAACUGGCAAUCCCGUGGAAUCAAGGUACCUAAGUAGCUUCAGGUUUUUGAUGGAACGUGGCAGCAUAAUGUUGCUUGACGUAGAUUGGCCUUCAGUGAGUUGUCGUGCUGUACAUGCUAGGUCCAAGACACGUAUGUACUUGGAUCGAGAAAAUGCCUUUGGGGGGAGUUGCCACUUCUGCAAAUCUCUAAUAUGGAGUGAUCUAAGCUUUUUUGGCAGACAAUCGAAAACAUUGGAUUGAUUCUCGUAUUGUAUCAACUCUGCAUGCCGGCAAUGAAUAGCUCUUUUCCAACUCCUUGCUCCAUUUGCUUUAGGAUCCAGAACAAGGAAUUCAUCGUCAAUAAUUUUUGAGGCAAGAUCAUGUACCAGAUUAUGCAUGGUAAGCUUCCGAGAAACAUUGGCAUGCACUGGACCUUGAUUAACCUGCAAAAGUAACUAGUAUCAAAACAUGUGGUAGAAUAAAGGCAAAAGUCAUUGGGCAGAUUAGGCACGCAUAAUACCAAGUGAUUAAUCUUUAUGCAACUAUCAUUUAAAUCUUAAUAUGCAAUCAUAUGUUCAUACAAAUAUAGUACCUACAGUCAUGUGAAGUACGUGAAUGUUUUGGACAUUGACGCGGUUUUUGAGAUAGUGCUUUGACUGUUUUUCUUUGUAAACAUGUUCUCAUAUGAAAAUUAUACAUUUGGAACAAUGCUUUUCAUGACAAAUCUAGUGAGAUAAAUAUAUCAGUUUCAUAUUUCAGACCUAAAAAUGCUUGAACUAUGUAAACAAAACAUGAAUACAUAAAAGAACUUAGAUUUUGGAUUGGAGGUAGUACUAACAAUUAUGUAAAUAAAACAUAAAUGCAUGAGGAUUUUUAUUUCCAUAGUAGUAUAUUUGUUAAGAUUUUUAGACAAUGAUACCAUCUAUAUCCCUACGUUAUUAAUAGAAAUGCGUAGAAUAUUGGCAUAUUAAUCACCUUGACUGCUAUGAACAUGUUGAACUUUAAACUGAUUGUAAUUAGGUUUAAGCAUAUGCUCACAACUCAUAUUGAUUAAACCAUGUCUUAACACCACUAAAUGACACAACUAAUUCCACAUUUCUGUGUAUGUGGCUUCAUAUACUCCCUCCAUUUUUAUAUAUAAGGCCACAAACUCAGAUUACAGGCACCGAGGUAAAAUUUAAUGUCUUGGUUUAUGAACCAACUUUUCUUUUCGUUUACUGGGAUCAUUAAUACGCCGCAUGCAUGCAAGGAAGAAAUAGGAAACAGAGUGAAGUAUCAUUAUGACUGCAUGCAUGCAAGUAAUAAACAGAUUGCUAGUACGAGGAAAUAUCAUUAACUUUUGCCUCAAUUACUGUUGGUGGCCUUGUAUAGAUGCAAAAUGUAUUUUUCAUAGUGGCCUUGUAUAAAAAAUGGAGGGAGUAUCAAAUAUGAUCCCUGAAGCACUGCCUCUGCUUCAGUUUUUGAGAUAAUGCUUUAUCUAUAUUUCUGUGUAAAAUAUAUAGCAAAAUUAAAUGUGCUUAAAACAGUCAUAGCUAAAGGGUAAAAAGAUGAACAAACUCUUUUGUUAGAUCAUACUAUAUUUUUUUUUAUCUUUAGUUUUCAGGAUGGAGAGUAAACGGUUUUUGGUUCAAAUUCUAACAUGACCAAGUGUUGAAACUGAAUACCCCCAUACUUUUUUUCCUUAAGAAAGUGUACAGUGAACUCUUGCAAGAAAAUAAGGGGUCCCUAAAUAUUUAGUAUAUGAUUGGAUUUCAUAUCAAAUUCAAAAAAUCAUAUAACUAGUUAAUAGAUAAGGCAUCAAUGACCGAAUAGAAAUGAUCGAAGCAGUGUUAGAUAACUAACCAUAGGAUGUCCUGAAAUCUGAAGAAAGGACAUCCCAAGAAGGUAGUUGAUGCAUCUUUCACCAUCAUGUUCUGAAUAAAUGUAUCCAAGAGCAUACCAUUGCUGGAUCAGACAGUUGGUGUCUAUAAGGAAGCCCUGGAAAUGCCGCCAAAUAUGCAAAACAAAUUUUGAACUCCCGCUUCAUGUAGUAAUAGCUCAACUUGAGGGAAUCUAAUGUGCCAUUUUGACAUGCCACUACUAGAAAAAGGGCCAUUCGAACCGGUUCUAGAGAGCCUUUACUCCCGGUUCUGGAAUCGGGACUAAAGGGUCAUCACUAAAGGCCCCCCCUUUAGUCCCGGUUCUUAUACGAACCGGGACUAAAGGCCCUCCACGUGGCCGCUAUCUGGAGCUCCACCUUUAGUCCCGGUUGGUAACACAAACCAGGACUAAAGGUAUUUUUUGAAAAAAAAAAUUGAAGUUUUUUCUCCUCUACUCUCUAAUCACCCCUCAUCACAGCUCAAUUUAACCUCUACUCUCUAAUCACCCGGCCGGUCACCCAUGCUCUCACUGCUCCAGCCUGAGCACACUUAACUUCCGGGUUCUAUUCCCCCUCGUUUCCAAGUCUACACUUAUUGUUUUCCUGACAAUAUUAAGAUGUCAAUCCUAUUAACCCUCAGGAGUUUAGCUUGAGCAUGAAGUCACACGUUUCACUGUUUGAGUUUGAAACUAUUAUUCUAAAAAACAAUAAUUAUUUAGUAACACUAAUAUUUCUUGAAUAAGUAGUUUGACCAUAGUUUGACCACAGUUUCACCAGAUUUGACCAAAAUUCAAAGUACCGAAAUAAUUAUUUAGUAACAAUAAUAUUAUUGAAUAAUUAUUUAUUACCACUAAUACUUCUUCAAUAAGUAGUUUGACCAGAUUUAACCAAAAUUUAAAAAAACUGAAAUUUGAGCAUAUCUUUUUUUCCUUUCAGAAUUUGAGGAUUCUAAAAAUUGCAAACAGGCCUACGACAGUCAAAAUUGGAUGCACAUUUUCGUGCUGAUUUUUUUGAUAUAUUAUGCGUUUUUUUUCAACAUCGUAUGCAAAAGAUAUGGCCGUUUUACUUUUUCAUAACACUUUUGCAAAACAUGUCCAAAUUUAAGUUUUUAAAUUUUCCUAACUAAUAGAUGUACUAACAUAACUACAUCUCGAAGGAUUUUAAUUUNNNNNNNNNNNNNNNNNNNNNNNNNNNNNNNNNNNNNNNNNNNNNNNNNNNNNNNNNNNNNNNNNNNNNNNNNNNNNNNNNNNNNNNNNNNNNNNNNNNNNNNNNNNNNNNNNNNNNNNNNNNNNNNNNNNNNNNNNNNNNNNNNNNNNNNNNNNNNNNNNNNNNNNNNNNNNNNNNNNNNNNNNNNNNNNNNNNNNNNNNNNNNNNNNNNNNNNNNNNNNNNNNNNNNNNNNNNNNNNNNNNNNNNNNNNNNNNNNNNNNNNNNNNNNNNNNNNNNNNNNNNNNNNNNNNNNNNNNNNNNNNNNNNNNNNNNNNNNNNNNNNNNNNNNNNNNNNNNNNNNNNNNNNNNNNNNNNNNNNNNNNNNNNNNNNNNNNNNNNNNNNNNNNNNNAGGGUGCGAUGCCCUUUAGUCCCGGUUCGUGUCUCAAACCGGGACUAAAGGGCUCAUUUGAACCGGGACUAAUGCCUUUAGCCGCACGAACCGGGACUAAUGGGCUUAUCUGGCCCGAACGAAAGCCCUGUUCUCUACUAGUGUGCGCCUCUGAAACCCACAUCAACCAUCUUCACUUUUAUAUCUUCCCAUGCCUUGAUGGACCUAUUCUCAGACAUUACUUGCCCAAAAGCAUUUGCCACUAGAGGUAUACCUCCACAUUUACUUGCAAUUUCAUCUCCGAUUUGUUCCAAGUGAGUCUGGUCAUCAUCAGGCCUAAAUGCUCUUAUCUUUAUUAAUUCCCAGCAAUCAUUGUUUGGCAGACAACCCAAAUUGAUUUGGUCAGACUCGUGCACCGGGAGAAUUACCCUCUGAUGUGCAAGAAUACCAGUCUUCAUUUGUUCCACUACGAGUUGGUUACGCGUAGUAACUAUAAUCCUGCUACUGCUGGAGCCAUGUUGUAACACCCGCUUCAGCUAUUCCAGGUUAUCCCUCCCUUCUUCCCAGAAAUCAUCCAAAACAAUCAGGUACCUUUUAUCAGCAAGUUUGUCUUGAAGACAAUCCUGUAGAAACUGCAAAGUAACAUUGUCAAGGUUGAUUUUGGCAUCUACGCUUUUGAUGAUGGCCCUCAUAAUUUUGAGUAAAUCAAACUUUUCAGAUACAUGAACCCAAGCUCUGAUGUUGAAGAUGUCGACCCUCUUGUCUGCAUAAACUGAUUGAGCCAAUGUGGUCUUUCCUAUACCACCAAGCCCCACAACUGGAAUGAUGGAGGUAUGCACAUUAGCUUCACUUCUCAAUAUCAGGCCUAUUAAUUUUUCCUUUUCUGCACUCCUCCCUUGCAUUCCAGUUGACGUGCCUCUGUCGCUGCUGGCUGCAAAAGUCUCAUUUUUUCUGCUCCUUUCUACCUGCUCUUGAGGAACCAGAUUGAACACCCUGCCCUCAUUUUCUAUUUCUUCUAUUCUCUUCCUCACAUCCACCAAAUUGUGGGGUCUGGUUAUCCACCGGUAGGCUGGAUUGUCCCGGGAAAAGAAUGCCUUGAGCUGUAAAUAAAAAUCCCAUUAGUUAAAAGUGAAGGUAAAACAGGGAUAUACAGGUUGUAAUUAGUUUACAACUGAAGAAAAAGAAGUGCAACAGCAGCAGCCAAAGCCUCAAACAGAAUACACUGAGGAAGAGUCCAACGCAAAGGAGAAGUGCGGCGACGCUACCACAGAAAUAGAUCAUCAAGUAACAUAGUACAGUAUUUCGAAAAGGAAGUUACAUAGUACCGUACCUAACAAGCUUAAUCAUUAGGUGGGGGAAACUCUCCCCCCUGGUGAUUUUUUUUUAAAAAAGCAAGCUUAAUCAAGUACUCCAACCAUGAGUUGUACAAACAAGCAACAAUUCUACAAAAAUAUUUAGACACAUAAGGAUGACUACCCCAAAGAGAAAUCGAAGGGGAAUCGCAGGGCUCCAGCUGUGAGUUUUGGACGCCAGAAAUCGGUCUUGUCCAAAAAGACAAGACUAAUUAUUGAAUAAAGAUUUUUCCUUGGAUCACAGGAUAGGGGUAAGACAGUGGCCGUACCUUUGCUUCGUUAUUCUUAGUAUCCAAGUCGUCCAGCAGGUCCUCAACGUCGUAGGCAACGGAUUUUAACUUCAGGAGCCACCGCCCAACUUGUUCUCCAGCAAUUCCUCCUUGGCUCACCUUAUUAUCAGCAUCAUGCAUCACCGCCUCCAGAUUUUUUAUCAGCAUCAUGCAUCAUCUGGAGGCGGUGAUUUUUUAUUUAGAAAACGGGGGUCUUCCUCCUUUUCUAAAUAAAAAAUCACCGCCUCCAGAUCUUUCAUUUUUUCCACCAUGUUUUCCACCUCUCCUUUAAACUUCCACUGCAGAGCAAUCUCAUCCCCCGCAAUUUUGAUUAGCCUGCUAGUGACUUGCUUCACCACGGCACUCGCAAUCAUCUCCCCAACACCCACCAUGGCUUCAAGUUCUUGCUCUCGAUCUCCCACACAAGAGUAUGCUGUGCUUGUGAAAGCGCAGCUAGGUAAGGGGCGCUCUGCUUUUGGACUCUACAAUAUAAAGUAUCAAGUACAUGCAUCUUUGGUUAGGAAGACGAGCCUUGCAUCGUUUUUCCUAAACUAAUGAUGCAAUUGGGGUGUGGGUUGCGCGGUUAAGUCAUCACCGGGGGUAAGUAAGACAAUCAUUAAGAAAUAACAUACAGCUGUUUGAGCCAAUAAUCCAACCAGAUGUGGACGAUACCCUGUAACCAAGUGCAUUGUAUUUUAGUAUUACUACUACUAUAUAUGGUUGGAUUCAACUACUAUGUCUCGUCUGGCAGUGGCACGCCAGCCAUUAAACAUACUUUGUACUUUGUACACACUGCACCCACCAUCCAGUUUUAAUUAAAGCCUUACUACAGCUUACAUUUUGUCUUGUGGUGCUCUUCUUUCCUACCAUAAACUACCGAAAAAGGCUUUCGCCCCGCUUUAUAUAUAAAGCAAAGAUCCACAACAACCUGAUACAAACGCACGCCAACACACCACACGCACACACCCAAGACAAGAUACAUAGACGCUGAUCGCAGCAACACCACCCCUAGCCCUACAAGAGCAAUCGCGAAGUGAUGAAGCCACAUAUGGCGAACCAUGGACUCCAAGGCGGCGCCUUCAGGAAGGAUAUGACACCGGAGCGCCACCGCCGCCUGAUCCGAGAAUAAGAGUUUCCCCUGGAGCCGCACGAUGGGCAGUGAGAGCCGCAACGACGCCUUCAAGAAGGGAACGAGAUUCGCCGUCGCCGGUCCUUCCGAAGAUAAAGCAGGUUUUCACCCCGGCCAACACUCACCGCCACCGAACGCCACACCCCAGCAACCACGCCGCCCACACGGCCAUGGCCUCCGGGCAGCACCAAGCCACGGGCUCUGCCCAAGAGCACCGCGCUACCACCACCAAGGCCGCCGCCUUGGCAUCCAAGACCUUGACACCACCUCACCCGAGAUCCACCGCUACCCCAACCAAAGAGACGAGCCGAAAGGUCCCGCCUUUCACACCCCUGGGCAGCCCCAAACGCCAAGACCCAAUAGGCCGGCCAAAAUUGACCUCCAUCGACCCGUCCUGCUGCACCGGGCGCGAGACGAGCUCAGUCCAGCGGCACCGUGCACGAGACGAGCUCGGUCCUGCUACACCAUGCGCGAGACAAGAUCGGUCCUGCCGCACCGGUCGCGAGACGAGCGAUGGACCGCAGCCGGGAGAAGGACAACCCUUCGACGAAAGUAGCGGCCGGACGACGAGGAGAGGAGUCGAAGGUUGACACAGGCCGCCUGCGAGCGGGCAGACGCGGGAACAAGCCAACCGCCGCCGCAACCAACAUGUCACCUCGCGAGCCGCCCACUAACAAGCCGACGCCGGAGAAGACCAGCCGCCGCCUUGGAACGGCCCGGACCACCGCCGUGAGCCACCACAACGCCGUGGCAGCCCACAUCCACACCAGGACCCCAAAGGCCAGCACCGAGCCGCCCGCCGGCAGCCAUCGGCCAGAUCCGAGCCGAUCUGGCCGGCAACCACCGCCGCCAGCAGCAGCUAGCGUGCCGCCGUGGUCCACGGUCAUGGCCACGUCCCCACCAAGUCGCAGCCCGCCACCGCGCCGCCCGACGCCCACAUGCCCGCCAGACCAGAAUGGUGCUGGACCGGGCCGCCGCCCCAAGCACGCACCACCGCCCCGGACACCAGCCGAGGCCACACCGCUGCCACGGACGACCACCGCCACACCCCACGGCGCCGCCCACAGCCCGCGUCGCGACGCGGCUAGAUCUGGCGGAGCUGCGUAGCACCCGCACCAUCCGCNNNNNNNNNNNNNNNNNNNNNNNNNNNNNNNNNNNNNNNNNNNNNNNNNNNNNNNNNNNNNNNNNNNNNNNNNNNNNNNNNNNNNNNNNNNNNNNNNNNNNNNNNNNNNNNNNNNNNNNNNNNNNNNNNNNNNNNNNNNNNNNNNNNNNNNNNNNNNNNNNNNNNNNNNNNNNNNNNNNNNNNNNNNNNNNNNNNNNNNNNNNNNNNNNNNNNNNNNNNNNNNNNNNNNNNNNNNNNNNNNNNNNNNNNNNNNNNNNNNNNNNNNNNNNNNNNNNNNNNNNNNNNNNNNNNNNNNNNNNNNNNNNNNNNNNNNNNNNNNNNNNNNNNNNNNNNNNNNNNNNNNNNNNNNNNNNNNNNNNNNNNNNNNNNNNNNNNNNNNNNNNNNNNNNNNNNNNNNNNNNNNNNNNNNNNNNNNNNNNUCGCCCGGCUGCACCCCCUGGCGGCGGCGAGGGAGGGAGGAGAGGAGGAGGGGCGCCCCGGCGGCGGUGGCUAGGGUUCCCCUCCUGGCCGCCCGCGGGGGGGACGCAGGAGGGUCGCGGGGUAGGACAGAAAGGGCCAUCCCUACCAUAAACUAGAGUGUAUUGGAGCAUACUAAUGCAACUUUUGCAACUAGCUUUGCAUCCAUCGCCUUUGAAACUCUAAACGGAUCUUCCUUCACAUGGAACGAUGCCACCAAACUCACUUACCCAACAACUCGUGAUGCAGCUAAGAAAUAACAGACAGCUGUUUGAGCCAAUAAUCCAACCAAAUGAGGACAAUACCCCGCAACAAAAUGUAUAGUAUUUUUUAUUACUACUACUUUAUGGUUAGAUUCAACUACUACGUCUCAUCUGGCAAGCUGACAAUUAAAUCGAGCGUACUGGACUGUACUGAUGCAACUCCUGCAACUAGCUUUGCAUCCAUCGCCUUUGAAAAAUCACAUGGAAGGGUAUGCCACCGGACUCAAAUACCCAACAACCCAUGAUGCGGUUCACACUGCCAGUAAAAGAAAACAAAUUAAACUUGUAUAGAUAUGGACAUGUACUCGGCUGGUGGCUCAGUCUGCUGUCCAAGUGGCAAAGUUUUAUCGAUAUAAGUUUAAGGUUUGUCUCUGUUGCCAAUAAUGCAGCUUUUAAAGAAUUGAUUUGCAUACUGCACAAUACUACUUCAACUAAAGUAGGAGUAAAACAUGUUGCUAGUUCAUGUUGCUAGUCUCUGAAAUUCCUGCCUGCCCUGUCUUGCUCACCACAAGGUAACUAGGAUGAGUGCUAAUUAAAAUAAGGUAAGAUGCUGACCAGUCAAGAAAUCUGUAGCAAAAACAAGGUUUCCAGCAAAAAAAAAAAAGAUAAGGCAUUCCCAUCACUGCCAAAGUAAGUAAAGAUGCAGAAAAAUGAGGGGAAACAGGUUGGCGUCUCUUAAAUCUACUAGUGCGACUCAGAGAAAGUAGGGCUACAAAUUGACUGGAAACAUGUUGAUGUCUCUUAAAUCUACUAGUGCGAUUCAGGGAAAAUAGUCUAAUUUAGCAGCUAAUUGAUCCAGUGGGAGAACUGUAGGGGCGUGAGCAGAAGCAGGCGUAGGGUUUACCUUGCACGGCGGAUCUGGUGGAGGAGUUGGUCGGCGGCAUCGGCACAUGGACUCGACCUGCACAACGGAGGGGAUGGGGCUGGCGGAACCAGGAGCAAGCAAGAUGGAGUGGGCCGUUUGGGCGGGCGAGCUGAUGCGCGCGGAGGAGCAGAGGAAGGGGAGGUUGGCCGGCACGGCAGGGUCGAACGAGCGCGGCGGCCGGCGGCCGGCGUAGCCAGAUCCAAUCGAAGGAUGGAUUGGGCCUGAAUCGGAGGAUGGUGGAUUGACCACCCAACAGUAAGACCAAAUUACCCUUUAGGGCCUCUUUGGGCCACUUAUUCAGACCCAGGCCCAAUCAGAGUGAGCUUAAGCAGAAUUCGUCACCCAAGUGAGCUGAGCAGCCAAGCUCCAACGCAACGAGAAUUUCACAAUUGGAAGCCGAUGUGAAAGUCCUCGGAAACAUUCCCUCACUCAUUAGCUUCGGAGAAAUGGAUACCUGCAGACUUAAAUUGACACAUUUGCCUAAAACAAACUUAACUUGAGUCGUCUGAAAUGCAGAAACGUGAAAAAGAAACCCUAGCCCACGCGCCGUCCACCCACGGGCGACACGGAUGGUGGCGCCGCCUCUCCUUCUCACUCCUCCGUCCUCUCUCUCUCCCCCACUGCCGCCGCCGGGGCAAAGCCCCUCGCGGUGGCUGGUGGUAGGGCAUCUCCCCCCCAUGUGCACGAACGAGCGGAGCGGGGCGGCUAGAUCGAACAGGUGCACCAAGUUCGUGCAAGGUUGGCGGCGCACGCUCGUGGUGGUGGUGGCGCGGAGGUGGGGAUGGCUGGUGGUAGCGCGAGGCUACGCGGGCCCGUGCCGAGGAUCUGGUGCAGGCGCGGCGUGGUGGUGGCUGGUACUUGUGGGAAGUUCGGGUGUCCCCUCCCUGAUCUGGAUCGGCCAGGUUUGGGGGCGUCAAUGGUGUCCCUCCCCUUCCUCUUCCUGACGGUUGGCAAUGGCGGCUGGUCGCGCGGGUGCGUGCCCGGCGACUCCGACGCUUGGAGCUCGUUGGGCGGUGCGGGUUGGGCACUGUCCCUAUGUGGCUGUUGCUUCGGCCGUGGGUGACUCAACGGUAGCUUGGCAGGUCGGCUGCGGCGGCGACUGGCAUGUUCUGGCGUCGAAUCGCCCGUGGGCGGCUUGUGUCGACCUUCGAUAACUCUCCUCGUCGUCCAGGUGCUACUUUCGUCGAAGGGUCGGCCCUCUCUCAGUUGCGGUCCAACGCUUGUCUCGCGGCCGGUGCUGCAGGACCGAGUUUGUCUAGCGCUCAGCAGCAGGACCAGGCUUGUCUCGCGCCUGGCAGCAGGACCGAGCUCGUCUCGCGCCCGGUGCUACAGGACGGGUCGAUGGAGGCUAGUUUUGGCCGCUCUUUUGGGUCUCGAUGCUGGGGCCGCCAAGGGGUGCGAGAGGCGGGGCCCUUUCGCUUGUCUCUUUGAUUGGGGUAGCGGCAAGGCUCGGGGUGAGGUGGUGCCAAGGUCUUGGAUGAGGGGGCGGCAGCCUUUGCGGUGGUAGCGCGAUGCUCAUGGGCAGAGCCCGUGCCUCGGUGUUGCCCGGUUCCCAUGUCUGUGUGUGCAACAUGGUAGCCAGGGUGUGGCGUUCGAUGGUGUUGGGUGUUGGCCGGGGUGAAAACAUGUUCUAUAUAUCUUCGGAUGGACCGGCGGCGGUGAAACUCGUUCCCUUUUUGAAGACGUCGUCGCGGCUCUCAUUGUCGUCGUGUUGCUCCAGGAGAAACAUUGAUCUUUGGAACAGGUGGUGGCGGCGCUCCAGUGUCUUAACCUUCCUGAAGGCGCCGUCUUGAAGCCUACAGUUUGUCGUAUGCGGCGUGCGUUUGUAUCGGGUUGUUGUUAAUCGUUGCUUUAUAUAUAAACCGGGGCAAAAGUCUUUUUUAAGUAAACGCAGAAACGUUGGGAAGGCAGGGGAGAUAUUUGCAGUCUCAUAUAGAGAAAUUUACAGUGCAUCAUACUACCACUUGGGGUGGGUAAUAUAAAUCUAAUCCAACGGUUGAUGUACAGGGCAGUUUAGUCAAUUCAUAUUAGAUGGAAUUUCUUAUCGAUCAUCGUCUUCCUCCCGACAAGGGCACCAAUCAUGUCCAUCUCCCUUGCCCCCUGCGCUCGUCCCCAAUACAUGCGCGGACGGAGCGGCACCCAUGUCCCUCGCCUGCAGCUGCUCUCCUCCUCACCAUGACCAUGAACUAGUUUAGAUAUUUAGCGCCUACCUGCAGUUUGCAGCUAGCCUAGCCACCCACAUGAGAGCUAGCUCAUGCUUCCAUGGCCGGCUUUUGCUUCAGUUUUUGAGACACAUAGGCUGACCCAAUCAUGCCAUCUUUUCCUCCGUGAGCAGGGGACGCAAGUUUCAGGAGCAGCCAGCUGGGCGGAUCAGCGACGCGUGUAAUAGAGCACCCAUAUUUGUCCAGGCUCCUCGUCGGCAUUUGGUUGCGGCGGCGUGAGGCAUUGCGGGUGUAAGGGCAUAUUUAUCCCUAAGGUGUUUUGGUGAUUAAUGACAAUGCUUUUGCGGUCUAAUCGUGUGCCUUGAGUAUUUCAGACGUUUCGUCACUAGGCACAAGACGGUUUGGUGCCCCUCGAAGACUAUUGAAGACGGCGUUUUUCUACGUUCCUUUUCGGUGGAUUUGAGUCGUAGGAAAGCCGUACUAUUAAGAGGGGGUCCGCGUUGGAAAGGUUCGGGUGGAAUCAUCACGUACACGUUUACUCCCUCUGCACCGCCUUUUCCUUUGCGCGUUGGAGGAUCCUCCGUUUUCUUCAUAUAUAUGCAAAGAGAAGGAUUCCUAGUGUUGCUGUUCUGGGGCAUGCGGUAGUACUGCUCUUCGGAGCGGUAGUACCGCAGGCCCCUGCGGUAGUACCGCACGCCCUUGCGGUAGUACCGUAGGUGCCCACGGUAGUACCGCUCCUAAGGAGCUGUAGUACCGUGGCCUGAGACCAGACUCAGCCACUCGUGCGGCUGUAGGGGCGGAUGUAAUUUUUUACAUCCGCGCCCUACGCGGUAGUACCGCCCCAUGCGCGGUAGUACCGUGAGUCCUGGUCUGGCACAGCAACAUAAGCGGAAGUAGGGGCGGAUGCAAUUUUUUACAUCCGCUCCCUGCGCGGUAGUACCGCAAGCCAUGUGCGGUAGUACCGUGUCGGAUUUUUGCAUUAUUUGAUUUUCUGUGGAAGUUGGCACGGAUGUAUUUUUAUUCAUCCACGCCCUUCCCUGGCUAGUCCAAUCCGGCCUUGCGGUAGUACCGCAAGGGGGAGCGGUAGUACCGCGCCAGCGGCAGUACCGCCCUCAGCCUUUGCGCUUCAGGCCUGGGCUAGCUCCUGCCGUAGCAGCGGUAGUACCGCGGUCCGCCGCGGUAGUACCGCUUGUCUGGGGCGGUAGUACCGCAGGUCGCGGGCUGGUUAGUAGAUAACGGUUGGAUUUGUCUCUCGACUAUAUAAGGGGUGUCUUCUUCCUCUAGUUGACUACCUCUUCCAACCCUAAGCUCCAUUGUUGCUCCAAGCUCCAUUUUCGCCCGAUCUCUCUCCCUACCCAAUCAAACUUGUUGAUUUGCUCGGGAUUGGGUGAGAAGGCCCCGAUCUACACUUCCACCAAGAGAAAUUUGAUUCCCCCCACUAAUCCCUAGCGGAUCUUAUUACUCUUGGGUGUUUGAGCACCCUAGACGGUUGAGGUCACCGUGGAGCCAUAGUCCAUUGUGGUGAAGCUUCGUGGUGUCGUUGGGAGCCUCCAAUUAAGUUGUGGAGAUUGCCCCAACCUUGUUUGUAAAGGUCCGGUUGCCGCCUCGAAGGGCACCAAUAGUGGAAUCACGACAUCUCGCAUUGUGUGAGGGUGUGAGGAGAAUACGGUGGCCCUAGUGGCUUCUUGGGGAGCAUUGUGCCUCCACACUGCUCCAACGGAGACGUACUUCCCUUUAAAAGGAAGGAACUUCGGUAACACAUCCUCGUCUUCACCGGCUCCACUCUUGGUUAUCUCGUGCCUUUAGUUGUGCAAGCUUAUUUGUGUUAUAUCCCUUGCUUGCUUGUGUGCUUCUUGUUGUUGCAUCAUAUAGGUUUCUCACCUAGUUGCAUAUCUAGACAACCUACUUUGAUGCAAAGUUUAAUUUGGUAAAGAAAAGCUAAAAAUUGUUAGUUGCCUAUUCACCCCCCUCUAGUCAACUAUAUCGAUCCUUUCAAUUGGUAUCAGAGCCUCGUCUCUUUAUUCAGGACUUUGUCGUCCGAAGAGUAUGGUUGACACCAUAGACGGUGGGGAGGAGCACUCCGGUGUGAAUCCGAGCUCGUCUACGGCCGAUGGGGGAACCGCGGUUUCUCGUGAGGAAUUCAAUGUGGCUUUGGACACAUUGAAAACCUCCAUGACGACCGAGGUUGAAAGCAUGUUUAAUAAAUUCUUAGAAGGGCUUAAAUUAUCCACCGCACUGUUGAAAGUGGGUGAUCCCACUAACAAGGUGGCGGAUGCUAACUCCGACAAGGGGGAAGCUACUAGUGAAAAGGCUCCUUCUUCUAGUGGUAAAAAUGGCACCGACAUCUUUGCCAAUGUGGAACCUCCACUUGUUUAUGGUGGACCGAUUCCUUCCACCCAUUUGAAUCAUGCCGGUCCUCCCCCUAAGAUUGUGAAAAAUGAGGACUUUGAUUCUUGGGUUUAUCGCUUCAAGCGUCAUUUAAAUCAUGUGAAUACUAAUCUUUGGAGAAUCAUUGAAGAAGGUUUCUAUCCACAUGACCGAAGCAACUUCACCCCUAGAGAAGCCGCGGAUAAUCAAUUCAAUGAGAAUGCUCUCUUCAUCAUCCAAGAUGCAAUUCUACCCGAAGAUCUCCCUCAUCUUCGACCCUUCGCCAUGGCCAAAGAUGCAUGGCAUUGUGUUGUUUCCCUCUACAGGGGAAGCGCAAGCAUUCAAUGCUCCAACUAUGAAGUGGUGCAAGAUGAAGCCGAUGAGUUUGCAAUGAAAGAAGAUGAAGAACCUCGUAAGGUCUUUCGGAGAGUAACCAAACUCGCGGUCUCACUCCGAGAUCAUGGGAGCAAGGACACAGAUGACAAUUGGAUCAAGCGCAAGUUCCUCAAGGCAAUGAUGCCUUACCACAAGGCCAUGUCCUCAGUCAUUCGUCAAAGGCCGGACUUCCACACCCUGUCCUCAAGUGAAGUGUUGGAUGAGUUUGUCGCUAUGAGCAUCUUGGACAAGACCGCCGACAAUGCGGUGAUUUUCUCUCAAAGAGCAAAGAAGCCCAACCUUGCCUUGAAGGCCAAGGUUAGUGUGGAAGAAGAGGAUGAUGAGGAAGAAGAUGAGAGCAAUCCCGAAGAUACCAAGUAUGAUUAUCAUGAACACAUGGUUCUUGCUUCAAGGCAAUUUUGGAGCAAGAAGAACUCAAGGCCAAGCUUCAACAAGAAUAACUCAAGUAGCUUCAAGGGCAAGCAACGUGUGAGAACGUGUUACAAUUGUGGCAAUGUGAGCCAUUUUGUUGCGGAGUGCCCUUAUGAGAAGAGGGAAGACAAUGGUGGCAAGCUCAUCCGAAAGGACAAAGCCAAGUCUUUCCCCAACAAGAACAACCUCACCAAGAAGACUCCAACUAGAGGGUUGGUGGUUCAAGAAGGAUACCAUGAGGAUGAUGAUGAUGAUGAUGAAGAUAGUGAAGCCAUGGCCAUGGCCUCCGUUGCCAUUGCCACUACUCCACGGGUGUCCCUCUUCGACUCACCCAACGAGAACAUCACCGCUAAGUGCCUCAUGGCUAAAGCCACCAACAUGGUAACCCCCAACAUCAAAAUCACCAUCAUCACUAAUCCCUCCUUGACGGAUUGCAUUGAUGAAAGUGAGGGGUCUAAUGAGGAAGUAAAUGAAUUUGAGUCUUUUAUGAGUAAGAUCAAGGGCAAAUCCAAGAAGCACUUCGUAGUUGGUGAAGCCAAUGACAUGAUCGAGGCUCAUGAAGAAACCAUCUCUAAGAUGGAAGGUCAUAGUCAUGACUAUGCCGAUGAGAUAUCGGAUCUCUCUAAUGCUCUUGAGGAAGAGCGUGGUCAUCGUUUGGCUCUUGAGGAGUCACACAACGAUGACCAUGCUAAAUUAAAGAAAGAUCUUGAUCAUGCUCUUGUUGUAUCUCGUGUGCUAACUUCUGAGAAGGCUAAACUUGGCGUUGAUCAUGCUAGACUCAAGGAGGAGUUUGAUAUACUCGACAAGGCCCACAAGGUCUUGAAGGGUGCUCAUGCUAGCCUCAAGGAGUCUCAUGAUCAGCUCCAAGUGAAGCUGACCAAAGAAAAAGCCACCUUUCCUCAUAUGGUAUUAAUUGAUAAUGCAAAUGCCACUAACCCGUGUUGUGAGCAUGUGCAUCUUGUGGAGGAGAAUGCCAAGUUGAAGGAGCAACUUGAGAAAGGCCUUGUGAUGUGCAUACAAGGUGAGAAGAACCUCAAUGACCUUUUGAGCAAUCAAAAUAAAGUUGUGGCCAAGGAGGGAGUUGGGUUCACACCCAAGUCCAAGAACAAGAAGAAGAACGACAAGGCCAAACGACCUCCCCCUCUCAAGCAAACUUUUGUGAAGGAGGGAGAGGGUGCUCCUAAGGAGAAGAAGAAGAAUGUGAAGGGUGGUGAUGUCAAAAAGGGCAAUGCCACCCCUUCCAACAAAGCCGACGACUUUAACCCUUCUUAUGUGUUGUGCCGUGCUAGUGAUGGGCAUGUUUAUGCUAAAUUUGUUGGUUCUCCUUAUGAGUACAUUGAAUGGUCUAUUUGGGUUCCUAAGACCCUUGUUACUAACAUCAAAGGACCCAUUACAAAAUGGGUGCCUAAAACCAAGCAUUGAUCUCUUGUAGGUGUUUGCUUCCGGUGGGGGAUCAUGGUUGUCCGAUAGUGGAGCAACAAAUCAUAUGACCGGAAGCAAGGACUUGGUGGUGGACGUGCACAAGAUCCCUUCUAUGCCCACCAACGUCGAGUGGGGUGAUGCCUCGUCUUCUAAGGUAUUGGGUCUUGGCAAGGUUGUCAUUUCUCAUGAUCUAAUGAUCGAGAAAGUCAUGCUUGUUGAGUCCCUUGCUUACAAUCUACUUUCCGUUUGUCAACUUGCACUCAUGGGCUUUGCCACUUUCUUUGAUAUUGAUACCGUGGCCCUCUUGUGGAGCAAGAAUCUUAAAGUAGCUUUUGUUGGGCAUACCGAGAACGGUCUUUAUGUGAUUAACUUUUCGGAGCGACCCACUAAGACCGCGACAUGCCCAAUGGCUAAAGUUGAUGUGGGAUGGCUUUGGCAUCGCCAUUUAGCCCACGUUAAUAUGAGAUCUUUGCAAAGUCUUCUCAAGGGGGACCAUGUCCGUGGACUAACAAAUGUUAGUUUUGCCAAAGAUCGUGCAUGCAGUGCUUGUAUCGAAGGAAAGCUACAUGAUAAGGCUCACCCUCCCACGACUAUUAUCUACUCGAAGAGACCCUUGGAGCUCCUUCACAUGGAUCUCUUUGGGCCUCCAUCCUUUGAUAGUCUUGGAGGUAGAAAGUAUUGCUUGGUGAUUGUGGAUGAUUAUUCAAGAUACACUUGGGUAUAUUUCUUCAAGAGGAAGAGUGAGACUCAACAAACCGUCAUCGACUUUGCAAAUGAAGCUCAACGUCAACAUGAUGCAAAGAUCUUGACAAUAAGAAGUGACAACGGCACCGAGUUCAAGAACUACACCUUGGAUGAGUUUCUUAGUGAUGAGGGGAUCAAGCAUCAAUAUUACGCACCAUACACCCCUCAACAAAAUGGUGUAGCGGAGAGGAAGAACCGGACGUUGAUGGAUGCGGCAAGGACCAUGAUGGCGGAGUUCAAGUCUCCAUACAACUUUUGGGCCGAAGCCAUCAACACCGCUUGUCAUGCAUCCAAUUGGCUCUACCUCCGCAAGGGCUUGAACAAGACUCCUUAUGAGAUACUCACCGGUAACAAGCCCAACCUCAAGUACUUUCGGGUGUUCGGGUGUAAGUGUUUCAUUCUCAAGAAAGGUGUUCGUUUGUCUAAAUUUGAGGCUAGAGCUUAUGAGGGCAUAUUUGUUGGUUAUGCUACAAACUCUCAUGCUUACCGUGUCCUCAAUAAGUCCACGGGACUUAUUGAGCAGACGUGUAACGUGGAGUUUGAUGAGAAUAACGGCUCCCAAUUGGAGCAAAGUGGCACUUGUGAUGUAGGUGAUGAAAUUCCUCCUCAAGCCAUAAGAAGAAUGGGAGUUGGUUUUAUCCUACCCAUUGAGGAACCCCUUGUGGCUGAAGGAGAAGGACAAUGCUCCACUCAAGUGGAGCCAUCACCAACCCAAGGCCCACACGCUUCCGAAGAACAAAGUGAAGGCCCUCAACCUCAUGGACAAGACCAAGGGCAAGACCAAUCUCAAGAUGGUGUUGAAACAUCAAGUGAUUCCCAAGUUCAAGUUCUCUCCUCCGAGCAAGUUCAAGAUCAAGAGCUUCCUCGAGAUCAAGAACAAGCUCUUAACGGCGCUCCAGAUGAUCAAGUAACCGCUCCUCAUCUCACCCCCGAGGAGGAAUUGGAGCGUCGUGCCGCCAAGAUUGCAUCCAAGCUCUCCACCAAGGGUCAUCUCAUGCAGAAUGUGCUUGGAAGCAUUCAAAAGGGGGUAAGCACUCGUAGACAAUUGGCAAACUAUUGUGAACAUCACGCGUUUGUCUCUUGUGUUGAACCCCAAAAGGUCUAUGAGGCGCUCGAAGAUCCGGAUUGGCUCAAUGCCAUGCAUGAAGAACUCAACAACUUCGAGUACAACAAGGUGUGGAGAUUGGUGCCAAGGCCAACGGGGAACCACAAUGUCAUUGGAACCACGUGGAUAUUUAAGAACAAGCAAGAUGCUCAUGGGACCAUCAUUCGCAACAAGGCAAGAUUGGUAGCACAAGGCUACUCCCAAGUCGAGGGUAUCGACUACGGUGAAACCUUUGCUCCCGUUGCUCGCCUUGAAUCCAUUCGUUUGUUGAUUGCUUAUGCUUCCCAUCACAACUUUAAGUUACAACAAAUGGAUGUGAAGAGUGCUUUUCUUAGUGGUCCUAUUAAUGAGUUGGUUUACGUCAAGAAACCCCCCGGGUUCGAGGAUCCCUACUUCCCCGAUCAUGUGUAUCAACUCGAUAAGGCACUCUAUGGCCUUAAGCAAGCCCCACGUGCGUGGUAUGACCACCUUACCGAGUUGUUGCAAGAUCGUGGAUUUGAAGUUGGGCAAAUCGAUCCCACUCUUUUUACUAAGAAGGUCAAAGGGGAGUUGUUUGUGUGCCAACUAUAUGUUGAUGAUAUUAUAUUUGGUUCCCCUAACAAAGCUUUCAAUGAGGAAUUUGCCGCUCUCAUGACCUCUAAGUUCAAGAUGUUGUUGAUGGGAGAGUUGAACUUCUUCCUCGGUUUCGAAGUCAAACAAAGAAGAGAAGGAACCUUCAUCAGCCAAGCCAAAUACACUCAAGACACGCUAAAGAGAUUCAAGCUAAGUGAUGUCAAGCCGGCUUCCACCCCAAUGCUGUGGCACCCCGGCUCAGAGCAACCGGUUUACCCUGCAUUGCCAGCCCAGAGAUCAAGUCUUCUGGCAAUACACAACAACAUGGUACAGAAAUAACCGCUUUAUUGAUACUAUCGUGGUACAAAGGUCCAAUAUUACAUCGAGGUUCGAGGCCAAGCGGCACAUACGGUGCUGCUGGACAGUAUGUACAUUAUUUAAUGAACAUGGCUGGGGCCUUGAUCACACGAAACUACGCGGCAGUGGAAGAACGACGUAGCGGAACUCCAUGGCACACGGACACCAACGUGGACACGGCCUAGACUCGAGAUGCGCUCCGAUGCGAAUCGACUUGCUUGAAAGCUGGCAUGACACGCCAGGUCAGUACAUUUAAUGUACUUGCAAGCUCACAACAAACAUAAGCACGAUGACAGACAAUAUCAUGAUAAUUAGUCCAGUUAAAUUAAUGCAAGAAUUUACGACGAAUGCAAAGCUAUGCAAAGCAAUCAAAUAGCAUGCGGAGUCACACAGACUCGCUUACCAGACGGUUACCUCGUAACCAGACGGUGACCACACCGAGGUCACACCUGAAACCAAACACUCAUGAACACCUCGCGUGUUCAGGGUUCACCACGAAACAAUACAUCACAAUAGUUACUAAUUGGCAAGAUUAAUUAUAAAAAUGUUAAUCCAUGGUGUGACUUACUCCCGAGUCUUGCCCAUAACCGAGGGCGCGGCUAUCGAUAGAUUAAAUACACUCUGCAGAGGUAGCGCACUUUACCCACACCACGGAAUACCUGGCCUCGUACUCCCAUUCGGGUGGACCAAAAUAUUCCGACGAAACCCUCCCUUUGCCAUGCACUCUCCCCGGCCACUCUGACCAUCUCCCUCACAGGGCUAGGUCUUGGGUGGCCCCGUGUCUACCAAAGACACCAACGGCCACCAUCGUGGCAAAACGGUCCCAACCAGGGACAAGGUACCAUAAAAACAAAAAUGAGCACACAAGGUUAUGUCUGCCUACUGGGCCAGGGUAUGCACGCCCAUAACCUUCCCUCGCGGGAGGCACCGGUGAGAGCCACGACAAAGGACCGAAUCAAGACCUUCCCAUUAGGUAAAUGUGGUCGCACUGAACUGAAACUCGAUUCAGUGGCACCAUGAUGUGAUCAACAUCAUAUUCAGGUUGAACUUAAUCAAGUUUUACUUUUCAGAAGACGUUUUAUUACUAGCAUAGCAAUAUACCGGGAAUCAUGCAACUAACCGUCACAUAGAGCAAGGAACUCUCAAGCAUGGAUCCAAACAAGCAACAUGACUAUAUUGCACUACUAAGUUCAGAAACUUCUAUGUUUGGAACUCAUUUUUAUCUACCCACAAUAUUUUUAUUAGUUCAUUAUUUAGUUGAAACUAUUACUAGCAAAAUAAAUACCAUAAUUUUCCAUAACAAAAUAACUAGUGCAAAAAUCUUACUCUACUUAGCCAAACAAUUCUAUGCCCUCAACCAGAAGCUAAAACAAGCAUAUCAAGCAUUACAAAACAACUAGCAAUUCACAAUAUGAAUUUAUCAAAUUUUAAAUGCAAAUAAAGACUCAUAUUCAAGUAGAAAAUCAUAGAUAUUGAAAUAACACCAUCCAAAUGAUGAUGUGGCUUGCCUUAGUGCAGAGGAGGGUCACACUCCUCCUGGUUAGCUUCAAGGCAAGAUCCUCCUUCUGAAAAUAUUUUAAAACCACAAAAAUAAAUGUCAAAACACAUUCUGAAAAUCACCAGAAAUUCUAGACAGCAAGGAAAAAUCCACCCUUUGGUGUGCUGCUAGAGCUUUCUGUAACAAAGACAAUGCAAAAAGAAUCAAUCCAUUUGGACUUGUGGUUUAGGAGUUGUGGCUGGUCAAAGUUUGGUCAAAUUUCUGAAUAAAUUUGAAUUAAACAGAAAUUCCAGGGGGGUGACGUUGAAGGCGUAAAAGAGGAAUACGCCUCCACUCGUACCACUUCGGGCGCGAGUGGUGAAACCGACAGGUGGGUCCCGUGCGUCAGGAGGGGAAGAGAGAGAGUGAGAUCAGAGGGAGGCGGGGCUUCGCCGGAGCUCACGCCGGCGACGAGGGGUCUUGGGGCUAAACGAGAGGGAUAGGAUGAAGGCUGGGGUCGUGGCGCACCUACCCAUACCCGUGGCUUGGCGAGAGGUGGCCGGAGUUGGUCGUGGUCGAGCUCGCAAGGUUCGGUGGCGGACGGGGUUCGCCGGAGAGGAAGGAGACGGCGGCGAGAGGCGGCUCCGAGGGCUCCACGGGGUCCAGGCUGCACCAGCAGACCCCCAAUGCCCCGCCCAAGUAGCUGCUUGAGCUCGAGAGGCACCGGAGCACGGCGUCUGGACCGCGGGGAUCGCCGGAGUCCUCGGGUCGGGGCGACGGCCAGAGGCCUGCCCGACCGGGCUGCAGCUCGUCUACGUGCUCGUGGAGGUGUGUGGAGUGGUGCGUGGCUAGUGAGCGAGGAGGGGUGGCUUUAUAUAGCCGGAGCAGACGUGGGGGGACGUGUCACCGCCGGAUCGUUCUGGACACGCGGCCAACGUCGACGAGAGGCGCCAACGGGAGGCGGGGGACAGAGUGCAGCGUCAACGCUGGCGCUUGCCCACGCUCGCGGACGAGGACAGGGGGCGGUUUGGGAUGGGGACAAGCACACGCGCGCACUGUGCCGUGUUGGCCGCGACUUGACCGGACCUGCUGCGGUGGCUCCGGCGUCGGAGAGCGCCAGGGAGGGGUCAAGGGUGAUGGUUCGGGGGUGGUGGCGCGUUGCGGCAGUCGGAGGCGAGCGCUGGCAUGCACACGCGCAAACCAGAGCGCAAGGCGCCAGCCAGAGCACGUCGAGACGCAUGCCAGGCACCGUGUCCACUCGUGGUCACCAGGCUGGCAUGGUAAAAACGACGCCCAGGCGCGGCCAAACCUUGUCUACGCUCUCGACCAUGCAGUGCUACGUCUAGGAGAGGUGAUGGCUCAUGCCCAGGUCGACCAGAAAUGACUUCACUGAGCUGACAAGUUUCUGCACAGAAACUUGGUCGCCAAGUUUGGCCACCUUCUAGAAGGCCAUUAGGGCUGAUCUCCUGGGUUUUACGGUUUCUUAGGAGGGUGUUUAAGGUCAAGAAAGAUCAGGGCUAAAAGCUUAGGGGAAAAUGCACUUGCUGUACAAAGUGCAUUUCUGGUCCAGAAGUGAAAAGAUUUUCUACAGCAAAAAUAUUACAAAAAGUGAUGCAAUAUUUUUGCAUGGGAAGGUGCGCCAUGGUCCUAAGAAUAUUUAGGAAUUAUCUCAGAUUUUUCUGAGCAAGAAAAAUUGAGGUUGUUUUGGAGCACAAAGUUCUGAAAUGAACUUAAGAGAGAAAAAUGAAUAUUUUCUUUUUAGGAAAAAUAUUCAUUUUAGUAUUUUGGGAAUUGGUGUGAGGAAGAAGGUUGACAGGUCACUUGGGUAAAAGCCAAGGAUAUGCCCAAGUGACAAGUCCAUUUGAAUUGAUUCAAAACUCCAAAUCAAAUCAGGGCAAAAACCAUGAUGAAAACCAAGUCCGGAAAGAGAGAGAAAGCAAGUCCGGUAAAAAGAGAGAAGGCAAAAUCCAGGCUGUCACAAACCUCCCCCACUUAGAAUGAAUCUCGUCCUCGAGAUUCGGUUGCUUGGGAAAACCAUUCUGGGUAUGCAGUCCUUAAAAAUUCCUCUCUUUCCCAGGUUGCUUCUUCUUCUGUGUGAUGCUCCCACUGAACCUUGUAAAUUUUUAUCUCUUUGCUGCGAGGACCGUUUCUGUCUGAUCCAAUAUUCUGAUUGGCUUUUCCUCAUAAGUCAAAUACUUAGCCAAUUCUAUCUCUGACAUAUCAGUCCUUUUCUCUGGUGGCGAGAUGCAUCUCCUUAGCUGUGAGAUGUGAAAUAUGUUGUGUACUUCUGACAAUUCCGGUGGCAAUUCCAACUGGUAGGCAACUGUCCCGACUCUGGCCAUGACGGGGAAUGGACCGAUAUAUCUGGGUGCCAAUUUUCCUCGGGUCUGGAACCUCUUGACUCCUUUCAUAGGGCUGGCUCGGAGAUAUACAUGUUCUCCGGGUUCGAAGCUGAUGUGACGAUGUUUGGCAUCAUAGUAGCUCUUCUGUCGAGAUUUGGCCAGUUGCAGUCUGUCUCGUAUCUCCUUGACUUGCUUCUUUGCUUCGAGCAUUAAAUCAGUCCCGAAAGUACGACUAUCUCCGGUUUGAGACCAAUUUAAUGGGGUGCGGCAUUUCCGGCCAUACAUGGCUUCAUAGGGUGACAUCUUUAAACUGGCCUGGAAAUUGUUGUUGUAGGAGAACUCGGCAUAGGGUAGACAGUCUUCCCACUUGGUUCCCUGGGCCAAUGUACAUGCCCAGAGCAUAUCUUCGAGUAUUUGAUUUACUUGCUCAGUCUGUCCAUCUGUCUGAGGAUGGUAAGCCAUGCUGUACUUCAGAGCGGUCCCCAAGGCUUGAUGAAGUCGGGACCAAAAUGCGGAUGUGAAUAGAGAUCCCCUGUCAGAGGUGAUAGUGUUGGGUACUCCAUGCAGACUGACUAUUCUUGAUACAUACAGCUGUGCAAGUUGAUCUGCACGGUAUGUGGUCCGGAUAGGUAUGAAGUGUGCCACCUUAGUUAGAGUGUCCACUAUGACCCAUAUUGCGUCGUUUCCUCGAUGAGAUCUUGGUAAUCCAGUGAUGAAAUCCAUGCAAAUAUCGUCCCAUUUCCAUUGGGAUAUCGGCAGCGGCUGAAGGAGUCCGGCGGGUUUUUGGUGUUCCGCUUUUACCUUAUUGCAGACAUCGCAGCAGGCCACAAAAUACGCGAUGUCUUUCUUCAUUCCAUCCCACCAGAAUAUCUGACGAAGGUCGACCUCAUACAUCUUGGUACCACCGGGAUGAACUGAGUAUGGUGCUUCAUGUGCUUCCGCCAAUAUUUUCUUCUUCAGAUUGUCUUGGUUGGGUACGCAAAGUCUUCCUCGGAACCUUAGUGAACCUUGCUGGUCCAUAGUGAAAUCCGGUGCUUGCCCUUGGUGCAGCUUUUGAAUAAAUAUCCGUAGCACCUUAUCAUCCGCUUGAGCUUUGCGGAUUUCUUCUUCGAGAGUAGGAGCAACUUUCAAGAUAUUGGUAAGACGGGCGUCUAUGAUCACCAAGUUUAGCUACUUGAUUUCUUCAUAAAGCUCCGGAGGUAAGAAAUCCAUUAGAGCAUUAAGGUUGGCUGGUUUGCGACUGAGAGCGUCAGCCACCACAUUGGCUUUGCCCGGGUGAUAAUUUAUUCCGAGGUCAUAGUCCUUAACCAACUCGAGCCAUCUUCGCUGUCGAAGGUUCAAGUCGGGUUGGGUGAAGAUAUACUUGAGACUUUUUGUGGUCGGUGAAUAUCUGGCACCUUUUUCCAAUCAGAUAGUGUCUCCAGAUCUUCAAAGCGUGCACCACUGCGGCCAAUUCCAAAUCAUGAGUAGGGUAAUUUCCUUCAUGUUGUCGUAGUUGACGAGAUGCAUAGGCCACCACUUUGCCAUCUUGCAUGAGUACACACCCCAGUCCUUUUCUAGAGGCGUCGCAGUAAACAUUGAAACUGCGGUAGAUAUCUGGAAGAGUUAAUACGGGUGCCCAUGUUAGCCUGGUUUUUAACUCAUUGAAGCUCCGUUCGCAGUCUUCUGUCCAUACGAACUUCUUGUCCUUCUUGAGGAGCCCAGUCAUCGGCUUGGUGACCUUGGAGAAUCCUUCGAUAAAACGGCGGUAAUAUCCGGCUAGUCCAAGGAAACUCCAGAUCUCUGAGCGGUGGUGGAUGCGGACCAAUCAAGUACAUCUUUUUACCUUGCUUGGGUCCACCAAGAUUCCUUCUGCCGAGAGGAUAUGUCCGAGGAAUCCCACUUGCUGGAGCCAAAACUCACAUUUCUGAAUUUGGCAUACAAUUGAUGAUCGCGAAGCCUUUGCAGAACUGCCCGAAGAUGCUCCUUAUGUUCUUCCUUGCUCUUGGAGUAGAUGAGGAUGUCGUCAAUAAAUACCACCACGAAUUUGUCCAAGAAAUCCAUGAACACCUUGUUCAUCAUAUGCAUAAAGAAUGCAGGAGCGUUGGUGAGGCCGAAGGACAUAACGGUGUAUUCGUAAAGACCGUAUCGAGUGGUGAACGCGGUCUUAGGAAUAUCUUCCUUCUUAAUCUUGAGUUGAUGAUAUCCUCUCCUCAAAUCAAUCUUUGAGAAUACUUUGGACCCACUGAGUUGAUCAAACAGAUCGUCAAUCCUCGGCAGUGGAUACUUGUUUUUAAUGGUGACGUCAUUCAACUGUUGGUAGUCGACGCACAUUCGUAGACUACCAUCCUUUUUGUCCACAAAAAUUGCUGGUGAUCCCCAUGGCGAAGAGCUGGGACGAAUGUAUCCUUUUUGCAUCAUCUCAUCCAGUUGUUUCUUAAAUUCCACCAAUUCUGAGGAGGGCAUCCGAUAAUAUUUCUUAUGUAUCGGGGUGGUUCCAGGCACCAGGUCAAUAGCGAACUCCAAUUCCCGGUCUGGCGGCAUGCCGGGUAGUUCUUCAGGAAAUACAUCGGGAUACUCGCUGACCACUGGGAUUAAUUCCACUUCUUCUACCACGGCUGCGAAAACCAUAUCCUUCGUGGGGAUGCGCUUGCGGGCAUAAAAACUUGUGGUGCGACCUUCCAUAUUUUUCAGGGUAACUUCUCUGGUCGCACAGCUGAUGUAGACUUGGUACUGGGUUAACCAAUUCAUGCCCAGAAUGACAUCCAAUUUGCUGGAAUCGAUGAUUAUCAAUGAUGUAGGAAACUUGACGCCCUUGAUGUCGAUCUCCAAAUUUCGACAGACGAGAUUGCUUCUAAGUAUGGAUCCCGGGGAUUGUACCGGCAUGUGGUUUCCCAAAAUCGAGCAAGAAAAAUUGUUUUGGGAAGCAAAACUCCGCGAAAUGAAAGAGUGGGAAGCCCCAGAGUCAAAUAAAAUUACAGCGGGUAUGUCGUUAACGAGAAACAUCCCAAUGACGACUUCCGGGUCCUCUUGGGCUUCGUCUGCGGAGAUGUGGUGAACUUGCCCUUGGAUUAUAUCGGGGGCAGAAUAUUGCUCCAUGUAGUUGACUUGCGGCUGAAAUGGAGCACCGUGCUUGGUGUUCUUGGGACACUGUCGGGCGUAGUGUCCGGUUUGACCACAGCAGAAGCACGAAUUGUUGCGCUGGCAAUCGUCGCGCACUGGGCUGGUCACGACAUUCUUGACUUGUGUAGUAGUCUUGUCGACAUUCUGCUGCCAAUUGGGUUUGUACUCCACCUGAGUUUGUUGCCAUGUAUGAGCCUUUUGCACUGGUUGCAUAUCCUUCUUGGGCUCGAAUUUGCGCUUGUGAUCAUUAGAAACUGGCUUGUUGUCAUGCAGGAGCUUGUGUUCCCUCUCGGCGAUUAGGGCCUUGUUCACCAGGGUCAGGAAGUCCGGGAAAUCAAACAUGCUGAGAGUGCACCGGAGAUGUUGGUUUAGGCCUCCAAGGAACCGAUCGAUCUUCCACUCUUCUGUGGCCACAUCAUGAAGAGAAUAGCGGGCCAGAUGGUUGAAUUUAUUCAGGUACUUGGCGACGGUCAUGCUGCUUUGAGUGAGAGCGAGAAAUUCGCGUUGCUUGAUCUUCAUGACUCCUGAGGGAAUAUGAUACUUGCGAAAAUGAUCCUUGAAUUUUGUCCAAGUAAUUUCCUCGUCGGCAGGCCAUAUUGCUUUGGCAUUAUCCCACCAUAUAGCGGCAGCUCCUUCGAGAUAAUGCGUUGCGAAGGGAACCUUGUCUCCGUCGUCUGUGCGAGCAAUCUCCAGUUUUCUCUCAAUAGUCCUUAGCCAGUCAUCAGCGUCCAAGGGAUCAGUAGCAUGGCUGAAACUGGGAGGCUUGGUUCGCUGAAAAUCUGAUAGCUUGGAAUGAUGGCCAUUCUGGUUUCCAUUCUGUCCAACCAUAACUUGUACACUUUUCAGUAUUUCCAGCAGAUCAUUGCUCCUUCUUUCUUCAAACAUUCGCAGGAUUUGCUCGGUGGAAGGCGGUUGUGGCGGUGGGGGCGGAGGUGGCUGGUAUGGUUUAGGGGAAUGUCCUGCCUGUCUUGCGGAACGGCGGACAGGGACAUCCUCACCAGCUUGACUGCUGCUGCCUCCACGCGGCAUCCUAUCUUUCGUUUUCCCAAUACAUAGCAACCAUGAUGAGAAAAUUCCAAAAUGGGGGAAAAACCAAUGACAAAUCCCGGAAGAAAGCGACGAAUAAAACCAAGUCGAAAGAAAAGAGUUCAACAUAAUUAUACAUAGUCCCAACAUGAAAAUAAACAUCACGACGGGUCUACUACCCUUGUACAUGAAACUGCGCAUCAUGACAAGCACGAUUACAACCAUACAUCAUGCUCAUAACUACCGCGAUACUCUAACGAUCUACUGCUCGGAUGGUGCUACUGCAGGCUCGUCUCCUGUGCCGGACCCAGAUCCUGAACUGGUAGUGGAGACCUCCGGGGGAAGAGAGGUGCGCUGGCGCUGCCUUGAGGGCUCUCCCUCAGGGGCAGGCAGGGGAUGGGAUCUAAGCAUAGGAGUGAUAGGGGUAGCGACAAGAGAAGACCAUGCAGCAGGAGCGCUGCGAGGGUUCACCGUCAAAGGGUUAACGGUACCCUGCGAGGUCGUCGUAGAAACGGAAAUGGGAGGAGCAGAAGUGUAAAUGACAGCGGGAAGAGGGUUCCUUGCACGAGCAGUGGCGAGAGCGACGCGAGCGCGUGAGAGCUCCCGAGCUAACUCGUAGUUAAGGAGAUAGCUAGCAGUGAUGUAGCGUGCAAGGUGGCUAGUGGGACGAUCGCACGCCGGAUUAAUCAAAGGAAAGCGGAUACGCCCAUUCUCGUGCAGAGAUGGGUAGAAGAAAAGUCCAGGGUGGGUGUGCAUGCGAACCUCAUUGUAGCGCAAGUCUACGAGAGCCUCGAUAGGAGCAAACUGAACCGCCUGAGAUGGCGUAGAAGCAAGACCACCCUUAGACGAACGAGUGUAAGCGCCGGAUGGGGAACUGUGGUGUAGAGUGACCUCAGCAUAAUACUCAUACACUGCACCAGCGAGAUGCUCGCAGUAUACCCGAUACUCUGGAUCAACACCCUCUGGAUAGAGUCGUCGCCACACGUUCUGAAGCAGGUGCGGCGAUGUGCACAGAGCUGGCUCAGGGUGGUACAAGAUCGGUACUGGUGCCAUCUACACUCACAAACUAUACGGUCAGUAAGAACAAUAAUAAAUCAUGCAUGCAAUGCGACAACCAAUUCCUAUGUCUACCGGCACUCAAACGAAGCUAAUUACCAUUUUACUAACGCACUACCGGUCUAGCGUGUCCUACAAUCAGUGCGGCUCUGAUACCAAGUAUUGUGGCACCCCGGCUCAGAGCAACCGGUUUACCCUGCAUUGCCAGCCCAGAGAUUGAGUCUUCUGGCAAUACACAACAACAUGGUACAGAAAUAACCGCUUUAUUGAUACUAGCGUGGUACAAAGGUCCAAUAUUACAUCGAGGUUCGAGGCCAAGCGGCACAUACGGUGCUGCUGGACAGUAUGCACAUUAUUUAAUGAACAUGGCUGAGGCCUUGAUCACACGAAACUAUGCGGCAGCGGAAGACCGACGUAGCGGAACUCCAUGGCACAGGGACACCGACGUGGACACGGCCUAGACUCGAGAUGCGCUCCGAUGCGAAUGGACUUGCCUGAAAGCUGGCAUGACACGCCAGGUCAGUACAUUGAAUGUACUUGCAAGCUCACAACAAACAUAAGCACGAUGACAGACAAUAUCAUGAUAAUUAGUCCAGUUAAAUUAAUGCAAGAAUUUACUACGAAUGCAAAGCUAUGCAAAGCAAUCAAACAUCGUGCCGAGUCACACAGACUCGCUUACCAGACGGUUACCUCAUAACCAGACGGUGGCCACACCGAGGUCACACCUGAAACCAAACACUCAUGAACACCUCGCGUGUUCAGGGUUCACCAUGAAACAAUACAUCACAACAGUUACUAAUUGGCAAGAUUAAUUAUAAAAACGUUGAUCCAUGGUGUGACUUACUCCCGAGUCUUGCCCAUAACCGAGGGCGCGACUAUCGAUAGAUUAAAAUACACUCUGCAGAGGUAGCGCACUUUACCCACACCACGGAAUACCUGGCCUCGCACUCCUAUUCGGGUGGACCAAAAUAUUCCAACGAAACCCUCCCUUUGCCAUGCACUCUCCCCGGCCACUCCGACCAUCUCCCUCACAGGGCUAGGUCUUGGGUGGCCCCGUGUCUAGCAAAGACACCAACGGCCACCGACGUGGCAAAACGGUCCCAACCAGGGACAUGGUACCAUAAAAACAAAAACAAGCACACAAGGUUAUGUCUGCCUACCGGGCCAGGGUAUGCACGCCCAUAACCUUCCCUCGGGGGAGGCACCGGUGAGAGCCACGACAAAGGACCGAAUCAAGACCUUCCCAUUAGGUAAAUGUGGUCGCACUGAACUGAAACCCGAUUCAGUGGCACCAUGAUGUGAUCAACAUCAUAUUCAGGUUGAACUUAAUCAAGUUUUACUUUUCAGAAAACGUUUUAUUACUAGCACAGCAAUAUACCGGGAAUCAUGCAACUAACCGUCACACAGAGCAAGCAACUCUCAAGCAUGGAUCCAAACAAGCAACAUGACUAUAUUGCACUACUAAGUUCAGAAACUUCUAUAUUUGGAACUCAUUUUUAUCUACCCAAGAUAUUUUUAUUAGUUCAUUAUUAGUUGUAACUAUUACUAGCAAAAUAAAUACCAUAAUUUUCCAUAACAAAAUAACUAGUGCAAAAAUCUUACUCUACUUAGCCAAACAAUUCUAUGCCCUCAACCAGAAGCUAAAACAAGCAUAUCAAGCAUUCUGAAAAUAUUUUAAAACCACAAAAAUAAAUGUCAAAACACAUUCUGAAAAUCACCAGAAAUUCUAGACAGCAAGGAAAAAUCCACCCUUUGGUGUGCUGCUAGAGCUUUCUGUAACAAAGACAAUGCAAGAAGAAUCAAUCCAUUUGGACUUGUGGUUUAGGAGUUGUGGCUGGUCAAAGUUUGGUCAAAUUUCUGAAUACAUUUGAAUUAAAUAGAAAUUCCAGGGGGUGACGUCGAAGGCAUAAAAGAGGAAUACGCCUCCACUCGUACCGCUACGGGCGAGUGGUGAGACCGACAGGUGGGUCCCGUGCGUUAGGAGGGGAAGAGAGAGAUUGAGAUCAGAGGGACGCGGGGCUUCGCCGGAGCUCACGCCGGCGACGAGGGGUCUUGGGGCUAAAUGAGAGGGAUAGGAUGAAGGCUGGGGUCGUGGCACACCUGCCCGUACCUGUGGCUUGGCGAGAGGUGGCCGGAGUUGGUCAUGGUCAAGCUCGCAAGGUUUGGUGGCGGACGGGGUUCGCCGGAGAGGAAGGAGACGGCGGCGAGAGGCGGCUCCGAGGGCUCCACGUGGUCUAGGCAGCACCAGCAGACCCCCAAUGCCCCGCCCAAGCAGCUGCUUGAGCUCGAGAGGCACCGGAGCAUGGCGUCUGGACCGCGGGGAUCGCCGGAGUCCUCGGGUCGGGGCGACAGCCAGAGGCCUGACAGACCGGUCUGCAGCUCGUCUACGUGCUCGUGGAGGUGUGUGGAGUGGUGCGUGGCUAGUGAGCGAGGAGGGUGGCUUUAUAUAGCCGGAGCAGAGGUGGGGGGGAUGUGUCGCCGCCGGAGCGUUCUGGACACGCGGCCAACGUNNNNNNNNNNNNNNNNNNNNNNNNNNNNNNNNNNNNNNNNNNNNNNNNNNNNNNNNNNNNNNNNNNNNNNNNNNNNNNNNNNNNNNNNNNNNNNNNNNNNNNNNNNNNNNNNNNNNNNNNNNNNNNNNNNNNNNNNNNNNNNNNNNNNNNNNNNNNNNNNNNNNNNNNNNNNNNNNNNNNNNNNNNNNNNNNNNNNNNNNNNNNNNNNNNNNNNNNNNNNNNNNNNNNNNNNNNNNNNNNNNNNNNNNNNNNNNNNNNNNNUGGCGUUGCCCACGCUCGCGGACGAGCACAGGGCGGUUUGGGAUGGGCACAAGCACACGCGCGCACUGUGCCGUGUUGGCCGCGACUUGACCUGACCUGCUGCGGUGGCUCCGGCGUCGGAGAGCGCCAGGGAGGGGUCAAGGGUGAUGGUUCGGGGGUGGUGGCGCGUUGCGGCAGUCGGAGGCGAGCGCUGGCAUGCACACGCGCAAACCAGAGCGCAAGGCGCCAGCCAGAGCGCGUCGAGACGCAUGCUAGGCACCGUGUCCACUCGUGGUCACCAGGCUGGCAUGGUCAAAACGAUGCCCAGGCGCGGCCAAACCUUGUCUACGCUCUCGACCAUGCAGUGCUACGUCUAGGAGAGGUGAUGGCUCAUGCCCAGGUCGACCAGAAAUGACUUCACUGAGCUGACAAGUUUCUGCACAGAAACUUGGUUGCCAAGUUUGGCCACCUUCUAGAAGGCCAUUAGGGCUGAUCUCCUGGGUUUUAGGGUUUCUUAGGAGGGUGUUUAAGGUCAAGAAAGAUCAGGGCUAAAAGCUUAGGGAAAAAUGCACUUGCUGUACAAAGUGCAUUUCUGGUCCAGAAGUGAAAAGAUUUUCUACAGCAAAAAUAUUACAAAAAGUGAUGCGAUAUUUUUGCAUGGGAAGGUGUGCCAUGGUCCUAAGAAUAUUUAGGAAUUAUCUCAGAUUUUUCUGAGCAAGAAAAAUUGAGGUUGCUUUGGAGCACAAAGUUCUAAAAUGAACUUAAGAGAGAAAAAUGAAUAUUUUCUUUUUAGGAAAAAUAUUCAUUUUAGUACUUUGGGAAUUGGUGUGAGGAAGAAGGUUGAUAUGUCACUUGGGUGAAAGCCAAGGAUAUGCCCAAGUGACAAGUCCAUUUGAAUUGAUUCAAAACUCCAAAUCAAAUCAGGGCAAAAACCACGAUGAAAACCAAGUCCGGAAAGAGAGAGAAAGCAAGUCCGGUAAAAAGAGAGAAGGCAAAAUCCAGGCUGUCACAAAUGCCCACCAAGUGCCAACUUGACAUUGAUCCAAAUGGUAAAGUGGUGGAUCAAAAGUUAUAUCGCUCCAUUAUUGGCUCCUUGCUUUACCUUUGUGCAUCUAGACCGGAUAUCAUGUUGAGUGUGGGAAUUUGUGCACGGUUUCAAGCCGCACCGAAGGAAAGCCACUUUGUGGCGGUCAAGCGAAUCUUUCGGUAUUUGGCUCAUACCCCAAACUUUGGCUUAUGGUACCCAAGAGGAGCAAACUUCAAGCUUGUAGGAUAUUCGGAUUCCGAUUGGGCGGGAGACAAAGUGGAUAGGAAGUCCACUUCCGGAGGGUGCCAAUUUCUUGGUUGCACUUUGGUGAGUUGGUCUUCCAAGAAGCAAAGUUGUGUGUCUCUCUUGUCCACCGAAGCGGAGUAUGUGGCGGCCGGUAGUUGUUGUGCACAACUCUUAUGGAUGAGGAAAACUUUAAAGGAUUACGGUGUCAUUUGUGACAAAGUGCCUCUUUGGUGUGACAAUGUAAGUGCCAUCAAGAUUUCUCUCAACCCGGUGCAACACUUCAAGACGAAGCAUAUUGAGAUUCGGUAUCACUUCAUCCGGGAUCAUAUUAGGUGAGGGGAGAUCGAGCUAAACUAUGUCAACACUCAUGAUAACCUUGCAGAUAUUUUCACGAAGCCCUUGGAUGAAGCAAGAUUUCGCGAGUUAAGGCAUGAGCUAAAUAUCAUUGAUUCGAGCAAUGUGGCAUGAACCCUUGCACACCCCACCACACUCAACUUGUUGUCUAGUUUAGGUGUAGGCAUGGACAUAGGGGGAGUGUUGUUCUCUCAAUGAACUCUCCCCCCCAUUAUGCAUAAAUUGAUCAACUCUUUCACAUUAGCCAUUUUUAUGGUACUUGUGCUUCAAAGACGAGUUUUGGUCAUGGGCCCAAGGAUAAUUCUUCACGGUGCCAUACCAAUCGACUCAAACAUAGGUGGCUCCGGCCACCGCCCCUCUCCUUGGAGAGGUUGUGUCUCGUUUUUGGUCCUUGUUGUCUCUUGCUUUUCUUUCUUCGUGCCGAGCUUGUGCUUGUGGUGUCUCGUUUGUUACCUCGUUGGUGUGUUUGUUCGCUUGAAGGUUCCAUGCAAAGGUGUUUCUUCCUUUUGUUUGAAACUGCUUUUUCUUGGGUUCAUGGUACUACCGUGGCCUGCCACGGUACUACCGCAAGGACACGAUACUACCGCAACCAGCACGACAGUAAUUUUUUACUGCCGCUGGUGGAGCAGUACUACCGCCCACGGCGCGGUACUUCCGCCCGGGCGGUACUACCGCAAGGACACGCGGUACUACCGCGGAUUAGCGAGCGCGUGGGGGUUAAGAGCGGGCAGGGGGAGUUCCAACUCCCCCAUACCCAUUCACUCUUUCUCCCCACGCCGCCUCUGUAACGCCCACGAUGCGGCUAUAUCUCCCACAUGUCGAGGCACGACUUAGAGGCAUAACCGCAUUGUGGUUUUGUCGCAAGAGGGUCAUCUUCACACAAUACCAUGUAAUGAACAAGAAUGGCAUAACGAGAGUUGGCUUACAAUCGCCACUUCACACAAUACACAAAUAUAAUUCAUACAUCAUCCAAAAUACACACAUAGACCGACUCCGGUCAAAUCCAAAUGAAAAUAAGAUAACCCCAAAUGCUAGAUCCCCGAUCGUCCCAACUGGGCUCCACUACUGAUCAUCAGGAAAAGACACAUCGUAACGACCACGUUCCUCAUCGAACUCCCACUUGAGGUCGAUCCCAUCAUCUGCACUGGCAUCAUCGGCACCUGCAACUGUUUUGGUAGAAUCUGUGAGUCACGAGGACUCAACAAUCUCACACUCGCGAGAUCAAGACUAUUUAAGCUUAUAGGAAAGGAUGGUGUAAUGAGGUGGAGCUGCAGCAGGCACUAAGCAUAUAUAGUGGCUAACAUACGCAAAAGAGAGCGAGAAGAGAAGCAACGGAACGGUCGUCAUCUAGCAAUGACCAAGAAGUGAUCCUGAACUCCUACUUACGUCAUUCAUAACUCAACCGUGUUCACUUCCCGGACUCCGCCGAGAAGAGACCAUCACGGAUACCCACACGGUUGAUGUAUUUUAAUUGGGUCAAGUGACAAGUUCUCUACAACUGGACAUUAACAAAUUCCCAUCUGCCUCAUAACCGUGGGCACGGCUUUCGAAAGAUAAUACCCUGCAGGGGUGUCCCAACUUAGGCCAUCAUAAGCUCUCACGGUCAACGAAGGAUAAACCUUCUCCCAGAAAGACCCGAUCAGUCUCGGAAUCCCGGUUUACAAGACAUUUCGACAAUGGUAAAACAAGACCAGCAAAGCCACCCGAAUGUGCCGACAAAUCCCGAUAGGAGCUGCACAUAUCUCGUUCUCAGGGCACACCAGAUGGGCAAGACGUCGGGUUGGCAUAGACCCUGGUUGCCCAGGGGGCGCCGGACAUCGCCCAGUUUGGGCCAGCACUCGAAGGAGCACUGGUCCGGGGGUUUAAAAUAAAGAUGACCCUCGGGCUCGCGAAAACCCGAGGGAAAAAGGCUUAGGUGGCCAAUGGUAAAACCAAGGUUGGGCCUUGCUGGAGGAGUUUUAUUCAAGGCGAACUGUCAAGGGGGUCCCAUAAAUCACCCAACCGCGUAAGGAACGCAAACUCAAGGAACAUAAUCCCGGUAUGACGGAAACUAGGGCGGCAAGAGUGGAACAAAACACCAGGCAUAAGGCCGAUCCUUCCACCCUUUACCAAAUAUAUAGAUGCAUUAAUUAAAUAAGAGAUAAUGUGGUAUCCCAACAUCUCCAUGUUCCAACAUGGGACAAACUUCAUGUUCACCUGCAACUAGCAACGCUAUAAGAAGGGCUGAGCAAAAGUGGUAACUUAGCCAAACAACGGUUUGCUAGGAAAGGAUGGUUAGAGGCUGUCAUGGCAAAUAUGGGAGGCAUGAUAUAGCAAGUGGUAGGUAGUGCAGCAUGGCAAUAGAACGAACAACUAGCAAAACAAAGAUAGAAGUGAUUUCGAGGGUAUGGUCAUCUUGCCUGCAAGGUUCUCAGAGUUGUCGAAAGCUUGAUCCUCGUAAGCGUACUCAACCUCGUUCACGAACUCGUCUCCCAGCUCUACGCAAAACAAGAACACAAGCAACGGAACCACAAUCAAUCACGGGAAAUGCACAAGCAACAUGAUGCAAAACAUGAAUGACAUGCAAGAUAUGAUAUGCGAUGCAUAUGCGUGCUCCGGAAGAAAAAUGAUGAAAAAGGCAGUAACUUGGUAAACCAAGCAUGCCACUGGAAAUAUGAGAUUAUUUCGGUUGAAAUCGAUAUAAAGAUCACCGGAAACGGAUGCACGGUUUGCAAAUGGCAAGCAAAACAAGAAUGAUACGAAUCUGUGAUUAACAGCAUGAUAGCACUUAGAAUGCAACAAGUAACAAUGCUACAGCACUCCAACAUAACAACAAAGCAUAUGAAAGUAAUCUACAGGAGAUGCUUGACAAAAGAUGAACACUGGGCUACGGCUAGAUCACAACAUAACAGGCUCAAACAAGCAUGGCAAAAGUGCAAAAGAUAUCAGGUUCACAGACUUGGUGAAAUUACUGGACAUGACUGAAACAGCAUCAGGUAGCAAUGUUCAGAGCACGAAAUCAACAUGCUACAGGAACUUAACAUGGAAAAUCAAGGCAUGGCAGUAUUCUACUAAAUGCAUAUGACAAAAGUCCCUUACUGACCAUAAGCCAAAAAGGACCAGAAGAUAUGAUGCCAACCAUGUAAACAUAGCAAGUUUCGUUAUCAGGUUGCAGACUUGGCAGAAAACAGAGCAUGGCAGAAACAGACAUUAUGAGGGCAUCUUGGUGAGCUUGAUGCACUCACCACAAAGCAACCCAUGACAAAAGAAGCAUACCUACAGCAAGAUGGCAUGUUUAUGAAGCUAUCCAUGGCAAGAGCAAAUACAUAGCAUGUAUGAAACAACUACAACAAGCUUGGCAAAAUUGAAUAUCAUGAUAACAAUCUGUCUAAGGGCGCCAUGGAAGUGACUUAGAGGGGAUUUGGGCUGUUUGGAGGGGGGUUUUGCUGCAACACACAAAAGGACUUUGCGGUUGCCCGGUUAACCGUUGGAGUACCAAACGACCUCCAAAUGGCACGAAACUUGACAGGUGGUCUACCGGUGGUAUACCAAGGCCACUUGACAAGCCUCGGUCCAUUCCGAGAACGUUCAACACCCGCUCACGAAAAGAAACGAAAAGGGGUGCGCCGGAGGAGGUGGGAGUGCCGGAUUGCAAAACGGACAACGGGGAAAAUGCUCGGAUGCAUGAGACGAACAUGUAUGCAAAAUGAGAUGCACAUGAUGACAUUAUAUGAGAUGCAUGACAUGAACAAAAUGCAAAACAAAAGACAAAAACCCGACCACGAAGGAAAAUAUCAUAACACAUAGCCGAAAAUGGCAAGAGUUGGAGUUACAAAUAUGGAAAUUUACAUCCGGGGUGUUACAACACGCCACCACUACGAGAGGAUCUCGUCCCGAGAUCUAGGACUGAAAGAACUCCGGAUAUUCGGAACAGAGGUGGUCCUCGCGUUCCCAGGUAGUUUCUCGGUCGGAAUGAUGCGACCACUUCACUUUCAGGAAUUUGAUUGACUUGUUGCGAGUCUUGCGCUCAGUUUCUUCAAGAAUAGCAACUGGGUGCUCAUGAUAAGACAUAUCUUCUUGGAGGUCAAUCUCUUCGAAGUUGAUGGUGCGCUCAGGCGUCUUGAAGCACUUGCGGAGCUGUGACACGUGGAACACAUCGUGCACGUUCGCGAAGUUGGAAGGAAGCUCAAGUUGAUAGGCGAGGUCGCCUCUUUUGCCAAUGAUCUUGAAAGGACCCACGUAUCUAGGGGCAAACUUCCCUUUGAUACCGAAGCGACGAGUGCUUUUCAUUGGAGAGACGCGGAGGUAGACAUGGUCUCCGAUCUCGAAAGCUACAUCACGGUGCUUACAAUCAUAGUAACUCUUCUGGCGCGAUUGCGUGGCUUUGAGAUUUUCACGGAUGACUUUACACAUUUCUUCAGCCUCUGUGAUUAAGUCAUUGCCAAGAAGUUGGCGUUCACCAGUCUCUUACCAAUUGAGAGGAGUACGACACUUUGUGCCAUAGAGAAUUUCGAAUGGGGCCUUGCCCGAACUUGCUUGGAAGCUGUUGUUGUAGGAGAAUUCGGCAAAUGGAAGACAAUCUUCCCAUUUCAUGCCAAAGGAAAUGACACAAGCUGUUGUGGAUGACAUGACUAAGUCUCUCCUGAAUGAGAGCUUAGCUGACUGUGGGAGAACCGGCCUGAACCCCUUCUGCCAAGCUAACCCGGCUCCGGCGGUAAGCCACUGACCUGAACACCUUGGUUUUCUUUUUAAUAGUUUCCAUCUGGACCUUAAGAAAUCUUUGCUGUAUGUUUCAGGCUAAUGACGAGUUCUGGAAGGUCUAAUAUGACCAUGAAGCGGCCAAAAAAGCCAGGAAGGCUAAGAAAGCCGCCAGAAGAGCCGCUUCCCGCAAGAAGGGAAGCAGGCCUACUGCCUCAGAGCUGCUUCAGCUAAGUGACAGCUCCGAGUCAGAGGUAACCCCUGAAUCUGUAGACUCUUGUUUUGUUUCUUGUUUAUUCUUAUCCACCUUAUCGAUACUGACCAUCAGCAGGAUGACACCGGAGCAAGUAACCCGGUGACUGAAGAGGUAACGACACUUUCCUCCGACUCGGAGCCCUUGCCAAGGCUGAAAGUCCGAAGAGUAACCCGGAAAGUAAGAUUUUCACAUCCUUUAGCUUAUCAAGAUCCUCAAUUUCUUUUGAAGCAACAGAUUCACGAGAGCCGGCGGCACACCCGGACCAACAAGGAUGCAGACCUCUCCUCCGGCUUACCUGAAGCAUCAAGGAAACGCCGGACCGAGGUUAUGUCCAACCUAUAUCCUUUUCAUCCUUUGGCGGGCGUUACUCGUCAACCGCUCAAUUCUUCUGAUUCAAAUUAUCAGGAAACUUCACCUUCCUCUGGUGAUUCUAUGCAAUCUAACCUGCCGGCAUUCAAGACCGCACCUGGGUAACGAUGAUCAUCUUGUGUUGUUCUUAUCUUUACUCAUGCUUUUGUACUAACCUUUUGUCUUUUCAGUGCCAGGCAAAGCUCAGCAAGAGGGCGAGGAAGAAUAAACCGGUCGAAGAGCCGGUCUUAACUGAGCCGGAGGUUUCAGCUCAAGAGCCGCCAGCUGCCUCUGCUCCUGAAGCCACCGCUCCAAACGACGAGCCAGUCAUAGAGAAUUCUACCAAUCCGGACAUCUCCAGCCCGGCUCAGCCAGCCGAUGACCCGGACGUGGUAAUCACCCAGACGGAGUUUGUUGAGCCGGGGAGACCCACUGUGCUGGCUAAGUGCUCUGCCAAGGAAGAGUUGCUAGAGCGCCGCAGGGCCAAGCUGGACAUCACUAACUAUGCUAACUUGAGCAUUGGAGAUAUCAUCUCCGGCUAUGUCAAUCAGGUGCACAAUAGCCGGGACCUGGAGAUUGACAUGGUGAAGCAGAUACAGCAGAAAUCUGAGGUACCACUCUCUUGCUUACUACAUAGUCAUCUUUACCAUACUAGCCCCCAAGUCUACUACUUAUGAUAGAAUAUGUUGUAGACUUAACUUCUGGCUUACUUUCAUAAACCGGCAAUUUGUAGAUAGAACCUUUCAGCAUACAUUAGCCCCCAAGUGCCAAGUGUCUUUGCUUGGAAAGUGCUUGGGACUUUAAAGUUGUAUAAUAAUUAUUCAUACUAUAACCCGGAAAUUUUACAGGCUGCUUGCAAGAAAUUUGAAGCUGACAUCUCUGAGUGGAAGAACCGCCUGAAGACUUAGGAAACUGAGACCCGGAAGGCCAAUGCUAAAUUUGAGUCCAGUGUUGCUGCUCAAAAGAAGCUGAAGAAGAAGUUUGAAACCGAAAGGAAGACUUGGGCCGAAGAAAAGGCUGCUCUGGUCAGCCGGGCCGAACAGGCGGAGGCAGGUCUGACAGAGAGAACCGCCGAACUCUCCGGCUUAAAGCGCCAUGUAUCACAGAUGGUCGCCGCAAUCUUCGGUAAGUCAUUCUGCAGACUUUCAACAAGUUUACAUUCGCUAUGUCUCAUAACUCCCAUCAUUGCUAGCGGCUUACCUGACGUUGUAAAACAGGUCCCAGAAGCGCCAACCUCAAUCAAAAUGUGCUGACCAAGCUGAAGGCCGUGUACACUUUGGUGGAGCAACUCUACACUGGGUCACAACGCGCCUUGGCCGUUGUGGCCCUGUCCAAUGAGGUUCCGACUCACCUGGCGGAUGUACUUCGCCGGCUUGCCGUUCUUCCUCAGCGUUUCCAAGAGCUGCGACGGGCCUCUGCAAGAGCCGGAGCCAUAGCUGCUCUGAGCCGGGCCAAGGCUUUCCUUCCAGAGCUAGACCCGGCUGACAUCGCACUUGGAUACCCCAGCCUGAAGGAAGACGGCACCCCCUUCGACCAAAAAGACUUUGCUGCCUGUGUGAAGAUCGUGCGCCGGAUGGCAACCCUGAUUGGGAAGGACACCGACCUUACCAAGUACCAGCCGGGCUACGACGCAGAGAAUCAGAGGAUCCCCACGCCGCGUUAUGAAGCCAUCAGCUUGGUCCCGCCGACUCGUAAGCACACCUUUGCCCCAGAAAUUGACCCGGCCGGGUUAAUUGACGAGGAGGCUCAGUUUGAAGCUUUGAGCGGCAUUGACUGGAAAUCGUCAACCUUCCAGGUCAUGGGAACAGCCGGAGGAGCGGAGAGGGAUGAGCCGGAAGCUUUGACCCAGCAAGCAUCUUGACUCUUAGGCGGCCCAUGAUUACGCCUUUAAAACAAUGCCUCAUCUUUUGGACUCGGGGAGUCUUGUAAUAGAGUAGGACAAACAUGUUAAUCUUGUCGUGCCAUUGUGCACAUGUUGAAUGCUUAGCUCCGUUAAAGUUGCUUCCUUAUAUUCCUCCGGGUCAUAAUUGACCAUUUGUUGUUCUUAACCAUCCUGCAUAGAAAAACAAGUCACAAGUCUCUAGGCGGUUUACCGCACUGAGAACCAUAGACCUUAUAUAUAUAUAACCCGGAAUAUGAAUAAAUCACCGAAGACUGGCCCUUAAUUACAUCUUUGAUGUAACCAUAACGGCAUACUUACGAGACUUCGAGUAUAGUUCCGGCUUAUGUAACCCGAAUAAUGAGGUGAAGAUCACAACUCCAGUUUACCAGCGUCAAGAAUACUUACUGUAUGUUAUCAACAUUGUGAAUCAAAAGUAAGUCGGCAAAGGAAAAGCCGCCCUUGCACACUGUUGAUGUGACCAACAGAACUUGUUGUAAGUCAGAAGAUCAAAAACUUAGGGGCUUCCGGUUCGAAUACGACCAGAGAGCCGUCCCAAAGGGGUUAAGCUAAGAUUCGAAUGCGAUCAUAUAGCCCCCAGUGGGGUUGGCGAUGCCAACCAAGAGGGUACCGACAGCUAUGCUCUCUUUGGUUCGAAUACGACCCAUGUUUGAACAGGAAGCCCCCAAUUGACCUUACGAGUUGUUUAACGACGCUGAUUCGAAUACGAUCCACGUCGGUUCCCAAAGGGGGUUGAACUAUGAUUCAAAUAUGAUCAAAGAAAACUCCCCAAUGAGCUCGGCACUUUGCCAAUCAAAUGGGUAUCGACAGCUAUGUUCUCUUUGGUUCGAAUACGACCUAUGUUUGAACAGGAAGCCCCCAGGUGAUUAUAUUGUUUACGGCUAGAUUCGAAUACGAUCAUAGGCCGGAUCCACCUCCAAGUGACCAUGUGAUGGUGUAACGGAAAUAAUAUGUUUACCUUUGGAGGAGAAAAGGACAGAGGUCCUGCUUUAUUAUUUAACAUAAUAUAUACAUGGCUAUAGAAAUAUGUACAUUAUGAGAGCCGGUGGCUCAAGUGUAAUAAGGCCGAAGCUGAGAUAUGUUCCAUGGCCGACGGGUCUCCUCCUCCGACUUGCGUGAAUCUUUAUUCUCCCGGACGUUAAUACGGUAGUAUGACCCGUUGUGCAAGUUCUUGCUGACCACAAAGGGCCCUUCCCAAGGCGGGGAUAGCUUGUGUGCAUUUGUUUGAUCUUGGAUGAGCCGGAGUACCAGGUCACCUUCCUGGAAGACCCGGGACUUAACCCGGCGACUGUGAUAACGGCGCAGGUCUUGUUGGUAAAUCGCUGAGUGAGCUGCCGCCACGUCACGCUGUUCGUCCAACAAGUCAAGAGCAUCUUGGCGCGCCUGUUCAUUAUCCGCCUCAACAUAAGCCGCCACUCGAGGCGAGUCAUGACGGAUGUCACUGGGGAGGACUGCUUCCACUCCAUAAACCAUGAAGAAAGGCGUGAAAGCCGGGGCUUAAUGCCCUUCAAGAUCUCCUAAUUAGCUCUCUCAGCUUGACCAUUGGAUUGAGGAUGAGGCACUGAUGAAACAUCAAGUCGAAUAUGCUCUCGUUGACAAAACUCCUCCAUGGCACCCUUAGACAGAUUGGUACCAUUGUCAGUUAUAAUGCUGUGUGGAAAGCCGAAGCGAAAGAUCACCCUUUUCAUGAACUGAACCACCGUGGCCGCGUCACACUUGCUAACUGGCUCUGCCUCAACCCACUUCGUGACCUUGUCAACCGCCACCAAGAGGUGGGUCUUCUUAUCCUUGGACCUUUUAAAAGGCCCAACCAUAUCGAGCCCCAAGACCGCAAAUGGCCAAGUGAUUGGUAUCAUCCUCAACUCUUGAGCCGGCACAUGAGCCCGUCGCGAGAACCUCUGACAACCGUCACAUUUACUGAUCAAGUCCUCCGCAUCAGCGUGAGCCGUCAGCCAAUAAAAACCAUGACGAAAAGCCUUGGCCACAAGGGAUUUUGAGCCGGCAUGAUGGCCACAAUCCCCUUCGUGCAUCUCACGCAAGAUUUCUUGACCCUCCUCAGGGGAGACACAACGCUGGAAUGCUCCCGUAACACUGCGGCGAUGCAGCUCACCAUCGAUAACAACCAUUGACUUAGACCGCCGGGUUAUUUGUCUGGCCAGAGUUUCAUCCUCAGGCAAAUCUCCCGGGGUCAUGUAAGCCAAGUAUGGCACCGUCCAGUCCGGGGUGAUGUGGAGAGCCGCCACCAACUGUGCCUCCGGGUCGGGGACAACCAAGUCUUCCUCUGUAGGUAACUUAACAAAAGGGUUAUGCAAGAUGUCCAAGAAGGUAUUAGGCGGCACCGGUUUUCGCUGAGAGCCCAGCCGGCUUAAGGCAUCAGCCGCCUCGUUCCUCCUGCGAUCGAUGUGCUCUACUUGGUAACCCUGGAAGUGUCCAGCAACGGCAUCAACCUCACGGCGAUAAGCCGCCAUGAGAGGGUCCUUGGAAUUCCAAUUGCCUGAUACUUGUUGAGCCACUAGAUCUGAGUCGCCCAAACAUCUUACUCUGCUCAAGCACAUCUCCUUAGCCACCCGAAGACCAUGGAGCAAAGCCUCGUACUCAGCCGCAUUGUUGGUGCAUGGAAACAUCAACCGUAGCACAUAACGGAACUUGUCACCUUUAGGGGAAGUCAACACGACUCCAGCCCCCGAGUCCUCCAAUUUCCUAGACCCAUCGAAGUGAAUAGUCCAAUAUGUAUUAUCUGGCUUUUCUUCAGGCACUUGUAGCUCUGUCCAAUCGUUGAUGAAAUCCACCAAAGCUUGAGAUUUAACAGCAGUGCACGGUACAUAUUUCAGACCAUGAGGCCCGAGCUCUAUAGUCUACUUAGCCACUCUUCCUGUGGCUUCUCUGUUUUGGAUGAUAUCUCCAAGGGGGGCAGAACUAACCACAGUGAUAGGGUGACCCUGGAAAUAAUGCUUAAGCUUCCGGCUUGCCAUGAACACACCAUAAACAAGCUUCUGCCAAUGUGGAUACCGCUGUUUGGACUCGAUGAGCACUUCACUGACGUAAUAAACCGGCCGCUGAACCGGAUACUCCUUACCCUCUUCCUUGCGCUCCACCACCACAGCCACACUGACGGCUCGUGUGUUAGCAGCUACAUACAGUAAUAAGGGCUCCUUGUCAACCGGAGCAGCAAGGACUGGGGGCUCAGCCAGCUGUCUCUUCAAAUCCUCAAAAGCAGUAUUAGCAGCAUCAUUCCAGACAAAGUCAUCAGUUUUCUUCAUCAACUAGUACAGUGGCAUGGCCUUCUCACCCAAACGGCUUAUAAACCGGCUUAAAGCAGCGAUACGGCCCGCCAAGCGCUGGACGUCGUUUAUACACGCCAGCUUAGCCAGAGAGGUGAUUGCCUUAAUCUUCUCCGUGUUAGCUUCAAUGCCUCUAUGAGAAACCAGAAAACCCAAGAGCUUGCCUGCAGGAACACCAAAAACACACUUGGCCGGGUUAAGCAUCAUCUUGUAGACCCGGAGAUUAUCAAAGGUUUCCCUCAGAUCGUCUAUCAAGGUUUCCUUCUCCCUGGACUUAACCACAAUAUCAUCCACAUAGGCAUGAACAUUGCGCCCAAUCUGGCAAUGAAGACAGUUCUGCAUGCAACGCUGAUAAGUCGCCUGUGCACUCUUGAGUCCAAAAGGCAUAGACACAUAAUAGAAGGCUCCAAAGGGAGUGAUGAACGCCAUCUUCUCCUGGUCCUUAACUGCCAUUUUAAUCUGAUGGUAUCCAGAAUACGCAUCCAAGAAACUUAAACGCUCACAACCUGCCGUGGCAUCAAUGAUUUGAUCAAUAUCGGGGAGAGCAAAAGGAUCAGCCGGACACGCCUUGUUUAAGUCCGUGUAGUUCACACACAUCCGCCAGGUGCCAUUCUUCUUGAGCACGAGCACCAGGUUAGCUAACCAUUCUGGAUGAAAAACUUCGACAAUAAACCCGACCGCCAAGAGCCGGGCCACCUCCUCACCAAUGGCUUUCCGCCUCUCUUCAUUAAACCGCCGAAGGAAUUGCCUGACCGGCUUAUAUUUCGGAUCAACAUUGAGAGUGUGCUCAACGAGUUCUCUAGGUACACCUGGCAUGUCAGAAGGUUUCCAUGCGAAGAUGUCCCUAUUCUCACGGAUGAACUCGAUGAGUGCGCUUUCCUAUUUCGGAUCCAAAUUGGCACUGAUGCUAAACUGCUGAGAUGAGUCACCUGGAAUGAAAUCAACAAGCUUAGUCUCAUCAGCCGACUUAAAUUUCAUUGCCGGCUCAUGCUCCAUGGUCGGCUUUUUCAGAGAUGUCAUAUCUGUUGGGUCAACAUUGUCCUUGUAAAACUUCAACUCCUCUGUUGCACAAACAGAUUCUGCAUAAGCCGCGUCACCUUCCUCACACUCCAAGGCUAUCUUUCGGCUGCCAUGAACCGUAAUGGUCCCAUUGUGACCCGGUAUCUUGAGCUGUAAGUAUACGUAACACGGCCGUGCCAUGAACUUGGCGUAAGUCGGCCACCAAAUAUGGCAUGAUACGGACUUCUUAUCUUGACCACCUCAAAGGUCAAUUUUUCCACCCUCUAGUUGUACUCAUCUCCAAAGGCCACUUCCAGUUCGAUCUUACCAACUAGAUAAGCCGACUUACCAGGCACCACACCAUGGAAAACAGUAUUGGACUGGCUGAGGUUCUUAUCAAUCAACCCCAGGCGACGGAAGGUUUCAUAAUAGAGGAUGUUAAUGCUGCUGCCUCCAUCCAUGAGCACCUUAGUGAACUUAUAUCCUCCCACCUGAGGAGCCACCACCAGGGCCAGGUGACCCGCAUUAUCAACCCGGGGAGGGUGAUCCUCCCUACUCCACACAAUGGGCUGCUCAAACCAUCUUAAAUAGCGUGGAACCACCGGCUCAACAGCAUUCACAACCCUCUUAUGAAGCUUCUGAUCUCGCUUGCACAGACUCGUGGUAAACACAUGAUACUGUCCACCAUUGAGCUGCUUUGGAUUGGUCUGGUACCCCCCUGUUGCUGUUGAUGACCCUGGCCGGACUGCUGAUUAAAGCCCUCUUGAACAUUCUGAGGAUUGGAAUUUGAGCCGCCGCUCGGGCCAUGAAAGCCGCCGGCGCCUGAGCCGCCGCCCGAGCCAUUGUUGCCAUUAAAGGCAUAGGAAUUAUUAAAGGCCUUCAUGAUUGCGCAAUCUUUCCAUAGAUGGGUAGCUGGCUUCUCCCUAGAGCCAUGCCUUGGACAAGGCUCAUUCAACAGCUGCUCAAGCGUUGGGCCUGAACCGCCGGCUCGGGGAGGUGGCCUCCCCUUACGUUGCUGGUUGUUACCCUGUGAGCUGGCAUUGGCCACAAACUCCAUGCUGCCAUCAGGCUUGUUACCUCCUUGGUUCGCCGGGUUAUGCUGAGGACCCUUGCCGUUGCCGUUCUUCUUUCCCUUCCCUGUCCUUUCAUCAUCUGACGCGGGGUCCUUGGUACUAUCAGAGUCGGCGUACUUGACGAGAGCCGCCAUCAGCGUACCCAUAUCAUUGAAGUAGCGCUUGAGCCGCCCGAGUUUCAUCUUCAGGGGCAGGAAACGACAAUUCUGCUCCAACAUCAAGACUGCAGAGCCGUCAUCCAUCUUAUCUGAUGAAUGUAUUAUCUCUUUGACCCGGCGAACCCAAUGUGUCGUAGACUCACCCUCCUGCUAUUUACAGUUAGUCAAGUCCACAAUUGACAUAGACUACCUACAUGUAUCUUUGAAGUUUUGGAUGAACCGGGCUUUCAGCUCAGCCCAAGACCCGAUAGAAUUCGGUGGCAGCCCUUUCAACCAAGUGCGGGCAGUCCCAUCUAACAUCAUGGUGAAGUACUUGGCCAUCGCCGCUUCGCUGACCUCCAGCAAUUACAUGGCCAUCUCGUAACUCUCGAUCUAGGCUCCGGGUUGUAAAUAAGCCAUGUAAUUAGGCACCUUCCUAGGCCCUUUGAAGUCCUUGGGUAGACGUUCAUUGCGGAGAGCCGGCACUAAACAAGGGACACCCCCAGUCCUGGUAGGGAUACCUACGUCGACGGAAGCCGUCGGAUAAGCCGGGGGUAUCUGGUAAGCCGUCAACUGAGGCACCUGCUCCGCCUCUUGCCGUGCCCUGUCUUGAUCUGCUGCGUGGCCAGGUGGCAUGUCACGGCGUCGGACAUUACUUGAGCCGGUCGCUGAGACCAUGUGUCUGCUAUAACUCGGGCUCCGACUUGGACGAGGGGUUGAAUGGAUCCUGUCCCGGCUAUAAGAGUACGCCUCUUGCUGUGCCAGAGCUGUCUGAAGGAGUUCUCUCACCCGGUGGGUUUCAACAGCCGUUGGAGAGUCGCCGUCAAUUGGGAGGGCCGCCAGCCGUGCCACCGCGGCGACCAUGUUUUCCAGCGGGUUGGCAUAAUGACCCGGUGGUAUUGGCACGUACUGAGGCGGGGCAGGGUUCACCCGGGGAGGCCCCAUCACUUGGGGCAGAAUAGGUGUCCCAGCCCCGGGCACUAUGAUCUCUGGCGGGUUACUAGACCCUGCACCCGGCGUGUUGAAGAGAUUUCGAGGAUCGUAAACCGGAGGGAGUCGAGAUUGGGCCUUUUGAUGCCUCCUUCUCAUGACCUAAUUGGAUGCGUUUUGAUCCAUCGUGAGCCGGAAGGACUGUGCUUGAAUCAGCUGUGUCUGGGCGUCAAGAGCCGCCCUCUCUGCAGCCAUCCUGAUCCCCUCCGCCGCCAGAUCCUCCUUGGCCUUUGCUAGAUCCAACUUUAACUGGGCCACCUCCGCGUCAUGCUGAACUUGAUCCGCCGGAGCCACCGUAGCGGUCAACAGGACUGUCAGCUUGUCUGUGAGAUCCAUCAGCACCUGAGCCGGUGAAGGCACCGGGCUUCCUGACCCGAAGGCGGGGUUUUGAACAGGUUGCGCGCCGGCCAUGAAGAUUCCAACCCGGCUCGGCGGUUCAAAAGGGUCCGGAAUGCUGUCGCCGUCGGAACAGCCCCUGAGCCUGCCAUCCUGAAGUUGAUAUAACGAAUUUGACUCAUCCGUAGCCGACUCGCUGUCAGAGCCGGCAGCCGUCUCAUCACCAAAUCCAGACCCUUCAGAGAGUCCUCCAUGCACACAUCCCACGAAAGCAUGCUUCGAGGCAGGUAGAGCCCAGGCGGGUCAUGCACGCUGAGCCGUCUCGAUGAGAUCGGUGCAGAGUUCCGGCUCAGGGCCCGGCUCACCAAUCUUACCAAUGAAGACGUGGAUUCCGCCGAAGGGGACCCGGUACCCGUAAUCGAUUGAGCCGUCGUCGGGGCCCCAGGUUGCAUCGUCGAUGUAGAGCUUGCCGCGACGACUCUUGGUCAUCCGGCCCACAACGUAUCCCUUGAGCCCUUCGAAGCUGCCCUUCAAGAACUCAAAUCCACCGUGCGCUGGCCCCACGGUGGGCGCCAACUGUUGUGGAAUUGUCACGGCAGAUGUCCUCGAGCUAGGACUUAGUCGUGGAGCCAUCGCAACUAGGAAGCUUAAAGGGGUUAAACGGGACAAGGAACACAGGGUUUAUACUGGUUCGGCCCCUUACGGUGAAGGUAAAAGCCUACGUCCAAUUGAGGUGGUAUUGAUUAUGGUUUCGAUGACCAGGGAGCUUAAUUGCUAUGCCUGGUUCUCGAUGAGAUCUUACUUGUCCCUAAACCGCCGCCGGGUCGCCCUUUACAUAGAGAGGUUGACGCCCAGCGGCUCUCAGAGUCCCGGCCGGCUCAUAAGAGUGUCCGACUCGGACUCUCAACUAUUCUUGCCUUACACUACAAGUUCUACCAUAAUGGCGGUGAUCACUACGGGCCUUAAGCCACGUCCGGGUCUUAGGCCCAUCAUUGACCCGCCGUCUUCAAGCUCGGUACUGGGCUUCGCGUGAUGACCAUUAUGAGUAACCCGGCCCCUCCUGGCGGGUGACUCUAAGGGUUAUAUCCUCAACACAAGCCCUGAGCAUAUCUUCAAGAAUUUGAUUGACUCGCUCGACUUGGCCACUAGUUUGAGGAUGGAAAGCUGUGCUGAAGUGAAUGUUGGUGCCCAUGGGCUUCUGGAAGGAGUCCCAGAACUUAGAAGUGAAGAUGCUUCCACGAUCUGAAGAAAUCAAUUGUGGAAUGCCGUGCAAGGAGACAAUUCUGGAGGUGUAUAGCUCUGCCAACUGAGCUGGUGUGAUGGAUUCUUUGAUUGGAAGGAAAUGAGCCACUUUAGAAAGCUUGUCGAUGACAACGAAGAUAGCAUCAUUUCCACGCUUGGACUUUGGAAAACCAGUCACGAAGUCCUUUUCGAUAUGAUCAAACUUCCAUUCUGGGAUAGCAAGAGGUUGGAGGAGACAAGCUGGUCGUUGGUGUUCUGCUUUCACUCAUCGACAGACAUCACAUUCAUUCACGAAUUGAGCAAUUUCUCGCUUCAUUCGAGUCCACCAAUACGACUGCUUGAGGUCAUGGUACAUCUUCGUGCUUCCAGGAUGAAUGGAAAGAAGAGAAUUGUGCGCCUCGUUCAUAAUGACUUUCCUUAGAUCACCUUUAGGAACCACAAUCCGGUCCUCGAAGAAUAAAGUGUCUAUGUCAUCAAUGCGAUAGCACUUGUAUUUGGAAAGACCCUUGUCGAUACCACGUUUCACCUUCUUCACCAUGGCAUCAAGAAGUUGUGCCUCACGAAUUUGAUCUUCCAAAGUAGGAGAGACUAUGAGGUUGGCAAGAAAACCUUGAGGAACAACUUGGAGAUUCAGCUUGCGGAAAGCUUCACAAAGAUCCGGUUGGAAUGGCUUGAGAAUUAAGCUGUUGCAAUAAGCCUUCCUGCUAAAAGCAUCUGCAAUGACAUUGGCUUUGCCUGGAGUAUAUUCAAUACUCGGAUUGUACUCUUGAAUCAUUUUGACCCAUCGAGUCUGCCUGAGAUUGAGGUUGGGUUGAGUGAAGAUGUACUUGAGACUCUUGUGAUCGGUGAAUAUGUCCACUUGUCUUCCCAACAAGAGAUGUCUCCAUGUUAUUAAUGCAUGGACAACUGCCGCGAACUCAAGAUCGUGAGUGGGGUAGUUCUUUUCAUUGGGCUUCAACUGACGAGAGGUAUAGGCCACAACUUUCUUCUCUUGCAUUAACACAACACCGAGACCUUGGAGAGAAGCAUCACAGAAAACUUCGAAUGGCUUGGAUUCGUCAGGAGGAGUUAAGACAGGAGCUGUGACUAGUUUCUCUUUGAGAGUGUUGAAAGCAACAUCACACUCAGGAGACCAGACAUAAUUCACAUGCUUCUGGAGGAGGUUGGAAAGAGGCUUUGCAAUCUUAGAGAAAUUCUCAACGAAUCUUCGGCAAUAGCUUGCAAGACCAAGAAAACUGCGAAGCUGCUUGACAUUCUGAGGAGGUUCCCAAUUCACAAUUGCGGACACCUUCUCGGGAUUAACAGCGAUGCCCUUGGCAGAGAUGAUAUGACCAAGGUAAAGAACUUCAUCAAGCCAAAACUCACAUUUUGAAAACUUCGCAUAGAAUUGAUACUCUCUGAGCUUGUCGAGCACCAAUCGCAAAUGUUUAGCAUGGUCCUUCUUAUUCUUGGAGAAGACCAAGAUAUCAUCCAGAUACACCAGCAUGAAUUCAUUGGUAUAGGGGUUGAAGAUGAAAUUCAUCAUCCGAGAGAAUGUUGGAGGAGCAUUGACAAGGCCGAAAGAGAUGACAGUAUAUUCAUAAGAACCAAAGCUUGUUCUGAAUGCUGUCUUGGGAAUAUCUUCUUCACGAAUGCGAAUCUGAUGAUAAACCAUACGGAGGUCAAGUUUGGAGAAUACUUUAGCACCCUUGAGUUGCUCGAAUAGCUCAUUGAUGUUGGUAAGUGGAUACUUGUUCUUGAUUGUCUUCUUGUUCAAUGGACGGUAGUCGACACAAAGUCGUUCCGUGCGAUCCUUCUUCUGGACAAAAAGAACACCACAACCCCAUGGAGAUGAACUCGGACUGAUCAAACCCAGACGCUCUUGUUCAUCAAGCUGUUUCUUCAAUUCCUUCAGCUCUUUGGGUCCAAGCUUGUAAGGACGCUUGCAAACGGGUUCAGUGCCCGGCUCAAGAUCGAUAACGAACUCAACUUGCCGGUGAGCAGGCAUACCCAGAAGAUCUUCUGGAAAGACAUCUUGGUACUCACAAACGACUGGAAUCUGAGAGAUGGCAUUCAAUUCGCCCUUCUCAUUGAGAGAAACCAACCGAAUGGUUUCAUCACGAGCGGCAUAAAUAAUCACAUCCUUAGAAGAGUGUGUCAAUUGAAUUUCCUUGGCAGCACAAUCAAGUUGAGCCUUGUGCUUAGAAAGCCAGUCCAUCCCGAGAAUAAGAUCAAUAUCUGAGUCACCAAGAACAACUGGAGAAGACAGAAACUUAUAGUUCCCCAUCUUGAUACCGACAUUCGGAACCAACAUGGUAGAUCUCAAACGCUUAGCCGGAGAAAUAACUUGCAUUGCUCUAGGUAAUUCCUCUGUGUCAAAAUUGUGCUUCGAUGCAAAUGGGUAUGACAUGAAAGAAUGAAAUGCACUAGUAUCAAAUAAGACUUCUGCAGGAAAGUCAUUAACAGGAAGAUUACCCAUUAUCACAUCAGUAGAUUCCUCCGCUUGAGCUGCAUUCAUCAUGUUCACCUUAGCAGACUUGGAAUUAUGCUUGACCACUGCAUUGCUGGAAGAUCUGACAGGAGGAUGAGGCGGAAGGCGCCUUUGGUUGAAACACUUGUUAGCAUAGUGACCUUUCUGCUGACACUUGUUGCAAGUCACCUCUGAGAGUGGACGAUGAUAAGGAGCAUUCGACUUUGGAGCUUGAUUCUAAGACUUGUUCUGAUAGCCAGGGUUGGAAGAGUGGGAAGAUCCAUGGCCACCUUUGUUCUUCUGCUGGUAAGGCUGACGAAACGGAGGAGGAGGAGGCAACCAGAACUUCUGUUGCUUUGCAGCCACUAGUGAGGAAGAAGAAGACUGAACUGCGUCCCUGACUCUCUUCUUAGAAGCCUCACACUUGAGCUGAGCAGCCUCUUGCUUCGUAGCCAUAUUGUAGAAAUCAUCAUACUUGGUCGGCUCAAGAAGCACAAGAGGUAAUAGCAAUUCUUUUCUGAGGCCACCUCUGAAUUGAUAGAUCAUGCUCUUUUCAUCAGGAACGUCUUGCUUAGCGAAGCGAGCGAGUUUCUGAAACUGAGUAUUGUAUUGAUACACGGACAUGCUGCCUUGCUUGAGAUUGCGGAACUUCUCACGCUUGCUCACAACAACACUUUGUGGAAUGUGGUGAGCUUUGAAAUCUCUGCGGAAAUCAUCCCAGGUAAUCACACGACCUCCUCUGGAAUCUUUGUAUUGUUGAUACCACUCGGCAGCUUGAUACUUGAGUUGAAAAGAAGCGAACUUGAGAAAGUCCUCGGGCCUGACAUUGCUACAUUCAAAAUGCUUGUUGAUGUCCAUGAGCCAAUCAUCGGAAUCUGUGGCCUCAACACAGUAGCUGAAAGACUUGGGCUGAUUUGCGAGAAACUGGUUGAGGGUAGCGAAGUGAGGCUGAUUGUUGCCUUGGCCUUGAUUUCCUUGAUUGCCUUGCCCUUGGGUGCGUUCUUGCAAGAGUUGCACAAUCAUCUGAGCAUUGGCGUUGGUGGCUGCCAUGAUAGCUUGACAUGUCUCCGGAGGCGGAGGUGGUGGCGGAGGGUUUGCCUGACUCCCUUCAUUGCGUUCCAGAUUCUGACGCGUUGGCGGAGCCAUCCUGAAGAGGGUGACAUCCGUUAGCAUCUUGAUAGACAAAUAGCCAAGUAGAACCAACGGAUAGAAAUUGCAACAUAUAGUCUUCAUAAUAAACAUUCGAACGAGGAUGAACGAAUGAAUUCCAUAGUAAAUCAUCACACUUCCAUAAGUUGAGAAGCCACUUAGAAAAAGGUAUGGAAUCAACAUUUGAUUUUGAAGCAACUUGAAUACCACAAUUCAAAACAAAACAAAGUAUUGGCUUGCGGAAUAAGCCGGAACAACCAUAUGAUAGAGAUUUCGUCCGAAGUUUUCAUGGUGGGGCCCACACGGGCUCGAUCGUACAGCACCAUAAUGUACAAGGCAGUGCACAUGACAUACGAAGCGUCCCCGAGUCGGCAUAGCCAAUGACUCUUUAAGACACUAUGAGACCACUGUAAAACCAACCGUGGAAAGACGGACCACUAGACGUCGAACCCCAAUCUCAUAUCAUGCGUCUGUCGGAAAGAUAUCCUAGGAGCUACUUGAAUUCCCACUUAUAAACUCCUGAAACUUUCUGGUUAUGCAAUCUGGUGUUGGGGAUACAGGGGACACAAAAUAUAUCACCCAAACUAGCAAUCCCUAGAUCCAGCUGUAUCCAUCCGUCAACACAUAACCAAGAAACUUUCGAAAAUCGUGUACCUCAACCUUCGAAAAACAUACGUUAUACGAGUUAUGGCAAUACUCCCGAACUCCCGCCCCAGUACUGGGUGGCGUCGAGGUGAUCUCACCAACAACUGCAUAAAAGAGAUUUCGAUGUCGGCGAAACUCAGGUAUUCCAGAACUGCAAUGAUAAAAUUGUGACGACAACACCUCGGAGCUCAACUCCCCGGGACACUGCCACAACCCCUAAAUGUAAGGAGGCACCAAGAACAAUUUUCUCGUCACAAAACCAUCGGAACGAUUCCAAGAUACCCGCGUGAAAUUUGAGGACAGAAGAGUCAAAACUUCUACGUCAGGAGGCCUCACCAGAGCAACGAAGGGACUGAGGAGUAAAAAGAAUCCUACACUCCGAUAUAUAUAAUCCUAAGACUCAAAACAUUUUUGUUCUAGACACAACAAUGCCAGCGAUUCGAUCAAGUAGGGGGCUCCUAAGUCGGGGCUGGCUCUGAUUACCAACUUGUAACGCCCACGAUGCGGCUAUAUCUCCCACGUGUCGAGGCACGACUUGGAGGCAUAACCGCAUUAUGGUUUUUUCGCAAGAAGGGUCAUCUUCACACAAUCCCAUGUAAUGAACAAGAAUGGGAUAACGAGAGUUGGCUUACAAUCGCCACUUCACACAAUACACAAAUAUAAUUCAUACAUCAUCCAAAAUACACAUAUAGACCGACUCCGGUCAAAUCCAAAUGAAAAUAAGAUAACCCCAAAUGCUAGAUCCCCGAUCGUCCCAACUGGGCUCCACUACUGAUCAUCAGGAAAAGAAACAUCGUAACGACCACGUUCCUCAUCAAACUCCCACUUGAGGUCGGUCCCAUCAUCUGCACUGGAAUCGUCGGCACCUGCAACUGUUUUGGUAGAAUCUGUGAGUCACGAGGACUCAGCAAUCUCACACCCGUGAGAUCAAGACUAUUUAAGCUUAUAGGAAAGGAUGGUGUAAUGAGGUGGAGCUGCAGCAGGCACUAAGCAUAUAUAGUGGCUAACAUACGCAAAAGAGAGCGAGAAGAGAAGCAACGGAACGGUCGUCAGCUAGCAAUGACCAAGAAGUGAUCCUGAACUCCUACUUACGUCAUUCAUAACUCAACCGUGUUCACUUCCCGGACUCCGCCGAGAAGAGACCAUCACGGAUACCCACACGGUUGAUGUAUUUUAAUUGGGUCAAGUGACAAGUUCUCUACAACCGGACAUUAACAAAUUCCCAUCUGCCUCAUAACCGCGGGCACGGCUUUCGAAAGAUAAUACCCUGCAGGGGUGUCCCAACUUAGCCCAUCAUAAGCUCUCACGGUCAACGAAGGAUAAACCUUCUCCCAGGAAGACCCGAUCAGUCUCGGAAUCCCGGUUUACAAGACAUUUCGACAAUGGUAAAACAAGACCAGCAAAGCCACCCGAAUGUGCCGACAAAUCCCGAUAGGAGCUGCACAUAUCUCGUUCUCAGGGCACACCGGAUGGGCAAGACGUCGGGUUGGGAUAGACCCUGGUUGCCCAGGGGGCGCCGGACAUCGCCCAGUUUGGGCCAGCACUCGAAGGAGCACUGGUCCGGGGGUUUAAAAUAAAGAUGACCCUCGGGCUCGCGAAAACCCGGGGGAAAAAGGCUUAGGUGGCCAAUGGUAAAACCAAGGUUGGGCCUUGCUGGAGGAGUUUUAUUCAAGGCGAACUGUCAAGGGGGUCCCAUAAAUCACCCAACCACGUAAGGAACGCAAACUCAAGGAACAUAAUCCCGGUAUGACGGAAACUAGGGAGGCAAGAGUGGAACAAAAGACCAGGCAUAAGGCCGAGCCUUCCACCCUUUACCAAAUAUAUAGAUGCAUUAAUUAAAUAAGAGAUAAUGUGGUAUCCCAACAUCUCCAUGUUCCAACAUGGGACAAACUUCAUGUUCACCUGCAACUAGCAACGCUAUAAGAAGGGCUGAGCAAAAGCGGUAACUUAGCCAAACAACGGUUUGCUAGGAAAGGAUGGUUAGAGGCUGUCAUGGCAAAUAUGGGAGGCAUGAUAUAGCAAGUGGUAGCUAGCGCAGCAUGGCAAUGGAACGAACAACUAGCAAAGCAAAGAUAGAAGUGAUUUCGAGGGUAUGGUCAUCUUGCCUGCAAGGUUCUCAGAGUUGUCGAAAGCUUGAUCCUCGUAAGCGUACUCAACAGGUUCCUCGUUCACGAACUCGUCUCCCGGCUCUACCCAAAACAAGAACACAAGCAACGGAACCACAAUCAAUCACGGGAAAUGCACAAGCAACAUGAUGCAAAACAUGAAUGACAUACAAGAUAUGAUAUGCGAUGCAUAUGCGUGCUCCAGAAGAAAAAUGAUGAAAAAGGCAGUAACUUGGCAAACAAAGCAUGCCACUCGAAAGAUGAGAUGAUUUCGGUUGAAAUCGAUAUAAAGAUCACCGGAAACGGAUGCACGGUUUGCAAAUGGCAAGCAAAACAAGAAUGAUACGAAUCUGUGAUUAACCGCAUGAUAGCACUUAGAAUGCAACAAGUAACAAUGCUACAGCACUCCAACAUAACAACAAAGCAUAUGACAGUAAUCUACAGGAGAUGCUUGACAAAAGAUGAACACUGAGCUACGGUUAGAUCACAACAUAACAGGCUCAAAAAAGCAUGGCAAAAGUGCAAAAGAUAUCAGGUUCACAGACUUGGUGAAAUUACUGGACAUGACUGAAACAGCAUCAGGUAGCAAUGUUCAGAGCACGAAAUCAACAUGCUACAGGAACUUAACAUGGCAAACCAAGGCAUGGCAGUAUUCUACUAAAUGCAUAUGACAAAAUUUCCUUACUGACCAUAAGCCAAAACGGACCAGAAGAUAUGAUGGAAACCAUGUAAACAUAGCCAGUUUCGUUAUCAGGUUUCAGACUUGACAGAAAACAGAGCAUGGCAGAAACAGACAUUAUGAGGGCAUAUUGGUGAGCUUGAUGCACUCACCACAAAGCAACGCAUGACAAAAUAAACCAUACCUACAGCAAGAUGGCAUGUUUAUGAAGCUAUCCAUGGCAAGAGCAAAUACAUAGCAUGUAUGAAACAACUACAACAAGCUUGGCAAAAUUGAAUAUCAUGAUAACAAUCUGCCAGAAAUAUUUUAUAGCAAAAGUAGAGCAAGAUUGAGUCAUACUAUGGCACUCCAUAAUUGCAAACAAGGGCAGGUAUGGAUUAAUUACAACAAUAUCUACAAAACAUCCUUACUGAACAUCUCCAAAAUAAGCAUGGAUAUCUCUGUAGGCACAUGGUACAUGGCAACAAAAUAACAGCAGUCACAGACCUAAGUCUCUGAAAUCAGAAACAUCACGAAGCCUAUUUUGUAUGCUUGUGCUAGUCACCACAGAGAUCAGAAAAAUACAUGUCAUACACCUCUGUAGAGACGGCAUGGCAUACAUCAAAAUACAUGUAGAGUUCAUACUCAUAAGAUGCACAGAUUAAAUGCAACAAAAAUAACAAAUCACCAAGUACUGAUAAGUAACAGCAGAUAAUAGCAACUAGCACUCUUGCACCAGAGAUUUGGGCAUCAAGAUGGACUCAAAUGAACAUGGUGCAAUGGAACAAAAUGAAGAGCAUCUCGAGUUGAACAUUUCGAUAUAUUACACCCACGAAACGGAGCUAUACGCAGGGAGUUAUGAUGCGAUGAACAUGUGCAUGUACUGUAAAAAUGUAAACGACUUAGAGAUUUCAGGAGAGAAGAAGAAAGUCAACCCUGCUCGCUGGAUCCAGAUCGGAUCGGGCCAGCUCGAGGCCACCGGAGCUGGGGGAGAGGAGGCGCCGGCGGGGAGAGCUUGGGGGCGUAGGAGAUGGCCGUAGGAGGCGCGGGCAACGAGGGGACCACCGGAUCCGGGCGCGGGGAAGAGUCCCGGCCACGGGCUUCGGCGGAGGAGCUCGGGCGCGGCGCGGUGAAGUCGCCGGNNNNNNNNNNNNNNNNNNNNNNNNNNNNNNNNNNNNNNNNNNNNNNNNNNNNNNNNNNNNNNNNNNNNNNNNNNNNNNNNNNNNNNNNNNNNNNNNNNNNNNNNNNNNNNNNNNNNNNNNNNNNNNNNNNNNNNNNNNNNNNNNNNNNNNNNNNNNNNNNNNNNNNNNNNNNNNNNNNNNNNNNNNNNNNNNNNNNNNNNNNNNNNNNNNNNNNNNNNNNNNNNNNNNNNNNNNNNNNNNNNNNNNNNNNNNNNNNNNNNNNNNNNNNNNNNNNNNNNNNNNNNNNNNNNNNNNNNNNNNNNNNNNNNNNNNNNNNNNNNNNNNNNNNNNNNNNNNNNNNNNNNNNNNNNNNNNNNNNNNNNNNNNNNNNNNNNNNNNNNNNNNNNNNNNNNNNNNNNNNNNNNNNNNGGGCUCGCGGGCCGCGGCGUACGGACGGCGGCGGGCUGCCACGUGGCGUGCUUUGACUGGCUGCGGCGGGUUUCGUCCGGCGCCGGGCAGACACGUCCGGCGCGCGGAGGGAGAGGCUAGGGUUUUGGACUGCGGGAGGAUUCGGGAGAGACACAUAUAUAUAGCUAGAAGGAGCUAGGAGACUCCAAACGGAGCACGGUUUUCGCCCACACGAUCGUGAUCGAAUGACCUAGAGCAUGGAAGUGACUUAGAGGGGAUUUGGGCUGUUUGGAGGGGGGUUUUGCUGCAACACACAAAAGGACUUUGCGGUUGCCCGGUUAACCGUUGGAGUACCAAACGACCUCCAAAUGGCACGAAACUUGACAGGUGGUCUACCGGUGGUAUACAAAGGCCACUUGAGAAGCGUCGGUCCAUUCCGAGAAUGUUCAACACCCGCUCACGAAAAGAAACGAAAAGGGGUGUGCCGGAGGAGGUGGGAGUGCCGGAUUGCAAAAUGGACAACGGGGAAAAUGCUCGGAUGCAUGAGACGAACACGUAUGCAAAAUGAGAUGCACAUGAUGACAUGAUAUGAGAUGCAUGACAUGAACAAAAUGCAAAACGAAAGAUAAAAACCCGACCACGAAGGAAAAUAUCAUAACACAUAGCCGAAAAUGGCAAGAGUUGGAGUUACAAAUAUGGAAAGUUACAUCCGGGGUGUUACAACACUCGACCACUACGAGAGGAUCUCGUCCCGAGAUCUAGGACUGAAAGAACUCCGGAUAUUCGAAACGGAGGUGGUCCUCGUGUUCCUAGGUAGCUUCUCGGUCGGAAUGGUGCGACCACUUCACUUUCAGGAAUUUGAUUGAUUUGUUGCGAGUCUUGCGCUCAGUUUCUUCAAGAAUAGCAACUGGGUGCUCAUGAUAAGACAGAUCUUCUUGGAGGUCAAUCUCUUCUAAGUUGAUGGUGCGCUCAGGCGUCUUGGAGCACUUGCGGAGCUGUGACACGUGGAACACAUCAUGCACGUUCGCGAAGUUGGAAGGAAGCUCAAGUUGAUAGGCGAUAUCGCCUCUUUUGCCAAUGAUCUUGAAAGGACCCACGUAUCUAGGGGCAAGCUUCCCUUUGAUACCGAAGCGAUGAGUGCCUUUCAUUGGAGAGACGCGAAGGUAGACAUGGUCUCCGAUCUCGAAAGCCACAUCACGGUGCUUACUAUCAUAGUAACUCUUCUGGCGCGAUUGCGCGACUUUGAGAUUUUCAUGGAUGAAUUUACACAUUUCUUCAGCCUCUGUGAUUAAGUCAUUGCCAAGAAGUUGGCGUUCACCAGUCUCUGACCAAUUGAGAGGAGUACGGCACUUUCUGCCAUAGAGAAUUUCGAAUGGGGCCUUGCCCGAACUUGCUUGGAAGCUGUUGUUGUAGGAGAAUUCGGCAAAUGGAGGACAAUCUUCCCAUUUCAUGCCAAAGGAAAUGACACAAGCCCUAAGCAUAUCUUCAAGAAUUUGAUUGACUCGCUCGACUUGGCCACUAGUUUGAGGAUGGAAAGCUGUGCUGAAGCGAAUGUUGGUGCCCAUGGCCUUCUGGAAGGAGUCCCAGAACUUAGAAGUGAAGAUGCUUCCACGAUCUAAAGAAAUCAAUUGUGGAAUGCCGUGCAAGGAGACAAUUCUGGAGGUGUAUAGCUCUGCCAACUGAGCAGCUGUGAUGGAUUCUUUGAUUGGAAGGAAAUGAGCCACUUUAGAAAGCUUCUCGAUGACAACGAAGAUAGCAUCAUUUCCACGCUUGGACUUUGGAAAACCAGUCACGAAGUCCAUUUCGAUAUGAUCAAACUUCCAUUCUGGGAUAGCAAGAGGUUGGAGGAGACCAGCUGGUCAUUGGUGUUCUGCUUUCACUCUUCGACAGACGUCACAUUCAUUCACGAAUUGAGCAAUUUCUCGCUUCAUUCGAGUCCACCAAUACGACUGCUUGAGGUCAUGGUACAUCUUCGUACUUCCAAGAUGAAUGGAAAGAAGAGAAUUGUGCGCCUCGUUCAUAAUGACUUUCCUUAGAUCACCUUUAGGAACCACAAUCCGGUCCUCGAAGAAUAAAGUGUCUCUGUCAUCAAUGCGAUAGCACUUGUAUUUGGAAAGACCCUUGUCGAUACCACGUUUCACCUUCUUCACCAUGGCAUCAAGAAGUUGUGCCUCACGAAUUUGAUCUUCCAAAGUAGGAGAGACUAUGAGGUUGGUAAGAAAACCUUGAGGAACAACUUGGAGAUUCAGCUUGCGGAAAGCUUCACAAAGAUCCGGUUGGAAUGGCUUGAGAAUUAAGCUGUUGCAAUAAGCCUUCCUGCUCAAAGCAUCUGCAAUGACAUUGGCUUUGCCUGGAGUAUAUUCAAUACUCGGAUUGUACUCUUGAAUCAUUUCGACCCAUCGAGUCUGCCUGAGAUUGAGGUUGGGCUGAGUGAAGAUGUACUUGGGACUCUUGUGAUCGGUGAAUAUGUCCACUUGUCUUCCCAACAGGAGAUGUCUCCAUGUUAUUAAUGCAUGGACAACUGCCGCCAACUCAAGAUCGUGAGUGGGGUAGUUCUUUUCAUUGGGCUUCAACUAACGAGAGGUAUAGGCCACAACUUUCUUCUCUUGCAUUAACACAGCACCGAGACCUUGGAGAGAAGCAUCACAGAAAACUUCGAAUGGCUUGGAUUUGUCAGGAGGAGUUAAGACAGGAGCUGUGACUAGUUUCUCUUUGAGAGUGUUGAAAACAACGUCACACUCAGGAGACCAGACAUACUUCACAUGCUUCUGGAGGAGGUUGGAAAGAGGCUUUGCAAUCUUAGAGAAAUUCUCAACGAAUCUUCGGCAAUAGCUUGCAAGACCAAGAAAACUGCGAAGCUGCUUGACAUUCUGAGGAGGUUCCCAAUUCACAAUUGCGGACACCUUCUCGGGAUUAACAGCGAUGCCCUUGGCAAAGAUGAUAUGACCAAGGUAAAGAACUUCAUCAAGCCAAAACUCACAUUUUGAAAACUUCGCAUAGAAUUGAUACUCUCUGAGCUUGUCGAGCACCAAUCGCAAAUGUUUGGCAUGGUCCUUCUUAUUCUUGGAGAAGACCAAGAUAUCAUCGAGAUACACCAGCAUGAAUUCAUUGGUAUAGGGGUUGAAGAUGAAAUUCAUCAUCCGAGAGAAUGUUGGAGGAGCAUUGACAAGGCCAAAAGACAUGACAGUAUAUUCAUAAGAACCAAAGCUUGUUCUGAAUGCUGUCUUGGGAAUAUCUUCUUCACGAAUGCGAAUCUGAUGAUAACCCAUACGGAGGUCAAGCUUGGAGAAUACUUUAGCACCCUUGAGUUGCUCGAAUAGCUCAUUGAUGUUGGGAAGUGGAUACUUGUUCUUGAUUGACUUCUUGUUCAAUGGACGGUAGCCGACACAAAGUCGUUCCGUGCCAUCCUUCUUCUGGACAAAAAGAACACCACAACCCCAUGGAGAUGAACUCGGUCUGAUCAAACCCAGACGCUCUUGUUCAUCGAGCUAUUUCUUCAAUUCCUUCAGCUCUUUGGGUCCAAGCUUGUAAGGACGCUUGCAAACGGGUUCAGUGCCCGGCUCAAGGUCGAUAACGAACUCAACUGGCCGGAGUGGAGGCAUACCCAGAAGCUCUUCUGGAAAGACAUCUUGGUACUCACAAACGACUGGAAUCUGAGAGAUGGCUUUCAAUUCGCCCUUCUCAUUGAGAGAAAACAACCGAAUGGUUUCAUCACGAGCGGCAUAAAUAAUCACAUCCUCAGAAGAGUGUGUCAAUUGAAUUUCCUUGGCAGCACAAUCAAGUUGAGCCUUGUGCUUAGAAAGCCAGUCCAUCCCGAGAAUAAGAUCAAUAUCCGAGUCACCAAGAACAACUGGAGGAGACAGAAAUUUAUAGUUCCCCAUCUUGAUACCGACAUUCGGAACCAACAUGGUAGAUCUCAAACGCUUAGCCGGAGAAAUAACUUGCAUUGCUCUAGGUAAUUCCUCUGUGUCAAAAUUGUGCUUCGAUGCAAAUGGGUAUGACAUGAAAGAAUGAAAUGCACUAGUAUCAAAUAAGACUUCUGCAGGAAAGUCAUUAACAGGAAGAUUACCCAUUAUCACAUCAGUAGAUUCCUCCGCUUGAGCUGCAUUCAUCAUGUUCACCUUAGCAGACUUGGAAUUAUGCUUGACCACUGCAUUGCUGGAAGAUCUGACAGGAGGAGGAGGCGGAAGGCGCCUUUGGUUGAAGCACUUGUUAGCAUAGUGACCUUUCUGCUGACACUUGUUGCAAGUCACCUCUGAGAGUGGACGAUGAUAAGGAGCAUUCGACUUUGGAGCUUGAUUCUAAGACUUGUUCUGAUAGCCAGGGUUGGAAGAGUGGGAAGAUCCAUGGCCAGCUUUGUUCUUCUGCUGGUAAGGCUGACGAAACGGAGGAGGAGGAGGCAACCAGAACUUCUGUUGCUUAGUAGCCACUAGUGAGGAAGAAGAAGACUGAACUACGUCCCUGACUCUCUUCUUAGAAGCCUCACACUUGAGCUGAGCAGCCUCUUGCUUCAGAGCCAUAUUGUAGAAAUCAUCAUACUUGGUCGGCUCAAGAAGCACAAGAGGUAAUUGCAAUUCUUCUCUGAGGCCACCUCUGAAUUGAUAGAUCAUGCUCUUUUCAUCAGGAACGUCUUGCUUAGCGAAGCGAGCGAGUUUCUGAAACUGAGUAUUGUAUUGAUACACGGACAUGCUGCCUUGCUUGAGAUUGCGGAACUCCUCACGAUUGCUCUCAACAACACUUUGUGGAAUGUGGUGAGCUUUGAAAUCUCUGCGGAAAUCAUCCCAGGUAAUCACACGACCUCCUCUGGAAUCUUUGUAUUGUUGAUACCACUCGGCAGCGUGAUCCUUGAGUUGAAAAGAAGCGAACUUGACAAAGUCCUCAGGCCUGACAUCGCUACAUUCAAAAUGCUUGUUGAUGUCCACGGGCCAAUCAUCGGCAUCUGUGGCCUUGGCACAGUAGCUGAAAGACUUGGGCUUAUUUGCGAGAAACUGGUUGAGGGUAGCGAAGUGAGGCUGAUUGUUGCCUUGGCCUUGAUUUCCUUGAUUGCCUUGCCCUUGGGUGCGUUCUUGCAAGAGUUGCAGAAUCAUCUGAGCAUUGGCGUUGGUGGCUGCCAUGAUAGCUUGCCAUGCCUCCGGAGGCGGAGGUGGUGGCGGAGGGUUCGCCUGACUCCCUUCAUUGCGUUCCGGAUUCUGACGCGUUGGCGGAGGCAUCCUGAAGAGGGUGACAUCCGUUAGCAUCUUGAUAGACAAAUAGACAAGUAGAACCAACGGAUAGAAAUUGCAACAUAUAGUCUUCACAAUAAACAUUCGAACGAGGAUGAAUGAAUGAAUUCCAUAGUAAAUCAUCACACUUCCAUAAGUUGAGAAGCCACUUAGAAAAAGGUAUGGAAUCAACAUUUGAUUUCGAAGCAACUCGAAUACCACAAUUCAAAACAAAACAAAGUAUUGGCUUGCGGAAUAAGCCGGAACAAACAUAUGAUAGAGAUUUCGUCCGAAGUUUUCGUGGUGGGGCCCACACGGGCUCGAUCGUACAACACCAUCAUGUACAAGGCAGUGCACAUGACAUACGAAGCGUCCCCGAGUCGGCAUAGCCAAGGACUCUUUAAGACACUAUGAGACCACUGUAAAACCAACCGUGGAAAGGCGGACCACUAGACGUCGAACCCCAAUCUCAUAUCAUGCGUCUGUCGGAAAGAUAUCCUAGGAGCUACUUGAAUUCCCACUUAUAAACUCCUGAAACUUUCUGGUUAUGCAAUCUGGUGUUGGGGAUACAGGGGACACAAAAUAUAUCACCCAAACUAGCAAUCCCUAGAUCCAGCUGUAUCCAUCCGUCAACACAUAACCAAGGAACCUUCGGAAAUCGUGUACCUCAACCUUCGAAAAACAUCCGUUAUACGAGUUAUGGCAAUACUCCCGAACUCCUGCCCCAGUACUGGGUGGCGUCGAGGUGAUCUCACCAACAACUGCAUAAAAGAGAUUUCGAUGUCGGCGAAACUCAGGUAUUCCAGAACUGCAACGAUAAAAUUGUGGCGACAACACCUCGGAGCUCAACUCCCCGGGACACUGCCACAACCCCUAAAUGUCAGGAGGCACCAAGAACAAUGUUCUCGUCACAAAACCAUCGGAACGAUUCCAAGAUUACCCGCGUGAUCCUAAAAUUUAUUUUGUGAAAUUUGAGGAGAGAAGAGUCAAAACUUCUACGUCAGGAGGCCUCACCAAAGUGACAAAGGGACUGAGGAGUAAAAAGAAUCCUACUCUCCGAUAUAUAUAAUCCUAAGACUCAAAACAUUUUUGUUCUAGACUCAACAACGCCAGCGAUUCGAUCAAGCAGGGGGCUCCUAAGUCGGGGCUGGCUCUGAUUACCAACUUGUAACGCCCAUGAUGCGUCUAUAUCUCCCACGUGUCGAGGCACGACUUAGAGGCAUAACCGCAUUGUGGUUUUGUCGCAAGAAGGGUCAUCUUCACACAAUCCCAUGUAAUGAACAAGAAUGGGAUAACGAGAGUUGGCUUACAAUCGCCACUUCCCACAAUACACAAAUAUAAUUCAUACAUCAUCCAAAAUACACAGAUAGACCGACUCCGGUCAAAUCCAAAUGAAAAUAAGAUAACCCCAAAUGCUAGAUCCCCGAUCGUCCCAACUGGACACCACUACUGAUCAUCAGGAAAAGACACAUCGUAACGACCACGUUCCUCAUCGAACUCCCACUUGAGGUCGAUCCCAUCAUCUGCACUGGCAUCGUCAGCACCUGCAACUGUUUUGGUAGAAUCUGUGAGUCACGAGGACUCAGAAAUCUCACACCCGUGAGAUCAAGACUAUUCAAGCUUAUAGGAAAGGAUGGUGUAAUGAGCUGGAGCUGCAGCAGGCACUAAGCAUAUAUAGUGGCUAACAUACGCAAAAGAGAGCGAGAAGAGAAGCAACAGAACGGUCGUCAUCUAGCAAUGACCAAGAAGUGAUCCUGAACUCCUACUUACGUCAUUCAUAACUCAACUGUGUUCACUUCCCGGACUCCGCCGAGAAGAGACCAUCACGGAUACUGUUGAGGAUAUAACCAUUAGAGUCACCCGCCCAGGAGGGGCCGGGUUACGUCAUAAUGGUCAUCACACGAAGCCUAGUACCGAGCUUGAAGACGGCGGGUCAAUAAUGGGCUUAAGGCCCGGAGAUGGCUUAAGGCCCAUAGUGAUAACCGCCAUUAUGGUGGAACUUGUAGUGUAAGGCAAGAAUAGUUGAGAGUCCAAGCCGGACACUCUUAUGAGCCGGCCGGGACUCUGAGAGCCACUGGGCGUCAACCUCUCUAUAUAAAGGGACGACCCGGCGGCGGUUUUGGGACAAGUAAGAUCUCGUCGAGAGCCAGGCAUAGCGAUUAAGCUCCCUGGUCAUGGAAACCGUAAUCAAUACCACCUCAACUGGACGUAGGCUUUUACCUUCACCGUAAGGGGCCGAACCAGUAUAACCCCCGUGUCCUUUGUCCCGUUUAACCCCUUUAAGCUUCCUAGCUGCGAUGGCUCCACGACUAAGUCCUAGCUCGAGGACAUCUGCCGUGACAAUUCCACGACAGUUGGCGCCCACCGUGGGGUCAGCGCACGGUGGAUUUGAGUUGUUGAAGGGCAGCUUCGAAGGGCUCAAGGGAUACGCUGUGGGCCGGAUGACCAAGAGUCGUCGCGGCAAGCUCUACAUCGAUGAUGCCAACUGGGGCCCCAACGCCGGCUCAAUUGAGUACGGGUACCGGGUCCCCUUCGGCGGAAUUCAUGUCUUCAUUGGCAAGAUCGGUGAGCCGGGCCCUGAGCUGGAUCUCUGCGCCGAUCUCAUCGAGACGGCUCGGCAUGCAUGACCCGCCCGGGCUCUACCUGCCUUGAAGCAUGCUUUUGUGGGAUGUGUCCAUGGAGGGUUCUCUGAAGGAUCUGGAUCUGGUGAUGAGACGGCCGCCGGCUCUGACGACGAGUCGUCUACGGAUGAGUCAAACUCGUUGUAUCAACUUCAAGAUGGCAGGCUCAGGGGUUGUUCCGAUGGCGACAACAUUCUGGACCCCUUUGAACCGCCGAGCCGGGUUGGAAUCUUCAUGGCCGGCGCGCAACCUGUUCAAAACCCCACCUCCGGGUCAGGAAGCCCGGUGCCUUCACCGGCUCAGGUGCUGAUGGAUCUCAUAGACAAGAUGACGGUCCUGUUGACCGCUGCGAUGGAUCCGGCGGAUCAAGUUCAACAUGACGCGGAGGUGGCUCAGUUAAAGUUGGAUCUAGCAAAGGCCAAGGAGGAUCUGGCGGCGGAGGGGAUCAGGAUGGCUGCUGAGAGGGCGGCUCUCAACGCCCAGACUCAGUUGAUUCAGGCACAGUCCUUCUGGCUCACGAUGGAUCAGAACGCGUCCAAUGAGGUCAUGAGAAGGAGGCAUCAAAAGGCCCAAUCUCGGCUCCCUCCGGUUUACGAUCCUCGAAACCUCUUCAACACGCCGGGUGCAGGGUCUAGUAACCCGCCGGAGAUCAUAGUGUCCGGGGCUGGGACACCAAUUCAGUCCCAAGUGAUGGGACCUCCCCGGGUGAACCCUGCCCCGCCUCAGUACGUGCCAAUACCACCGGGUCAUUAUGCCAACCCAUUGGAAAACAUGGUCGCCGCGGCGGCACGACUGGCGGCUCUCCCAAUUGAUGGUGACUCUCCAACGGCGGUUGAAACCCGCCGGGUCAGAGAACCCCUUCAGACAGCUCUGGCGCAGGAAGAGGUGUAUUCUUAUAGCCGGGACAGGAUCCAUUCAACCCCUCGUCCAGGCCGGAGCCCGAGUUAUAGCAGGCACAUGGUCUCUGCGACCGGCUCAAGUAAUGUCCGACGCCAUGACUUGCCACCUGGCCACGGCCCGGCUCAUGACGGAGCCUUUCACGCAGCAGACCAAUACAGAGCACGGCAAGAGGCGGAGCAGGUGCCUCAGUUGAUGGCAUACUAGACACCCCCGGCUUAUCCGACGGCUUCCGUCGACGUGGGUAUCCCUACGAGAACUGGAGGUUUCCCUUGUUUAGUGCUGGCUCUCCGCAAUGAACGUCUACCCAAGGACUUCAAAGGGCCUAGGAAGGUGACUAAUUACACGGCUGAUUUACAACCCGGAGCCUGGAUCGAGAGUUAUGAGAUGGCUAUGGAAUUGCUGGAGGUCAGCGAAGCGGCGAUGGCCAAGUACUUCACCAUGAUGUUGGAUGGGACUGCCCGCACUUGGUUGAAAGGGCUGCCACCGAAUUCUAUCAGGUCUUCGGCUGAGCUGAAAGCCCGGUUCAUCCAAAACUUCAAAGAUACCUGUAGGCAGUCUAUGUCAAUUGUGGAUUUGACUAAUUGUAAACAGCAGGAGGGUGAGUCUACGACACAUUGGGUUCGCCGGGUUAAAGAGAUAAUACAUUCAUCUGAUAAGAUGGAUGCCGGCUCUGCAGUCUUAAUGUUGGAGCAGAAUUGUCAUUUCCUACCCCUGAAGAUGAAACUCGGGCGGCUCAAGCGCGACUGCAAUGAUAUGGGUACGCUGAUGGCGGCUCUCGUCAAGUAUGCCGACUCUGAUAGUACCAAGGACCCCGCGUCAGAUGAUGAAAGGACAGGGAAGGGAAAGAAGAAUGGCAACGGCAAGGGUCCUCAGCAUAACCCGGCGAACCAAGGAGGUAACAAGCCUGAUGGCAGCAUGGAGUUUGUGGCCAAUGCCGGCUCACAGGGUAACAACCAGCGACGUAAGGGGAGGCCACCUCCCCGAGCCGGCGGUUCAGGCCCAACGCUUGAGCAGCUGUUGAAUGAGCCUUGUCCAAGGCAUGGCUCUAGGGAGAAGCCAGCUACCCAUCUAUGGAAAGAUUGCGCAAUCAUGAAGGCCUUUAAGAAUUCCAAUGCCUUUAAUGGCAACAAUGGCUCGGGCGGCGGCUCAGGCGCCGGCGGCUUUCAUGGCCCGGGCGGCGGCUCAAAUUCCAAUCCUCAGAAUGUUCAAGGGGGCUUUAAUCAGCAGUCCGGCCAGGGUCAUCAACAGCAACAGGGGGGUACCAGACCAAUCCAAAGCAGCUCAAUGGUGGACAAUAUCAUGUGUUUACCACCAGUCUGUGCAAGCGAGAUCAGAAGCUUCAUAAGAGGGCUGUGAAUGCUGUUGAGCCGGCGGUUCCACGCUAUUUAAGAUGGUCUGAGCAGCCCAUUGUGUGGAGUAGGGAGGAUCACCCUCCCCGGGUUGAUAAUCCGGGUCACCUGGCCCUGGUGGUGGCUCCUCAGGUGGGAGGAUAUAAGUACACUAAGGUGCUCAUGGAUGGAGGCAGCAGCAUUAACAUCCUCUAUUAUGAAACCUUCCGUCGCAUGGGGUUGAUUGAUAAGAACCUCAGCCAGUCCAAUACUGUUUUCCAUGGUGUGGUGCCUGGUAAGUCGGCUUAUCUUGUUGGUAAGAUCGAACUAGAAGUGGCCUUUGGAGAUGAGUACAACUACAGGGUGGAAAAAUUGACCUUUGAGGUGGUCAAGAUAAGAAGUCCAUAUCAUGCCAUAUUUGCGCGGCCGGCUUACGCCAAGCUCAUGGCACGGCCGUGUGUUACGUAUACUUACAGCUCAAGAUACUGGGUCACAAUGGGACCAUUACGGUUCAUGGCAGCCGAAAGAUAGACGUGGACUGUGAGGAAGGUGACGCGACUUAUGCAGAAUCUGCUUGUGCAACAGAGGAGUUGAAGUUUUACAAGGACAAUGUUGACCCAACUGAUAUGACAUCUCUGAAAAAGCCGACCACGGAGCAUGAGCCGGCAAUGAAAUUUAAGUCGGCUGAUGAGACUAAGCUUGUUGAUUUCGUUCCAGGUGACUCAUCUCAGCAGUUUAGCAUCAGUGCCAAUCUGGAUCCAAAAUAGGAAAGCGCGCUCAUCGAGUUCAUCCGUGAGAAUAGGGACAUUUUUGCAUGGAAACCUUCUGACAUGCCAGGUGUACCUAGAGAACUCGCUGAGCAAACCCUCAAUAUUGAUCCAAAAUUUAAGCCGGUCAGGCAAUUCCUUCGCCAGUUUAAUGAGGAGAGGCGGAAAGCCAUUGUUGAGGAGGUGGCCCGGCUCUUGGCGGCCGGGUUUAUUGUCGAAGUCUUUCAUCCAGAAUGGUUAGCUAACCCGGUGCUCGUGCUCAAGAAGAAUGGCACCUGGCGGAUGUGUGUGGACUACACGGACUUAAACAAGGCGUGUCCGGCUGAUCCUUUUGCUCUCCCCCGUAUUGAUCAAAUCAUUGAUGCCACGUCGGGUUGUUAGCAUUUAAGCUUCUUGGAUGCGUAUUCUGGAUACCAUCAGAUUAAAAUGGCAGUUAAGGACCAGGAGAAGACGGCGUUCAUCACUCCCUUUGGAGCCUUCUGUUAUGUGUCUAUGCCUUUUGGACUCAAGAGUGCACAGGCGACUUACCAGCGUUGUGUGCAGAAUUGUCUUCAUAACCAGAUUGGGCGCAAUGUUCACGCCUAUGUGGAUGAUAUCGUGGUUAAGUCCAAGGAGAAGGAGACCCUGGUAGAUGACCUUAGAGAAACCUUUGAUAAUCUCCGGGUUUACAAGAUGAUGCUUAACCCGGCCAAGUGUGUUUUUGGUGUUCCUGCAGGCAAGCUCUUGGGUUUCCUGGUUUCUAACAGAGGCAUUGAAGCUAACCCGGAAAAGAUAAAGGCAAUCACCUCUCUGGCUAAGCCGGCGUGUAUCAACGACAUCCAGCGUCUAGCAGGCCGCAUCGCUGCUUUGAGCCGGUUUAUAAGCCGUUUGGGUGAAAAGGCCAUGCCACUGUACCAGUUGAUGAAGAAAACCGAUGACUUUGUCUGGAAUGAUGCUGCUAAUACUGCUUUUGAGGAUUUGAAGAGACAGCUGGCUGAGCCCCCAGUCCUUGCUGCUCCGGUUGACAAGGAGCCCUUAUUGCUGUAUGUAGCUGCUAACACAUGAGCCGUCAGUGUGGCUGUGGUGGUGGAGCGCAAGGAAGAGGGUAAGGAGUAUCCGGUCCAGCGGCCGUUUUAUUACGUCAGUGAAGUGCUCAUCUUGUCCAAACAGCGGUAUCCGCGUUGGUAGAAGCUUGUUUAUGGUGUGUUCAUGGCAAGCCGGAAGCUUAAGCAUUAUUUCCAAGGUCACACCAUCACUGUGGUUAGUUCUGCUCCCCUUGGAGAUAUCAUCCAAAACAGAGAAGCCACAGGAAGAGUGGCUAAGUGGGCUAUAGAGCUUGGGCCUCAUGGUCUGAAAUACGUACCGUGUACUGCUGUUAAAUCUCAAGCUUUGGUGGAUUUCAUCAACGAUUGGACAGAGCUACAGGUGCCUGAAGAAAAGCCGGAUAAUACAUAUUGGACUAUUCACUUCGACGGGUCUCGGCAAUUGGAGGUCUCGGGGGCUGGAGUUGUAUUGGCUUCCCCUAAAGGUGACAAGUUUCAUUAUGUGCUACGGUUGAUGUUGCCUUGUACUAACAAUGCGGCUGAGUACGAGGCCUUGCUCCAUGGUCUUCGGAUGGCUAAGGAGAUGAGCUUGAGCUGGGUAAGGUGCUUCGGUGACUCAGACUUAGUGGCUCAACAAGUAUUAGGCAAGUGGGAUUCCAAGGACCCUCUCAUGGCGGCUUAUCGCCGUGAAGUUGAUGCCAUUGCUGGACAUUUUCAGGGUUACCAAGUAGAGCACAUCGAUCGCAGGAAGAACGAGGCGGCUGAUGCACUAAGCCGGCUGGGCUCUCAGCAAAAGGCGGUGCCGCCUAAUACUUUCUUGGACAUCUUGCAUAACCCUUAUGUUAAGUUACCUACAGUGGAAGACUUGGCUGUCCCUGACCCGGAAGCACAGUUGGUGGCGGCUCUCCACAUCACCCCGGACUGGACAGUACCAUACUUGGCUUACAUGACCCGGGGAGAUUUGCCUGAGGAUGAAACUUUGGCCAGACAAAUAACCCGGCGGUCUAAGUCAAUGGUCAUUAUCAAUGGUAAGCUACAUCUUCGCAGUGUCACUGGAACUUUUCAGCGUUGUGUUUCCCCUGAGGAAGGCCAAGAUAUUUUGCGUGAGAUUCACGAGGGGGAUUGUGGCCAUCAUGCCGGCUCAAAAUCUCUUGUGGCCAAGGCUUUUCGUCAUGGUUUUUAUUGGCUGACAGCUCAUGCUGAUGCGGAGGACUUGGUUAGUAAAUGUGAGGGUUGCCAGAGGUUCUCGCGACGGGCUCAUGUGCCGGCUCAGGAGCUGAGGAUGAUACCAAUCACUUGGCCAUUUGCGGUCUGGGGGCUUGAUAUGGUUGGGCCUUUUAAAAGGUCCAAGGAUAAGAAGACCCACCUUUUGGUGGCAGUUGACAAGUUCACAAAGUGGGUUGAGGCAGAGCCAGUUAGCAAGUGUGAUGCAGCCACGGCGGUUUAGUUCAUGAAAAGGGUCAUAUUUCGCUUCGGCUUUCCACACAGCAUUAUAACUGACAAUGGUACCAAUCUGUCUAAGGGCGCCAUGGAGGAGUUUUGUCAACGAGAGCAUAUUCAACUUGAUGUUUCAUCAGUGGCUCAUCCUCAAUCCAAUGGUCAAGCUGAGAGAGCUAAUCAGGAGAUCUUGAAGGGCAUUAAGCCCCGGCUUUUGGUCCCUUUGCAACGGACGCCGGGUUGUUGGGUGGAGGAGUUACCCUCCGUGUUAUGGAGCAUCAAUACUACUCCUAACAGGUCUACGGGUUACACGCCUUUCUUCAUGGUUUAUGGAGCGGAAGCAGUCCUCCCCAGUGACAUCCGUCAUGACUCGCCUCGAGUGGCGGCUUAUGUUGAGGCGGAUAAUGAAUAGGCGCGCCAAGAAGCUCUUGACUUGUUGGACGAACAGCGUGACAUGGCAGCAGCUCGCUCAGCGAUUUACCAACAAGACCUGCGCCGCUAUCACAGCCGCCGGGUUAAGUCCCGGGUCUUCCAGGAAGGUGAUCUGGUGCUCCGGCUCAUCCAAGAUCAAACAGAUGCACACAAGCUAUCCCCGCCUUGGGAAGGGCCCUUUGUGGUCAGCAAGAACUUGCACAACGGGUCAUACUACCUUAUUGACGUUCGGGAGCAUAAAGAUUCACGCAAGUCGGAGGAAGAGACCCGUCGGCCGUGGAACAUAGCUCAGCUUCGGCCUUAUUACACUUGAGCCACCGGCUCUCAAAAUGUACAUAUUUCUAUAGCCAUGUAUAUAUUAUGUUAAUAAUAAAGCAGGACCUCUGUCCUUUUCUCCUCCAAAGGUAAACGUGUUAUUUCCAUUACAACAUCACAUGGUCACUUGGAGGUGGAUCUGGCUUAUGAUCGUACUCGAAUCUAGCCGUAAACAAUAUAAUCAACUGGGGGCUUCCUGUUCAAACAUAGGCCGUAUUCGAACCAAAGAGAACAUAGCUGUCGAUACCCACUUGAUUGGCAAAGUGCCGAGCUCAUUGGGGAGUUUUCUUUGAUCAUAUUUGAAUCAUAGCUCAACCCCCUUUGGGAACCGACGUGGAUCGUAUUCGAAUCAGCGUCGUUAAACAACUCUUAAGGUCAUUUGGGGGCUUCCUGUUCAAACAUGGGUCGUAUUCGAACCAAAGAGAACAUAGCUGUCGGUACCCUCUUGAUUGGCAUCGCCAAAGCCACUGGGGGCUAUGUGAUCGCAUUCGAAUCUUAGCCUAACCCCUUUGGGACGGUUCUCUGGUCGUAUUCGAACCGGAAGCCCCUAAGUUUUUGAUCUUCGGACUUACAACAAGUUCUGUUGGUCACAUCAACAGUGUGCAAGGGCCGCUUUUCCUUUGCGGACUUAAUUUUGAUUCACAACGUUGAUAACACAUAGUAAGUAUUCUUGAUGCUGGUAAACCGGAGUUGAGAUCUUCACCUCAUUAUUCGGGUUACAUAAACCAGAAAUAUACUUGAAGGCUUGUAAGUAUGCUAGUAUGGUUACGUCAAAGAUAUAAUUGAGGGCCAGUCUUUGGUGAUUUUUAAUUCAUAUUCCGAGUUAUAUAUAUAAGGUCUAUGAUUCUCAGUGCGGUAAGCCGCCUAGAGACUUGUGACUUGUUUUCUAUGCAGGAUGGUUAAAGACAGCUAUUCGAGCUUAAAGACAAUAAAUGAUCAAUUAUGUCCCGGAGGAAUAUAAGGAAGCAACUUCAAUGGAGUUAAGCAUUCAACACGUGCAUGAUGGCACGACAAGGUUAAAAUGUUUGUCCUACCCUAUUACAAGACUCCCCGAGUCCAAAAGGUGAGGCAUUGUUUUAAAGGCGUAACCAUGGGCCGCCUAAGAGUCAAGAUGCUUGCCGGGUCGAAGCUUUCGGCUCAUCCCUCUCCGCUCCACCGGCUGUUCCCAUGACCUAGAAGGUUGACGAUUUCCAGUCAAUGCCGCUCAAAGCUUCGAAUUGAGCCUCCUCGUCAAUUAACCCGGCCGGGUCAACUUCUGGGGCGAAGGUAUGCUUACGAGUCGGAGGGAUCAAGCUGAUUGCUUCGUAGUGUGGAGUGGGGAUCCUCUGAUUCUCCGAGUCAUAGCCCGGCUGAUACUUGGUAAGGUCGGUGUCAUUCCCAAUUGAGGUAGCCACCGGGCGCACACUCUUCACACAGGCAGCAAAGUCUUUUUGAUCAAAGGGAGUACCGUCUUCCUUCAGACUGGGGUAUCCAAGCGCGAUCUCCGCCGGGUCUAGCUCCGGGAGGAAAGCCUUGGCCCGGCUCAGUGCCGCUAUGGCUCCGGCUCUUGCAGAGGCCCGUCGUAGCUCUUGGAAACGCCGAGGAAGAACGGCAAGCCGCCGAAGUACGUCCGCCAGGUGAGUCGGAACCUCAUUGGAUAGGGCCACAACGGCCAAGGCGCGCUGUGACCCGGUGUAGAGUUGCUCCACCAAGGUGUACACGGCCUUCAGCUUGGUCAGCACAUUCUGAUUGACGUUGGCACUUCUGGGACCUGUUUAACAAAGUAAGGUAAGCCGCUAGCAAUGAUGGGGCUUAUGAGACAUAAAGAAUGUAAACUUGUUGAAAGCCUGCAGAAUGACUUACCGAAGAUUGCGGCGACCAUCUGUGACACAUGGCGUUUUAAGCCGGAGAGUUCGGCGGUUCUCUCCGUCAGAGCCGCCUCCGCCUGUUCGGCCCGGCUGACCAUAGCAGCUUUCUCCUUGGCCCAAGUCUUCCUUUCGGUUUCAAAUUUCUUCUUCAGCUUCUCUUGUGCAGCAACACUGAACUCAAAUUUAGCGUUGGCCUUCCGGGUCUCAGUUUCCUGAGUCUUCAGGCGGUUCUUCAUCUCAGAGAUCUCAGCUUCAAAUUUCUUGCAAGCAGCCUGUACAAAUUCCGGGUUAUAGUAUGAGUAAUUAUUAUACAACAUUAAAGUCCCACGCACUUUCCAAGCAAAGACACUUGGCACUUGGGGGCUAAUGCAUGUUGAAAGGUUCUAUUUACAAAUUGUCGGUUCAUGAAAGUAAGCCGGAAGUUAAGUCUACAACAUAUUCUAUCAUCGGUGGUAGACUUGGGGGCUAGCAUGGGGAGAAUGACUAUGGAGUAAGCAAGAGAGUGGUACCUCAGAUUUUUGCUGUAUUUGCUUUACCAUGUCAAUCUCUAAGUCCCGGCUGUUGUGCACCUGACCAAUGUAACUUGAGACGAUGUCUCCAAUGCUCAAAUUCGCAUAGUCAGUGAUCUCCAGCCUGGCCCUGCGGCGCUCCAACAGUUCUUCUUUGGUGGAGCAUUUGGCCAGUGCAGUGGGUCUCCCCGGCUCGACAAACUCUGUCCGGGUGAUUACGACGUCCGGGUCAUCGGCCGGCUGAGCUGGGCUGGGGAUCUCCGGGUUAGCGGAAGUCUCUAUGACUAGCUCGUCGGUUGGAGCGGUGGCUUCAGGAGCAGAGGCAGAUGGCGGCUCUUGAGCUGAAGUCUCCGGUUCAGUGAGGACCGGCUCUUCGACCGGUUUAUUCUUCUUCGCCCUCUUGCUGAGCUUUGCUUGAGCACUGAAAGGACAAAAGGUUAGUACAAAAGCAUGAGUAAAGAUAAGCACAACAUAAGAUGAUCAUCAUUACCCGGGUGCGGUCUUGAAAGCCGGCAGGUUCGAUUGCAUAGAAUCACCAGAGGAAGGUGAAGUUUCCUGAUAAUUUGAAUUAGAAGAAUUGAGCGGUUGACGAGUAACGCCCGCCAAAGUAUGAAAAGGAUAUAAGUUGGAGAUAACCUCGGUCCGGCACUUCCUUGAUGCUUCAGGUAAGCCGGAGGAGAGGUCUGCAUCCUUGUUGGUCCGGGUGUGCCGCCGGCUCUCAUGAAUCUGUCGCUUCAAAAGAAAUUGAGGAUCUUGAUAAGCUAAAGGAUGUGAAAAUCUUACUUUCCGGGUUACUCUUCGGACUUUCAGCUUUGGCAAGGGCUCCGAGUCGGAGGAAAGUGUAGUUACCUCUUCAGUCACCGGGUUACUCGCUCCGGUGUCCUCCUGCUGAUAAUCCAUAUCGAUAAGGCGGAUAGGAAUAAAUAAGAAACAAAAGAAGAGCCUAAAGAUUCAAGGGUUACCUCUGACUCAGAGCUGUCACUUAACUGAAGCAGCUCUGAGGCAGUAGGCCUGCUUCCCUUCUUGCGAGGAGCGGCGGCUCUCCCGGCAGCUUUCUUAGCCUUCCUGGCUUUUUUAGCCGCCUCAUGGUUAUAUCUGACCUUCCAGAACUUGUCAUUAGCCUGAAAAAUACAACAAAGAUUUCUUAAAGAUCAGAUGAAAACUAUUAAAAGGAAAACCAAGAUGUUCAGGUCAGUGGCUUACCGCCGGAGCUGGGUUAGCUUGGCAGGAGGGAUUUAAGCCGGUCCUCCCACAGUCGGCUAAGCUCUCAUUCAGGAGAGACUUGGUCAUGCCGUCCAUGACGUCCUCAGGAAGAUCAUUGGGGCUGUGCCGCAGAGGGUCAUCCUUCCGGCCCGUGUAAUCACACAUUAAGCCGGGGCGGCGGCUCAAGGGGAUCACCCGCCAGGAGAACCAAACCCGGACCAGAUCAAUGCCGUUGAGGCCGUUUCCCAGGUGUCGUGGAAUUGUCACGACAGAUGUCCUUGAGCUAGGACUUAGUCGUGGAGCCAUCGCAGCUAGGAAGCUUGAAGGGGUUAAGCGGGACAAGGAACACGAGGGUUUAUACUGGUUCGGCCCCUUACGGUGAAGGUAAAAGCCUACGUCCAGUUUGAGGUGGUAUUGAUUAGGGUUUCGAUAACCAGGGAGCUAAACCGCUAUGCCUGGCUUUCGAUGAGAUCGUUCUCCCCCCUAAACCGCUGCCGGGUCAUCCCUUUAUAUAGUGAGGCUGACGCCCUGUAGCUCUUAGAGUCCCGGCCGGCUCAUAAGAGUGUCCGGCUCGGACUCUCAACUAUUCUUGCCUUACACUACAAGUUCUACCAUGAUAAUGAUUGCAACUACGGGCCUUAAGCCGUAUCCGGGUCUUAGCCCAUCUCUGGCCAACCGUCUUCAAGCUUGGCGCCGGGCUUCUGGCAAUGACCAUUAUGAGUAACCCGGCCCCUCCUGGCGGGUGACUCUAAGGUCUAUAUCCUCAACAUUAGGCCCCAGAUUGAUUUGAGCCGGCUCAUGUCAAUCUUCAAUUCCUUCGACAGAAAACCUCCGGCUUACAAUUGUGUGAAGGCCAUAACCCGGCGUGACGUCAUCCUCUGGACUCCGGGUAAUCCGCCAUGACGUCAUCUUCCAUUAAGCCCGUUUUUACUCCGCCAGAUUCGCAACAGAUCUUUACCUUUACUGUCAUCCCAAAAAUCGAGGCGUUUCGUGGGGAGAUAACCACGCCGUGGCCUCCUUGAUUCUCGCGCCCGCUUUAUGAGCUCGCCCUUAUAAAUAGGCCGGCCCGACAGGCCUUUCCGCCGCCCUUCUUCCUCCUUGCGCCACUGUUCCUCUGCUCGAGCUCGAACUCUGCCGCCGCCGUCGCGCCCCCGGUCUUCGUCAACCUUGGCCGCUGCAUCACCCUGACUCGGUCCAGACAAACGGCGGCAACCUCCGCUCCUCUUCAGCUCCGGUGAGUCCUCGCUACUCCAUAGGGCAGAUCCGCACUAGGGCUUCAUAGUUCUUCCUCUGUUCUUCGUAGUUCAUCGCGGCCCUCAGUAGAUUUGAAUUUUACUGCCUCUUUUUGAUCUUAGUAUAAGGUAGAACUAGUGCGGCGGCUGUUUAGCACUUAUUUCAAAUCCAAGUAGGCCUCUUUUUACUGCAUAAAGACCUCAUUCGAGCUCAAGAACCUUCCUCGCGUCUGUUUCUAGGUCUAGAAACCUUUUCUUUUGCCCGACUAUUUUAAUCCAAAAUAUUUACCGCAAUGUGUGAGACUUGUUUUCACCACACUUAGUAAAAAACUGCCCUCAUUGAAUCAUGGUGGUUUACAUUUCUGGCUUAAAGAAAACACGCGCCGUAGAACCUUCCGACUUAAGAGAAGCCACGCAUCGUAUAACUUUCCGGCUUACUUAUAACAAGGCUGUAGACAAUUUGAAUUACCCUCAAGCACACCAGCGGCUUAGAUAACCCGAUGUACUUAGACAUAUAUCAUUAGUCCCCUCCAUAAGCCGCCACCUUAAACCUUAACUUGUAAGUCUCCGCCGGCUUAUUAUUAAACCAGGUAUUUUUCCCUGUAUCAUAGGCUUCCAACAGUCACCAAGCCUCCCAAAGCUCCUAAAGCCUCCAUCACUUGCAACUGGAUGAGGUCCAAUGUCACCAAUGAGACCCUAGCAGAUUUUGUCAAGUCUGGAUAUCUGCCCAAGAAGGACGUCAUGUCCUAUCGUGCCCUCGACCCAUCAGAGGAGAGACCACAGCCAAGAGACGGGGAGGUGGUUAUUUUUGCGGAUCACAUGAGCCGGGGCUUUGCACCGCCCGGCUCAAAGUUUUUCAGAGAUGUUCUGAAUUUCUUUGAUCUGUGGCCUCAGGACAUAGGACCCAACUCAGUGUCCAAUAUCUGCAACUUCCAAGUGUUCUGCGAGGUUUACCUUGGAGAAGAACCCAGUCUGCUACUCUUCAGAGAGCUUUUCUAUUUAAACCGCCAGAACGAGUGUGCCAACGGGCCAAGUCUGGAGCUAGGCGGCAUCUCCAUCCAGCGGCGGAGGGACUGCCUUUUCCCUUACGCAGAGCCGCCCAGCCACCCCAAGGACUGGAAUCUGACGUGGUUUUACUGCCAAGACACGUCGCCGGCUGAUGAAAGUCCGUUGCCCGACUUUCGCCCCUCACGUCUGGAGCCGACUCACCCACUGUCAGACAAGCUGACUCAAGCAGAGCGCCAACCUCUGCUCCCCACUAUCAACAAGAUCAAGGCUCUCCUGGGCAAUGGUCUGAAUGGAAUCGAUCUGGUCCGGGUCUGGAUCUCGUGGCGGGUGAUCCCAUUGAGCCGCCGCCCCGGCUUAAUGUGUGAGUACACGGGCCGAAAGGACGACCCUCAGAUACACAGCCGCAACAAUCUUCCUGAAGACGUUGCAGAGGAGAUGACCAAGGCUCUCUUGAAUGAGAGCCUAGCAGACUACGGAAGGACCGGGUUAGCCCCCUUCUGCAAGACCAACCCAGCCCCAGCGGUAAGCCGCUGAUCUGAACAUCUUAUCUGUACAUAACUUUCAUCUGAAUUAUUUUAAGAAAACCUCAUUGCAUUUUUCAGGCUGAUGAUAAGUUCUGGCGGGUCAAGUAUGACCAUGAGGCGGCCAAGAAGGCCAGAAAGGCGAAGAAAGCCGCCAAGAAAGCCGCCCCUCGCAAGAAAGGAAACAGGCCUACUGCUUCAGAGUUGAUGCAACUAAGCGACAGCUCCGAGUCAGAGGUAACCCAUGAGCCUGUAAGUCCUUGUUGUACUUUGUUGUUUACUUCUGUCGGCCUUAUCAAUACUUGUUCAUCAAUAGGACGACACCGGAGCAAGUAACCCGGUGGUUGAAGAGGUAACGACACUUUCCUCCGACUCGGAGCCCUUGCCCAGGCUGAAAAUCCGAAGGGUAACCCGGAAAGUAUGCUUUUCACAUCCUUUAGCUUAUCAAGACCCUCAAUUUAUAUUGAAGCGACAGGUGCAUGAGAGACGGCGGCACACCCGGACCGACAAAAGCACCGACCUCUCCUCCGGGUUACCUGACGCAUCGAGGAAACGCCGGACCGAGGUGAUCUCAAAAUUGUACCCUUUUCAUCCUUUGGCAGGUGUUAUACGUCAACCACUGAACUCUUCUGACUCAAAUUAUCAGGAAACUUCCCCCUCUUCCGGCGACUCUAUGCAGUCAAGCCUGCCGGCUUUCAAGACCGUGCCUGGGUAAUGAUAACCAUCUCAUGUUGUACUUUUGUCUUCACUUACCCUAUUGUGCUUAAUCUUUUUGUCCUUUCAGUGCCCAGGCCAAGAUCACCAAGAGGGCGAAGAAGUCCAAGCCGGUCGAUGAGCCGGACUUGCCUGAGCCAGAGGCAGCCGCUCAAGAGCCGCCAGCCGCCUCUGCACCUGAGGCCGCUGCCCCAACCACCAAGGCAACUACAGAAGCUUCUGUUAACCCGGAGGCCUCCAGCUCGGCUCCACCAGCAGACGACCCGGACGUGGUAAUCACCCGGACGAAGUUCGUUGAGCCGGGGAGACCUACCGUGUUGGCCAAGUGCUCCGCCAAAGGGAAGCUGUUAGAGUCGCGCCGGGUUAACCUGCACCUCACCGACUACUCCAACUUGAACAUUGGAGAGAUCGUCUCCGGCUUCAUCAGCCAAGUGCACAAGAGCCGGGACGCAGAGAUUGCUAUGGUGACCCAGAUCCAGCAGAAAUCUGAGGUAAUAUCCUUUUGUCCUCUUACUUACUGCUUAGUUACCUGUACCAUGCUAGCCCCCAAGUCGACGACUUAUGAUUGAGUAUGUUGUAGACUUGGUUCCGGCUUACUCCAUUGAACCGGCAAUGUGUAGAUAGAAACGUUCAAUAUGCAUUAGCCCCCAAGUGCCAAGUGUCUUUGCUUGGAAAACGCUUGGGACUUUACAUUUGCAUAGUAAUUGUUCAUGCCAUGACCCGGAAAUUUAUACAGGCUGCUGGCAAGAAGCUUGAGGCUGACCUUGCUGAUCUCAAGAACCGGCUGAAGAUGCAAGAGAUGGAGACCCGGAAGGCAAACGCCAAGUUUGUAUCCAGCAUCGCCGCACAAGAGAAACUGAAGACAGAGUUUGACGCUGAGCGGAAAGCGUGGACCGAAGAAAAGGCCGCAUUGGUGAACCGGGCUGAACAGGCGGAGAAGGCUCUCUCCGAGAAGACCGCCGAGCUCUCCGGCCUAAAGCGCCAAGUGUCCCAGAUGGUGGCCGCAAUCUUUGGUAAGUCGUCUCACCGGCUUUCAUCAAGUUUAGAAUUUUUAUAUCUCAUAAUUCAUCCUUGUCGGCGGCUUAUCUGACUCUGUUAAACAGGUCCCAGAAGUGCCAACCUGAAUCAGAGUGUGGUGACCAAGCUGAAGGCCGUAUACACCCUGGUGGAGCAACUCUACACCGGGUCACAACGUGCCUUGGCUGUGGUGGCCCUCUCCAACGAGGUGCCGACUCACCUGGCGGAAGUCCUUCGCCGGCUCGCCGUUCUGCCUCAACGGAUCCAAGAGCUGCGACGGGCCUCUGCAAGAGCCGGAGCGAUCGCUGCGCUGAGCUAGGCCAAGGUGUUCUUGCCAGAGUUAGACCCGGCGGACAUCGCCCUCGGCUACCCAAGUCUGAAGGAAGACGGCACCGCCUUUGAUCAGAAGGACUUCGCAGCUUGCGUGAAGGCCGUACGCCCGGUGGCCACUCUUAUUGGCAACGAUACAGAUCUGACCAAGUAUCAGCCGGGCUACGACGCAGAAAAUCAGAGGAUCCCUACACCGCGCUAUGAAGCCCUCAACUUGAUCCCGCCGGCUCGUCAGCACACUUUCGCCCCGGAGAUCGACCCGGCCGGGUUAAUUGACGAGGAAGCCCAAUUCGAAGCUCUCAGCGGCAUUGACUGGAAGUCAUCAACUUUUCGGGUCUUGGGAUCAGCUGGAGGAGAACAGAGGGACGAGCCGGAGACUUCAACUCAGCAAGCGUUGUAACUCAGCGGGCGGCUUAUCAAUAGAUGCCUCACCCUUUUGGACUCAAUGAGUCUUUGUAAUAGAGUAGGACCAAUACUUUUAUCCUUGCCGUACCAUCACGCACGCCUUGAAUGUUAAAGUCCGAUGAAGUUGUCUCCUUUAUGUUUCUCCAGGUCAUAAUUAAUCCUUUGUUUUCCUUAAUCUCAAAAUAGUUGCCUUUAACUAUCCUGCAUAGAAGGGCAAAUCACAAGUCUCGAGGCGGCUUACCGUCCUGAGAAUCAUAAGUUUUAGAUAUAUAACCCGGAAUAUGAAUCAAAAAGGACUGAUCUCCAAUUAUAUCCUUAAUACAGUCGUAAUAUCAUAGUUAGCGGCCUGCAAGCAUACUUCCGGCUUAGGUAAGCCGGGUAAUAAGGUUGGUACCUCAACUCCGGUGUACCUAUCUUAAUGACACCCAUUGUGUUCAACUAACACUGUUAAUCAAGUUUUAAGCCGGCAAAGUGUGACCCGGCUGUACACACGUUGAAAUAAUCAGAAGAAACUUGCUAUAAAGCAGAAGAACUUAGGGACUUCCGGUUCGAAUACGACCAGAGACCCGGCCCAAAGGGAUUAUGCUAGGAUUCGAAUGCGAUCAUAUAGCCCCCAGUGGGUGUGGCGACGCCAAUCAAGAGGGUACCAACAACUAUGUUCUCUUUGGUUCGAAUACGACCCAUGUUUGAACAGGAAGCCCCCAAGUGAUUUUAAGAAUUGUUUAACGAUGCUGAUUCGAAUACGAUCCACGUCGGUUCUCAAAGGGGUUAAACUAAGAUUCAAAUAUGAUCAAAGAAAACUCCUCAAUGAGCUCGGCACUUUGCCAAUCAAAUGGGUAUCAACAGCUAUGUUCUCUUUGGUUCGAAUACGACCCAUGUUUGAAAAGGAAGCCCCCAAGUGACCUUAUUGCUUACAGCUAGAUUCAAAUACGAUCAUAAGCUGGAUCCUCCUUCAAGUUAUCAUGUAAUCUUGCAAUGAAAACAACACGUGCAUAUUCAGAGGAGAAAAAAGGACAGAGGUCCUGCUUUAUUGCUUAUCAUAAUAUAUACAUGGCUGAGAGAAAUAUGUACAUUAUGAGAGCCGGUGGCUCAAGUGUAGUAAGGCCGAAGCUGAGCUAUGUUCCACGGCCGACGGGUCUCUUCCUCCGACUUACGUGAAUCUUUGUGCUCCCGAAUGUCAAUGAGGUAAUAUGACCCGUUGUGCAAGUUCUUGCUGACCACAAAGGGCCCUUCCCAAGGCGGGGAUAACUUGUGUGCAUCUGUUUGAUCCUGGAUGAGCCGGAGCACGAGAUCGCCUUCCUGGAAGACCCGGGAUUUAACCCGGCGGCUAUGAUAACGGCGCAGGUCCUGUUGGUAAAUCGCUGAACGGGCUGCUGCCACAUCCCGCUGUUCGUCCAACAAGUCAAGAGCAUCUUGGCGCGCCUGCUCAUUAUCCGCCUCAACGUAAGCCGCCACUCGAGGUAAGUCAUGACGGAUGUCACUGGGGAGGACUGCUUCCGCCCCAUAAACCAUGAAGAAAGGCGUAAAACCUGUAGACCUGUUAGGAGUAGUGUUGAUGCUCCAUAACACGCAGGGCAACUCCUCCACCCAACAACCCGGCGUCCGUUGCAAAGGGACCAAAAGCCGGGGCUUGAUGCCCUUCAGAAUCUCCUGAUUAGCUCUCUCAGCUUGACCAUUGGAUUGAGGAUGAGCCACUGAGGAAACAUCAAGUCGGAUAUGCUCUCGUUGACAAAACUCUUCCAUGGCGCCUUUGGAGAGAUUGGUGCCAUUGUCAGUGAUAAUGCUGUGCGGAAAACCAAAGCGAAAGAUCACCUUUUUCAUAAACUGAACCGCCGUGGCUGCAUCGCACUUGCUAACUGGCUCCUCUUCAACCCACUUGGUAAACUUGUCAACCGCCACCAAAAGGUGGGUCUUCUUAUCCUUGGACCUUUUGAAAGGCCCAACCAUAUCAAGCCCCCAGACCGCAAAGGGCCAAGUAAUUGGGAUCAUCCUCAGUUCUUGAGCCGGUACAUGAGCCCGUCGCGAGAACCUUUGGCAACCAUCACACUUACUAACCAAGUCCUCUGCAUCAGCAUGAGCCGUCAACCAAUAAAAACCAUGACGAAAAGCCUUGGCCACAAGAGACUUUGAGUCGGCGUGAUGGCCACAAUCCCCUUCAUGGAUCUCACGCAAGAUCUCUUGACCUUCCUCAGGGGAAACACAACGCUGAAACGCUCCCGUAACACUGCGGUGAUGCAACUCACCAUUGAUAACAAUCAUUGACUUAGCCCGCCGGGUUAUUUGCCUGGCCAAAGUUUCAUCCUCAGGCAACUCACCCCGGGUCAUGUAAGCCAGAUAGGGCAUUGUUCAGUCUGCUAUGAUAUGGAGAGCCGCCACCAGUCGUGCCUCCGGGUCAGGGACAGCCAAGUCUUCCUCUGUAGGCAACUUAACAAAAGGGCCAUACAGGACGUCCAGGAAAGUGUUAGGCGGCACCCGUUUUCGCUGAGAGCCCAGCCGGCUUAAAGCAUCAGCCGCCUCGUUCUUCCUGCGAUUGAUGUGUUCCACUUGGUAACCCUGAAAGUGCCCAGCAAUGGCAUCAACUUCGCGGCGAUAAGCCGCCAUGAGAGGGUCCUUGGAAUCCCACUUUCCUGAUACUUGUUGAGCCACCAAGUCUGAGUCGCCGAAGCACCUUACCCGGCUUAAGCUCAUCUCUUUAGCCACCCGAAGUCCAUGGAGCAAGGCCUCGUACUCAGCCGCGUUGUUAGUGCAAGGAAACAUCAACUGUAGCACAUAAUGGAACUUGUCACCUUUAGGGGAAGCCAACACGACUCCAGCCCCCGAGCCCUCCAACUGCCUGGACCCAUCAAAGUGAAUAGUCCAAUAUGUGUUAUCCGGCUUCAGCUCGGGCACUUGUGACUCUGUCCAGUCAUUGAUGAAAUCCACCAAGGCCUGAGAUUUAACAGAAGUGCGUGGCACGUACUUGAGACCAUGAGGUCCAAGCUCUAUAGCCCACUUAGCGACUCUCCCUGUGGCCUCUCUGUUUUGAAUGAUAUCACCAAGAGGGGCAGAACUGACCACAGUGAUGGGAUGACCCUGAAAAUAAUGCUUAAGUUUCCGGCUCGCCAUGAACACACCAUAAACAAGCUUCUGCCAAUGCGGAUACCGCUGCUUGGACUCAAUGAGCACUUCGCUGACAUAAUAAACCGGCCGCUGAACCGGAUGCUCCUUACCCUCCUCCUUGCGCUCCACCACCAUAGCCACACUGACGGCUCGUGUGUUCGCCGCCACAUAUAAUAAUAAGGGCUCCUUAUCAACCGGAGCAGCAAGGACUGGAGGCUCUGCCAGCUACUUCUUCAAAUCCUCAAAGGCAGUAUUAGGUGCAUCAUUCCAGACAAUGUUAUCAGUUUUCUUCAUCAACUGAUAUAAUGGCAUGGCCUUCUCACCCAAACGGCUUAUAAACCGGCUUAAAGCAGCGAUGCGACCUGCCAGGCGUUGAAUGUCAUUUAUACACGCCGGCUUAGCCAGGGAGGUGAUGGCCUUGAUCUUCUCCGGGUUAGCUUCAAUGCCUCUGUCAGAAACCAAAAAACCCAAAAGUUUGCCUGCAGGAACACCAAAGACACACUUGGCCGGGUUAAGCAUCAUCUUGUAGACCCGGAGAUUAUCAAAGGUUUCUCUCAAAUCAUCUAUCAGGGUUUCCUCCUUCAUGGAUUUAACCACAAUCUUGUCCACAUAAGCAUGAACAUUGCGCCCGAUCUGUUUAUGAAGACAGUUCUGCACGCAACGUUGAUAAGUCGCCUGUGCACACUUGAGUCCAAAGGGCAUGGACACAUAGCAGAAGGCUCCAUAGGGAGUGAUGAACGCCGUCUUCUCCUGGUCCUUAACUGCCAUUUUAAUCUGAUGAUAUCCGGAAUAAGCAUCCAAGAAACUUAAGCACGCACAACCGGCCGUAGCAUCAAUAAUUUGAUCAAUACGGGGAAGGGCAAAAGGAUCAGCCGGAAACGCCUUAUUUAAGUCCGUGUAGUCCACACACAUCCGCCAAGUGCCGUUCUUCUUGAGUACGAGCACUGGGUUAGCUAACCACUCUGGGUGAAAGACUUCAACAACAAACCCGGCCGCCAAGAGCCGGGCCACCUCUUCACCAAUAGCUUUCCGUCUCUCUUCAUUAAACCGCCGAAGGAACUGCCUGACCGGCUUAAAUUUCAGAUCAACAUUGAGAGUGUGCUCAGCGAGUUCCCUAGGUACACCUGGCAUGUCAGAAGGUUUCCAUGCGAAGAUGUCCCUAUUCUCACGGAUGAACUCGAUGAGCGCGCUUUCCUAUUUUGGAUCCAAAUUUGCACUGAUGCUAAACUGCUGAGAUGAAUCUCCUGGAACGAAAUCAACAAGCUUAGUUUCAUCAGCCGACUUAAAUUUCAUUGCCGGCUCAUUUUCCGUAGUCGGCUUUUUCAGAGAGGUCAUAUCUGUUGGGUCAACAUUUUCUUUGUAAAACUUCAGCUCCUCUGUUGCACAAACAGAUUCUGCAUAAGCUGCAUCGCCUUCCUCAGAUUCCAAGGCCACCCUCCGGCUGCCGUGAACCUUAAUGGUCCCAUUAUGACCCGGCAUCUUGAGCUGUAAGUAAACAUAACACGGCCGUGCCAUGAACUUGGCGUAAGCCGGCCGCCCAAAUAUAGCAUGGUAAGGACUUCUUAUCUUGACCACCUCAAAGGUCAAUUUUUCCACCCUGUAGUUGUUUUCAUCUCCGAAGGCUACUUCCAACUCGAUCUUGCCAACUGGAUAAGCCGACUUACCAGGUACCACACCAUGGAAGAUAGUGUUUGACUGGCUGAGGUUCUUAUCAACCAACCCCAUACGGCGAAAAGUCUCAUAAUAGAGGAUGUUGAUGCUGCUGCCUCCGUCCAUGAGCACCUUAGUGAACUUAUAUUCUCCCACCUGAGGAGCCACCACUAAGGCCAAGUGACCCGGAUUGUCCACCCGGGGAGGGUGAUCCUCUCUACUCCACACUAUAGGCUGCUCAGACCACCGCAAGUAGCGUGGAACCGCCGGCUCAACAGCAUUCACGGCCCUCUUAUGCAUCUUCUGAUCUCGCUUACACAGACUAGUGGUAAAUACAUGGUACUGUCCACCGCUAAGCUGCUUUGGAUUGGUCUGAUAACCCCCCGGUUGCUGUUGAUGACCCUGGCCAGGCUGCUGAUUAAAGCCCCCUUGAACGUUCUGAGGAUUAGAAUUUGAGCCGCCGCCCGGGCCAUGAAAACCGCCGGCGCCUGAACCGCCGCCCGGGCCAUUGUAAAUCUUAAAGGCCUUCAUGAUUGCACAAUCCUUCCAUAGAUGAGUCGAUGGCUUCUCUCUAGAGCCAUGCCUUGGACAAGGCUCAUUCAACAGCUGCUCCAGAGUCGGGCCUGACCCGCCGCCUCGGGGAGGGGGCCUCCCCUUGCGUCGCUGGUUAUUACCUUGCGAGCUGGCAUUGGCUACAAACUCUAAGCUGCCAUCGGCCUUGCGCUUGCCUCCUCCUUGGUUCCCCGGGUUAUGCUGAGGACCCUUGCCAUUGCCGUUCUUCUUUCCCUUCCCUGUCCUUUCAUCAUCUGAAGCGGGGUCCUUGGUACCAUCAGAAUCGACGUACUUGACAAGAGCCGCCAUCAGUGUACCCAUAUCAUUGCAGUCGCGCUUAAGUUGCCCGAGUUUCAUCUUCAGGGGCACAAAACGACAAUUCUGCUCCAACAUUAAGACUGCUGAACCAGCAUCCAUCUUAUCUGACGAAUGUAUGAUCUCCUUAACCCGGCGAACCCAAUGUGUCGUGGACUCACCCUCCUGCUGCUUGCAGUUAGUCAAAUCCACAAUUGACAUAGACUGCCUACAGGUAUCCUUGAAGUUUUGGAUGAACCGGGCCUUCAGCUCAGCCCAAGACCCAAUGGAAUUCGGCGGUAGCCCUUUCAAGCAAGUGCGGGCAGUCCCAUCUAACAUCAUGGUGAAGUACUUGGCCAUUGCUGCCUCACUGACCUCCAGCAGCUCCAUGGCCAUCUCGUAACUCUCGAUCCAGGCUGCGGGUUGUAAGUCAGCUGUGUAAUUAGGCACCUUCCUAGGGCCUUUGAAGUCCUUAGGUAGACGUUCAUUGCGGAUAGCUGGCACUAAACAAGGGACGCCCCCAGUCCUGGUAGGGAUACCCACGUCGACGGAAGUCGUCGGAUAAGCUGGGGGGUCUGGUAAGCCGUCAAUUGAGGCACCUGCUCCGCCUCUUGCCGCGCUCUAUCUUGGUCUGCUGCGUGAAAGGCUCUCUUAUAAGCCAGGCCAUGGCCAGGGGGCGGGUCAUGGCUUCGGACGUUACUUGAGCCGGUCACUGAAACCAUGUGCCUGCUGUAACUCGGGCUCCAGCCCGGACGAGGGGUCGAGUGGAUCCUAUCCCGGCUGUAGGAGUACGCAUCUUGCUGCGCCAGUGCUGUCUGAAGGAGUUCCCUGACCCGACGGGUUUCAAUAGCCGUCGGAGAGUCGCCAUCAACUAGGAGAGCCGCCAGCCGUGCUGCCGCAGCGACCAUGUUCUCCAGCGGGUUAUUGUAAUGACCCGGGGGUGUUGGCACAUACUGAGGCGGGGCAGGGGGCACCUGGGGAGGCCCCAUCACUCGUGGCUGAAUAGGGGUCCCAGACCCGGGCACUAUGACCCCUGGCGGGUUACUAGACCCUGCACCUGGCGUGUUGAAGAGGUUGCGUGGAUCGUAAACCGGAGGGAGCCGAGAUUGGGUCUUUUGAUGCCUCCUUCUCAUGACCUCAUUGGACGCGUUCUGAUCCAUCGUGAGCUGGAAGGACUGCGCCUGGAUCAACUGAGUUUGGGCAUCGAGAGCCGCCCUCUCCGCAGCCAUCCUGAUCCCUUCCGCUGCAAGAUCCUCCUUAGCUUUCACUAGAUCCAAUUUUUAACUGUGCCACCUCCGCAUCGUGCUGAGCUUGAUCUGCCGGGUCAACCGUGGCGGUUAACAGGGCCGUCAUCUUGUCCGUGAGAUCCAUCAGCACCUGAGCCGGAGAAGGCACCGGGUUUCCCGCUCCGGCAGCGGGGUUCUGAACAGGCUGCGCACCGGCCAUAAAGAUUCCGACCCGGCUUGGCUGCUCAAACAGGUCCGGAAUACUGUCACCAUCGGAACAUCCCAUGAGCCUGCCAUCUUGAAGUUGAUACAACGAGUUUGACCCAUUAGUGGCCGACUUGCAGUCAGAGCCGGCGGCCGUCUCAUCACCAGAUCCAGAUCGAUCAGAGAGUCCCCCGUGGAUACACCCCACAAAAGCAUGCCUUAAGGAAGGCCGGGCCCGGGCGGGUCGUGCACGCUGAGCCGUCUCGAUGAGAUCGGCGCAGAGAUCCGGCUCAGGGCCCGGCUCACCGAUCUUGCCAAUGAAAACAUGAAUUCCGCCGAAGGGGACCCGGUACCCGUACUCAAUUGAGCCGGCGUCGGGGCCCCAGUUUGCAUCGUCGAUGUAGAGCUUGCCGCGACGACUCUUGGUCAUCCGGCCCACAGCGUAUCCCUUGAGCCCUUCGAAGCUGCCCUUCAAGAACUCAAAUCCACCGUGCGCUGGCCCCACGGUGGGCGCCAACUGUCGUGGAAUUGUCACGGCAGAUGUCCUCGAGCUAGGACUUAGUCGUGGAGCGAUCGCAGCUAGGAAGCUUGAAGGGGUUAAGCGGGAGAAGGAACACGAGGGUUUAUACUGGUUCGGCCCCUUACGGUGAAGGUAAAAGCCUACGUCCAGUUUGAGGUGGUAUUGAUUAGGGUUUCAAUAACCAGGGAGCUAAACCGCUAUGCCUGGCUUUCGAUGAGAUCGUUCUCCCCCCUAAACCGCUGCCGGGUCAUCCCUUUAUAUAGGGAGGCUGACGCCCUGCAGCUCUCAGAGUCCCGGCCGGCUCAUAAGAGUGUCCGGCUCGGACUCUCAACUAUUCUUGCCUUACACUACAAGUUCUACCAUGAUAAUGAUUGCAACUACGGGCCUUAAGCCGUAUCCGGGUCUUAGCCCAUCUCUGGCCCACCGUCUUCAAGCUUGGCGCCGGGCAUCUGGCAAUGACCAUUAUGAGUAACCUGGCCCCUCCCGGCGGGUGACUCUAAGGUCUAUAUCCUCAACACCAGGAGAGCCUUGAUCUUAUUGAUGGUGGGGAUCAGAGGUUGACGUUCAGCUUGAGACAGUUUGUCUGGCAGGGGGUGAUUUGGCUCCAGACGCAGGGCACGAAAGCCGGGCACAAGGCUCUUGUCAGCCGGAGAAGUAUCCUGGCAGUAGAACCAUGUCUGGUUCCAGUCCUUUGGAUGGCUUGGCGGCUCAGCAUAAGGGAAGAGGCAAUCUCUCCGUCGUUGAAUGGAGAUUCCACCAAGUUCCAAGCUCGGCCCGUUGGCGCACUCGUUCUGGCGGUUCAGAUAAAACAACUCCCUAAAGAGCAGUAGGCUGGGCUCUUCUCCAAGAUAGACUUCGCAGAAUACUUGAAAAUUGCAAAUAUUUGACACGGAAUUGGGUCCUAUGUCUUGCGGCCGCAGAUCAAAGAAGUUCAGAACCUCUCUAAAGAAUUUUGAGCUGGGCAGUGCGAAGCCCCGGCUCAUGUGAUUAGCAAAUAUCACUACUUCGCCAUCUCUAGGUUGAGGUCUUUCCUCUGACGGGUCAGGGGCACGAUAAGACAUGACCUCCUUCUUGGGCAGGUAACCUAUCUUCACGAAAUCGGCUAAAGUGUCAUCAGUGACAUUGGAUCUCAUCCAGUUUCACAAGAUGGGUGCCUUGGGAGCCUUGGGUGGCAUUGUGAAAGAUGAAGCCUAUGACAAAAGGGAAAUGUCCGGUUCAAUUAUAAGCCGGAGGAAAUUUAGAGUUCAACACUCAAAAUGGCGGCUUAUGAAGGGGCCUAAUGAUACAUGGCUAAUUCUGUCGGGUUAUCUAAGCCAUUGUGGGCGUCGUGAGUAAUUCAAGUUGUCUACAGCUUGAUCAUAAAUGAGCCGGAAAUUUUACAGCGCGUGGUUUCUCUUAAGCCGGAAAUGUGAGCCGCCAUAGCUAAACAGAUGCAAUUUUUUGACUAAGUGUGGCGCAAACAAGUUUCACAGAUCGCAGUAAUUAUUCUGGAUCAAACGGUCGGCUAAAAAGAAAAAUUUCUAGACCUAGAACUGACGCAGAAGAAGUUCAUGGAUUCAGAACGAGAUCUUAUUGCAGACAAAGGGGAUCUACUAGCAUAAAAAUGGAUGCGCAGCAACUACCGCAGGAGCUCCGUACUACUUUCGGAUCAAAACAUGACUGCAGUGGAAGAACUACAAGGAACUCGAGAAGAACAGCGAAGAACAGAGGAAGAACAGCGGAACCCUAACUGCGGAUCUACGGUGGAGAGGUGCAGGGACUUACAGAUGCGGAGUUACUGCGGAGGUUCGUCGCGUUUUUCUGGUCACGUCAGGUUGAUGCAGCGGCCUGAGUUGGUGAAGACGAGGAGACCCGCGGCGGCGGCGACGGAGCUCGUGUGGCAGUACAGUGGUGAGAGGAGGAAGAAGAUGGAGGCGACAAGUGAGGGAAGACUCAUGGGCCGGGCUUAUUUAUAAGGUGCGGAUAAUAAGUGGGUGCGAGAAACGAGGAGGCCACGACGUGAUUAUCGUGCCACGAAAGCGCCUCGAUUUUCGGGACAGCCAUUACAGAUAAGAUCCGUUGGAGUAUAAUAGAAUAAAAAAUGGACUUAAUGGAAGAUGAUGUCAUGGCGGGUUACCAGGAAUCCAGAAGAUGACAUCACAGCGGGUUAUAACCUUCGCACGACCAUAAGCCGGAAGAUUUUUUCUCUCAAAGGAAUUGAAGAUUGACAUGAACUGGUUCAAAUCAAUCUGGGGCCUAAUGUUGAGGAUAUAACCAUUAGAGUCACCCGCCCAGGAGGGGCCGGGUUACGUCAUAAUGGUCAUCGCCCGAAGCCCAGUACCGAGCUUGAAGACGGCGGGCCAAUAAUGGGCUUAAGGCCCGGAGAUGGCUUAAGGCCCGUAGUGAUAACCGCCAUUAUGGUGGAACUUGUAGUGUAACGCAAGAAUAGAUGAGAGUCCGAGCCGGACACUAUUAUGAGCCGGCCGGGACUCUGAGAGCCGCUGGGUGUCAAUGUCUCUAUAUAAAGGGACGACCCGGCGGCGGUUUUGGGACAAGUAAGAUCUCGUCGAGAGCCAGGCAUAGCGAUUAAGCUCCCUGGACAUCGAAACCGUAAUCAAUACCACCUCAACUGGACGUAGGCUUUUACCUUCACCGUAAGGGGCCGAACCAGUAUAACCCCCGUGUCCUUUGUCCCGUUUAACCCCUUUAAGCUUCCUAGCUGCGAUGGCUCCGCGACUAAGUCCUAGCUCGAGGACAUCUGCCGUGACAAUUCCACGACAAAUACCCACACGGUUGAUGUAUUUUAAUUGGGUCAAGUGACAAGUUCUCUACAACCGGACAUUAACAAAUUCCCAUCUACCUCAUAACCGCGGGCACGACUUUCGAAAGAUAAUACCCUGCAGGGGUGUCCCAACUUAGCCCACAUAAACUCUCACGGUCAACGAAGGAUAAACCUUCUCCCAGGAAGACCCGAUCAGUCUUGGAAUCCCGGUUUACAAGACAUUUCGACAAUGGUAAAACAAGACCAGCAAAGCCACCCGAAUGUGCCGACAAAUCCCGAUAGGAGCUGCACAUAUCUCGUUCUCAGGGCACACCGGAUGGGCAAGACGUCGGGUUGGCAUAGACCCUGGUUGCCCAGGGGGCGCCGGACAUCGCCCAGUUUGGGCCAGCACUCGAAGGAGCACUGGUCCGGGGGUUUAAAAUAAAUAUGACCCUCGGGCUCGCGAAAAUCCGGGGGAAAAAGGCUUAGGUGGCCAAUGGUAAAACCAAGGUUGGGCCUUGCUGGAGGAGUUUUAUUCAAGGCGAACUAUCAAAGGGGGUCCCAUAAAUCACCCAACCGCGUAAGGAACGCAAACUCAAGGAACAUAAUCCCUGUAUGACGGAAACUAGGGCGGCAAGAGUGGAACAAAACACCAGGCAUAAGGCCGAGCCUUCCACCCUUUACCAAAUAUAUAGAUGCAUUAAUUAAAUAAGAGAUAAUGUGGUAUCCCAACAUCUCCAUGUUCCAACAUGGGACAAACUUCAUGUUCACCUGCAACUAGCAACGCUAUAAGAAGGGCUGAGCAAAAGCGGUAACUUAGCCAAACAACGGUUUGCUAGGAAAGGAUGGUUAGACACUGUCAUGGAAAAUAUGGGAGGCAUGAUAUAGCAAGUGGUAGGUAGCGCAGCAUGGCAAUGGAAUGAACAACUAGCAAAGCAAGAUAGAAGUGAUUUCGAGGGUAUGGUCAUCUUGCCUGCAAGGUUCUCAGAGUUGUCGAAAGCUUGAUCCUCGUAAGCGUACUCAACAGGUUUCUCGUUCACGAACUCGUCUCCCGGCUCUACCCAAAAUAAGAACACAAGCAACGGAACCACAAUCAAUCACGGAAAAUGCACGAGCAACAUGAUGCAAAACAUGAAUGACAUGCAAGAUAUGAUAUGCGAUGCAUAUGCGUGCUCCGGGAGAAAAAUGAUGAAAAAGGAAGUAACUUGGCAAACCAAGCAUGCCACUGGAAAUAUGAGAUGAUUUCGGUUGAAAUCGAUAUAAAGAUCACCAGAAACGGAUUCACGGUUUGCAAAUGGCAAGCAAAACAAGAAUGAUACGAAUCUGUGAUUAACAGCAUGAUAGCACUUAGAAUGCAACAAGUAAGAAUGCUAAAGCACUCCAACAUAAAAACAAAGCAUAUGACAGUAAUCUACAGGAGAUGCUUGACAAAAGAUGAACACUGAGCUACGGCUAGAUCACAAUAUAACAGGCUCAAACAAGCAUGGCAAAAGUGCAAAAGAUAUCAGGUUCACAGACUUGGUGAAAUUACUGGACAUGACUGAAACAGCAUCACGUAGCAAUGUUCAGAGCACGAAAUCAAUAUGCUACAUGAACUUGAAAUGGCAAAACAAGGCAUCACAGUAUUCUACUAAAUGCAUAUGACAAAAGUCCCUUACUGACCAUAAUCUAAAAAGGACAAGAAGAUAUGAUGCCAACUAUGUAAACAUAGCAAGUUUCGUUAUCAGGUUUCAGACUUGGCAGAAAACAGAGCAUGGCAGAAACAGACAUUAUGAGGGCAUCUUGGUGAGGUUGAUGCACUCACCACAAAGCAACGCAUGACAAAAAAAACAUACCUACAGCAAGAUGGCAUGUUUAUGAAGCUAUCCAUGGCAAGAGCAAAUACAUAGCAUGUAUGAAACAACUACAACAAGCUUGGCAAAAUUGAAUAUCAUGAUAACAAUCUGUCUAAGGGCGCCAUGGAAGUGACUUAGAGGGGAUUUGGGCUGUUUGGAGGGGGGUUUUGCUGCAACACACAAAAGGACUUUGCGGUUGCCCGGUUAACCGUUGGAGUACCAAACGACCUCCAAAUGGCACGAAACUUGACAGGUUGUCUACCGGUGGUAUACCAAGGCCACUUGACAAGCCUCGGUCCAUUCCGAUAAUGUUCAACACCCGCUCACGAAAAGAAACGAAAAGGGGUGCGCCGGAGGAGGUGGGAGUGCCGGAUUGCAAAACGGACAACGGGGAAAAUGCUCGGAUGCAUGAGACGAACACGUAUGCAAAAUGAGAUGCACAUGAUGACAUGAUAUGAAAUGCAUGACAUGAACAAAAUGCAAAACGAAAGACAAAAACCCGACCACGAAGGAAAAUAUCAUAACACAUAGCCGAAAAUGGCAAGAGUUGGAGUUACAAAUAUGGAAAGUUACAUCCGGGGUGUUACAACACUCCACCACUACGAGAGGAUCUCGUCCCGAGAUCUAGGACUGAAAGAACUCCGGAUAUUCGGAACGGAGGUGGUCCUCGCGUUCCCAGGUAGCUUCUCGGUUAGAAUGGUGCGACCACUUCACUUUCAGGAAUUUGAUUGACUUGUUGCGAGUCUUGCGCUCAGUUUCUUCAAGAAUAGCAACUGGGUGCUCAUGAUAAGACAGAUCUUCUUGGAGGUCAAUCUCUUCUAAGUUGAUGGUGCGCUCAGGCGUCUUGAAGCCCUUGCGGAGCUGUGACACGUGGUACACAUCGUGCACGUUCGCGAAGUUGGAAGGAAGCUCAAGUUGAUAGGCGAGGUCGCCUCUUUUGCCAAUGAACUUGAAAGGACCCACGUAUCUAGAGGCAAGCUUCCCUUUGAUACCGAAGCGACGAGUGCCUUUCAUUGGAGAGACGCGGAGGUAGACAUGGUCUCCGAUCUCGAAAGCCACAUCACGGUGCUUACUAUCAUAGUAACUCUUCUGGCGCGAUUGCGCGGCUUUGAGAUUUUCACGGAUGACUUUACACAUUUCUUCAACCUCUGUGAUUAAGUCAUUGCCAAGAAGUUGGCGUUCACCAGUCUCUGACCAAUUGAGAGGAGUACGACACUUUCUGCCAUAGAGAAUUUCGAAUGGGGCCUUGCCCGAACUUGCUUGGAAGCUGUUGUUGUAGGAGAAUUCGGCAAAUGGAAGACAAUCUUCCCAUUUCAUGCCAAAGGAAAUGACACAAGCCCCGAGCAUAUCUUCAAGAAUUUGAUUGACUCGCUCGACUUGGCCACUAGUUUGAGGAUGGAAAGUUGUGCUGAAGCGAAUGUUGGUGCCCAUGGCCUUUUGGAAGGAAUCCCAGAACUUAGAAGUGAAGAUGCUUCCACGAUCUGAAGAAAUCAAUUGUGGAAUGCCGUGCAAGGAGACAAUUUUGGAUGUGUAUAGCUCUGCCAACUGAGCUGCUGUGAUGGAUUCUUUGAUUGGAAGGAAAUGAGCCACUUUAGAAAGCUUGUCGAUGACAACGAAGAUAGUAUCAUUUCCACGCUUGGACUUUGGAAAACCAGUCACGAAGUUCAUUUCGAUAUGAUCAAACUUCCAUUCUGGGAUAGCAAGAGGUUGGAGGAGACCAGCUAGUCGUUGGUGUUCUGCUUUCACUCUUCGACAGACGUCACAUUCAUUCACGAAUUGAGCAAUUUCUCGCUUCAUUCGAGUCCACCAAUACGACUGCUUGAGGUCAAGGUACAUCUUCGUACUUCCAGGAUGAAUGGAAAGAAGAGAAUUGUGUGCCUCGUUCAUAAUGACUUUCCUUAGAUCACCUUUAGGAACCACAAUCCGGUCCUCGAAGAAUAAAGUGUCUCUGUCAUCAAUGCGAUAGCACUUGUAUUUGGAAAGACCCUUGUCGAUACCACGUUUCACCUUCUUCACCAUCGCAUCAAGAAGUUGUGCCUCACGAAUUUGAUCUUCCAAAGUAGGAGAGACUAUGAGGUUGGCAAGAAAACCUUGAGGAACAACUUGGAGAUUCAGCUUGCGGAAUGCUUCACAAAGAUCCGGUUGGAAUGGCUUGAGAAUUAAGCUGUUGCAAUAAGCCUUCCUGCUCAAAGCAUCUGCAAUGACAUUGGCUUUGCCUGGAGUAUAUUCAAUACUCGGAUUGUACUCUUGAAUCAUUUCGACCCAUCGAGUCUGCCUGAGAUUGAGGUUGGGCUGAGGGAAGAUGUACUUGAGACUCUUGUGAUCGGUGAAUAUGUCCACUUGUCCUCCCAACAAGAGAUGUCUCCAUGUUAUUAAUGCAUGGACAACUGCCGCGAACUCAAGAUCGUGAGUGGGGUAGUUCUUUUCAUUGGGCUUCAACUGACGAGAGGUAUAGGCCACAACUUUCUUCUCUUGCAUUAACACAGCACCGAGACCUUGGAGAGAAGCAUCACAGAAAACUUUGAAUGGCUUGGAUUCGUCAGGAGGAGUUAAGACAGGAGCUGUAACUAGUUUCUCUUUGAGAGUGUUGAAAGCAACGUCACACUCAGGAGACCAGACAUACUUCACAUGCUUCUGGAGGAGGUUGGAAAGAGGCUUUGCAAUCUUAGAGAAAUUCUCAAUAAAUCUUUGGCAAUAGCUUGCAAGACCAAGAAAACUCCGAAGCUGCUUGACAUUCUGAGGAGGUUCCCAAUUCACAAUUGCGGACACCUUCUCGGGAUUAACAGCGAUGCCCUUGGCAGAGAUGAUAUGACCAAGGUAAAGAACUUCAUCAAGCCAAAACUCACAUUUUGAAAACUUCGCAUAGAAUUGAUACUCUCUGAGCUUGUCGAGCACCAAUCGCAAAUGUUUGGCAUGGUCCUUCUUAUUCUUGGAGAAGACCAAGAUAUCAUCGAGAUACACCAGCACGAAUUCAUUGGUAUAGGGGUUGAAGAUGAAAUUCAUCAUCCGAGAGAAUGUUGGAGGAGCAUUGACAUGGCCAAAAGACAUGACAGUAUAUUCAUAAGAACCAAAGCUUGUUCUGAAUGCUGUCUUGGGAAUAUCUUCUUCACGAAUGCGAAUCUGAUGAUAACCCAUAUGGAGGUCAAGCUUGGAGAAUACUUUAGCACCCUUGAGUUGCUCGAAUAGCUCAUUGAUGUUGGGAAGUGGAUACUUGUUCUUGAUUGGCUUCUUGUUCAAUGGACGGUAGUCGACACAAAGUCGUUCCGUGCCAUCCUUCUUCUGGACAAAAAGAACACCACAACCCCAUGGAGAUGAACUCGGUCUGAUCAAACCCAGACGCUCUUGUUCAUCGAGCUGUUUCUUCAAUUCCUUCAGCUCUUUGGGUCCAAGCUUGUAAGGACGCUUGCAAACGGGUUCAGUGCCCGGCUCAAGGUCGAUAACGAACUCAACUGGCCAGUGAGGAGGCAUACCUGGAAGCUCUUCUGGAAAGACAUCUUGGUACUCACAAACGACUGGAAUCUGAGAGAUGGCAUUGAAUUCGCCCUUCUCAUUGAGAGAAAACAACCGAAUGGUUUCAUCACGAGCGGCAUAAAUAAUCACAUCCUCAGAAGAGUGUGUCAAUUGAAUUUCCUUGGCAGCACAAUCAAGUUGAGCCUUGUGCUUAGAAAGCCAGUCCAUCCCGAGAAUAAGAUCAAUAUCCGAGUCACCAAGAACAACUGGAGGAGACAGAAAUUUAUAGUUCCCCAUCUUGAUACCGACAUUCGGAACCAACAUGGUAGAUCUCAAACGCUUAGCCGGAGAAAUAACUUGCAUUGCUCUAGGUAAUUCCUCUGUGUCAAAAUUGUGCUUCGAUGCAAAUGGGUAUGACAUGAAAGAAUGAAAUGCACUAGUAUCAAAUAAGACUUCUGCAGGAAAGUCAUUAACAGGAAGAUUACCCAUUAUCACAUCAGUAGAUUCCUCCGCUUGAGCUGCAUUCAUCAUGUUCACCUUAGCAGACUUGGAAUUAUGCUUGACCACUGCAUUGCUGGAAGAUCUGACAGGAGGAGGAGGCGGAAGGCGCCUUUGGUUGAAGCACUUGUUAGCAUAGUGACCUUUCUGCUGACACUUGUUGCAAGUCACCUCUGAGAGUGGACGAUGAUAAGGAGCAUUCGACUUUGGAGCUUGAUUCUGAGACUUGUUCUGAUAGCCAGGGUUGGAAGAGUGGGAAGAUCCAUGGCCACCUUUGUUCUUCUGCUGGUAAGGCUGACGAAACGGAGGAGGAGGAGGCAACCAGAACUUCUGUUGCUUAGCAGCCACUAGUGAGGAAGAAGAAGACUGAACUACGUCCCUGACUCUCUUCUUAGAAGCCUCACACUUGAGCUGAGCAGCCUCUUGCUUCAGAGCCAUAUUGUAGAAAUCAUCAUACUUGGUCGGCUCAAGAAGCACAAGAGGUAAUUGCAAUUCUUCUCUGAGGCGACCUCUGAAUUGAUAGAUCAUGCUCUUUUCAUCAGGAACGUCUUGCUUAGCGAAGCGAGCGAGUUUCUGAAACUGAGUAUUGUAUUGAUACAUGGACAUGCUGCCUUGCUUGAGAUUGCGGAACUCCUCACGCUUGCUCUCAACAACACUUUGUGGAAUGUGGUGAGCUUUGAAAUCUCUGCGGAAAUCAUCCCAGGCAAUCACACGACCUCCUCUGGAAUCUUUGUAUUGUUGAUACCACUCGGCAGCUUGAUCCUUGAGUUGAAAAGAAGCGAACUUGACAAAGUCCUCAGGCCUGACAUUGCUACAUUCAAAAUGCUUGUUGAUGUACACGAGCCAAUCAUCGGCAUCUGUGGCCUCGGCACAGUAGCUGAAAGACUUGGGCUGAUUUGCGAGAAACUGGUUGAGGGUAGCGAAGUGAGGCUAAUUGUUGCCUUGGCCUUGAUUUCCUUGAUUGCCUUGCCCUUGGGUGCGUUCUUGCAAGAGUUGCAGAAUCAUCUGAGCACUGGCGUUGGUGGCUGCCAUGAUAGCUUGCCAUGCCACCGGAGGCGGAGGUGGUGGCGGAGGGUUCGCCUGACUCCCUUCAUUGCGUUCCUGAUUCUGACGCGUUGGCGGAGCCAUCCUGAAGAGGGUGACAUCCGUUAGCAUCUUGAUAGACAAAUAGACAAGUAGAACCAACGGAUAGAAAUUGCAACAUAUAGUCUUCACAAUAAACAUUCGAACGAGGAUGAACGAAUGAAUUCCAUAGUAAAUCAUCACACUUCCAUAAGUUGAGAAGCCACUUAGAAAAAGGUAUGGAAUCAACAUUUGAUUUCGAAGCAACUCGAAUACCACAAUUCAAAACAAAACAAAGUAUUGGCUUGCGGAAUAAGCCGGAACAAACAUAUGAUAGAGAUUUCGUCCGAAGUUUCGUGGUGGGGCCUACACGGGCUCGAUCGUACAGCACCAUAAUGUACAAGGCAGUGCACAUGACAUACGAAGCGUCCCCGAGUCGGCAUAGCCAAGGACUCUUUAAGACACUAUGAGACCACUGUAAAACCAACCGUGGAAAGGCGGACCACUAGACGUCGAACCCCAAUCUCAUAUCAUGCGUCUGUCGGAAAGAUAUCCUAGGAGCUACUUGAAUUCCCACUUAUAAACUCCUGAAACUUUCUGGUUAUGCAAUCUGGUGUUGGGGAUACAGGGGACACAAAAUAUAUCACCCAAACUAGCAAUCCCUAGAUCCAGCUGUAUCCAUCCAUCAACACAUAACCAAGAAACCUUCGGAAAUCGUGUACCUCAACCUUCGAAAAACAUCCGUUAUACGAGUUAUGGCAAUACUCCCGAACUCCCGCCCCAGUACUGGGUGGCGUCGAGGUGAUCUCACCAACAACUGCAUAAAAGAGAUUUCGAUGUCGGCGAAACUCAGGUAUUCCAGAACUGCAACUAUAAAAUUGUGACGACAACACCUCGGAGCUCAACUCCCUGGGACACUGCCACAACCCCUAAAUGUCAGGAGGCACCAAGAACAAUGUUCUCGUCACAAAACCAUCGGAACGAUUCCAAGAUUACCCGCGUGAUCCUAAUUUUUUUUUUAAAAUUUGAGGAGAGAAGAGUCAAAACUUCUAUGUCAGGAGGCCUCACCAGAGCGACGAAGUGACUGAGGAGUAAAAAGAAUCCUACUCUCCGAUAUAUAUAAUCCUAAGACUCAAAACAUUUUUCUUCUAGACUCAACAACGCCAGCGAUUCGAUCAAGCAGGGGGCUCCUAAGUCGGGGCUGGCUCUGAUUACCAACUUGUAAUGCCCACGAUGCGGCUAUAUCUCCCACGUGUCGAGGCACGACUUAGAGGCAUAACCGCAUUGUGGUUUUGUCGCAAGAAGGGUCAUCUUCACACAAUCCCAUGUAAUGAACAAGAAUGGGAUAACGAGAGUUGGCUUACAAUCGCCACUUCACACAAUACACAAAUAUAAUUCAUACAUCAUCCAAAAUACACACAUAGACCGACUCCGGUCAAAUCCAAAUGAAAAUAAGAUAACCCCAAAUGCUAGAUCCCCGAUCGUCCCAACUGGGCUCCACUACUGAUCAUCAGGAAAAGACACAUCGUAACGACCACGUUCCUCAUCGAACUCUUACUUGAGGUCGAUCCCAUCAUCUGCACUGGCAUCGUCAGCACCUGCAACUGUUUCGGUAGAAUCUGUGAGUCACGAGGACUCAGCAAUCUCACACCCGUGAGAUCAAGACUAUUGAAGCUUAUAGGAAAGGAUGGUGUAAUGAGGUGGAGCUGCAGCAGGCACUAAGCAUAUAUAGUCGCUAACAUACGCAAAAGAGAGCGAGAAGAGAAGCAACGGAACGGUCGUCAUCUAGCAAUGACCAAGAAGUGAUCCUGAACUCCUACUUACGUCAUUCAUAACUCAACCGUGUUCACUUCCCGGACUCCGCCGAGAAGAGACCAUCACGAAUACCCACACGGUUGACGUAUUUUAAUUGGGUCAAGUGACAAGUUCUCUACAACCGGACAUUAACAAAUUCCCAUCUGCCUCAUAACUGCGGGCAUGGCUUUCGAAAGAUAAUACCCUGCGGGGGUGUCCCAACUUAGCCCAUCAUAAGCUCUCACGGUCAACGAAGGAUAAACCUUCUCCCAGGAAGACCCGAUCAGUCUCGGAAUCCCGGUUUACAAGACAUUUCGAAUGGUAACACAAGAGCAGCAAAGCCACCCGAAUGUGCCGACAAAUCCCGAUAGGAGCUGCACAUAUCUCAUUCUCAGGGCACACCGGAUGGGUAAGACGUCGGGUUGGCAUAGACCCUGGUUGCCCAGGGGGCGCCGGACAUCGCCCAGUUUGGGCCAGCACUCGAAGGAGCACUGGUCCGGGGGUUUAAAAUAAAGAUGACCCUCGGGCUCGCGAAAACCCGGGGGAAAAAGGCUUAGGUGGCCAAUGGUAAAACCAAGGUUGGGCCUUGCUGGAAGAGUUUUAUUCAAGGCGAACUGUCAAGGGGGUCCCAUAAAUCACCCAACCGCGUAAGGAACGCAAACUCAAGGAACAUAAUCCCGGUAUGACGGAAACUAGGGCGGCAAGAGUGGAACAAAACACCAAGCAUAAGGCCGAGCCUUCCACCCUUUACCAAAUAUAUAGAUGCAUUAAUUAAAUAAGAGAUAAUGUGGUAUCCCAACAUCUCCAUGUUCCAUCAUGGGACAAACUUCAUGUUCACCUGCAACUAGCAACGCUAUAAGAAGGGCUGAGAAAAAGCGGUAACUUAGCCAAACAACGGUUUGCUAGGAAAGGAUGAUUAGAGGCUGUCAUGGCAAAUAUGGGAGGCAUGACAUAGCAAGUGGUAGGUUGCGCAGCAUGGCAAUGGAACGAACAACUAGCAAAGCAAAGAUAGAAGUGAUUUCGAGGGUAUGGUCAUCUUGCCUGCAAGGUUCUCAGAGUUGUUGAAAGCUUGAUCCUCGUAAGCGUACUCAACAGGUUCCUCGUUCACGAACUCGUCUCCCGGCUCUACCCAAAAUAAGAACACAAGCAACGGAACCACAAUCAAUCACGGGAAAUGCACAAGCAACAUGAUGCAAAACAUGAAUGACAUGCAAGAUAUGAUAUGCGAUGCAUAUGCGUGCUCCGGAAGAAAAAUGAUGAAAAAGGCAGUAACUUGGCAAACCAAGCAUGCCACUGGAAAGAUGAGAUGAUUUCGGUUGAAAUCGAUAUAAAGAUCACCGGAAACGGAUGCACGGUUUGCCAAUGGCAAGCAAAACAAGAAUGAUACGAAUCUAUGAUUAACAGCAUGAUAGCACUUAGAAUGCAACAAGUAACAAUGCUACAGCAAUCCAACAUAAUAACAAAGCAUAUGACAGUAAUCUACAGGAGAUACUUGACAAAAGAUGAACACUGAGCUACGGCUAGAUCUCCAACAAGCAUGGCAAAAGUGCAAAAGAUAUCAGGUUCACAGACUUGGUGAAAUUACUGGACAUGACUGAAACAGCAUCACGUAGCAAUGUUCAGAGCACGAAAUCAAUAUGCUACAUGAACUUAAAAUGGCAAAACAAGGCAUUGCAGUACUCUACUAAAUGCAUAUGACAAAAGUCCCUUACUGACCAUAAUCUAAAAAGGACAAGAAGAUAUGAUGCCAACCAUGUAAACAUAGCAAGUUUCGUUAUCAGGUUUCAGACUUGGCAGAAAACAGAGCAUGGCAGAAACAGACAUUAUGAGGGCAUCUUGGUGAGGUUGAUGCACUCACCACAAAGCAACGCAUGACAAAAAAAGCAUACCUACAGCAAGAUGGCAUGUUCUAUCCAUGGCAAGAGAAAAUACAUAGCAUGUAUGAAACAACUACAACAAGCUUGGCAAAAUUGAAUAUCAUGAUAACAAUCUGCCAGAAAUAUUUUAUAGCAAACGUAGAGCAAGAUUGAGUCAUACUAUGGCACUCCAUAAUUGCAAAUAAGGGCAGGAAUGGAUCAAUUACAACAAUAUCUACAAAACAUCCUUAUUGAACAUCUCCAAAAUAAGCAUGGAUCUCUAUAUAGCCACAUGGAUACAUGGCAACAAAAUAACAGCAGUCACAGACUUAGAGAAAUUACUAAGUCUCUGAAAUCAGAAACAUCAUGAAGCCUAUUUUGCAUGCUUGUGCUAGUCUCCACAGAGAUCACAAAAAUACAUGGCAUACACCUCUGUAAAGAUGGCAUGGCAUACAUCAAAACACAUGUAUAUCUCAUACUCAUAAGAUGCACAGAUUAAAUGCAACAAAAAUAACAAAUCACCAAGUACUGAUAAGUAACAGCAGAUAACAGCAACUAGCACUCUUGCACCAGAUAUUUGGGCAUCAAGAUGGACUCAAAUGAACAUGGUGCAAUGGAACAAAAUGAAGAGCAUCUCGAGGCGAACAUUUCGAUAUAUCACACGCACGAAACGGAGCUAUAUGCAGAGAGUUAUGAUGCGAUGAACAUGGGCAUGUACUGUAAAAAUGUAAAGGACUUGGAGAUUUCGGGAGAGAAGAAGAAAGUCAACCCUGCUCGCUGGAUCCAGAUUAGAUCGGGCCAGCUCGAGGCUGCCGGAGCUGGGGGAGAGGAGGCGCCGGCGGGGAGAGCUCGGGGGCGUCGGAGAUGGCCGGAGGAGGCGCGGGCGAUGAGGGGACCACCGGAUCCGGGCGCGGGGAAGAGUCCCGGCGUCGGGCUUCGGCGGAGGAGCUCGGGCGCGGCGCGGUGAAGUUGCCGGAGCUCCGGGCGGCGGCGGACGGCGGCGCCAGCGACGUGGGGCGGCGAAGCGGCGGUGGAGGCGCGGGAUGAGGACNNNNNNNNNNNNNNNNNNNNNNNNNNNNNNNNNNNNNNNNNNNNNNNNNNNNNNNNNNNNNNNNNNNNNNNNNNNNNNNNNNNNNNNNNNNNNNNNNNNNNNNNNNNNNNNNNNNNNNNNNNNNNNNNNNNNNNNNNNNNNNNNNNNNNNNNNNNNNNNNNNNNNNNNNNNNNNNNNNNNNNNNNNNNNNNNNNNNNNNNNNNNNNNNNNNNNNNNNNNNNNNNNNNNNNNNNNNNNNNNNNNNNNNNNNNNNNNNNNNNNNNNNNNNNNNNNNNNNNNNNNNNNNNNNNNNNNNNNNNNNNNNNNNNNNNNNNNNNNNNNNNNNNGCUGCCAUGUGGCGUGCUCUGACUGGCUGCGGGCGGCGGCGGGUUUCGUCCGGCGCCGGGCGGACACGUCCGGCGCGCGGAGGUAGAGGCUAGGGUUUUGGACUGCGGGAGGAUUCGGGAGAGACACAUAUAUAUAGUUAGAGGGAGCUAGGAGACUCCAAACGGAGCACAGUUUUCGCCCACACGAUCGUGAUCGAACGACCUAGAGCAUGGAAGUGACUUAGAGGGGAUUUGGGCUGUUUGGAGGAGGGUUUGCUGCAACACACAAAAGGACUUUGCGGUUGCCCGGUUAACCGUUGGAGUACCAAACGACCUCCAAAUGGCACGAAACUUGACAGGUGGUCUACCGGUGGUAUACCAAGGCCACUUGACAAGCCUCGGUCCAUUCCGAGAACGUUCAACACCCGCUCACGAAAAGAAACGAAAAGGGGUGCGCCGGAGGAUGUGGGAGUGCCAGAUUGCAAAAUGGACAACGGGGAAAAUGCUCGGAUGCAUGAGACGGACACGUAUGCAAAAUGAGAUGCACAUGAUGACAUGAUAUGAGAUGCAUGACAUGAACAAAAUGCAAAACGAAAGACAAAAACCCGACCACGAAGGAAAAUAUCAUAACACAUAGCCGAAAAUGGCAAGAGUUGGAGUUACAAAUAUGGAAAGUUACAUCCAGGGUGUUACAGCCUCUCUCUCUCUCCUUCCGAAGAACGGCGCCGGAGGCCCUCGCCGGAUCUCCGUCUCCGGCCGCUCUCCUCGGAUUCCGACCGGUGGGAUCAUUCCCCACCACUUCCUCUUGCCAUGGAACAAGGUUUCUCCCCAAAUCCCUCUCUUUUUGGUUCAUUCUUUUGCUUCUAGGUUUUUGGGGAGAUGCAUCCUGUUCUUGAGAUUUUAGGCUAAAUCUUUGCAAGAGUAGGAUGUAGGAGAGUAGUAAUGCGUAGAGAUGGUACUUGCUAUGUUGCCCUGUGAUGGAUUUGAGCGACCGUAGUACCGCGUUGUUGUCACGGCUGUGCAUAGAUCAAGUUGUGGUUUUGGAUCUGCAACCGUGCGGUACUACCGCAUCUCCGGUGCGGUACUACCGCUCGUCCGGUACUACCGCUCCUCAGGAGCGGUACUAACGCGCGAGGCACGGCACUAAAAUUUUACUGCCACACCUAGACACGAUACUACCAUGCCUCCCUGGUGCGGUACUACCGUGGCUAGGAGGAGCACUAAAAUUUUAGUACCGCACAACACUGCGAUACUACCGUUGUCUCAAAUCCCUCAGGUGGCAAUUAUCACGUGCUACUUCUACUUGUUUCACCUGCUUUGUUGUGUUCUUUGCAUUGAUCCUUCUUGCUUUUCGUGCGUGUUUUGUGUUGUGUGUCUUAGGUGGUGGCUCCGGUGCCCCUGCUCGCCAUUCCAAUCCCAGCCGUGACACUAGCUCCAAGCGUCUGCGCAACCAAGACGAAGCUCCAGAGGGCUCCAGUUCCCCCAAGCGCAAUGUCAAGACCACUGCUAGCAACUACAAGGAACCGGCAAAGAGCAUGGAUGAGAUGCCCCUUACUGAGUAUAUCUCUCGAAGGCAGAUCAACCCGUAUGUGAAUCCCCGUGCCGACUUCAGAGGGAAUGACUUGUUUUGGACCAAGCAGCAGGCUCUCAUUUAUCUGGAUGUGAUCAAGGCCAAGCAGAACACCUAUGUGGAUGUGCACUGGAUUGACAUGCAUCACAUGAGGCAGGACAAGCACCGUACUUACUUUGGUGAGGCUCUAGAUCUGGUGGAGCAGUUUGGCAUUGAGCAUGUGAUCUCCUUCCACCUGGACUAUGACCCUGAGAUUAUUGCGCAGUUCUUUGCUUCGGUUCACUUUCACACUGAGGAGGAACGAAAGAUGACCUGGAUGACCAAUGGACGUCAGUUGUCUGCUACCUGGAAGGACUUCAUGGAUUUGCUCCACGUACCUGAUGAGGGGUUCAAUACGCCCGUUGGUGUUCGCCCUCAUGCCAACCCUGAGUCAGCUAACAAGAACAAGCUUCAGUCGUAUUAUGUUGAGAAGUUGCUUCCCAGUGGCAAGAAGACGGGGGUGCUGAACCCCUUUCUGGACAUCAUGUAUCGCAUCUUCCGCAACUCCCUCUUUCCUCGCAUUGGUGACAAGGACAAGGUGCAUGCCUAUCUGGUGGAUAUGAUGCUCCUGUGUGAGGAUGCGCGUGUUUCUCAGUCUCAACCACUUGAUGUCUCACAUAUCAUGUGGUGUGAGCUUCGGUUCGCGGUGUUCAACCGCAAGGUACCCAUCUAUGGACCGUACCUGUUUCUGUUGAUCUGGAAGACUUGGGAGAAGUUGUUUCCCGAUGAUGAGUUCCUUGCUCCGGACUGGAUUUGUCAUGAGCCCGUAAGGCUCCGUGUCAAGCCCCAGUGAGCCAACACUACUACUCGCGCUGAGGCUGAGGCUACUAAGAUGAAUGUUGAUGAGGAGGAGAUUGCAGAGGAGGAUACAGAUGAGGAUCGCUCUGCUAGGUUUGCCCCUCCCUCUACUGAGCCCUCAUGGGCUAAGAAGAUGACGGCCAAGAUGAAGGCCUUGUUCUGCAUGCAGGCAAAGGGGCAGUACAUGACUCAUGUUGCCUCCAAGGAGAGUCGCCGCCGCGACAAGAAGAUUAUGAGGCUUUUUGGAGAGGAUGUUUCUGGAGGUUCUGAGGAUCACAUCACUCCAGAGGCUGAGUGGAUGGCAAAACAAGGCUUCAAGUGGACUGAUUCUGAGGAGGGCAACGAGGAGACCGUUCCCGCUGCCGAGUCUGACGAGGAGCGUGCGAGUGAUUACUCUGCUUGAGCCACCACUUGUGUUGUAGGUGUCCUCUCUGCCUUUUUGGCGUCUCGAUGCCAAAGGGGGAGAGAGUGUAGGGAUUUCUGAGUCUUGUGUCGUGCUUCUUGUGUCGUGCUUGUGUUUGUUUUGCUCGCGUUUGUUCCGUUGAACCUUGCUUGUUUUGGUUUAGUUUGCUCAUGAGACUUGUUCUAUCAUUGGUGUAAGUCAUAUGCACUCUAUCGUACCUUAUUGAGCUUAUGAUAUAUUGUGCUAUUUAUGUUAUGCUCAUAUUUACCAUCUUGUUUAGUGUUAGCCUUAUUGUUGCAAGAUAUGCUUUGUCUAUAAAAUAUAAGGGGAGUGUUGAUCCUAGUAUGCGUGCCGUGCAGUCCAAAGCACUUAUCUAGAUAGCACGCAUCUAGGGGGAGCCCGUCUAUAUUUUAAAGAUGUGGGGUUUCCUUAUGUUCUAUAUUAUUUCCCCCUGUGCAAAUCCCGUAUUGUCAUCAAUCCACCAAAAAGGGGGAGAUUGUAAGGGCAUAUUUAUCCCUAAGGUGUUUUGGUGAUUGAUGACAAUGCUUUUGCGGUCUAAUCAUGUGCCUUGAGUAUUUCAAACGUUUCGUCACUAGGGACAGGACGGUUUGGUGCCCCUCGAAGACUAUUGAAGACGGCGCUUUUUUACGUUCCUUUUCGGUGGAUUUGAGUCGUAGGAAAGCUGCAUUCUAUAUUAAGAGGGGGUCCGCAUUGGAAAGGUUCGGGUGGAAUCAUCACGUACACGUUUACUCCCUCUGCAACGCCUUUCCCUUUGCGCUUUGGAGCGUCCUCCGUUUUCUUCAUAUAUAUGCAAAGAGAAGGAUUCCUAGUGUUGCUGUUCUGGCGCAUGCGGUAGUAUUGCUCUUUGGAGCGGUAGUACCACAGGCCCCUGCGGUAGUACCGUAGGUGCCCACGGUAGUACCGCUCCUAAGGAACUGUAGUACCGUGGCCUCAGACCAGACUCAGACACUCGUGCGGCUGUAGGGGCAGAUGUAAUUUUUUACAUCCGCGCCUACGCGGUAGUACCGCCCCAUGCGCGCGGUAGUACCGCCCCAUGCGCGGGGUAGUAUCGUGAGUCCUGGUCUGUCACAGCAACAUAAGCGGAAGUAGGGGCGGAUGUAAUUUUUUACAUCCGCUCCCUGCGCGGUAGUACCGCAUGCCAUGUGCGGUAGUACCGUGUCGGAUUUUUGCAUUGUUUGAUUUUCUGCGGAAGUUGGCACAGAUGUAUUUUUAUUCAUUCACGCCCUUCCCUGGCUAGUCCAAGCAUGCCUUGCGGUAGUACCGCAAGGGGGAGCGGUAGUACCGCGCCAGCGGCAGUAUCGCCCUCAGCCUUUGCGCUUCAGGCCUGGUCUAGCUCCUGCCGUAGCAGCGGUAGUACCGCGGUCCGCUGCGAUAGUACCGUGAGCCCUUGCGGUAGUACCGCUUGUCUGGGGAGGUACUACCGCAGGUCGCGGGCUGGUUAGUAGAUAACGGUUGGAUUUGUCUCUCCACUAUAUAAGGGGUGUCUUCUUCCUCUAGUUGACUACCUCUUCCAACCCUAAGCUCCAUUGUUGCUCCAAGCUCCUUUUUUGCCCGAUCUCUCUCCCUAGCCAAUAAAACUUGUUGAUUUGCUCGGGAUUGGGUGAGAAGGCCCCGAUCUACACUUCUACCAAGAGAAAUUUGAUUCCCCCCACUAAUCCCUAGCGGAUCUUGUUACUCUUGGGUGUUUGAGCACCCUAGACAGUUGAGGUAACCGCGGAGCCAUAGUCCAUUGUGGUGAAGCUUCGUGGUGUCGUUGGGAGCCUCCAAUUAAGUUGUGGAGAUUGCCCCAACCUUGUUUGUAAAGGUCCGGUUGCCACCUCCAAGGGCACCAAUAGUGGAAUCACGGCAUCUCGCAUUGUGUGAGGGUGUGAGGAGAAUACGGUGGCCCUAGUGGCUUCUUGGGGAGCAUUGUGCCUCCACACCGCUCCAACGGAGACGUACUUCCCUGUAAAAGGAAGGAACUUUGGUAACACAUCCUCGUCUUCACCGGCUCCACUCUUGGUUAUCUCGUGCCUUUACUUGUGCAAGCUUAUUUGUGUUAUAUCCCUUGCUUGCUUGUGUGCUUGUUGUUGUUGCAUCAUAUAGGUUGCUCACCUAGUUGCAUAUCUAGACAACCUACUUUGAUGCAAAGUUUAAUUUGGUAAAGAAAAGCUAAAAAUUGUUAGUUGCCUAUUCACCCCCUCUAGUCAACUAUAUCGAUCAUUUCAGCGGGCCAGCGCCGGAGGCUUGACGAGCAUCAAAGGCAGAUUUGUCUUGUUGACGGCUGCCCUCUUACCGGCUAGUUCCGCUCCUCUGCUCCUUGAAUCAAUACUCACAGACGGAACGCUCGGCGGUACGGGUUCUGUCAAUCUUUCCUGAAUCAUCGCGCUGGAUUCCCGUCUCGAUGAAAGCCAUAAGAAGUACUACUACUUUGCAACUCUUCCAAUUGUGCCCUUUUUGCAGAGAAUACUACACAUCUAAGCCAGUAGUAUCGGUUAAUAUUUGUUAAACGUGAUAUGCUAGGUGCAAUGGUCCCACCUAGGCUGAACUAGGUUAGUUAGAGAUAGAGUUAGAUAAUAUUCUUGUAACCUCUUUUCAUCUCUAUCUUCUCUCUUUACUUGGUUCCCAAGAUGUAAUCUAAACAGCCUAUAUGCAUAUCUCAGGGAUACGCCCCUGCCUAUAUAACACGAAACCGUCGCCUCCAACAAGGUACGGCGUUCAUCGCUAGUUUACAUCGUAUACAGAGCCUUCUCUAUCCACUACAUCUAGAGAAAAACCCAUCUCCAUCGCCAGCCAUGUCGUCCUCCUCAAACAUCGGCCAGUCCUCCCUUCCUGGGCAGGUCACGGAGAAGCUCACCUGCACCAACUACGUGUUGUGGCAUGCGCAGGUGACACUGCAGCUGAGUGGAGCUGGUUUCUUCGGCUACGUCGACCAGACCAUGCCGGAGCCCGCCAAGCUCCUCACCACGAAGGACAAGGACGGGAAAGAUGAACAGACGCCGAAUCCUCUUCACGUGAUCUGGUUCAAAGAAGGAGAGCAGGUACUUGGAUACUUGCUGAACAAUCUCGCCAAGGAAGUGCUUGUGCAGGUCACAUCCAUAGCUACGCCGCAUGAACUCUGGGUUGCCCAUGCGCACAUGUUCUCGUCGUAGUCCAGAGCCCGCGUCAACAACAUCCGCGCCGCACCCACUACAAGAAAUAUGUCAACUUGUGACCACCACUAUUGGUCACUGAAUGGUCGUUGUUUUCCAUUUGUGACCUUUUUGUGACAAAAAACAGAAGGUCAAAAGCUGGCAGUCGUAAACUGAAAUUAACGACCUUCUUCGGGAUAAGGUCGUAGACAUUUACGACUAAAACAAAAGGUCGUUGAACCUAUGACCUUCUAUUUUGGUCACUGGCUGUCUACCCAGGCCACGUCGGAUCCGACGUGGCAAUCUGACGUGGCAAAAUUGCGACCAAUUGAAAAGGUCACUGAUAAGAUUCAGCCCGGUCCGAUUAGGUGUCUAUAUGGGCCGAGCCCAUUAAUUCAGCCCAUUUAUUAGUUAUUUUUCUUUCAGUUUUUUUCAACUACAUGGGCCGAGCCCAAGAAUUAAGCCUUUUUUAUUUUCUGGGUUGUGGCCUUUUUGGUUCAGCAGAUCAAGUAUUUCUUUUUUUUAAAGAUGGGUCCCAAUUGUCAGGUUCUUUUGGUAAGUUGGUCCCAGUUGUCUCGGUCAUUUUCUUCAAAUUUCAAUUUGCUAGUAAAUAAAUAAACCAAUAUUCCAAUGGGAACAGACAAAGAACACACGCAACACUUCAAAUAAUAGCCAAAAUCAGUUUGAUACAUCAUACAAUAGCAGAAUCAGUGUGUUACAUCAUCAUAUAACACAUACAAAUGGCAAUCAGUCUAUAUACUUCAGGUCUCUUCAAACUUCGAAUUCCCCAGCUUCCAAAUCUUGGUUCAUACAGAUCUGCAGCAUAAAAUCGACGGCACGUUAAUAGACCAAACUUGGCGUUACAACAGAUGAAUGAAUAUGUGGUGUCUUCUUCAAAUAAGUUCAAUUUGUUGAAAAUGGCAUUUACAACUAGAAGCCAUCCACCCACUAAACAGAAUUUUCAUGAAUAUGUUCAAUUGUGUUUAAUUACUAACCUACAUGAGCUCUAAGCAACUUUUAGCACACCAGCAAUAGUCGCUUGAACAUGCACACAAACAAACACGACGAAAAAUAAAUUAAGGCUAGGAAGUGACCCAAUCACUAUGCAACUCAAAUAUAAUGAAGAAUCUAAGCAGGAUAAAAAUGGUUCCUCAAUAUGAUCAUGUCCCAGGUAGGCUACAAGCAGUGCUAAUAUAAACAAGUAAAAUUCUUAGAAUUGACAUACAGAGACCGAUGCUAGGUUACGCAAACAUCAAAAUAUCAGGAAACAAAUAAACCCCAGAUCCUCACAAGCAGCAGGAAUAAAUUUUGUUCAGAUGCAAUUAUAUAAAACACAUUCACAACAGAUUUAAUUGGAAGCGAAAUCACAACUUAAACUGUUGCAUGAAGGAAACGUCUGUUGACCGCUCCGCCAUGUAAAUAGAUGAAUUUGAAUAAAUAUAAACAAGUAAAUUUGAAUCAUAACCCAGGCUGGGGGUACCUUGAGUAUGAGCUUGAGCUUGUCGAAUGCAGUGUGGCACAUUCUGGGGUUGCCGGCAAUGUAGGACAUCGAGAAUUCGACCAGCCUCUACUCAUCGUGUAAACACCAAGAAAAAGAACAAAGGUUUGAAUCAAACAAUAGUUGUAAAUCCUGUUAGCAUGACUACAAAUUAUCAAUAACCAAAGUACUCAUCUUCCUUCCAGGUUUUGAAUAGCCUAACAAAUUAUCAGCUCCAUUUUUCUUCCCAACAAAUAACACACCAGUCCCCAAACCAGCAAAGAGCAUGGGAAUAAACAGACCAACCCCCACAUUCCAAUAAUUCAAACACUCAGCAGUCAAAUGUGUGUGCGUGUGCACGUAAAUAAACUGAGGUUAUGCAAAGUGAUAAAUACAGUUUUACCUUUGUUUCUUUUGUUCAUGUACAAAAUCUCCCAUCAUAUAUAGACCAAAGUGCAUGUGACAAAAUAAUAUAGAGCAUGCUUUUCAAUAUGCAAAUAAUUGCACACAAUACUCUUAGUUGUGCUCAACCAGUAGACAUCAGUAGGAUGCAAUGUUUGAUACAUCAAGAGCUAUUGAUCGUUCGUCCAUUCACAACACUUGCAUGAACGAAUCUACGCAGCCUCGGCAAACCUAGCCCUACGCCAUGCCAACCUACUGAAUUUCACAACGCCUUGCACUUGGACCAGGGAGUGGAUAGGAGGCGAGCGUCGUUUAUGGACAGACAUACCCAUCUUGCGGAAGUAGAGGAAGUUGGUGACGAGGCACCAGAUCCGGUAGUGUUGCACCACCAGCUUGGGGUUCAGGUACAGGUGGUACGACAAGAUGAUCUGCAAUCAAUCAAUCAAUCACUAGGUCAUCGACUCGACUCAGCAGAAGAAGCACCAGAUCGCGCCGCGAACGGCCAGAGGCCCACCCCCACGGGUGAACUACGGUGGGCGCAGGGUGACGCGUACCUCGAGGGUGCAGCCGACGGUGGUGAGGACGGCGGCGGUGAGGUAGGAGCGCGUGAUGAUGGGCAUCUGCUGGUACCACUCCUCCACCGCCUGCGCCAUCCCUGCUCCUCCUCGACGAACUGGUGUCCUCACCACCGUCGGCUUGACAGCUGAUGUGAUUCGUUCACAACAACCGUCUUCCCAAAGAGCUUUAGGACCGGAGCAUCGGACGUGUUGUCACACACCACUUCUUCUGAAAUACUACUUCCCUUGGAUUUCUGAAAUAUACAGUUAAAAAAUCAUCAGAAUUGGAAAGAUUGAAGAAUUUCAUUCAGGUAAAGCUGCUAGUGUGUUUGUACGCAUUAGCUGCAAACAAGUGUUGUUUGUUUUACUUACCCUGCUCUGCUCUACUCUUCUCUUCUCCAAGCGAAAGCAGAGCACGGAGAGCAAGCACACUACCAUAACAUACAAAGCCAUUAUGUUAUGUUAUGACUCACUCACGCACUGCCAUUAUGUUAUGGAUGAGCAAGUCUAGUGUGUGAGAGAAAAUGCAGACAAGUUGAGGUAAAGUGCUGACCCCAUGCUGUGAGGAACAGAUCGAGUAGCUAAUAACUGGGCAAUGCAGCACCAAGUCCGACUCUACUAACUACCACCUGUGACGCAUCAUUGUUGAUCCAAAGCAGAUAAUAGUAAAGAUUAGAACCCAUGAUUUUGAUACAGAAGUUACCUAGCCUGGUAGCCUAGCAUAGAACAACACUACAUAUUACUUGGCCAGCAAAUUUGAGCAAUUCAGUGACCGCAUCGCAUGACAACAAAUAUAAAAACUAUGAACAACAUCGCAUACGAUGUGUGACAACAGAGAACACAUUUGACAAUGCAGAACGCAUGCGCAACCACACAUCCCAUAACAGGGUUACAAUCUACAGGCAGUUAGCUAGCUGCUACUAGAUCACUCACUCAUCAAUUUGGAACUGCAAAAGAGCGCAAAAUAAAUAAAUCAACAUGAGCAUAAGGCAUACUGUAGUAACUAAUUUAGAUGGACUUUGUACUACUCGGGUUUCAUUCUGAUGUAAUGGAACCAGGGAUGAUUAAAAAAAGAAAAGGCAUCGACCAUAAUGUUACACAGUAGUCAAUUUAUGGUCUGAACAUCAGAUGUCGUCCGUGCUCUGAACCAAAAUGUAAGGAACCUUAAGAGAUGAUUGUAGUGAUACACUAGAAUUUCAUCCAUUUAUCAACAAUCGCAGAGAUUAGGACUGCAAUUUGCAGUGAAUCAGAGAUUGGGACUACAAUUUCAUCCCUAGCAAAUAUAUGUUUCCUAAUUAUUAUUCAUUUCCAAAUGCAGGAAACCAUCCCGGUGACCCAGCUUGUCCGAGAGACUGCUGCUGUUUUGCAGGAGUUCCCACAAUCUGGGUAUGCUACUAUACUUGGCACUUUCUAUUUGUUGACGAUGUAUCAUCGAAAAGGCUUGUACUGCCAGAGUGAUUACCAGCAGCAGCAGCAGCAGCAAGGAACGGAAGCAGAGUAGCAAAGCAAUGCUUGUGCAGAACUCGGCAUGCAUGCAGAGUGACACAAACUCAUCAUCACACAAUAUGAAUAUUGUAAACACCAAACUUACUCGGACGCUAGUGACACAAGUUUCCGAGUAAUGCAAUGCAUGUAUCAAACCCUACGCAGACCCAUGAAAACUCGUGGGACAAAUGAGUAAGUAGCAUGCAAAAUCACUUGCACUAACAAUGGUGGCUGCUGUCAGGUUCAGCAGGAUACACUCACACAGACACACUUAUUAUUAACACUGGUAGAACAGAGCAGUGGUGUUGCAGCAAUGGCCUGGCGCGGCACGGGCAGGCAGGCAGGCAGACAUGCUGGCGCGUGCAUGGCAAAAAAAGAAAUACCAGGGCCUCGACCUCGUGGCAUGCCAGAAAAGGAGCAUGUACAAGUCACGGGGCGAUUGAGCCAGCCGCGACGUAGACAAGUCGGGAGACAGCAAAUUGGGCGAGCCCAUUCUACAUGCGUGCUGACUCUGUAUAUAGUCUAAUCAUCAUUCUCCUGCGACUGCAUCCUAAAUCCGGAGCACGGGAGACACGGAUUGAUGGGCGCCCAUGCCAUGCGCGAUCCAUCCGAAUAGAGUCGGACGGAGAAUCAAACUUUGGACAGCAAUCUGGCUACCACCUAGGACUCGACGGACGGCAAUCAGACGGAAAACGCACGCGCAGGGGCAGGGGAGGGGAGUGGAUGCUUACCGAGGAUUGCGGAGAGGCGGACGACGGUGUCCGGCGGGGGGACGAAGCCAGGGGUCGGCGUGGGCGGUGCCGGGGCCGGGGCGGAGACGGGACCGUGGAGGCAGCGUCGUUGGCAUUGGCGGAGGAGGACUUCUUGUGCCGGUCGCGGUUGCGGUGGGACGAGGUGGCGUCCGCGCCUGCGCCUACGGGGUCCUGCGCCACCGGCAUGCAGCAGCGCCCCUUCGACACCAGCCGCGAGGUCUUCACCGGAUCCGUCCCCAGCUCAUCGGGGAAGGGCGGAUCUCGGGUGGUGGUCGGCGGCGCAGAGGAGGGGCUUGUCGGCGGCGAUGGCGAGGGCAGGUGGUGUGGGGCUGGAGGAGCGGGGUAUAUAUGGGGGAGCAUCGGUAGGCAGGGCGUCCAUCCUCGUAUGAAGACGACGAGGGGAGGGAGGAAUCUGCCCGGAGAGAAGCCAAAACCAUGGCCGCUGGCGCCUGGCCGGCUCGAUCUGGUUAGGUAAGUAGAGAAGGUGGGGGCAGGUGAGGGGAGGGGGAUGGUGGUGGGGCAUCGGCGGCGGUGAGGAGAUCGUAUUUUCGGAGCGAGGCCGCCGAUGGGUGGGUGAGAGCGCCGGCGGGGUAGGGAGCGGGGAAGGAGGGGGCGGCAACGGAGGGACGUCGUCGUCGAUCUGGAUCUGGGAGAGGGGUGAGAGACGCGACCGCGGGCUGCUAGGGUUUGGGUUGGCCUGCUGAGAGGUGAGUGAGAGACGUUGGAUCCGUCUGGUGUCGACGGUUUAGAUCAGAUAGAGUGGGGUGAUUCGUGAGAAGUGUUCUGAUUGGUCCGAUAAUCUGUGAUUUAAAAUAAUUUUCAAGUACUAAAGAUAGAGCUAUUUUGUGAAGCGGCUAUCAAAAAUAUUUUGCAAAACGGCAUACACAAAUUUUCACUCAAGUUAGACCACAUUUUAUGGACGAGCAUCAAUUUGUAUGUAUUUCUGAUCUUUCUAGCUAUUUUUAAUCAUUUUUUGAGUGCCCAAAAUAAGUUUUUUUUGAAGGACCUAUAAUAUAUUUGUUGCAAAAUUGUACCAAAUUAAUUUUCUAAAAUACUAGGACAUAUUUAAUGCACAAUUCACCAAAUGGUUGGGUGUAAAAAGUUUUGAUCCACCUCUCGUGAAAAAGACAAAUUUCCGCCGAUUCAGUUGGAAACGGGUCAAAUUUGAAUUGCAGCUGCCUUAUAGUUUUCUCUUUAUUUUUUCCAAAAAUCAUUUCUAGGUACAUAAGUAUCUAUUAAAUCAGAGAAACACCAAAAAAAUCCAAGAUUCAACCACUAGCUAGGAAUGGUUAUUCCCGCCGUUUUGACUGCAUUUUGAAACGGGCAUAAAAAAUUCAAAAAAAUCAAAAAAUUGGGAAACCUUCGCAUUGUGUCAUUAUAUGUGGCCAAGUUACCAGCAAUAAUUAUAAACUUGUAAUACGGCAAUUCUUUUAAAAAAAGUGUUCUCAGAAACGAGCUAUCAAGUGUGAAGAUUCAUGGCUUUCAAGCCAAAUGAUCAAUCUUAUGGCCACAUUCAUGACAUAGUUUGUUCAAAUCAUCUCAUAUUGUGCACAAGAGUGCAUCUUGGAAUGGCAGACAAUGUUGCCCAAGGAAGUUUUCAUUUUCUUUGGACGAAAAAUUCAUUUUCCAUUUUUCGAGUGCCCAAAAUGAGUUUUUUUGUGAAGGACCUAUAAUAUAUUUGUUGCAAAAUUGUAGCAAAUAAAUUUUCUAAAAUACUACGACAUAUUUAAUGCACAAUUGACCAAAUGUUUAGGUGUCAAAAGUUUUUAUCCACCUCUGGUGAAAUAGACAAAUUUCCGCCGAUUCAGUUGGAAACGGGUCAAAUUUGAACUGCAAAUGCCUCAUAGUUUGCUCUUUAUUUUUUCCAAAAAUCCUUUCUAGGUACAUAAGUAUCUAUUUAAUCAGAGAAACACCAAAAAAAUUCGAAGAUUCAACCACUAGCUAGGAAUGGUCGUGCCCGCCGUUUUGACCGCAUUUUGAAACGGGCAUAAAAAAUUCAAAAAAAAAAUUAAAAAAUUUGGAAAACCUUCGCAUUGUGUCAUUAUAUGUGACCAAGUUAUCAGGAAAAAUUAUAAAUUUGUAAUACGGCGAUUAUUUUAAAAAAGUGUUCUCAGAAACGAGCUAUCAUGCCUGAAGAUUCAUGGCUUUCAAGCCAAAUGAUCAAUCUUAUGGCCACAUUCAUGACUUAGUUUGUUCAAAUGAUCUCAUAUUGUGCACAAGGGUGCAUCUUAGAAUGGAAAACAAUGUUGCCUAAGGGAAUUUUCAUUUUCUUUGGACGAAAAAAUCAUUUUCCAUUUUUCGAGUGCCCAAAAUGAGUUUUUUUGUGUAGGACCUAUAAUAUAUUUGUUGCAAAAUUGUACCAAAUCAAUUUUCUAAAAUACUAGGACAUAUUUAAUGCACAAUUGACAAAAUGGUUGGGUGUAAAAAGUUUUUAUCCACCUCUGGUGAAAAAGACAAAUUUCCGCCGAUUCAGUUAGAAACGGGUUAAUUUUGAACUGCAGCUGCCUUAUAGUUUGCUCUUUAUUUUUUUCCAAAAAUCAUUUGUAGGUACAUAAGUAUCUAUUUAAUCAGAGAAACAGCAAAAAAAAUCCAAGAUUCAACCACUAGCUAGGAACGGUCAUUCCCGCUGUUUUGACCGCAUUUUGAAAUGGGCAUAAAAAUUCAAAAAAAAUCAAAAAAUUGGAAAACCUUCGCAUUGUGUCAUUAUAUGUGACCAAGUUAUCAGGAAAAAUUAUAAACUUGUAAUACGGCAAUUAUUUUUAAAAAGUUUUCUCAGAAAUGAGCUAUCAUGCAUGAAGAUUCAUGGCUUUCAAGUCAAAUGAUCAAUCUUAUGGCCACAUUCAUGGCAUAGUUUGUUCAAAUGAUCUUAUAUUGUGCACAAGGGUGUGCAUCUUGGAAUUCCAAACAAUGUUUCCUAACGGAGUUUUCAUUUUCUUUGCACGAAAAAUACAUUUUCCAUUUUCCGAGUGCCCGAAAUGAGUUUUUUUGUGAAGGACCUACCAUAUAUUUGUUGCAAAAUUGGACCUAAUCAAUUUUAUAAAAUACUAGGCCAUAUUUAAUGCACAAUUGACAAAAUGGUUGGGUGUCAAAAGUUUUGAUCCACCUCUGGUGAAAAAGACAAAUUCCUGCCGAUUCAGUAGGAAGCGGGUCAAAUUUGAACUGCAGCUGCCUCAUAGUUUGCUCUUUAUUUUUUCCAAAAAUCAUUUCUAGGUACAUAAGUACCUAUUUAAUCAGAAAUACAUGGUUUCGUGGCGAUACAUCGAGGUUUGGAUGGUGGCCGAGGGCCCCAACUGCAGAGCGCGUAAGCUCGCAUGCCCAUCGCGUGGUCACCGCGUGACCGUGGUGUUGCCAUGCGUUCUGGGCGGACUAGGAAUGUCUAGUGGAUUGGGCACUCCCCUGGUAGGUGCUAGGAAGAAAAUUAUAACAUAAGAUUCUCAUGAGGAGACCGAACUAUGCUCAAACAUGAAUUAGCAGCCAAGUAUUUGAUUAGCGAUACGGGAAAUAAACAUGGCCAAUGGGCGUGAGUUUUGGCUGAGGACGGUCAUAUACUAAGAAGAAUGUCUUCACAAAUUUUUAGGGAAAUCAAGAAUAUAUAAAUAACACUCCCUUCACAAAGUGUUGCUCUGAACAGAAUAGGAAAAUGAACAUUGUUGAACUAUUUUUGAACUAGGCAAGGUAGGUUUUUGACAUAUUUGAUGAAGAUAUGAUCCAAACAAUUUAUGAGAAUUUUUUGGGAAUUUUUGGAAUAACAGAAAUAUGAAUUUUUGGAAUAACAGAAAUAUAGGUUGCUUCACAACCUAGGGCAAAAAUUGACACAUGGCCAUGACACAUAGGCAAAACUGAUGAGAUGGCGCCUAGUCAUCGCAACCCACCACAAUUUACAAGGCUAUGACCAUCUAUAUUGGUCGUUAACAACUAGAAAUAAGGCAGCGGACCAACGCUGUUUGCUUUAUGACCAUUUCGUGUAAGGAAAUUACGACCUUUCUGACCAAAAAAUGGUCGCAAUGGUUUAGGGUUUGGAGCCCCCCGAACAGCUUUUGACCAAUUGGUCUCAAAUGGUCAUAGAUCUAUGGCCAAUUCUUCCAGGGUCACUAACAGAAGGUCACUAGUUGACAUAUUUCUUGUAGUGACCCUCCACGGCGCAAAAGGGCACGCAAACGGUGGAAGCGUACUUUGCUCACAUGCGAUCACUCGCAGAUGAGCUUGCAGCCACGGGAAAGCUGAUCGGUGAUGAUGAACUGUCCUCCUACAUCACCGUCGGCCUCGACAUGGAGUAUCAGCCUCUCAUCUCCGCCAACGACGCCCGCACCGAGCCCAUCAGCCUCGACGACCUCUUCGCUCAGAUGAGCAGCUUUGAUUAGCUCCUUGCUCUCUACAACGGGACGGGCUCUGGUGGAGGCUUCAAGUCUUCUGCUAACGCGGCCUUCCGCGUCCGCGGAGGUGGCGGCUCUUGCUACUGCGAGCAACCGCGCAACAAGGGCAAGCCAUCGGGUGGAGGCAAUAGCAGCGGUGGCAACUCCUCCAACAGUGGCGGCGGCGGGUGGCCCUUCUACAACAACAACAGGGGGCGCCGCAACUCUUCUGUCAAGCCUCGCGAGGGCGCAGAUGUCACGCACUGCCAAAUCUGUGGCAAGCCAGGCCACACAGCAAGGGAUUGCUGGUACCGGUUUGAAGAAGAUAAAGAAUCUUCCCAAGAUGAGAAAGUUGCAGCAGCGGCAGAAGGCUCCUACGGCGUCGAUACCAACUGGUAUGUGGACAGCGGCGCGACAAACCACAUUACAGGCGACCUGGAGAAGGUGACCGUACGUGAAAAGUACCGUGGAUAGGACCAAGUUCACACUACCAAUGGAGAAGGUAUGAGAAUUAGCCAUAUUGGUCACUCAGUAUUUAAAACUCCCCAUAGAAAAAUCCAUCUUAGAAGAAUUUUGCAUAUUCCUAGUGCCUCGAAAAAUCUCCUUUCCGUUCAUCGCAUUGCCCUUGAUAACCAUGUCUUUCUUGAAUUUCACCCGUUCUUCUUUUUGAUCAAGGAUCAGGCCACAAAGAAAAUCCUAUAUCAAAGUAGAUGCGUUCGAGGGCUUUACCCGUUGAUUCCAGAGCUUAGGAGAUUGAAUAAACAAGCCUAGGUGUCACCAAAGUUUCGUCAACACGGUGGCAUGAUAGAUUAGGGCAUGCAUCUUUUUCUUUGAUCAAUCAAGUGCUUAGGAAAAAUAAGCUCCCUUUUGUUGGUGAGCGUAGUUGUGAAACAAUUUGUGAUUCAUGUCAACGUGCUAAGAGUCAUCAAUUACCUUAUCCUGUGUCUACAAGUGUUUCUACCAAACCUCUCCAGCUUAUAUUUUCUGAUGUUUGGGGGCCUGCCCCUACUUCUGUUGGAAGACACUCCUAUUACGUUAGUUUUAUCGAUGACUACAGCAAAUACACAUGGAUCUAUCUUCUUAAGAAACAAUCUGAUGUAUUUCAAGUGUUUCACAAUUUUCAAGCACUCGUAGAAAGAAAAUUUAAUUGCAAAAUUCUAGCUCUCGAAUCUAAUUGGGGAGGAGAAUACAGAAAUCUAAACUCAUUCUUCCAACAAAUUGGCAUAUCUCACCAUGUGUCUUGUCCUCAUGCUCAUCAGCAGAAUGGAUCUGCCGAGCGUAAGCAUAGGCACAUCGUUGAAGUAGGUCUUGCCUUGCUUGCUGCUGCAUCCAUGCCACUAAAGUUCUCGGAUGAAGCGUUUCUCACCGCAGUUCAUCUUAUUAACAUAUUGCCUAGUCGUGUCAUCAAUAAUGAAACACUACUAGGGAAAACCUUAUACACAGAACUUUAGUUGUAGCGCGUGUCAAAAAAACACGUUGGUGCUAAGUAGCAGUAGCGCGCCGCUGUAAACGGCGCUACAGAUACAGUUGUAGCAGUAGCAUGCCUGAAGAUAAAAGCGCUACUACUAAAAUUCCCACGGCUUAGCCGAUAGGCUACACAUAGUAGUAGCGAUCUACGUAGAACCACGCUACCGCUACUUGCUUUUAGCAGCGCGUGUACGAUGCAAUGCGCUACUGCUAAAGGAAAUAAAAUUAAAUGGAAAGCAAAUAGAAAAGUAAAUGAAAAUGAAAGAAAUAGAAAAAGGUGAAAGGAAAAAAAUAAAAUGUGAAGAAAAAUAAAUGAAAAGGGGGAAAAAGAGAAAGGAAUAGCAGUAGCGCGUAUCGAGGAAAACGCUGUAGCUAGCUUAGCAGUAGCGUAUUUCCUGGAACGCGCUACUGCUACUUCUGACUUAAUCGCGCGGUCGUUCUUCCCCACGACCACUUCCCCCAAAUCAAACUCCUCCCGCUGUCGCCGCCGCCGUCGCCCGUCGGCCGCCGCGCGCUCUCCCGUCGCUCUCCGCACACCCUCGACGCCGUCCCCGACCCUGGAUUGGACGCCGCCCCCGACCCCGACCUCGACGCCGCCCUCUGCCGCGCGCCCGAGCCCCGACCCCGACCUCGACGCCGCCUGCCCCUCUCUCGCCGCAGGCACCCGAGGUGAGCACGCCUGCUCCUCCCCCUCCCCUACCUCUGCCUAGAUAGGGUUCUUCAAAUUUUAGUCGCAUCAAAUUAGUUAGGGUUCCUCUAUGGGUGGAAAUGAAUCGGAUACGGAUGCGGUUGGGAUGUUUUCUUAGAUGAUGUUUUCUUAGAUGAUGAAUAAACACUAGUGUAAUGCAUAAUAAAACGAGUAAAAUUUGACCACUUAUUUCACUUUUAAGUUGGAUAAUUGGAAUAUCCGCUGCCACUUUCCACCCCUAGGUUCAUCAAAUUAGAUGGUAAUUAGGGCAGUAGUUCCUAGGUACUAAUUAGUUAGUAAGAACUAGGUACUAAUUAGGUACUAGUUUAUUUUUAUUCAUAGUAAGUUUAUUUUUAGUAGGAACUGGUUGAAUUAAUAGAACUAGUUAGUAAGAACUUGUUGUUAUUUUUUUAGUUAAAGCAAUUUUUCCCGCAUCGACGUUGACGAUGCCUAUCCCGCAUCCUCGUCGUUGAGUCGGUGGAGGACACCUGCGUCACCAGAUGGGCCAUGUCCGGCACUGGGCUCCGCCGGGGUGGUACUGGGAGGCGCUACCUACUGGGGGCGCAGGUUGGUGAGGAGCCAGCCCGUCGUUGACCCGAACCUUCUUUGGUGGCGGUCGCGUGGGCCAGUGAUGGUCCAGAGGCUCGAGGACCCCGCGGAGGUGGUGCGUCACCAUGUCAGUGAGGAGGACGCGCACGUCCGUCGCCACUUGUUUGCGUUGGAGCACAGGUUCUCCAAUACCUGGCAAGUUCUCCAGGGAUCUCACUGGAGCUAUGAUCCUGUGAUGGUUCCUUCUCUGUGGGUGUCCACCACCCGCGCCGAUACCCGUCGUGCGCUAGGGUUUUAGUUGUAUUAGUGAUGUUAUAUGUAUGAUACUAUUCGGGAUGUAUUAUUGAUAAUAUUCGACGAUGUACGGACGCAUGAGAUGAUUUACUUUUGCUUAUUGAAUGCAUGAUAAUUUGAAUGCAUGCUAAUAUGAGUCCUAUAAGAUAUUUUGAAAUGUAUAUCUUGUGUUGCUCAAAUAGGAUAUGUGCUUGCCCAAGUGGCCGGUCAUGUUUGCAGGUUACACGUCCGAGUGUCCUAUGUUUUGCCGGAGUGUUGAUUCAUUUCCGUUCCGGCAAAUUUCAGGCGCUCGAUAUGUCCUAUUUUAGCAAAGGUCAUGCCGGAUUUUUCCGUGAAUUUUGGCAUGACUUGUGCCAGAAUACGUAGGAAAUAUCAAGUGCCCCGGAUUUGUGUGUUGAGUAUCCUGGUAGUUGUCUUCGAUCGAUUUUCAAUUAAUGUUUCAACUAUGAACAUAGGAAAUGUCUAACGACGAAAAGGAUUUCGAUAUUUGCAAAUACUGCGAAGACGAGCGCGGCCUGUGCGACGGAAUCUUCCUAGAUGAUGAUAGGCGCUUCAGCAUCAAGCUGGACGUGAACUUCGAAGUGGAUACAGUAAGUCACAACGACAAGUCUUUUUUCUAAUUAAGCAUGACAUCUGCUUCAUUUGCUUCAACUUAUAAUUUAAUUUUUUUACUAUUCUAGUAGCGUAUCCCCUGCCAUGCAAGAGUUUUUGUAUUGGAUAAGAUAGGUUUCAGUCGUACUAUGGAGGUAAAGAAAGUUUACUUGAAGACCGAGCGUGGUUGUAUUUUCCAUGCAAAAUUAUACAAAGCAGACGACUACACCUAUUUUGGAUGCAAAACUUGGCGAGCACUAUGCAAGACUUAUGCAUUUGAGCCUAAUAUGGUGAUCACCUUUGAUAUUCGUCCGGAAGAUGAUAUUGAAGGUAAUAUCGACAUCUGGGUCGAUGUGCAGACGCCUCCAGUUAUACCAUUAUGUGAGUUUCUCAACCAUAUUUAUGUCUUUGAUAUUGUUUAUUCAAAAAUAGUUGACAACUAAUUUCUAUUGUCAGCUUAUUUUCGUUCAAGCAAACAUGUCCAGCGCUUGGUAGACAUGACCUACUACUGUCCCGGGGCUGAACUAAACUGCGAGGAGAUAAGUCAUUAUGUUUCAUGGCUUGAGGACUUCAUACUGUCAAGACAAAUUUUCUUCCUGCACUUAGAAAUGUUAGUACUGAAAACGUGCGACCAAUAGUGUUCGUACUGAACUACGGUCACAUCUAUUUAGGAAAGAUGGUAAGAUUUUUACUAUUUGUCCUCAGUGCAUCUUUUGCAUACAUUAUUUUUUAAGCUAAACUUCAUUGCUAAGUAUGUUACUAUACGAUAUUCUUCAACAGGGACUCCCGAUGAAUGUUGUGCCUCAUGGGAUCGAGACUAAAGGUACCAUGAGUAUUGUUAGCUUACGGCCAAGAUAUCUUACAAUGCACUUUAGUGCAUUCAGGAUUUCUAAUAGCGAGGAAUGCUUAAUAGUGAAAGACUGGACCAAAACUGUGAAGGAGGAGUGCAGAGAAGUACUAGGGGGCAGCAAUCAGAAGGGCAGCCCACGAUUAGGAGACAGGUUCAUCUACAUGCUCCAACUUGAUGAAGGAGGAGUGCUACACAUGUUUUAUGUUAUUUUACCUGAGAGAGAGCAGCAGGAGUGAUUAGCUAGCUAGAAAUGAGUUUGAAGAUGAUGAUGUGCUACACUAUGACUAUGAUGAUUAAAUAGCUAGUGUUGGUGGUAAUGACUAUGAUGAUUAUUAUUAGCUAGUGUUGGUGGUGAUUAGAUAGCUACCGCAUCUAGUGUUGGUGGUGAUUAGCUAGCUAGAAUGAGUUUGAAGAUGAUGAUGUGUAUUGUUGGUGGUAAUGACUAUGAUGAUGAUUAAAUAGCUUGUUGGUGGUAAUGACUAUGAUGAUGAUUAAAUAGCUUGUGUUGGUGGAUUACAUUCAAGCGGAGGCAACAUGUGGUGCAUAUCGUAAAUACUACUAGUCCAGACUAGAUCAAGUUUGGAUUAGUAGUAUACUUUUGACAUGCACCACAUGUUCCCUCCACUUAAACCUAAUCCACCUUCUUCAUUUGACACACUGUUAUGGACAUAUUGAUAUAACAGCCUCAUAAUUGGUAUUGUACCAAAAUUUGUAUAACGGUGUAUAAAUACACUAAAAAUUAAAAAAAUGAGAAAAAGAAUACUAGUAGCGGUGGAGAGGAAACACGCUACUACUAGCUAUAUUAGCAGUAGCGCUGGUGUGAACAAACGCCGGUGCUAUAUGUCUUACCAGCAGCGCGUGUAGCACGCGCUACUGCUAAGGAAUAGCUGUAGCGCCUUAUCAGUAGCGCGCCCUCCCGCGCUACUGAUAAGCAAAAUACCCGCACUACUGCUAGUGUUUUCCCUAGUAGUGAAACUCCGGUAGAAUGCUUGCUUCACACCAAACCCGACUAUACUUCCUUACGAGUGUUUGGGUGUGCUUGUUGGCCCAAUCUUCACCCGUACAAUAAUCGCAAGCUCAUGUUUAGAUCCAAACAAUGUGUUUUUCUGGGUUACAAUCCACAACACAAAGGUGUAAAAUACCCGGAUGUGUCCACCGUCCGUGACAUUGUGUUUGAUGAAACUGUUUCUCCCUUUGCACAUCUCCAUCCAAAUGCCGACGCUCUUCUUCAAAAAGAGAUCCUUCUUUUACCAUCUCAUCUCACCGGUGUUGACCAUGGGGACGAGUUAAAUACUGAUGAUCAAUUAUUGACUAAUACUCUUACUAAUGGUGAACAUGAGUGUUGUGAUGAAACAGAAAAAAAACGGUGCAGCAAAUGCUGAAGAAAUUGAUCAGAAUCAAUAUUUCAUGUACCCUGGAAAAAGUAGCAGUAGUACAGAGGCGAAUCAGCCUCGGGAUCACAGUGUGGCAGCCUCGGGAUCCCCUCUCUGCAGGUCUGUCCUGCAAUCUCCUACGGGAUUUGCGCCGGGUGCGGCGUAUCAGUCCACACCGGGACCUGUGCCGCGUCAUGACGCCAACGGCGGCUCGGUGGGUCGUCCUGCUCCGCACCAAUCCUCUACCGCCACAUGGCCCUCUGCUGGCCAGCCCGCGCCUGGACGAUUUGGCAAUGACCCGUGCUGCUACGUGCGGCGCGCACCAUGGCACGACACGGAGCCCUGUUGCUGAUCGGCCGGGGCCGUAACAUCAUCUGCUCAUCAUGAGCAUGCGGCGGAUAUGGGGGCUGGUGCGGGAUCCUCUGCAUCGGUUCCUUUUCGCCCAACGCCUGCUGCAGCCACAGAAAGUCCACCUACGCCGCCCCAGCCUGAUGCUACCUCUUGAGCUUGCGUUGGUUUUCCCUUGAAGAGGAAAGGGUGAUGCAGCAAAGUAGCGUAAGUAUUUCCCUCAGUUAUGAGAACCAAGGUAUCAAUCCAGUAGGAGACGACGCACAAGUCACCGAAUACCUGCACAAACAAUCAAGAACUUGCAACCAACGAGAUAAAGGGGUUGUCAAUCCCUUCACGGUCAUUCGCAAAAGUGAAAUCUAAUAGAGAUAGUAAAGUAAAUAUUUUUGGUAUUUUUGUUGUAUAGAUUGGAAAGUAAAGAUUGCAAAAUAGUAAACGAGAUUCAAUAAGCAAUAUAAUGGAAGAGACCCGGGGGCCAUAGGUUUCACUAGUGGCUUCUCUCGAGAUAGCAUGUAUUACGGUGGGUGAACAAAUUACUGCCGAGCAAUUGAUAGAAAAGCGCAUAAUUAUGAUGACAUCUAAGGCAAUGAUCAUGAACAUAGGCAUCACGUCUGUGUCAAGUAGACCGAAACGAUUCUGCAUCUACUACUAUUACUUCACACAUCGACCGCUAUCCAGCAUGCAUCUAGAGUAUUAAGUUCAUAAGAACAGUGUAACGCAUUAAGCAAGAUGACAUGAUGUUGAGGGAUAAACUCAAGCAAUAUGAUAUAAACCCCAUCUUUUUAUCCUCGAUGGCAACAAUACAAUACGUGCCUUGCUGCCCCUACUGUCACUUGGAAAGGACACCGCAAGAUUGAAUCCAAAGCUAAGCACUUCUACCAUGGCAAGAAAGAUCAAUCUAUUAGGACAAACUAAACCGAUAAUUCAAAGAGACUUGCAAAGAUAUCAAAUCAUGCAUAUAAGAAUUCAGAGAAGAACCAAAUAAUAUUCAUAGAUAAUCUUGUUCAUAAAUCCACAAUUCAUCGGAUCUCGGCGAACACAUCAAAUAGAUCUCCAAGAACAUCAAGGAGAACUUUGUAUUGAGAAUCAAAGAGAGAGAAGAAGCCAUCUAGCUAAUAACUAUGGACCCAGAGGUUUGUGGUAAACUACACACGCUUCAUCUGAGAGGCAAUGGUGUUGAUGUACAAGCCCUCCAUGAUCAAUUCCCCCUCUGGCACAUCGCCGGAAAAGGCCCCAAGAUGGGAUCUCACGGGUACAGAAGGUUGCGGCGGUGGAAAAGUGGUUUCGUGGCUCCCCUUGAUGUGUUUUAGGGUAUAAGAGUGUAUAUAGGCGAAAGAACUAGGUCGGUCGAGCUAUGAGGGGCCCACGAGGGUGGGGGCGCGCCUACCCCCCCCCCCCCUUUGCGAGCCCUCCUGCCUCAUGGACGCCUCGUUGCGUCUUGACUUCAACUCCAAGUCUUCUGGUUUGCUUUCGGUCCAAGAAAGAUCAUCGCGAAAGUUUCAUUCCAUUUGGACUCCGUUUGGUAUUCCUUUUCUGAAAAACUCUAAAAUAGGCAAAAAAACAGAAACUGGCACUGGCCCCUCGGUUAAUAGGUUAGUCCCAAAAAUAAUAUAAAAGAGCAUAUUAAAGCCCAUUAAACAUCCAAAACAGAUAAUAUAGUAGCAUGGAUCAAAAAUUAUAGAUACGUUGGAGACGUAUCACCUGACAGGUCGCCUUCGGGAUCCACGGCUGUUCCUGCUACGGGAUCUCUUGAGCAGCCUUCGGGACCUUCUGUGCCAACUUCUUCACCAUUACGAACAAGGCUUCAAAGGGGAGUAACUCAACCCAAAAAUUAUAAAAGCAUAAUAAAAUUUGGUCUUGCUUGUACCACAGAUGAACCAACUACUAUUGCAGAUGCCUUGAGCGAUACACGGUGGAAGAAGGCUAUGCAAGAGGAGUACAUGGCGCUUCAGAACAAUAAAACCUGGCACCUAGUUCCUACAUGUCAAGGUAAAAACGUGAUUCAUUGCAAGUGGGUCUAUAGAAUUAAGAGAAAAUCUGAUGGAACCAUAGAUCGCUAUAAAGCUAGACUCGUUGCAAAAGGUUUGAAGCAACGGUAUGGCAUAGACUAUGAGGACACCUUCAGUCCUGUUGUGAAGGCUGCUACUAUUCGCCUUGUUUUGUCUAUUGAUGUGUCUAGGGGAUGGAGUUUACGGCAACAAGAUGUAGAGAAUGCGUUCCUUCAUGGCGUUCUGGAAGAGGAAGUGUUCAUGCGACAACCUCCUGGGUUUGAGGACAAAAACAACCCUUUUCAUGUGUGUAAACUUGAUAAGGCUUUGUAUGGACUGAAGCAAGCUCCUAGGGCAUGGUAUUCCAGAUUGAGCUCAAAACUUCAAACACUUGGGUUUACUCCUUCUAAGUUUGACACCUCAAUGUUUAUUUACAAUAAGUCAAAUACCUCUAUAUUUGUCCUUAUAUAUGUUGAUGAUAUUAUCGUCACAAGUUCAUUAAAUCAGGCUGUUAUAGGACUGCUAAAGGAUUUGAACUCUGAGUUUGCUCUUAAGGAUCUAGGGACUUGCAUUAUUUCCUUGGGAUUGAAGUUAAGAAGAAUGGAGAUAGUCUUCACUUUUCUCAAGAGAAAUAUGCAACUGAUCUUGUAGCCAGAGCAAGAUUGCAGGGUUGUAAGCCAGCUCCAACACCUUUAUCUAGUACAGAAAAAUUAUCCUUGUCAGAAGUAGAACUCUUGAAUCAAGAGGACAACACCAGGUAAAGAAGUAUGGUUGGUGCGCCAUAGUACUUAACUCUGACUAGACCUGAUAUUUUAUUUGCUGUCAACAAGUAUGCCAAUUUCUUCAUGCACCUACUACAGUACGUUUAACAGCUGCAAAACGCAUACUUAAAUAUGUUAAAGAUACCUUGAGCAUCGGAUUAACAUUCAGCAAGUCAUCAUCAACUCUUGUCAGUGCAUUCUCUGAUUCUGACUGGGCAGGUUGUCUGGAUGAUAGGCGCUCAAUAGGUGGUUUUGCAGUCUUCUUUGGUCGUAAUUUAAUCCCUUGGUGUGCAAAGAAACAAGCUACUGUAUCCAGGUCUAGUACAGAAGCAGAAUAUAAAGCAUUAGCUAAUGCCACAGCAGAAAUCAUUUGGGUUCAGUCCUUGUUGAGAGAGCUUGGUAUACGUUGCAAGCAAGCUCCAUGUUUAUGGUGUGACAAUCUUGGUGCCACAUACCUUUCUGCUAAUCCAGUUUUUCAUGCAAGGACCAAACAUAUCGAAAUUGAUUUUCAUUUUGCUAGAGAAAGAGCUGCUGCCAAGAAAUUGGACAUUCGAUUUAUUCACUCUCAAGAUCAAGUUGCAGAUGGUUUUACCAAGGCCUUAUGUACAAGGAGUUUCGAAGAGUUCAAACGUAAUCUCAACUUGACCAAGUUGUGAUUAUGGGAGGGUGUUAAACGUGAUAUGCUAGGCGCAAUGGUCCCACCUAGGCCGAACUAGGUUAGUUAGAGAUAGAGUUUGACAAUAUUCUUGUAACCUCUUUUCAUCUCUAUCUUCCCUCUUUACUUGGUUCCCAAGAUGUAAUUUAAACAGCCUGUAUGCAUAUCUCAGGGAUACGCCCCUGCCUAUAUAACACGAAACCGUUGCCUCCAACGAGGUACGACGUUCAUCGCUAGUUUACAAUAUUAACCUUAGAUCAGCAAAAAUGAAUGGUCAAUAUUUAUCCGAUGUACAGUAAAAGGUCUCAUAUAGGGACUUGCUGUUGAUCCUUUCUGUUGCAGCAUUUUUUAUGACUUCAAACAAGUAUAUGUACUGCUUGUGAACAAAAUGAAUAUAAAGAGCCAAGGUUCAGAAAUCUUUGACUCAAUGAAUAGUUAACUGCACGAUAUCAAGAAGUAGUCAUACUUUACAAAUUGGCCCUAAGAAAUCGAUUAUCCACCAGAGUAAUUCACAUCUAACCGAACUCAACAAAUAGUUUAAAAAAUAUCGAGCCGGGGCUUAGUUAGUCAUUGAGGGGUCAUCAACAGGAAGAGUGGCAAUGACACCUCUCAACUUGUCAGCAAAGCACAGUUACUUUGUCAUAGAGGAACACCACGAUGAUUGUGCUAUUCAUGUGUGCACCAUCUAGCGUCUGUGGUUUGGCGCAAGUCAGAAUGCACACAAAACAUCAUCAUGUGUACAGAAUUGAUCAGCCCGCUGCCACGUAGCAGAUGCUUCGAAGACUACAAUAAGCGUAAACAUCUUGAUUACUCCCCCACGAGCCCCGCGCCGACCUUAGCCUUUGUUGAUUUCUAAAAUGGCAAGACCAAAACUUCUGCUGCCGUUCACCUUCACCUGAAACAAGAAGAGAGCUCAGAAAGUUACAUCGGAGUCACACCUGAUGCAUGAGUGUAAGAGAGAAUGGGGGUUACCGUACGGAGAUCGAAGGGGCCAGAAUGUUGUUGCAUCUAUGGUGUAGUAGGAACAAUCUCACUGAAUGAUACAAUUACUGUGUCAACGGUUCACUUGCAUGCUCCUAAGUCUUAAUAUAAACCAAUACGAGAAUGUGGUCUCAAUUCGCAUACUGAUAAGGCACAAAUUGGAGCAGUGCCGACGAGUGCUAAAAGUAUGCUCGUAAAUAUGCGGAACAGUUAGGGGUUCAGUCCUGCAAACCAACCAGCUGCCGUAAGGCAGGCUCAAUUCGCUCUUUCCAUGUCGAAACUCCUGCAUCCAACUCGAUCUGCUGCUCGGCCGCGCGUAUGCUGGCAAUGAGAGCGUCUUGUGAGAGGAGCUAUCUAUCUUAAGAGGAUGAGAUAAAACAGAAUUCAUGACACGGUUCGUAAUUAAACAGAGUAAUCCAAAUGGUAUAAUAUUUUUUUGUUGAAUUAAAAUAAUAUAUUCACUAGUUAAGAAAGCUAGGUAAAUCAGCAGGUGAUGGGCUGCCAGCAGAAAAUUAACCUUGUUCCUUUGAGUCACUCAACAUUGUUGCCCGAAUUGGAUGAAAAAAAUCCUGGAUCUUCUGGUCCAGCUGAAAUUGUAGUUCAAUCAAUCAGUAGGUACAAAACCUUUUUUAUCCUGGAUUCGUAGUGCAUUUUUUCACUUUCUGCAGACGUGGUUAACAAAUGGAUACAACUGGACCUUCAAAAGUAAGUUUGGCUGUUGCCGCCACUGGACCAGAGAGAGAGAUGAGAGAUGUACACCCUUAAAAUCAAAGUUUUAAAUAGCCGGUUAUAGCCCAGCUAUAGCGGUUUCAGCAAGUACUGCUAUGCGGCAUAGCCCGCUAAACUUGCGAAAUAGCCGGCUAUAGCCUCGCUAUAGCUGAUUUGGAGGGCCACCGCUAUUUGCCAUAGCCCGCUAUUUAAAACAUUGCUUAAAAUAGAUGUUAUGCUCGUGAACUCGGCAACUCAGAAUCCUUGGGUAGUGAGCUAAUUGUUCAGCCUUAAACCUAAUCCAAUAAGAGACAUCUACCGUACUUGUAUAAUGUAUGUAUCCACUGUUAUUUCAACAUGAGAAGAACACCAGGGCCUCUGAACAUAGGUUCGUACGUUAUAUUUGAUAGCUUAGUUGCUGCUACUUUCCUGUAUUUUUAGUGAUCCUAUAAUGGAAGGUGUAAGAUCAUAAAUUAUUUUCUCUCAGAGAAGAGAAUAUAAAUUAGAAUUUCAUAAAGAACAUCUAUGAUGAUUCCUUGUGCAUUCACAUCAUCUCGCACUGUAGCUAGUCCCAAGACAUACACAUUCAGAACAGAACACUGCAAUACUAUCCAUAUCGGCCCAUCAACACCACACGCAGCCAAGCUGACACUAGGAAUACAAGAGAAAACAUCGGUGAUCCGGCAGAGUCAGUCUAGAUCCAGAUCAGUUUGUCUCAUCUCCUGGAUUCCAUAUCGGCCCAUCUCCAUCUUUGUUGUGCGAACUGGGAAGAUCGACGCUUGUGCUGUGCACCUGAAGUAAGAAGAAAAACUCAGAAAAUGUACAUUGGAGGUGCAGCAAAACGAGACUGCAAGAGAGGAGCGGUUACCAUCUGGAUAAGGGCAGUGAACGUUGCUGCAACCUCACACAUUGGUCUGCGACCAACAGUAACUGAAGUUGUAAUCCCCGUAUCAAUUAUCAGCUCUGGAUGAGAGUGUUUCCCGUCCCGUGUCGAAGCUCGCGCAGCCAGCUCGGUCUGUUGCUCGGCCUCGGGCUGUCCUUCCUGCAUGAGGAAUUAUCCAUGUUAGCUUUGGAUGUUGAGGAAAUAUGGUAAGGUUCAGUAGUCGGGACACAGGUCAAGAUUUACCAGAACUAAUCGAAACUCGACAGAACAAUGCAAACAAUUUGUUGGGUUAACAAAGCUUGAUUCACCACCAUGACUUGCACAAACCUAAGCUUGUACAAUUCAGUCUCCCCAGUUAGGAUUUCAUAUUGGUUCUGCAACCGAGGAGAGACAACAGCUGAGCUUGUCUGUCUGAUCGUUUCCUCGCACAGUACCUGAAUGCACAAUCAGGAACAGAAUUGCUUAAAAUUCAGAUUUAAAAUACAGAACUACAGAUAUAUACCCGCACGGCCGCACACUAGGUGAAUCUGGGAAAUAAUCAAACUGCUAGUGUAUUUGAACACAACCACAUCUUUUGCCAACAGGGAUGUUAACAAGGGCUUGAAACGCGUUUCGACGGACGUAACUGCUCAGAGAACUGAACCUAAACAGUCAAGUUCGGUUGAUACUUACACAUUUCAGAUUUCAGAGUGCAUGUUCUGGACAACAUUGACGGCGUCGAUGCUGAGACUAUCUCUUUUAUCAGCCUGCAGAGCGGACUGAAUAAUUACCUGCAGAACGGAUUUUCAGAUGUGGGCCUCUUCAUGCCUUCUCCGGUGCCUAUCAAACCCGCAGCCAAGAUGACACUCCGGAUACAAGAAAAAAAAAACACCGGCGAUCCCGCAGAGUCAGUCCAGAUCCAGAUCAUUUUUGUUGCAUCUCCUGGAUUCUAUAUCGCCUAUACUUCAGUCAGAAGAUGUACGUACAUUCAAGGUGCAGAAAAACAUUGACUCAAAGAGAGAAGGGGUGGCUACCAUCUGGAGAAGGGCAGGCAGAGAAUGUUGCUGCAACCUCCCACUUUGACCUGGCACUAGACAGUCCAACUGAAGAUGCUCUUGCAUCCAGCUCGUUCUGCUGCCCAGGUUAAGCUGUGGAAGCAUCUUGUGAGAGGACUAAUCCAUGUUACCUUAGGAAGUUGAGGAAACAAGAAAAGGUUCAUUAGUCUGCAAACAGAUCAGGAUUAGCCAGAACAAACCGAAAACCAGGCAGAAAAAAUGCAAACAAUAUAGUAUUUGGUUAACAAAGCUUGAUUCGGCAAAAAAAAAAAACUGAUGACUUUCGCACACCUAAGCUUUGUCUCCUCAAUUAGGAGGAUCUCCAAUUGGCUCUGCACUGGAGUAGAGACCGGCAACACCUCAACUUGCUUGGUUGAAGGGCUCCGACCUCUUGAGAACCUCGUAUUCUCAUCUCAAGUCAUUGUGCCAAAUGGCAUUUCAACGUCUCCUCGGCACAGCACCUGAAUGUACAGGAAGAAGAUUGCUUAAACUUUGGAUUCAUGCAUACAGAAUUACAUAUACAUACCCGCACACUAGGGGAAUCGGGGAAAUAGUACACCUGCUACUGCUACCAUAUUGAGACAAAACCACAACUUUUGCCAACGGGGAUGUUAGCAAGGGCCAAAAACGCGUUACGACAGACAUAACUGCAAGCUGUACAUUAGAGACCACUGCUCAGAGUUUCAGUUUUCAGUUUGAUACUUACUUACACUUUUCAGUUUUCAGAGUCUACGUAUCUCUGAAAUUAACGCGACGGAGCACACAGAUUAACUAAUUAGAGAUUAUCUACUCAUUGGUAAAGCAUAACUAAUUAACGCGACGGAGCACACAGAUCAAGUAUGAACAGACACCAACGGAUGCAUCCUUUGAAAUAAUUCCGAGGUCAUCACGAAUAUUGCAAAAGCAUGUGCAAAUAAAGACAUAAGUAACUAAGAGGAACAAAUCUUUACUUUUGGGAAUUGCAUACCUCUCAUUCUUCUGGUACAUGUAACGUCACUUCCGGGAUGUGAGAAAUAAGGCCUGCAUCCUCCCCUUGGCACCUCUCGACCAGAAUCGGACAGCCCCAAAUGUAGAGUUCCUUCAAGACUGGAAGGUUUUGUAUGCUUUGAGGCAAAGAUAUCAGGUUGGGACAAUCCAUGAUGUUAAAUUCUUCCAGGGAAGUGAGUUCUUGUAGCCAUUCUGGCAGCAUAUGUAGGCGUUGGCACUCCUUCAAAGAUAGGACUCUGAGAGCAGUAAGCUUCUUCAUGCUUUCAGGCAAAAAAGUCAGGUUGGGGCAAUCGAUGAUGCAAAAUUUUUGCAGGGAAAUCAUCUGUCCUAGGCAUUCUGGCAACAUAGCUAGGCCUUGGCACUCCUCUAUCCAAAGCUCUGUUAAAGAAGUAAGGCCC
rnacentral:lncRNA from 1 species